UUUUAACUAACGAUUUUCAACAUAAUCACCAGCCAUUAUCUUGAACAAUCUCCAGGCUUCUUGUUCAUUUAAAAUGCCAAUCGAGAAGUUUUUUUCAGAUCCCAUCCUUAACAGCACAUCAAGAUCUCUUGUUGUGAAUAAUAAUUUACAUCCUCUGUGCUCAACUCCAAAAGGAAUGCCAAUAGUCCCCAAAUCAAGAGGUUUCCAGAUGUUAUCGAGAAUCACAAGGAUCUUCUUCUCAUUCUUCAAUCUUUCAUAUAGUCUACUAGCUCUUCUAGACUCAGCUUCCUCGGACAACUCUAGGCCUAACGUUUCCGCAAUUUCCUCUUGGAUCUUUCUUAUGUCUGGACAUUGGGUAACCUCCGAAAAAACCACCAUAUCGUAAAGCUUGUCUUCAAUGGCUCGCCUUGCAAACUCCUUCACCAGUGUCGUCUUUCCAAUGCCGCCCAUGCCGUAGACCCCAAUGAUGCUGACAUCAACAUCGAUCAAUGCAUUUUGUAUGGCCUUCAAAGUAGAAAGUCUUGAAUCGAAGGCUUCGUAGCCUUUGUGAGACUUGAGCCAUAUAUCCUCCGGAAUGGUACGGUAGGAAAUUCCAUCAACAAAUCUCCCAGCUUCUUCUCGGAGUUUAACAAUGGCCUUCACCUUUGUUUCUGCUUUCUUGCUAAGCUGAUAGCGGGUCUUCAAAUUAGGACACAAGCCCAUGAGACAUCGUUUAUUUGUUGUCUUCUCAUCAUCAAUGAAUUUGGCUGCCUGCUCAAUGAUGAUGUUCGCACUAACCAGCCACUUCUCAACCUUCUCUUCAAUAUUUUCCCCUUUUCUUUCAGCCUCAGAAACCCUGUGCUGAAUGCUUCUCCUUUCAUCCUUGAGCUUGUCUAUUUCUGCCUUGAGUUUCUCAACGUUGGCUUUAUAGUUACGCAAAUAACCAAGUCGGCGUUCUGUUGGAGGAGCCAAGCAUUUCACAAAUUCUAAAACACUAGUAACAAUGCUUUCCACCAUCCUGGAUCCCUUUUCUUUUUUUCGAAGUUUCUGACAAGAAAAUAAACAAUGAGCGAAACACAGAGAGAGUGAGGAGAAAAAGAAAAAGAAACGCAAAGAUGGACAGUUUAUCUGGUUGUGGAAGCGGAGAAAUGAAAGAAAUCGUAAUAGCUGUUAUGGAUAUGCUGAGAAGAUGGAAACAAGGAAAAGGUUUCUAGUUCAACAACUGGAUUGCGAGCGGAGAGACUAAUUAACAAAGACUGGAGAUUACAACAAAGCAGAUGCCAAGAGAAAAGUUGAUCCAGUGAAAUUCAAGAGAGUUGACAGCAAAAGGGAGCAAAGAUUAAUAACAAAACAGCAGUGACUACAAUGAACAAAAGCAUAUGCGUUUCUUGAUUGAGAAUGAGUGCAAAGAAUGAUCCUUAAUCAAUAAAAUAUCUGACAAUAUCUUCACCGAAAGUUUGAGACAUGUGAUCCUUAUUCCACUGCGUCAAUUACACUCCAGACCAAUGCUGCCGUCAUUAUCGAACGGUCGAUAUCCAACACUUGCACGAAGAUUCCAAGAAGUUGCGUGGCUGCCGACUUUUAGAUGCAAAGCCUCAUUGUGUCGAUGUUACACAAAAGAGAGCAGUCCGGGUAAUUGCCAAAACUUAGAACUAAACAGUAGCUUAGUCAGAAAAUCAAACGCCAGUACCGGUAAAAUGACCGAUAAAAAUAUAAAGAAAUAAAAAUUUUAAAGUUUUACUUCAUUGCUUUUUUAAUCUUAUUACUAUUUCUCCUUGCACUUCUAAAGAAACCAAAGCUUUAAAAGAAAUCAGCCAAAUCAAGAAGAUUGAAAAGUAAAUCUAUGGUUUUAGAUUUUUAUUUUAUUUUUUUAGAUAAUAGAUAUUGUUGAGUAAUGAAAAGUACCAGCUCCGCUAUCCCCUCUUUCCUCACCCUGGGGCGAAUUUCCCCAUAUGAAUGGCACGAGCAGAUUCCUGGUAAUACAUCCUGUACAAGGCAUAUGCCGACUAGAAACGAAUACCGACCAGAUGUACAUACCGACCAAGUACUCAUUAUUCAAAGAAAGAGGACACGAUCUCACAAACUCACGACAAUUUUGUCAUGCCCCAAACUGUUGGGGAGAACAUGACGCCCCACGUUUACCCACGAUUCGGUGGUUGGAAACCCAUGAAGGUCCGUCAUCACCCGAAAAUGAGGGGCAUGAAUAAUACUCAGAAAACAUGGGAUGAUUGCCUAUAAAAGGCCAAGAAAUCGAUGAAAAAGGGGAGACAAAAAUUGAGAGUAAAGGGGAAACUCUGUCAAAUUAUAAUCAGAAAUUCAUAUAUCAAAAUCCUUGAUACAUUUGGUAUUGAGAAUAUUGCAACUAAUAUGUACAACACAAAUCAUUCACUUUUCUCGUAAACACCUUGUACUAAAUUAAGUAUUGAAGGGUUUAUGCCCGAAAAACCACUGGCGUCUCUGAUUUGUUUCUGUGAACGCAGGCCUGGAAGGAAGAAGACGGGUGAUUUGGGUCCCAGAAGCUCGGGAAAUUGCUGAAGCUGAUGGAUCGCAGCCUCCGUUCCUUUGUCGAUACAAGCGUUGGUGAACCAAUCUAGUCGGUCCAAAGGCGACCAGAUUUUAGCAUCAACAUAUAUUAUUUUGAUGAAUUUUUUAAUAUGAGAAUAAUGUUAGGAAUUCCAAUAGUAAAAUUCUAAUUGAGACCCAAUUGUUAUGUGUUAUUUUUUUAUUGAAUAAUGAAUUUCACAACUAAUAAAAUUUAUAUUUCCAUCAUCUAAUAAAUGACUACCAUAUCAGUUGGGACUCAAUUAUUAGGAUCCUUAACAUUGCUCUUAGUAUUAAAUUGGACAUCUUAGCUAAAUCAGAUUAAAAAUCAAAUUAGAUUUUAGGCUUUUAUUCAACAUCUCUUUUUUUUUUUUGGUCUAUUGGAAGUGAACGAAAUAAAAAUACAACAGGGUCAACGACUGGGCAAUUGGUAGUCAAGUAGAAGCAAAUCAAGGCUAAAUGGGAAAGAGAAACGAUGUUUGUGCAAAACAAGGAGAAAAUCCAUGUAACAGAAGAGAAUCAAAGUGCUUUUGAGAUCAAAAAUUGAAACAAGAAAAAGGUCGCUUGAUCCAAUGAAAAUGCAAAGAGUUGAUGGCAAAAGGGAACAAAGUUAAAUACGAAAACAGCUAGCGCUAGCAGCGACCACAAUAAACAGAAAAUUUGAGAUGGAUUUACAAUAUUUCUGCCUUUCUUUAUGCUUUAACAAAUAUUGCUCUAUCAAAAAAAAUAUUGAACAUUUUUAUUAUUGGAGUCACAAAAGACCUACACAAUAUAGCAAGUGACUAGGAAUAAAUAAGAAUAUAUAACUCUCUCUCUAAUUCUCACUCUGGCUUUUAAUUGUCACUCAAAACCCAGAAUUCAUCCUUAAAGUGUAGGCAAAUCAGAGAUGACAUCGUUUGGUUGUCAUACGUGCCUUUUAGUUUUCGGAUGACAUGGCGUACACUUCUUCUGUAAACCCAACACGACAUGUCGUACUCUUUUGUUUUGAGAUCCUAUUUCAAACUUUUCAUGCUAUGAAUGAAAGAUAAACUCCAAUCAUCAAAAUAUUUAGUGUUUGUUUGGUAAUGUAAUGUCAUUGUUGUUGUGAAUUGAAAUUAUUUCUGUAAAAUAAAAGGAUUUGGGUCAUUGUUUGUUAUUUUCUGACAAUAUUUAUUAAAUAUUAAAAAAUAAAUUUAUAUUUAUUAGUUAUUAAAAAUAAAUAAACAAACAAAAAUAAAAGGAAAAGUUUAUACAUUACGUAAAAUAAUGACAAUAUCAAUAUUUCGCACUCUAUAAUUGAGUGAUGUGUUGUCCAACUAGCAUACUUUGGUCCCAAACGGAGACUUAAAUAUCAAAGUCCAAAGUUAUUGUGAUGAUGACUUAUAAUCGCCAAACUUGACAUACGGGUAAUCAUGCAUUAUAAGGUGCUGAUUUCUUCCGAUCGGAACCUUAUUUUUCAUUUACAAAUAAAUAAAUGAUGUGACUUCACGGUUGGCGGGGUCCUUUGUGUCAUUUGGGCAUUUCACUAAAUGAUUGAUUGUAGCAGGAAGAUUCUUGGAAGUUGCCAUUUGCCAAUGCUACUAACAUUUUCAAACUUGGAAACCCCUUCAAUCAAUCUUAUAGUGUUAGGCUCUGGUAGCUUGGUUUGAUUAUGACAUAUGAUUAUUUGAUAAUAAAACUAGAGGAUGUAUUAAUAUAAAUCUUGUUUAUUGGUGUUGAAAUUAAUUAUCUCAUUGAUAAUAGUAUAAAAAGUUAAUUACUAAGAAACACAAAGCAGUAGUUAAUUGGUGUCAUAUUAUUGAGAUUCUAGGAUAUAAUUUUAUAUCAUAACUUUGUAAGUGUAUAAUUACUCAUUAAAUUAACAAAAUUAUUUAAAAAUAUUUAGUUGGAAAAAAUAAAUUAUAGCCUUUUUAUUUCAAAUAAUCUAUAAGUUAACUCAAAACAUAAUCAAGCUGAGAAUUAAAAUAAUGCUACUGUAUGAGAGGAUUUUUAUUUUUUCCCAAAGUUUCACUAGGAAAUUAUUGAUAUAUAGCUUUAUUCGGAUCAUCUCAGUUCAAACCACAAAUAAUUGAAAGACUAAACUAAAUAGACCAGCCAACAACCUUGUACAAGAGAGUUCAAAAAUUAAGGUCAUGGUAUUGAGGUGUUCUUUCUUGAAAAGUACAGCAUAGUAAUAAAAUAAAAACUAUUAGUCUUUGGUAAGAUAUAAUUUUUAAAUAAUAAUUUUCACAAAAAUACAAAAAUAUUUAUAAAGUACUUCUAUAGUGAGGAGACCCUCACUUUGUUAAAGUGAAAAUAUCAAUAAUAAACAAAAGAAAUAUAUUUUAGCACAUUAAAAACUGUAUUUUUUUUAUCUAUUGGCGUAUUAAAAUAUGUGUUAUUUAGUUUGUUAAUGAUAUCACCACUUUGUUAAAAUGAGGAUGUCCGUCUCUAGAGAAUCAUUAUAUAUAUAUAUAUAUAUAUAUAUAUAUGUAUGUAUAUAUAUAAAGUGUUUCUCUCCAAGGCCUAGACUUUAUUAAAAUUUAAGAAAGCAAAUAUAUUUUAUAUGGUAUAAUAGUGUAAUAACAUCACACUAUUAUAUCAUAUAGAGUAAUAGUUUUUCGAACUUUAAUAAAGCUUAAGAUUAUAGAAUGAAUGAUUUAUACACAUUAUAAUUGUUUUUAAUCAUAAAGUGGAGGAUAAAAUUAAUAUAUUUUUUAAAUUAUAAUAAAUAUUUAUCAAAUAAUUUAACAUUGUAGUAUCUCCUAAUUAGUAUAGUAAAUACGACCUAGGAGGUACAUUAAAGUAGUUGUUAAUAAUAAAUGAUAUAUGCAGCUCCAAUCAUCAUUGUACGAUGAGUAAUUAUAUAUGAAUCUUCACUUAUAGGUGAAAGCACUUUGUCAGACAUCAAAUCUCUGCAAAAGAUACCCGUCUUUAUUCGCUCAUUAUCCACACACACACAUAUUUAAUCUCACCUUUUUUUUUCCAAUCAAACCGAACAGAAAAAGAAAAAAAAUAAUUUUUCUUUUAAAAAAAAUGUAAAUUGAGGUUAUGUGAUUGUAAAGGCUGAUGUUACAAUACCUGCAUGUAUCAGAUACAUGCAGGUUUUAUGGCCGUUGGAUUCAUUGUAUUGAAUCCAACGGCCAUAAAUGAAUUUAAACAAUAAAUAAUUAAAAAAAUAAAAAAAACUUGAAACCUAUAGAAUCGGUCUCAACACACACCAAACCCCCUCAACACACAUCAAACCCAGGCAAAUAUAUUUGUUGGGAAAAAAAACAAACAAAAGGCUCUCACCUCACGCGGGAAAUCAAUUUGUUCUUCCCUCCAUCCUCACUCACGGCUCACGACUCCUGAUAACUCUAUGAAAUGAGAGUUAUCAUAGCACUUUUAGACUUAAAUUAAUAUUACUUAGAGAGUAAAUGAUGUGAUUCUAUUGCAUUUUUGUUACAUUUUGCAUAAAUAUUCAUUUGAGUUUAGUCUUAAUGAGUUUUGCUUGAUUUAAAGUAAUUUGUGCUCAAAUUGUGUACAUAAUUGUAGGUUUCCAGAAGCUUAUAAUUCAUGGAAGGAAUGCUAUGCAAUAGGCUUGCAAAAUAAAAUCCACUGGAAAAAUAAAUUUAUCCACCUUCACCAACACAUCUUCAAUCUUCCCUUCUGGAUAUGCAUGAGAUCUGUCAGCAAGUUGUAAAGUCACUGUUGUUGGUCUACAUUCACCAACUCCCAAUUGCUUAAACACUGAUAAAGGCAUGAGAUUGAUGCUAGCCCCUAAAUCACAAAGUGCUUUGCCACUGUAUUCAGUGCCUAUGGAGCAUGGAAUUGUGAAGCUUCCUAGAUCCUUCAUCUUCUGUGGUAUCUUACUCUGAAGCAUUCGGCUGCACUCUUGUGUUAAAGCAACUGUCUCAAAUUCUCCAAGUCUUCUUUUCUUUGACAAGAUAUCCUUAAAAAUUUUUGCAUAAUUUGGCAUUUGCUCUAGAGCUUCCACAAAAGGGAUAUUGAUAUGUAGCUGUUUCAGCACCCCCAAAAUUUUGCUGAACUGCUUGUCUUAUUGUUGCUUCUGAAAUCUUUGAGGGAAUGGUGGUGGGUGUCUAAACUGCUGUGCUGCAGCAGGUUGUACAGACUGCUUCUCUUUUGCUCUACUCAGGUCUGUUACUAUUGGUGUUGUAGCUUCCUUACCACCAGAUGCUGGAUCAUAACUUUCUGUAAAUGUUGUAGCAGAGCUGUGUUGAUUUGCAUUCCGAAAAGUGGAAGACUGUGACUCAUUCUCUACUUGAGUGUCUUCUUGGCCUUUGUUGGACUCAAUUUUUCUUUUUGGUACACCAACGGGACUAUGAACAUCUUUUCCAGAUCUCAAGUUAAUUACUUUGCAGUGCUCUUUCCCUUCUCUUCUUGGGUCCUCUGUAUUAAUGGGUAAACUACCGUGAGGUCUGUUGCUUACUGCUGUAGCAAGCUGUCCAAUUUGAUUUUCCAAGUUUUUCAAAGAUGCAGCAUGACUUUGGACAACCACUUCAUUUUUCACAAUAUAAUCCUUAAUCAAACCUUCAAGGGAGCUAAGUUGAUCAUUGUUGAUACUUCUUUGCUCUUGAUUUUACUGAUAAAAUCCAGGUGGUUGAGCAAGUCUGUUAUGUCCACUGGGUGCUGCAGUAGUCUGGUUCUGAUAACUCCAUGAAAAGUUCGGGUGCUGUCUCCAUCCAGGGUUGUAAGUGUUUGAAUAUGGAUUGUCCUGGUUCUGUCUAUUAAAGCUGCCCAUAUAGUUAACCAAAGCUGGAUUACCAGGACAAUUGUCAAAUAAAUGCCCUUCUCCACAAUAAACGCAAGACAUAUCAGAAAUUUGGUUAACAGUUGCUGGAGCAGUAGUCAUAGCCUUUACCAUCCUUGUUAAUGAAGUUACUUGGGCUGACAAUGUUCUCAAGGCAUCUACGUUAUGAACUCCUGCAGUUCCUCUUGCUGCAGCUUGUUUGGUUGAUGGCCACUGAUAAUUGUUGUUAGCAAUCCUCUCUAAAAUUUCAUAAGCCUCAUUGUAAGACUUAGAUAACAAAGCCCCAUUUGCUGAAGCGUCCACCAUCAAUCUAGUGCUUGGGUUGAGACCAUUAUAGAAAGUUUCCAACUGUAUGCAUCAAGGAAUACCAUGAUGAGGACAUCUCCUAAGUAACUCCUUAAAUCUUUCCCAUGCAUCACCAAGCUCUCAUCUUCAAGUUGAUGGAAAGAUGUGAUCUCGUUCCUCAACUUUGCAUUCUUGGUUGGCGGGAAGUAUUUCAACAAAAAUUUGUCAGCCAAGUCACUUCAUGUAGUGAUAGAAUCUGGUGGUAGAGAAUUCAACCAUGCUCUUGCUCGAUCUCUCAAAGAAAACGGGAAAAGUCCGAGUCUCAAUGCUUCCUGCGAUGCUCCAGCAAUCUUGAAAGCAUCACUUACUUCCAAAAAUAACUUAAGGUGUAAAUGAGGAUCUUCGGAUGGCAAACCAUUAAAUUGCCCCACUGUUUAAAGCAUCUGAAACAUCACGAGUUUGAGUUCAAAAUUGUCAGCUUGAACGUCGGGUCUAACUAUUCCUGGAUGUAUGGCUUGAGGAGUCAACACUGCGUAAUCUCAAAUGGCUCUAUCUCUAUCGUUCACCAUGUGAAUAAUGUCGUUGUUCCCUGGUGGAUAAAUUUAUUUUUCCAGUGGAUUUUAUUAUGCUAGACUUUGAGGCAGACAAAGAAGUGCCAAUCAUUCUAGGGAGACCUUUCUUAGCUACGGGAAAGACUUUAAUUGAUGUUCAAAAAGGAGAAUUAACCAUGAGGGUGAAUAACCAGCAAGUUACAUUCAAUGUGCUGGAUGCCAUGAAGAGUCCCGAUGAGAUUGAAGAUUUUAAUUUUAUCAGUGCUGUGGACUUUGUUGUAACUGAGAGAUUACACAGUUGCUGCUGUAAGGAAGAAAUCAAUGCUGUAACAAUUGAAGGACUUGAUGAUGAAGAUCAUGGAGCAGCUAACAUAGCAUGGUUAAGGAAGAAGCAACCAUUCAGAAUUGACGAGCAAAUCCAGCAAAGGGAACUCACUCCAGAACAACAAGAAUUCAAGGUUAAUGGGCCAAGAGUAAAGCACUAUAUGGGAGAUGGUGUGAAUAGCCUAAAGAGGGAUCGGUUCUUGAAAGAUCUAGGUUGAGGAAACAAGAAAGGUCAGGCUGAAGGACCUAAAAUCAAGCGCUAAUUGGGAGGCAACCCAAUAAGGGAAGUUGUUUCAAGUUUUUAUGGCAUUGAAUUUAGCUUUUAAAUUAUUUAAUUUGUCUUUUUGUUAUUUUAAGUGUGCAUCUAAUUUUUUAUGUCUUUAUGUUACAUUGUAGCAAGUACAAAAAAAAAUGUGGGCAAAAAGAGCAGGAGGGAAUUGCUGCAGCAUCACUUACAGCAUGACAUAUAACAGAAGAUUCUCAAACAAUAGAGACAUUUCUUGCUUUUGCAGCAGCAAAUGGAUUGAUCAUAUUUUAUGAUAAGGAGCGUUUGAGAAGUGGAUCAAAGAAGAAGUGACCCUUUACAGCCUGUGCUACAGCAGUGCUUCCAGCAACAGGGCAGUGCCCCUAACCGCUAGUUUAUUUUACUUCUUGCUGUAAAACUUUUCUUUCAUUUAGUUUUAAUUUUCUAAUUCAUUUUGCAUGUCAUUUUAUUUAGUGUAUGCAUGUCUGGUUUAUGUGGUUUUGUUUUGUGUGCUUGUGAGGACACAGCACCACUCAAGUUUGGGGGGGUUGUGUUUAUGAGUGCAUGUGUUUAUGCUUGUGUUGUGUGAAGCUCUGUUAUCUAAUAUUUGUGUAUGGAUUUGAAAACCUAAUGAAGAUAAAUUGAGUGUUAUUCAGUAUUUAUGAGAAAGCCAAGUAGAGAUAGUUAUAGAUGGAGGUUGAACUUCAGUCCCGACACUUAGACUUUGGUUGAGUUUUAUGAGAAUGUUGUAGCAGAGCCAUGAAAACCAAAAAAAGAGUAGAAAAUAUCUCAAGUUUGGGGAAAACUUUUUGUUGGACUGUGCUUGUUAUGAAAUAAAUUCUGCUCCAAUGGUUUAAGUUGCUGAGUAACCAGGGUUGAGUAUGCACCCCAUAUGCAAACUUGAGUCCAAAGGCAACACGAGCUACGAGCAGUGCUGCAGCAAUUAUAAAAAAAAGAGAAAUGAUGAUAAAGUGGUCCGCUACCUAGAAUACUGAGUAACCUGGUCUGUUCAUGAGCCCCAUGUUCAGCCUUGAGUCAAAGGCGUCCAAAGGUAUGACCUAGAUAUAACAUCCUGAAUGCGUUGCUGUAGCAACUCUGACAUGUACUUUGAAUGAGUAAUUGGGUGUCGUCAUUACAAGUGAUAGGCAUUCACAUGAAAGCUCAAUGUUGCAUUGAAGGGUUUAACUGAAAAAAAAAUUAUUAUUGUUGUAGCACAGUUUGAAUAUAAUUGUGAGUUCUGAUCCCCCAUAUGUGAAUAUAUUUGUGUUCUACCUCUGAAUUGUAUACAAAGUUUGUGCAAUGCUGUAGCACCUCUGGAAUUUGAUCAAAGUGGAACAUACACACUUUGGACAGAAUGAACCCUAAGUCUAGAACUGAACUACUAUGGCUAUUUUGUAUGAUUAAGAGUGUGAUCUGAGGGUGGAAGAAUCCUUGCAAAUUUGAUGACAGAGCUAAGUUAUUUGUUGCAUGAUUGUGUGAUUGAAGUGUGAAUGUUGUUGUCAUUACUUGAGGACAAGUAAUGGUUUAAGUUUGGGGGUGUAAUAACUCUAUGAAAUGAGAGUUAUCAUAGCACUUUUAGACUUAAAUUAAUAUUACUUAGAGAGUAAAUGAUGUGAUUCUAUUGCAUUUUUGUUACAUUUUGCAUAAAUAUUCAUUUUAGUUUAGUCUUAAUGAGUUUUGCUUGAUUUAAAGUAAUUUGUGCUCAAAUUGUGUGCAUAAUUGUAGGUUUCCAGAAGCUUAUAAUUCAUGGAAGGAAUGUUAUGCAAUAAGCUUACAAAAAUGAGGAAGAACAUGGCUAUAAAAGAAUUGAAACAAAUCUGGAACAGUUCAGUUGCUGUAGCCAUUGCUGUAGAAAUCUUGGAACAACGACAGAAAAAAUUCCGUGCGGGAUACUUGCAGAAUUGCGAUCUGCAGUUUCCUAAUCUGACUUAUGCGCGACAAAGGCUUCCGUUUACCCUAAUUUUCAACUAUAAAAGAAGCACACAUCAUAAGGAAAAGGGAGAGCCGUCACCCAAGGAGAAAAACACAAAGAAACAUAAGAAAUACAAGAUUCAAGAGAGAGAUUAAGGGCUGCACAAGAGGAGAAUUUGCAGAAAUCAAUUGGGAGCUCAAUCCUUCUUAUUCUUCUCUUGUUUUCUCGUUUUCUAUUUAUUUAUGGGGAUGUGUUUCAUGGCUGAAACUUUGUUCUUUAUUUUUCUUUUGCAAACCACGAACUAAAUUUAUUUGUGGUUGAGUGAUAAACAAUCUUGAUGGUUUAUUGACUGAAUUUAUGUGUUGCUACAUGUUUGCUGUAGCAGUUUGUUUUGAUAGUAUAUAUUUUUAUUCAUUAUUUUGGUUGAUCACCCAUUUAAUGAUACAAGUUAGGAGAGAGCCGUAAAAGGGCCUAUCUUAGUGGAGCAUAUCAUAACAAUACUUGAUCUUAAAUUGAGUUUCCCGGAUUGAGUUUUACUUGAGUCCCAAAAAGGCCAUGCUUGAUUUAAGAUUAGUGAUGAACUAGACAUAAGGAUUCACCUUGUAGGGUAAAUAGAACCUAAGCAUGUAAUGCUAUAUCUUAUGUUGGCAUAGCAACUGAUCACUGUUAGGUUGCAUAUAGAUAUAAGAUAUCCAACAUGCGACGGUUGAGGAUAUAUAAGGAUUCUGCCCAGUGCUGUAGCAAAUACUAUAGCAACCGAGCCAACCAUUAGAAAAUAGUCAAGACCAUUAGGAGAGUUUAUUCACUCAACUACUAUAUACUCCCAUUAGUUUUAUCCUUGAGCUUGACGUAAUAGUUUACUUUAUUGCAUUUAUUUAUUGCGUUUUUAUUUUAAUUAGUACAUUAGUUUCAUUAAUUGUUUAUUUUAUUUUAGCACAAAAUCUGCACUGUUAAGAUUGUUGUAGCAAAUCUAAUAACAUCAAUCCCUGUGGAGACGAUCUUGAAUACUCAUCACUUUAUUACUUGUUGUGUACACUUGCACAUUGACACCAAUAGCAUUAGUAUUUAUACACCAACAACUCCUUCUCCCUCUCCCUCUUCACUCACCCUCACGGCUCCCUCUCUCUCUCCCUCUCCCUCUUCACUCACCCUCACGGCUCCCUCUCUCUCUCCCUCUCCCUCUUCACUCAUCCUCACGGCUCCCUCUCCCUCUCCCUCUCCCUCUCCCUCAUCAUUCACUCUCUCGCCUGCAGUCCCUCACGAGACGCCUCAUCAGGGCCACCAACGACGGCGCUAUCCGGCGAAGACACGCGGAGGUUGAUCUCUAUUGCCGGCAAGGAUUUGCAGUUACAGAUUCACAACCCACUCAGUUCCCGUCAGCCCAUUCUGAGUCGUUGUCAGGCCAUAUCUGCAGUCCACCUACGGUAAUGAGACAUGGGUAUCAUGGGUUUUGUUUGGUAUCAUUAUAUUUGUUGAUUGAGUGUUUUAUUUGAUGUGGUAAGAAGAAUCAUUCGCCUCUCAUAUUUAAAAAUUACAGGUUUUAUCAUGUAAGUUUAUUAGUGCGUAUUGUUGGGUAAUGUAAUAAUUUACAUGGAUUUAGAAUUCGCGGAGAGAGUUUGAUGACAUUAUCUGUGUGUAUUGACAGGGGACAUAAUUUUUAGUGUACACAGUAUAAUGGGUAAGCGUAAGGCCAAUGUCGCAGAUGACAUUAAUAUUCAGUCUGAAGCUGGAUCCUCCGAGGCCGGGCAAGCAUUCGUACAUAUACUACUUGUAAGAAACUAAUUCAUUGUUGAAUUUUAUUAUUGACAUUCUGUAGUCAUUUCAGUUUAAUAGUGCAAUAAUUUUAAUUGACAUAUAAAGAACUGAUAUUUCAUAUUAUUUUUCUAUCUACAGCAAGAUAGAAUCCCAAAAGUUAAAGGAGGAAUGUGUGAAGGUGGAUGAAACGGUUUGUAGACAACUUUUCUAUGUUGCAACCUACUAACUAAUAGUUUGGUUAAUGAUUGGCCAAUGAAUAUAUAUAUUUUUUUAGUGUAGGUUAAGGGGCGUAUACGUGACAAAUGGUUGAAACUCAGCGCGAAAGAUAAAGUCGAAUUCAUCAACAGUUAUAAUGAAAAGGCUGAAAUGAACUCGAGAUUGGCCAGUGGAUUGUUAAGUGAACCGAUUCCAACAGUGGAGAACAAUUCUGAUAAGGGUAAUCACCUAUCUCGAUGUAGUGUUUUACGGUUCUCCAACAUUGUUUCUUCGUUAUCUAUUGAACAGCAAGAUGCCGUGAGAGAAAUUGGUUUCGGAAGCUUGUUAGGUUUAAAAUGUGGGCGACUUAGGCAAGAUUUAUGUAGAUUGUUAGUUAAGCAAUGUAACGUAGAUAAGCGGUCGAUAACAGUCCAUGGAAUGGAAUACAAGCUUACUCCGAAAACUUUUACAAGCGUGAUGGGUGUUGGUGACGGAGGAACACCGAUUGUGCUUGGUGGUGAAGAUAGUGAAAUUACUGACUUACGAGCCAAGUAUUGCUCAGGAAAGAAAGGCAUCCCAAUAGGUAGUUUAGAUGAAAAAUUAAAGACAAAUAGUUGUGCAGAUGAAGAUUUCUGUAUUCUAUUUAGUCUAUUUGUGAUUGAAACUAUUUUGUGUCCAACUACAGCUACAUACAUCAACCCAUCAUACCUUUAUGCUUUAAAAGACGUGAAUAACAUUCGCGAUAAAAAUUGGGCCAACUGGUCUUUCAAUUUUUUAUGGGAAGAAGUUUCAAAGUUCAACGAAAAUAAAAUUUCCUCGAUGAGCGGAUGCGUUAUAUUUUUAAUGGUAUGAUUUAUUUAGUAAUUUGUAUUCUCGUUAGUUAAACGAUUAUGGUAUUAUCGAUCAUUAUUUCCGUAUUAACUAAUUUGUUGUUGUUUGCAACUGUUCUACAUGUCAUCAACUAAGUUUCAACUUUCUUCUGUUGCGGAGAAUGGAUGUCCUCUUAGUGCAUGGAUUGAUAGUGAAAUAAAAAGAUUCCUCAAGUGGUGACAAAAGUAUGGUGACUUUGAGAGCAAUGCGGUUUGUUCCCUUCCAUAAUUGUAUAGUGUUUUGUAGUUAUGUUAUUAAAUUGAAUAGAUUAUUUAUGGAUAUUUGUAGUUAAUGCAGGUUUCGAUGCGAGAAAUCAGUUGCAGCUCAUCAGGUGCUCAAAGUGAAGAACAAAUUGACGAUGUUGACACUGCAAGGCAGCAUCCAUUUCAUGCUAUAUUAGCAGUAAUGGAUAGAAUGGAGGAACAUAUGAGAAGAAAUAAUGAUUUACUAUAAAGAAUGGGCUUGAAAAUGGAUUCUCUUACUGAAAAGGUUGAAAAGUUGGAACGAGCAUAUUUUCGUCAAGAAGGAGCGAAUGUCGCUGAUGAUAGUCAAUCACCUCCUACAUGUACUGGUGCCGAGGCAACUGAUGGUCCAAUCUUUUCCUCUCCGAAUAUGAAGAUGCACCCACCUAUCCCAGAGUUGUCACGCUUUUAGAUCUAGUACAGGAAAAGCGUACGCCCAUCGAAGUUAAAGAACGAAAAGCUGUGUACCUCAGCACAUCCACUGAUGAAGAGGCUAUCCUAAAAGAAAAGUUGGCAGAAGUAUUGCAAGACGCGAUGAAGCCUAAAUUGGUGCCGGAACUUCAAGAUGAGGUAUACAUAGAGUAAUAAUUUGUUAACUUUUGUCUAAACUAUAUAUGAUUUAGUCUAAUCGAAACAAGAGAAGAAAUGUCAACAGCCGUAAGAUUUUAAUCCGCUGUCUUUAGGCCCUCCUCGGCCAUACAGAAAUCGAAAGCCGGGGCGGUACCAGUUGUCCCCGUAUGAUCAAGUCUCACGCGGUCCAAAGCCAAAAUAUCGAGCGGGCCCUUUUUUAGUGAAUGAGCCGGUGACCCUCGAUCAAUUGAAAAUGCUCUAGUAUGGAUUUGACAAAAGCACUAGCCUAGAGUAACAAUACCUUCAUGGCCACUCAUCAAGCUCUUUUCGUUUAAUAUGUUGUCAUAGUUGUUUGAUUUUGUUAAUAUAUCAUGUGAUUAACAUACAGUGAAAUAAUUGUGCGAUCAAGUCAUGAGGAUAUCACUCGGCGAGGCUUGUUAUCACUUUUGCCCGAUGCAUCACUUGACGAGGAGGUUUAUUCGUAAUUUGACUUUAAUGAUAAAAUUGUAGUUAAUAAAACCAAUUAUAAUUGUUCUUGUGUUUAGAUUAUUUGCAUGAUGAGUGAUUACCUUACACGACGUGAGUCGUGCAAAAGCCACGGGCAACCAAUCAGUUGGUUCCUACCAACAAGAUAUGCAGUUACUGAUCCGUUCCUGUUUUUUUUUUUUUCAUAUCCUUUUUUUCAUCAUUAACUAUGGUAAUUUCAGUUGUGUUCUAUAUGAAUUUGAUGUGAUGAAUAUGUAGCAAUUUGCUACAAUGCCAAAUGCACAUUUAGAUGGUUUCAAGGCUGCCUCCCAAUACCGCAAACGUUACAUGUAUGACCUGCACCGGUGCCAUCAGGUAGCGUGUGUGUUUGUUGAAAUGAUUUUUCGUUAUGAUCGAUAUUAUGUAUGGUAAAAGUGACCCUAAGUUGUUCUUGAAUAGAUCAUUGUUCCCAUGCAUGAUGGUGGCCACCAUUGGUUUAUGCUGUUGGUUAAAAUUAAAGACAAACAAGCAGAGAUCUGGGAUCCACUAUCGGAUGCACAACGGACACGAGAUCGAGAAAUCCAAGUGAAUAGUAUUGUAAGUCCAACUAAUUUUUUUAUAAAAACGAUGAGUUUAGUUUUCUAGGUAUUGUGUUAUUAAUACAUGUGAUGUAUUUUUGCACUUGAAAAUAGUUACACUCGUUGGAUGCUAUACUUCAUGGCGUUGUGGAUGCUACAUAUUCAGUAUCUUGGAGUUUCUUGUCAUUUGUAGUGACCCAUGGGGAAGGAGUUCCACGGCAACCUAACGGUUUUGAUUGUGGAGUUUACGUCAUCAAAUUUAUGGAUACUCCUGGAAUCAUCACCAACAAAUCGUAUGUGGUACGCUCCCUUAUUCGCCUUAUGUGGUUUUUUGGUUGAUUUUACUACUGUUGUUGGGCCACUGACAUGAUGAAAGUGCAUGAUUAUUUCUGCAGCAUGACUCACAGAAUGUUCGGGCGUAACUUGCGUUACAACUUAUAGACUCUCCGUUCAACAAACAACGCGAUCAAUUAUUGACGUUGGCUAAUGCACACUACAGUAACGCUGCAACGUACAUAAAUGAAUCGAAUCGAAGCUUGCAUCAACAGUGAAGCCUCGUAAUGUGUCCACCAAAAAAGGUCAUAAGAAUAGUUCCACAAAACGUCAUUUCAGGCGGAAGGUCUAAGAUUGUUGUGAAUAUAGAUUAUGAUAAUUUUUUGCUGACUUCAUUCACAACCCUAAACUUUUGCUAAAUUUACCUUGUAACUGGCGUUGACGUACGAGUCAUGUAAAUUGUUUUGGUGAUCCAAAGACGUAGAGGGAUUAAUGGGGCAAUUAUGAUUUUUUCCUUCGGCAACCGGUUGUCUUAAUUAAUAUAUGUUGAAAGGAAGAUAAUUGUUGUAAAUGUUGCUAUUAUCACUAAGUAUGCAAAAUAUAUUAUUACAUUGCCAUUGUUCACUUCUUACAUGAUAAUAUAACUCAAUGAUUUCCAAAAAGUUCAUUCUACCCCUCAGUUCAGAUCCAAAAAUUGUAUCAUUAGCGAUCAUCCUCCAUCCUCCAAGUAUGUGUACCGUCCUCAACUAAGCAUAAUGUUACUGCUGUCGUAAUGGUCGUCAAUUCCUUCUGAGAUGUUAAGCCUCCAAGGACAAGUUGUCUCGAACGUAAAUGUUGGGGAACUUGGCGAGCUUGAUUCCAUUGAAACAGGCGGUGUUAACACAUUAUAAGAACAAUGCCUUGGAUGAUCGUCAGUCGAAACACAACCAAUACCGCUAACGCUGCAAUGAAGGUCAUUGGGCUGUAUGUCCUUUGGCAGAUAUAGCGGGCAAGUCCGUUUAGUAUGGCCAGGCUGAAAACACUGACUGCAUUUGCGAUUUUUAGCCCCAUCGUGUUUAACGGUUUUAGAGCAACCUUUACUAUUAACCGUAACCGGGUCUUUCAACUUCAUACCUGCUUGAAGUACACAAUUCCUGGCUCGUUUAGCUGAUUCAUCAUCCGCAACCAUCUGUUCAACGCGAAGCGUCAGCCGUUGAAUCUCAUCUAUCGCUAUCAUAUAACUUUGUUCAUUCUUUGCGGCAAAAAGACAAAGAUUAGUACAUGCCGCUGAAAGUGAGGCAAACUUUGCUGUUUCUAACACUCCUUUAUCGAGGUGUGACGCUGCAGCGGUUAUUUUCAUCACUUUACUCACCUUCGCUGAUUUGGUCCAGCGACCAAGAAUCAAUAGUGGUGGUAUGCGAACUAGUUGCUCGAACUUCAUGACGUGAAAUAUAUCCCUACAUGGAAUACCUGCUGAUUCCAUCAUCUUACAUGAACAAGUAAUUGCAACUUCUUUACUAUAAAAUACCACUGUCCAUUUUUGUUCUGGAUGCUGAAAUUUCAUUAAAGUAUAGAUAUUGGAAUUAGCUGUCUUGGCACACUCAAGCAUAAUUAGCGUGGCUUCUCCGAGGAUCUCCAUCCGAACCCACUUCAAUACAUUCCUUGUAUAUAUUUCGGACGCAUGUUUUUCAAUGCUUAGCAGAUGUGUUGUAAGAACUGGGGCUGUGUGGUUUGUCUCAUACUCAUCUUGGACUUCUUUGUGCCGUAUGCAAUACAUUGCACGAUGAAUUUGUCUAAUGAAAUCAUACAGUUUUAACUUCUUCUCAACAAAGCGACGCAAGUAAGAAUUCAAGCUCUCACACCUUUAUGUGGUUCGCAUUCCGGCGAAAAAGGUUCCUUUCAAAUAAGCCACUGCCCAUUUUCUACGCUUUGCAUACAUUUUUUCCACCCAAGAAUUUUGUUCCAGUCCCAGAUCAUAGAGAACCAAUCUCGAUCAAACUCCUCCAUGGUCAUUGGAUUCAACAUUAACUGCCGAAACUUCGACGUGAACUUAUUUCUCUUCACAUUUGCUUGUGCAUUCCGCUCAAGAUGCCAGCAGCAGAGUCGAUGUACACAUCCAGGCAUAACAGUUUUAAUCGCUUUCGACAUAGCUUUAUCACCAUCUGUUAUGACACUUAUGGGUUUUUUUUGUUUCAUUGCCGAUAAGAAAGUCUGUAGCAGCCACACAUAUGAUUCAACAGUUUCGUCAAUCAGUAUCGUAAAUCCAAAAACAGUAGUUCUUUUAUGAUGAUUUACACCAACAAAUGCGACCAAAGGUUUGUUGUAUGCAUUUUUCUUGUACGUUGCAUCAAAACCUAAAACAUCUCCAAAUUGUUCAUAGUCGUACCGAGCAACAGUGUCGGUCCAGAACAAGUUUCGCAGUCGAUUUUCCUCAUCAAGAGUAUACUCGAAGUACACUCCAGCAUCAUAAUCAACCCUUGCAGAUAAGUACGCAAUGGUAGCCUUUGUGUCGGUGUCAAUAAUUUGUGCAUGGUGAUCUGCGUCUAUUCUAUUCCGCAUGUCCUUACCCAUAUACCCAACAUGAUGGAACCCUCCUGCUUGAUCAGACUUGUAGUUCAUGAGCUGGCACACUUUCACCCCAACUUGUCGCAAUGCCUUUGCGUGAGCCAAAUCAGCUUCGUUGACAAGUCUAUGCAAACGAAGAAAUUGUGUCUCGUGCGGUUCAACCAAGCGAUGAGUGUGCUCAAAAACGAAUUUAGUUACCACGUACUUCCCUUUAAACUUAUCAUAGUUCACGCGAAGUUCCGCCUUGCACCCGUUACGAGUAAUGCCCCUCGGUUCCCUGAUUCUGUCUGUUUUCUCCAUCCAUUUUUUUAGCUUGUAUCCCUGUCCUGAGCAAACCCAUCGCCGACUUGCUACUUCACCACUUUUGCCGUCACAACGAAGUUCAUCUUUUCUCACAGAGAAUCCAACCGACUUAGCAUACUUUUUAUACCAUAUGUGGGCAUCAUUGACAUUUUCAAAACAGGAUCCGACACCCACUUCAAUGAGUUCACUUUUUUUAGGCAAACUGUAGGUCGUAUGACUAGAUGAUCUUGUAGCAGAUUUGUCCCCAAAAUAAUCACUGAUUUCGCUAGUUUGUGGCGGUAAUGACGUACCUGCACUUGCACAAAUUUCCAUCCCAUUAUCAUAUGACGGGUUGUCGGGGGGUCCACUUAUUUUCUGUUCUGAUGGCUGGUUAUCAUUGAGGUCUAACACCCAUGCAGAAAUGCUUCCCACGUCUAAAGAUGUUGUCAUGCUCUCUGGUUAUCUUCUCUCAAGAUUCUAGCAUUUGAAGACCAUCAAAAGGACCUAGUUGAAGACUUAAAAGAGUACUGCGUGGGUUAUGUUUGUUGGCAUUCAAUGUCUUCAUUAAAUGAUGGGGUUUGGUUGGUGCUUGGGUUGGUGGAUACAACAUUUAAACGCCUAGCCUAUUACCUAUAAAAGGUUAGCCGGUUUCGCAUUUGUGCUCUCUGGACAUUAAACGGCAAGCCUUUUAAACUCAUGCGGCUAGCCUUUUUCGAAUUGAUGCUAACUGGAGGGGAAACGACUGGCCUCUAAAAUUUAAGAGGCUAGCCUUUUUCGCGUUGGGGCUCAUUGGAGGGGAAACAGCUAGCCUCGAAAAUUUAAGAGGCUAGCCUUUUUCGCGUUGGGGCUCACUGGAGGGGAAACAGCUAGCCUCAAAAAUUUAAGAGGCUAGCCUUUUUCGCGUUGGGGCUCACUGGAGAGGAAACGGCUAGCCUCGAAAAUUUAAUAGGCUAGCCUUUUUCGCAUUUGUGUAUGGGAUGCUCACCAUUAGCGAAAACGGCUAACCUUUAAAAUUUAGAGGCUAGCCGUUUUCGCUUUUGGUGCUCUCUGGACAUUAAACGGCUAGCCUCUAAAAAUAAAAGGCUAGCCGUUUUUUCUUACUAGAGUUUCUGGAACAUGAACGGUCACCCUAUUAAUUUGUAAAAGGUUAGCCGGGUUCAAAGGAAUCAAACUGUUUCGUCUUCACAAAACUGGUCAGCCGCUUCUAUCUCUAAAAGUCGAAUCCUCUCUCCUACGUUCUCAGCCGAAAGAUCCACCGUUUAUAAUCAGUUCAUAGCCCAAAUUCAACCUUAGAAAUCAUUUCCCACCAUUUGCUCUUGCUAAAUUUAACCCUCGAAACCGAAAAACCCUAAGUUGUAAACCCCUUUGACUUCGGUAAAUGUUUGCCGAAAUUGAACUCACAUAUCCCUUUUAAGCAUCAUUAUCUUCCAUUUAAUCGGUUUAUUCCUCUUCAAAUCGCUGAAAAAUCAUAAUGUCAACUUCAAGGCCACGUAGAGCGAAAGACAACGGGAAAGAUGCGAUUCCACCACCCAAACGGAAACGGAAGGACGGCGGCCCUGUAGAACAACCUGAUUUUGAAUCAAGACACUUCCCGGACAAGCGUUUGGCCACCCGUUUUUGCCAAAGAUUCAUGACCCGUAAGGUACUUGAUACAUUCUAUAUUGUGUCUGAUUGGCUUCGUAGCCUUAGUAUCAGUAAUGGAAAUUUGUUGCAAUUGUUGGAGGAAGUUGGUUGGAUUAAUGCCCUUACGAUUAAUGAGAAUGUGUAUCCUGACUUGGUGAAAGUAUUUUACUCGAAUAUGGAUACUUCCACGGAGAAAGAGAAUCGAGUAAUCACCAACGUUAGAGGAGUUUUGAUUGAAUUUGAUGAUACUAAUUUGAAUUCUAUCCUAGGAACCUCCGAAGAUGGGUUAGAAAUAUAUUCUGCUAGGAAAGUUCCUACGAUUGAUAACUUUGUUCAUGUUGAUGCCGUUAGAAACAUUUGUAGGCGCAUUGAUCUUUCUGAUGAGGUCUGUACAAUCGAUUUUCGUGCUCAAUGUCUAUGCCUUCAAUCGCGUAUUUUACAUCGUAUAAUUCAGAAUAUUGUCCUUCCUAGGUCGAGCCACUUAGAUGAUGUUACCCACAUGGAUGUUGCUUUGAUUGAUUCUAUCCUCAGGCAUCGUCCGGUUAGCCUCGGAUACACUAUUAUACGCACCAUGCUUUCCAUACCUAACUUGAUCAGUCGUGCUCUUCCAUACGGAAAUUUCAUCACGCAGAUCCUUAAAUACUUUAGGGUGCCCAUAAACGAACCGUCUUGUAAACCCUGUAGGAGUAUAGGAGAUGAGGCCGUGUAUGCCUUAGGAUUUUUGUGGCGUAAUGGAGCAUGGGUGAAGUAUACUGAAGCUAAGUACACAAUGCUUGCUCCGAAUGAUGAUCGUCCUUUGAAUUUUGUAGUUCCUGCUAAUCAGCUGCCUAAUUUUUCACUUCCUUUCUAGGGUCAACGUAGACGUGAGGACCCUCCUACAUGUGAACCUGAUCAUGAUGCUUCUGCAUCUGCUGUACCACCUGUAGAGCCACAUGACUCCAGCGAAGUUACUCUUCAAUAACUUAUGGACGAGGUGAGGACACUUUAUGUACAGCAGACCAGCUUUCAGCAGCACGUUUUGGAGGAGCACCGGCAUCUGUCACAGCAGCAUCAGUAGUUCCUUCACGGACAACGCCUCAUGUUCGAGCACUUUGGCAUUCCUUAUCCGUUUCCACCUCCACCACCACCAUCCCCACCGCCUCAGUAGUUUCCAUUUCUUUAUUCCAUUAUGUAUGUUUGGAUGUUAGUUUUAUGUUCAGAUGAUUGUUUUAUAUGUUCAGAUGGUUGUUUUAUAUGUUCGGAAGUUUGUUUGACAAGUUCGUUUAUAUGUUCGGAAAUUUGUUUUAUAUGUUUGGAUGGUUGUUUUACGUGUUCGGAUAUGGAUUUAAAGAGUUCGGAAGUUUGUUUAACAUGUUCGGAAGUUUAUUUUAUAUGUUUGGAUGGCUGCUGCUUAUUGUAGCAAUAACAUCAGCUGUCGGGUGCUUAUGACAGCAACUGUUAUUGCUGUUGCUGUCAUAAGGCAGCAGCUGCUGCUGGCAGCUAGCAGCAGCAGCAAGAAUUCGCAGCAAUUGUGUUUGCUGCUGCAACUACUUAUGCAGCAACAGCUACUGCUAGAAUGCCAGCAGCAGCUGGUAUAAUGCACACUACAGCUGCUUAUGCAGCAACAGCAGUUGGUGCCUGAAAAAGCAGCAGCUACCGUUGCUGGUUCUGCACUUGCCUGUUGCAGCAUAACCAGCAGCUGCUGGCAGCUAGCAGCAGCAGCAUCUGCUGCUGGUGUUGUUGCUGCUGCAUCUGCUUAUGCAGCAACAGCUGCUGGCAUUCCAACAACAGCUAGUGCCUGUAAAAGCAGCAGCUUCUCUAUCCAUUAUGUCUGCUGCUGGUGUUGUUACUGCUGUUGGUGCUUAUGCAGCAACAACUGCUGGCUACUUUUACAGCAGCAGCAGCUGGUGGAUGCAUAAGCACCAGUUACUGGCUACUGCAGUUGCUGGUUCUGCAGCUGGUGGCUGCUGCUGCUGUUGAUUCUACAGCUGCUGCAGCUACUGGCUGCAGCUGCUGGCUGCUUUUGCAGCAGCAGCAGCUGGUGGAUGCAUAAGCACCAUCUGCUGGCUACUGUUGUUGCUGGUUCUGCAGCUGGUGGCUGCUGCUGUUGUUGGUUCUGCAGCUGCUGGCUGCUUAUGCCAACAGCAACAGCAACUGAAAUCCCCAAAAUAAGCAUUAGCAGUAGGGCCAUUAGUAGCUGCCACUGCUGGCUGCUUAUGUCAACUCCUCAUUCACUUCUUAUUGCUGAAAUUACUCACGCACAUUGAUUUCAAACCAGUUUGCAUGCUAUUUAAUCGAUUCAUAUUCACCUAAAACACAAUAUUUGUUAUUCAGCGGAAGCAAAGGAAACUAAAGGAACAUUAAAUCAUUAACUUCAAACAUGUGAUCAUUAACUUGCACUAUGGAAAUCAUGCAGAUAAAAAUGAACUCAGGACUAUUAACUUGAUACCGGGACCAUUAAACUUGAAACCGAAGGAACCUGAAACUUAGGGCAACAAACAUGAAAUAGGAUCUCAUUAACGUGCAACCUUAAAAAUUAUAUAUUUAAUGGACCAAUAAACAUGAAACCAUCACCAUUAACUUGAUAUCGAAACCAUUAAACAUUAAACCAGUGAACUUGAAACAUAGGCCAAUAAACCUGAAAUAUGAGAUCAUUAAAUUGCAACCAUAAAAAUAAUUAAAUUAAUGAACUUGAAACUUAGGGCAAUGAACAUGAAACAUCGGAUCAUUAACUUGCAACCUUCAAAAUUAUAUAAUUAAUGGACCAAUAAACAUGAAAUCAUGACCAUUAAUGUGAUACCUAAACCAAUAAACUUGAAACUAAUGAACUUGAAACUUAAGGCAAUAAACCUGAAAUAUGAGAUCAUUAACUUGCAACCAUAAAAAUGAUUAAAUUAAUGAACUUGAAACUUAGGGCAAUGAACAUGAAACAUAUGAUCAUUAACUUGCAACCCAAAAAAUUAUAUAAUUAAUGGACCAAUAAACAUGAAAUCAUGACCAUUAACGUGAUACCUAAACCAAUAAACUUGAAACCAGUAAACUUGAAAUUUAAGGCAAUAAACCUGAAAUAUGAGAUCAUUAACUUGAAACCAUAAAAAUGAUUAAAUUAAUGAACUUUAAAUUUAGGGCAAUGAACAUGAAACAUCUGAUCAUUAACUUGCAACCAAAAAAAUUAUGUAAUUAAUGGACCAAUAAACAUGAAAUCAUGACCAUUAACGUGAUACCUAAAUCAAUAAACUUGAAACCAGUGAACUUGAAACUUAAGGCAAUAAACCUGAAAUAUGUGAUCAUUAACUUGCAACCAAAAAAUGAUUAAAUUAAUGAACUUGAAACUUAGGGCAAUGAACAUGAAACAUCUGAUCAUUAACUUGCAACCGAAAAAAUUAUGUAAUUAAUGGACCAAUAAACAUAAAAUCAUGACCAUUAACGUGAUACCUAAAUCAAUAAACUUGAAACCAGCGGACUUGAAACUUAAGGCAAUAAACUUGAAAUAUGAGAUCAUUAACUUGCAACCAUAAAAAUGAUUAAAUUAAUGAACUUGAAACUUAGGACAAUGAACAUGAAACAUCUGAUCAUUAACUUGCAACCGAAAAAAUUAUGUAAUUAAUGGACCAAUAAACAUGAAAUCAUGACCAUUAACGUGAUACCUAAAUCAAUAAAUUUGAAACCAAUGGACUUGAAACUUAAGGCAAUAAACCUGAAAUAUGAGAUCAUUAACUUACAACCAAGAAAAUUAUUUAAUUAAUAGACCAAUAAACAUGAAACCAUAAUCAUUAACUUGAUACCCGAACCAUUAAACAUGAAACCAAAGGAACAUGAAACGGAAGGCAAUAAACAUGAAAUAUGUUAUCAUUAACUUACAACUAUGAAAAUCAUUAAAUUAAUGAACCAAUAAACAUGAAACCGUGAUCAUUAAGUUGAUACCUUGACCAUUAAACUUGAAACUCCUUUUUUAUUAUUAUAAAAUUAAUUUUUUUGUUAUGUCCUUUACUAUUAAAAUAGUGAUUAUUUUAUUAUUAUUUAAUUUAUUUAAGGGGCAACCGGUUGCAAAAACCGGUUGCUCCCAUUUAUUUUUUUUAGGGAAAUUAUCACUGGUAUACCCUUAAAUGUCACCGGUAUCAAACGUAUUAUAACACUUUUUGCUUAUAUCACUCGUAUACCCUAAAUUGACAAAAGAGUUCUGGCGUCCACCUUUCUGUUUACUACCGUUAAGAACUUAACAAAAUUUGAGCAAAAUGACUAUUUUACCCUUUAAACUCAAAAUGAUGUAAAAAAACAAAUUUGCCUUGAAAAUUAAAGUAAAUUUUCAAUACACAAUUUUUUUAAUUUUGUUAUUAACAAUACAUUUUUUUAUUAAAAAAAUGAAUUAUUAAUGGUACAUAUUAUUAACAAUUAUCCAUAAAAAAAUAUUCAUCUUAUACCAUAAAAAAUUAUUAACAACAUAUUAUUUAUAAUUAUACAUAUUAUACCAUAAAAAAAAUAAUGAUGCUUGGAGGAGUAGAUCUUCAAUAAUUUAGGUUAAAUUUGGAGGAGUAGAUUCAGUUGUAAAGUAGCUUUUUUUUUUUUAGCAAUUAUUAACAAUUAUCCGAUAAAUGGGAUGACAUGUCAUUUUUAUCAAAAUAUAUCAUAUGACAUAUCGUUUUUUACUAGGUAAAUGGGAUGACAUGUCGUUUUUUUAAAAAGACUAAAUUACCCUUAUGAUGUCAGUGUUGUGCAAAUUUUAAUGUACUCGCAAGCGCACGAAUCUAUUGUAGUAUAGAUCAUGGUGACGAGUGUCGAUCCCACGAGGAGGUGGAUUUUAAUUGUGUGUAGAAUUAAUUUUGUAAAUGGGUGAUUGGAUUUGUGGUGGAAAUGGUUUGGAAUAUGCUAAAACUUAAAUUAAAAUGGCGAGAAUAAAUUCUAAAAUUGGAAUUGCAAUGGCGAGAAUAAAUUGAAGAUAAUUCUAUUGAAAUGACGUACUUGGGUAUUCGGAUCCGUAUCAACAUGCAUCAUGGGCUAAAUAAUCCUUAUUAAUGCCAAUUAAAUCAUGAGGGGGGAAUCCACACCUCAUGAACCACGCUCUAAUCAAUAUGGUGCUAAGGGCUUAUCGUGCCAAAUAAUAAUAACCUUGUACUAGAGAGCCGGUGUAACCAAGGCGGUAUCUAGACAAGAUUAUUAUUAUUUGUCGACGAAAAGUCAAAUCAUCCACAAAAACUAGAGGGGAAGAGAAAAUAAAUUUACCAAAUAAAGCCCAUGACACAUGUUGAGACUUCACCUUCAACCCAAGCUUGAAAGAAAAUUAGCCACUCAUAAUUGAACUAAGGGCAAAAUGGGAAUUUAUUAAAAUAUGUAGAAAAUACAAGAUGGAGAGAGAAUUACAGAAAAUGGAGUCCAAAAAUGGAUUCAGAGAUAUCAAAUUACAGUAGCGCGGUUUGGUUGAAAAUAAUCCUGUGUGAUGCAUGUACCGUACGCGAGAUUUUUCGUCCACUGAUAUGCUGCCACGUCACCAUCAACAGUACAUAAGAAUUUUAGCCUAACAGGAUCGUGACACCUCAUCAGUCAAUGCCACAUCAUCGGUCAAUGCCACGUCAUCGAUCCGUCUAUAUGAACAGUGUCGUGAACAGUAACGUAGACAGUACCGUACACGUGAAUAGUACCGUACAUGUGAAUAGUGUCAUUUUUCCUUUUAUGCUCCUCCUAAGGUUUUCGACCGUCCUGAGUUCAAAAAUGAUGUUCGUUUUGCCGUCUGAUCUCUCCUUUAUUGUGAAAUGACUAUAAUGCCCCUAAAAUACAUAAAAUACUUAAUUAAAAUAAAACACACGUAAUUAAAUCACAAGAAGUUUAAAUACAUAAAAGUAAGGGUUGUUAGUAAGACUUGAAAUGUAAAAUGACGGUUUUCUCCUUUAUAAAUAUACAUUUUCUAACACUCAAUACACCCCCCAACCAGCUUAUUGCUAGUCCCUAGCAAAUAAAGCGAAAACAAAAUUCAAAUUCAAAAUGAUUUUUUUUAUUUAUUUUUAGAAACACUCGUGUUUAUUCAAUCAGAUUAAUGAUAGCAAUCAAAUAAAAGUAUAAGUAUUAUCUCCAGUCUAAAGCAACAUCACACCCACAUCAACCAUCCACAUGAAUUAGCCCAGUAGACUUUGUUAUAGCUACUUUCAAGAAUGACAUGUCAAACCCCAAAAUCUCACUAGAAGUAGUGACACUCUCACAAAGAAAUUAAAACCAAUAAAAAUAGUCACUCCAAUGAAUGGUAAUUGAGAGAGAAAAUAAUAAAGAAGUGAUAUCACAUGCUCUCACCAAGAUGAAAUAAAUAUGCCCUCAGCUUAGAAAUAAUACGAUCUCAAGUCAAACAAAAAUGCUAGUCAACCCAAUUUAUUUAUCUUUUUUUUUCUUUUAUUUAUUUAUUUAUUUUUAUUAUGCACCACUACAUCUUUUUAGCCCACAUAACUAGCUUCUACUUCAAACUAUAGUUCCCUAAAAUCAAGAAGGACUUUUAUUAGGACGUAACGUAGGCUAGGGAUAUGGCUAACAAAGAAAGGAAAUAAGGAAAACAAAGUGUAUGUUUGAGAAAAAUGCAGGGAAAUUUUUUUUUUUUUUUUUGGAAGUUGCAAGGUAGAUUUCACCUAUUAUUGUUAUUUUUAUUCUUUUGAAACAACAACUUUUUUUUUCUUUUUGUUUGUUUUUUUUUUUUUGCUUUUAUUUGGCAUAACUUCACUGAACAACAUAAUUAUUUACAUUUUCUCAAACAUAAAUAGGUAAUGGAACUUAUAAGACAUCGGGUAAUACUCCAAAUCGGAGUGGGUCAAGAUGAUAAGUUGACAAAGAAAAGGUUUUUUUUUUUUUUUUAAAGGCUCAAAAGGGUUAACUAUAGAUAUUUAAUAAAAGGGAUGGCUAGAAAGGCUCAAACGGAUCAAAGAUGGCCUUUCCAUCGUCUUUUAGGGCUCUAAAUAAUCAUCCAUAUCUACUAGUUAGACGGGCCUCCCAAUGUAGCAACACACAUUUUUUUUUCUUUUUCUUCUUUUUUUUUUUUUAAUUUUACCAUUUUUUUUAAGGGUUAACUCAAAAGAAAUCUAGAGAUCGUGUAUAAAAUAAUAAACUGCUAAGCUGUAUGAAAAAUGGGCAAAAGAGUUAUUCUCCAAGAAAAAUAAUAGGCUCAAAAACUCACUUGGUACUUAUUACGACAUGUUCAUUCCUUCAAGCAACUCAUAUUUGUCUUCGACAUCAACAUGUAAAGUAGCAAACAUGACGUAACAUCACUUAAGACCAAAGAUAAUACAAAUACUAAAAUUUGAAAUUCAUCAUGUCAUCCAAUGUUAAAACAAAUCACACAUUUUUUUUUUCAAACAACAUUCUACCCCCCAACCUAUUCUAAACAUGAAAGGAAAAUAUGAAUGCAGAAAUGUGAAAAUGAUGUAGAAAAACUAAUUAGAAACGUUACACUUAAAAUGAUAGAAAAAGAAAAUGAUUUUUUUUUUUAAGAAGAUGUGUUUCUAGAGGCACUACACUCCAUAUUCAGCCAUCUUCGACUCAAAAGUUGGGAAAUGUAUAUUUAUAGAGGAGAAAUUAAAAAGAAGAAGAAAAAUGAACAUCAAAACUUAAUUAAGAAAAAGAAAAUGUCUGAAUUUUUUAUUAUUAUUAUUAUUUUUUAUUAUUUUAUUUAUUUAUUAUUUUUUUUAAACGAAGAAGAUGCGUUUCUAGAGUCACUACACUCCAUAUUCAGCCAUCUUCAACACAAAAAGUUAGCAACAGUUAGUUUCUACAACAAAAAAUCAGUAAAAACUUAACCAAGAUUCCACAAUUGUCGACUAUUCCCUCCCCCCAACCAGAACGAAACAUUGUCCUCAAUGUUUUAAAGGAAAGAAGUAGAGUUUAGAAGACAUCACCUGGGUGGUGCAACACAAAAGAAAAUAUUUACAGGCGGAGAGUUAAAUCUAAUUUGUACUUCUUAUUGCUGCUACUGUUACCAUCAUUAUUUGGUCUCUCCAACACAAAGGUCCAGGGGUUUGGCUCCGGUCUAUAAGCUUGUAACAGAUCAAGUAGCUCAUUAGCAGUGUGAGCACAAAUAAAAAGUUUUUUCGCAUGGGAAGGAAUGAAGUAGUUUUUUAUUGCAUGGUUAAGAAAUGCGAUAAAGCCAUCAUAAAAGUUAUUGACAUUUAACAAACCGAUGGGUUUUUGGUGGAUGUGCAGAUGGGCCCAAGAUGCUAGUGUGAUAAGUGCCUCUAGUGUUGCAAGAUCUCCUGGAAUGAAAAUAAAAGCAUCAGCAUGAUUAAGCAUUUCAGUUAUUCUUUCUUGCAUACCUGAGACGACUAACUCUUCUCCAGUUGAUGAGUCAGACGAACUGCCCAAUGGUUUUAAGACUCUUGGGAUGAUGCCUAACACUUGACUUUCUCUGAUAAAAGCUGCUUCUGAGACCAUUUUUUAUAACCCUCGGUUACCUCCUCCAUACACCAAGUGUAAUUUUCUCGCUGCUAUGCUUCGACCAAGAUCUAUGGCUGCCUCCACAAACUCUUUAUGUUUGCCAUAGUUAAAUCCAGAAAGCACACAAAUGUUCUUGAAUUAUCUAUUGGGAGUAGCUGCCAUUGUGAUACUUCUCAAAAACAAUUUGUGAGUGCUUGACAAAAAAGAAAUCACAUUUAAGAGUCUUGGUGACAGUGGGUCACAAUUGUGUAGGAGGUAACAUGUCAGUGUCAAAUAACGCGUAAAGCACGUGGCUCGCGAGUCAAAAAGGAAACAGUAAAAAGGAAAAAGCAAAUAGUAAUAAGGAAAAAAGCAAACAGUAAUAAAAUUAUUAAAGACAAUAAUGCACACAAUAAAACAACAGUGAAAUGAAAUAAAAUAACAGUAAAGUAAAAUGAUAUUUACACAUAGUUGCGACUGUGGCUCACAUCUUCCUCUGGUUUUACGUCCAGAAACGGCUUGAACGCCCUCUAUAGGUCGAGGAUAGGCUUCCUAUCCAGUUUUCUUAUAAACUGGCAAACAGGGUCGUUUAUAGUCAGAUUCCCGAGACUAUAUCGUGCAUGCUCUUUCUGGAAUAAUGGUCAUAACUGGAGAAUCGCUCCUUGCACAUAUCCACUGGGAUGCGUUUCAAGAGACAGAAGGAUAUCAUCCAAUGACUCCUUAUUCAAGCCAUCCCUAAUGAAUUGAAUCUUAUCUUCCCUGUUAUCAGACACCAUUCCUAAAGAACAUGGGUUUUUAUUGCAACUCAUUCUGGCACACUUAUGACAAGCAACAGAAAUUCUUCGAGCUCGUCGUUUUCUUGCAUAAUUUCCUUUACCACAACCAGGCAUGUAUGCAAUAAAUUUUGGAGGUAACUCACCUGCCGAUCGUACUUUAGCCUCGAUUGACCAACGGAUGUCAGCAGGUAUGUUAUUCAUCAUGAGUAAUCGCAUGCGUUCGGACCGAGCUUUAUAGAUCGUAAGGAGGGCAUUCUGAGGAAGUGAAGGGAAUCGCUUGUGAAGUUUCGCUAGAAUCUCGUUUCUGUCCAUACCUUCGCCUCAGAAUAUCAAUUAUUAUGCGAAACUGAAGUAACCGACUUGAUUGUCACGGAGUACCGUUAUCCGCCACUUCACCGGGGUAACAAACUAAAGCACACAAACAGAAAAACAAAUUAAACACACAAAGAAAAUUAAAAUCGUCCUCUUAUGGAAUUUACCUCAAGCUCCAACUGGAUGUCGUAAACACUUCUCUCAAUGUCUCUGAGUUGGCGUUCUAAACCCUCAACAUAGGCUACUAACUCUGGUGGUUGUAGAGCCCAAAUGCAAUGUGUUUUACAAAAUUGAAUCUGCCUUUUGAGAUGAGUUUUGACACGUUGAAGUGGUUUAAGAAUGUUCAGGAGGAACGGUCUUAGUAAGGUACUCAUGAUUAAAAAUGAUAAAAGAAAACUUAAUAGUUAAACAAACACACUUAUGCAAAAAUAAUUUCAAUUAGCAGAAGAAUAACAUAAAGAAAGAAAAAAAUCAAAUCAACGAAAAGAAAAAAAAGUCAAUUCAAAUCUGGUGGGUCACUCAAAUUUAUUUCGGUGUCUUCUCCAUGUGGUUGGUACUCUAGAUAUGGCUUUAAUCUUUGACCAUUAACUUUAAACGUGACACCGUUCUUGGGGUCCUUAAUUUCAAUUGUCCCAUGUGGAAAAACAGUAUGAACAAUAAAGGGACCAGACCAUCGAGAGCGUAACUUACCUGGGAAUAGGUGCAAGCGAGAAUUGCAUAAAAGCACUUUCUGACCUGGAGUGAACGAUUUUCUCAUAAUUUGCUUAUCAUGGAAGACUUUCAUUCGUUGCUUGUAAAUCUUGGCAUUUUCGUAUGCGUCAUUGCGAAUUUCUUCAAGUUCUGCCAGUUGUAAUCUUCUUUCUGAGCUGGCUUGCUGCAUGUCAAAGUUGAAUUUCUUGAUGGCCCAAUACGCACGAUGCUCGAGUUCCACAGGUAGGUGGCAAGCUUUUCCAUACACUAGCAUGUAGGGUGACAUCCCAAUCGGGGUCUUGAAAGUCGUUCUAUAUGCCCAUAAUGCAUCAUCAAGUCUUAAUGACCAAUCUUUUCUGUCCGGCCUCACCGUCUUUUCUAAUAUGUGCUUUAUUUCUCGAUUGGAGAUCUCAACUUGGCCACUGGUUUGCGGAUGACACGGGGUCGCCACUUUGUGUGUGAUUGAAUACUUUGUCAAAAGAGCUUUGAAUGCUUUGUUACAAAAGUGGGCACCACCAUCACUGAUUAUUGCUCGAGGGAAUCCAAAGCGCGAAACAAUGUUGCUUUUAAAAAAUCCUAUCACCACCUUGUGAUCAGUGGUUCUACAUGGAAUUGCUUCUACCCAUUUUGAGACAUAGUCAACAGCAACCAAUAUGUAUUGAUGGCCAAAAGAAGUGGGAAAUGGUCCCAUGAAGUCGAUACCCCAUACAUAAAAAAUCUCAACCACUAAAAUUGGAUUUAGUGGCAUCAUGUUCCUUCGUGUAAUGCUCCCCAUUCGUUGACACUUAUCACAUGAAGAACAAAAAGUGUAAGCAUCUCGAAAUAUAGUUGGCCAAUAAAAACCACAUUGUAAAACUUUAGUUGCUGUUUUCUUAGCACUGAAAUGGCCUCCACAAGCUUAUUCAUGGCAGAAUGAAAGAAUAUUCUGAAUUUCAAUUUCUGGGACACAUCGUCUAACAAUUUGAUCAGCACAAUACUUGAACAAAUACGGGUCAUCCCAAAAGAAAUUCUUUAUCUCUGCAAAGAAUUUAGCCUUGUCUUGCUUGGUCCAAUGCUCUGGAAGUUUACCUGUAACAAGAUAAUUAACUAUAUCAGCAUACCAAGGUAAUACUUCCACAUUCAUUAAUUGUUCAUCUGGAAAUGACUCAUUCAAUAUUAAUGGCUCUGUAAUUGUGUCAAAAUGGAGACGAGAGAGAUGGUCCGCCACAACAUUUUCAGUGCCUUUCUUAUCUUUGAAUUCCAAGUCAAAUUCCUGCAAAAGUAACACCCAACGAAUUAAUCUAGCUUUUGCAUCUUUCUUUGUGAGAAGAUAUUUAAGAGCAGCAUGAUCUGUGAAUACAAUUAUUUUACAACCAAUGAGAUAAGAUCGAAAUUUUUCUAAUGCAAACACUAUGCUAGCAUUUCUUUUUCAGUAGUUGAAUAGUUCAACUGUGCAUCAUUCAAUGUCAUACUAGCAUAGUAAAUAACAUGGGGAACUCGAUCAACUCUUUGUCCUAAUACUGCUCCUAUUGCAUAAUCAGAUGCAUCACACAUGAGCUCAAAUGGUAAACUCCAAUUUGGGGGCUGAAUGAUGGGUGAUGAUGUCAACAACUGCUUUAAUUUUCCAAAUGCCACAAGACAUGAAUCAUCAAAGACAAAAGGUACAUCCUUAGCAAGUAGAUUGCAUAAGGGUCUAGAAACUUUGCUAAAAUCUUUAAUGAAACGUCUAUAAAAACCAGCAUGCCCAAGGAAAGAUCUUACUUCUCUGACUGUUUUAGGUGGAGGAAGAUUAGAAAUGAGAUCCACCUUGGCUUUGUCAACCUCAAUACCUUUGCUUGAAAUGAUGUGACCGAGAACAAUACCUUGUUUUACCAUAAAAUGGCACUUCUCCCAAUUUAAGACUAAAUUCUUCUCGAUACAUCUCUGCAGAACUAGCGUUAGAUGAUGUAAACAUUGAUCAAACGAAUCACCAAAGACAGAAAAGUCAUCCAUAAAGACUUCAAGAAAUCGUUCAACCAUAUCAGAAAAAAUGCUCAACAUGCAUCGUUGAAAUGUAGCAGGUGCAUUACAUAAUCCAAAUGGCAUUCUCCUAUAUGCAAAAGUGCCAAAAGGGCAAGUGAAAGUAGUUUUCUCUUGAUCUUUUGGUGCUAUGGGGAUCUGAUUGUAUCCUGAGUAGCCAUCUAGAAAGCAAUAAAAUUCAUGGCCUACUAAUCUAUCAAGCAUUUGAUCGAUAAAUGGUAAAGGAAAAUGGUAUUUACGUGUGACAGAAUUCAACUUUCUAUAAUCAAUGCAUACACGCCAUCCUGUAGUCACUCUAGUGGGUAUCAAUUCAUUAUCAGCAUUCGUAACUACUGUGACUCCUAACUUUUUGGGGACAACUUGUACAGGACUGACCCAUGAACUAUCAGAAAUUGGGUAAAUGAUACCUGCGUCUAAUAGCUUAAGGACUUCAGUUCUAACAACUUCUUUCAUAUUAGGAUUUAAUCGCCGUUGCAUUUCCCUAGUAGAUUUAGUAUUUUCAUCAAGGUGAAUGUAAUGCAUGCAGUCUACUGGGUUUAUACCUUUUAUGUCUGCUAUGGUCCAUCCUAAUGCUCCUUUGUGCUCUUUUAAAACAUCCAACAACUUACCUUUUUGUUCGUCAUUUAGGGAUGAUGAGAUGAUUACCGGUAGAGUACUUUCUUCUCCCAAAAAUGCAUAUUCCAAUGUGUUGGGUAAUGGUUUGAGCUCGAGUUUUGGUGGUGAUUCUGAUGAUGGGAUGAGUUUCUUUUCUGAUGGUGCUAGUUGUUCAACUCUUGACUUCCAUUUAUUAGUGUCCAUAGAUGGUGCUGAGUCAAGUAGGGCGUUGACCUCAUCGACUGAUCUGUCAAUAUCAAAAUCCAAACCAAAGUGAGUUAAACAUGUUUGUAAAGGAUCAUCACUAAGGUUUGAAAGAAAAGUAUUAUCAACUAUUGUUUCUAUUAAAUCCACAUCAACAAUUCCAUCAUCUGCACUGUGAGGUUGUUUGGCAAUGUUGAAAAUAUUUAGCUCCAUAGUCAUGUUGCCGAAGGACAACUGCAUAUUUCCAGUCCUGCAUUGAAUGUGAGCAUCCGCAGUUGCCAAGAAAGGUCGGCCUAAGAUAAUGGGGAUAUGCUUCCUUGAAUCCUGUAUUGGUUGAGUGUCAAUUACAAUGAAAUCAACAGGAAAAUAAAACUUAUCUACCUGGAUAAGCACGUCCUCCACAAUGCCACGAGGUAUUUUCGUGGACCGAUCUGCAAGCUGUAACACCACUGGAGUUGGGUGUAAUUCUCCAAGUCCAAGUUUCAAAAAUACUGAGUAAGGCAACAGAUUUACACUAGCUUCUAAAUUCAACAAAGCAUUCUCAAUUGUGUGGUUCCCUAUGCUACAUGAGAUAGUGGGGGAGCCUGGGUCUUUGCAUUUUAAAGGAAUUUUGUGUUGGAGUAUAGAACUAAUGUUUCUGUUAAAAAUGCCUUCUUUUGAACAUGCAUAUUUCUUUUUUUAGUACAAAGGUCUUUAAGAAACUUGGCAUAAGAUGGAACUUGCUUUAUAGCAUCAAGUAAAGGGAUGUUAACACUUACCUGUUUGAAGAUUUCAAGAAUCUCACCUGUGGAUUUUCCCUUCUUUCCUUUCGCUAACCUCUGAGGAAAUGGAGCUUUCGGAAUGUAUUCUCGUGGGUUGGUUUCUUCUUUCUCCUCCGGUGAUGAGUCCUCAACACUUACAGGUACAAUUUGAUUUUCUUUUGCCACCGGCAUCUCCACUUUGUUGUCGACUUCUUUUCCUUUUCGCAAAGUCAUGACUGCUUUGACUUCUCCAUGCUGCUGUGGUGAACUGGUACUUGCUUCAUGCACUCCUUUAGGAUUAGGCACUGGUUGACUUGGAAACUUACCUUUCUCAACGGUCAUUGCCAAGGUCUGAACUGAAGAAGCAAGUUGUCCCACCAUCUUCUCGAGGCUUGAAACUGAUUGAGCUUGUGAGUUGAAGCCUGCUCUCAACUCAUUUCGUAGUCCAUCAAUGGUGCGGUUUUGUUGCUCAAUCAUGGAGUGAGUAAGAUUCUUGAGAUUCUGGAAUGAAUCCUCCCAUGGUAUGGGUUGAGAGUAGUUCUGGUUCUGAUUGUAUGGUCUAAAUGGUGGCUGGGAGGCUUGAGGAACUUGAGGAAUUUGUUGCAUUGGUGGAGUUGGAGCUUCUGGUCCAUUCUGUUGGAAUCCUUGAGACCAUGAAAAAUUGGGGUGGUCUCUCCAUCCAAGGUUAUAUGUGUUGGAGUAUGGGUUGUAAUUUGAUGGUUUUCUCAUUACACCUAUGGCAUUGGCUUGAUCUGAGUAUGAGUCAAGGUCAUGUGGUUCAGUUGAUUUAGCAGUCGAUAACGAUGCUAUUUGUCGAGCAAGACCUUCAACCAUCUCCUUGACUUCUUUGAUUCCCGAAGUUGACUCGCCAAUGUGAACCUCAUUCACUCCUUUAAUUCUUUUAGUAUUCCUGAGUGAUCGACUCCGUUGUUGGGAAUUAUCUGCUUGUCGCUGGAAGAAUUCUCAAAUUUCUGAUGCACUUUUUGACAUUAGCUCUCCUCCACUUGUUGCCAUUAGCCAUUCUUGCACAUUCGGCAAUAAUCCCUCCAAAUAGUAUUGGCAUUGGUGCCAUUUCUCGUACCCAUGAUGUGGACACUUCAAGAGUAGCCCAUUGAAUCGCUCCCAUGUUUCGAAAAAUUGCUCGUCCUCUCUCUGGGUAAACUCCGAGAUUUCCCUGCGAAUAGCAUUGGUUUUAUGCACUGGGAAAUAUUUAUUCAAAAAUUUUGUUACCAUUUGUUCCCAUGAUGAAAUGCUAUUAGCAGGUAAUGUAUUAAGCCAUGAACGAGCUCUAUCCUUUAAAGAAAAUGGGAAUAAUCUGAGUUUAACAUCAUCGUCUGAAAAAUUUUCGUAUUUAAAAGUUUGACAAAUAGCAUGAAAAUCAUUCAGAUGAUUAUAUGGAUCCUCAUUUUCUAAGCCAUAGAAUGUGGGGAGACAAUUUAGCACACUAGGUUUUAACUCAAAGCUCCUAGCAGCUACAUUUGGGUAUCUUAUGCAUGAUGUGCUCAAAUUAGCUAAGGGACUAAAAUAGUCCUUAAAUGGCCUCUCCUGUGGUUGCAAAUCCAUUUUAUUUUUAAUUUGUUUGUGUGUGCGAAGUGUUUUUCCUAAUUCAAGGUCUAUAGGUUCAAGAUUAGGAAAUAAUGACCUACGACCAUGCAUGCAAAACAAAUAAAAUAAAAAUAAAGAUGGGAACAAAACAAAUAAAAAUAAAGAAGAGGGAGAAAUUACGAUACUAACCUUAUUGCGCUAUUACAACCUUACUAUAAAAAUACACAAAAAAAAUACGUGAAAUAAAUUAACUAAAAAUAAAUUAAUAAGAUAAACAAAAAAAAAUUACAAAGAAAAAUAAAUUAAAAAUUAAAUUACAGAAUUUUAAAGAAGAGAAAAAGAAAAGAAAUACUAACCUUUAAAUGUAGAUUCACUUUUUUUUUUAAUAAGAAAAAACAAAUACAAGAAAACAAAUAAAAGAAAUUAUUCACAAAAAUUAAUUCUAUGAAUUAAAAUUACUUACCUCCCCGGCAACGGCGCCAAAAACUUGUUGUGCAAAUUUUAAUGUACUCACAAGCGCACGAAUCUAUUGUAGUAUAGAUCAAUGGUGACGAGUGUCGAUCCCACGAAGAGGUGGAUUUUAAUUGUGUGUAGAAUUAAUUUCGUAAAUGGGUGAUUGGAUUUAUGGUGGAAAUGGUUUAGAAUAUGCUAAAACUUAAAUUAAAAUGGCGAGAAUAAAUUCUAAAAUUGGAAUUGCAAUGGCGAGAAUAAAUUGAAGAUAAUUCUAUUGAAAUGACGUACUUGGGUAUUCGGAUCCGUAUCAACAUGCAUCAUGGGCUAAAUAAUCCUUAUUAAUGCCAAUUAAAUCAUGAGGGGGGAAUCCACACCUCAUGAACCACGCUCUAAUCAAUAUGGUGCUAAGGGCUUAUCGUGCCAAAUAAUAAUAACCUUGUACUAGAGAGCCGGUGUAACUAAGGCGGUAUCUAGACAAGAUUAUUAUUAUUUGUCGACGAAAAGUCAAAUCAUCCACAAAAACUAGAGGGGAAGAGAAAAUAAAUUUACCAAAUAAAGCCUAUGACACAUGUUGAGACUUCACCUUCAACCCAAGCUUGAAAGAAAAUUAGCCACUCAUAAUUGAACUAAGGGCAAAAUGGAAAUUUAUUAAAAUACAUAGAAAAUACAAGAUGGAGAGGGAAUUACAGAAAAUGGAGUCCAAAAAUGGAUUCAGAGAUAUCAAAUUAGGGGGGAGAGGCCCCCUUUUUAUAGAUACAUGGAGUAAAUCAUGACCAUCGGAUUAAAAACAGUUUGGACGCUCAGGAUUGCACCACGUCAUCAGUCAACAGUACGCGGUUUGACCAUGUGGAUGAACAGUAACACGGUUUGACCCGGAUGAACAGUAAUGCGGUUUGGUUGAAAAUAAUCCUGUGUGAUUCAUGUACCGUACGCGAGAUUUUUCGUCCACUGAUAUGCUGCCACGUCACCAUAAACAGUACAUAAGAAUUUUAGCCCAACAGGAUCGUGACACCUCAUCAGUCAAUGCCACAUCAUCGGUCAAUGCCACGUCAUCGAUCCGUCUAUAUGAACAGUGUCGUGAACAGUAACGUAGACAGUACCGUACACAUGAAUAGUACCGUACAUGUGAAUAGUGUUAUUUUUCCUUUUAUGCUCCUCCUAAGGUUUUCGACCGUCCUGAGUUCAAAAAUGAUGUCCGUUUUGCCGUCUGAUCUCUCCUUUAUUAUGAAAUGACUAUAAUGCCCCUAAAAUACAUAAAAUACUUAAUUAAAAUAAAACACACGUAAUUAAAUCACAAGAAGAUUAAAUACAUAAAAGUAAGGGUUGUUAGUAAGACUUGAAAUAUAAAAUGACGGUUUUCUCCUUUAUAAAUAUACAUUUUCUAACACUCAACAGUCAGCGCUCGCAAACGGCAGUUAACGGAUCGGUGGACGGCAGAAGUGUUUUGUCAACUUAGGGUAUACGAGUGAUACACUUGAAAAAUAUUGUAGCACGUUUGAUACUGGUGUCAUUUAAGAGUAUACGGCUGAUAAUUUCCCUUUUUUUUAUUGCUUGCAUGUAUCAUAUACAUGUAUAUACUGUAGCCGUCCCCUAUUGUGAAAGGUUGUUAUUCUUUAGUCUUUACUACACAAAUAGUAGUUUUUUUUUCCUUCUUUUUUCAAAUUUUGGGUUUUCUUUUACGGCUUCUGAGAGAAGUACCUGCGAAUGGAUCAAAACAAGGGAAUUUCAAUUUAAUGAUUUGACUCUUCUGCCAUGCUUUGCUUUUCAAAUCAUUUGAUAUGGAGCGGAGCAGUGAUGAGCUACAGAAAAUUCUUGACUCUGAGUGCGAGGAGAGGGAGAUGUGUGUGUCACUGUUUGUAAUUUUUUUGUAUUACCAAUGAAAUAUAUUUAGCAUGAGUGUGAUAAAUAUAUGUGGGUCCAGUUACCUUGCAACAAUUGCAAUACACCAUUUAUUUUUGUCUUAUGUGACGUUACAUUUCAUUUAACACCUUGUUUUUUUUCUUAUUUACAUUUUAUUUAUAAGUUUAUAUGUUUUAACUAGUGAACUUUUAAAAUGUAAACUUAUUUUUUUAAUAUUAUUUAUUUUUUUACAUUUAUUUAUAAUUUGUAUGCUUUAGCUGGUAACUUUUAUAAAAUGUAAUUUUAUUUUAUUUAACAUUAUUUAUCUUUAAAAAAAAAGAAUAAAUAUAAUAAUAAGCCUAUGACUAAAUAAUAUUAAAUAAAAUAAAUAAUAUUAAAUAAAUUAAAUUAAAUAAAUAAUAUUAAAAUUUUAACUUAAAUAAAAUAAAUAAUAUUAAAAAUGAUAUUAUUUUUAAGACACUAUUGAUUUUUUAAUGUUAUUCAGUUUUUAAAGAAUAAAUAUAAUAAUAAGCCAAUGAUUAAAUAAUAUUAAAUAAAACAAAAAUAAAAAUAUUAAAAAUAAUAUUUAUUUUUAAAGCUCCCUAAUGAUUAUUUUAUUUUAUUUAAUGUUAUUUAGUUUUUUGAAAGAAUAAAUAUAAUAAUAAGUAUAUGACUAAAUAAUAUUAAAUAAAAUGGAAUAAAUAAUAGUUAUUUAUUCUUUUAAAUAAAAUAUAUAAUAUUAAAAAUAAAAUUUAUUUUUUAAUACUCACUACUAAUUAAACAAUAUAAAUUGUAAACAAUCCGGACUUAUGUGCUAAAAUUUUUAACUCUUUAAUUUGUUUGUGUCUUUAAUAAAUAUCAGGGAGUGCAAUGUUAAUAUUUAAAUGAACAAAUCUCUACCAUUGAAACAACCUUUUCACUAAAUCCAACGUUUUGUCUAAAACUACCUUUUCACUAAACUACCUUUUGUCUGAAAUCAAGAAAAGACAAAACUUGAGGGUACCUUGCAACUGUUGUAAGGUAGCUGAGUCCAAUAUAUAUUGCCAUAAAACGAAAUAUCAUAUCCAAAAUAAUAAUAAUAAUAAGUGUGUCAGAUGACACAAACAGCUGAAAAACGAGGAAACGUCUUCUUCUAACAAAGUUUGUAAUUAAAAAUUUAUAAACGAAUACAUACAUAUAUAUGAAAGGAAAGAUGAUGAUGAUAAUGAUAAAGAGAAUAGGGUUGAAUUUGGCGAGAGGGGUCCCCCUAUUUGUUGAAUUUCAUAUUAAAUAAAUAUCCGUUUGUCUCUUUAAUGGCCAAACAGACCAGCUGCCAACAACUUAUUCCAAUGUGAGUAGAUCACAGUGGGUACUGCACAUGAUGCUUGUUUCUCCUUUUGCAUCUAUUUUUGUUGUUAAUAUUAAUUUCAAUAGCAGCUCGUUAUUAUGUAUGCAACAUUUCAAAAUUAAUCCAAAAAAAACAAAAAUUAGUUCAGCUGACUAAAUUUGAAAGCAUGGAUUUGCUGUCGAUUAAAAAUCGUUUUGUAGGGAAAAUUUUUGGAUUGCAAUUCUCAUACAAUACAUAGAAUUAUCAUAAUCUAUAAAUUGUAUUUUUGCUUUUCACUUAUAUUUAGAUAGUUCAACAUUUUUAUUGGUUUGAUUUAGGGUUAGUUUGGUAACGUUAGUUUAAUACUCUGAUUAUUAUUAUUCGAUUCGUUUACUUUGAUUAUUAUUAUUUUUUAAUAGAGAAUAAAUUAUUCGAUUAAAAAAGUGAUUUUUUCUCUAUUAACAAGUGAUUUUUCUCUAUUAAAAAAUAAUAAUAAUCAAAGUAAACGAAUCGAAUAAAAAAAUAAUAAUAAUCAAAGUUCACAUAAUCUAUAAAUAUCAUGUUUAUUUAUUUAAGAUAGUUCAAAAUUUUUAUUGGUUUGAUUUAGGGUUAGUUUGGUAAUCCUGUAGCUUUAAAAUUAAUUACAGUUAGCUAUGCUGUAGAAAUUGAUCAAUCGUAAAAAGAAUCAACCGAACAUUUAGUAAAUUUUAUUUUUAAAAGUACUUUUAGUUUUAAAAGCAGUCGUGUGUGUUUCAUAAAUCUUAUUAUUAAACUGGUGAAAAAAUAUAAAUGACUGAAUUGAACAUAAUGCUAAAUAAAAUUUAUUUACACAUUUACAAACAUGCAUAUAAAAUAUUUUUAUUACGUACAUAUAAUUAUUGAUAACUAAAAUAAAUAUUUUAUAUUAUUAAAUUUUAUUCUCUAUUUUGUUAUCUCAAUGUAAUUGAUAAUAAUAAUAAUAAUCUAUUUUAAGUUAAUGAUUUUAUUUCUUAAUUCAUAAAGAUAAUUUUAGAUUUUUAUUAUAUAAUGGGGAUAUAUAUAGAAUUGGAUUGAGUAUAAAAGUGAUUCUCAAAAUCAAAUUUUGAAAAACUAUUCAUUCACUACUUUUCAAAAUCUACUGUAUUAUGAGAUGAUUUUACCAAAGUAAUUACUAAAAAAAUUUAUAAAACACUAAAACUUAGCUUUUAUGGUGUGUUUACUUCAUGGAAUGGGGAAUGGGAAUAAAAUGUGUGGGUCUCACACAAUUUGGGAAUAAGGAAUGAGAAUCCCAUGCCCAUGAGUGGUUGGGAAUAAAAGUGAGGGAAUGAGAAUGGAAUAUAUAUUUACUUUUGUAUCCCUCUAAUUUUUUCAUAUUUUCCAAAUUACCCUCAUUCAAAUCACAAUUAAUUUUAUUAUUUAAAAUGUCAUUAAUAAUAAUAAUAUUAUUAUUAUUAAAUUUUAUUAACUUUAUUAUUUUAGUUAUUAUUAAUUAUUUUUAUUAAUAUUAUUAUUAUUAACAAUAAAAAUAAUAAUUGAUAAAAAAUAAUUAAUUUAUCAUUAUUAACAAUAUUAUCAUUAUUUUUGUUAUUAUUAUUAUUAUUAAAAAUAAAAAUAACAAUAAUUAAUAAUAACUAAAAUAAUAAAGUUAAUAAAAUUUAAUAAUAAUAAGUUAAUAAUGAUAAUUUUAAUAAAAAUAAUAUUAACAAUAAUUAGUAAUAACUAAAAUAAUAAAGUUAAUAAUAUUUAAUAAUAAUAUCUAAUAUUAUUAUUAUUAAAUAUUAUUAACUUUAUUAUUUCAGGUAUUACUAAUUAUUGUUAAUAUUAUUUUUAAUAAUAAUAAUAGUAAUAAUAACAACAAUAAUGAUAAAUUAAUUAUUAAUACUAUGGGUAUUUUGGUAAAUUGAUUCUCAUUCUCAUUCCUCAUUCUCAUUUAUUUUGCCAAGUAAACAUAUCAAUAGCAUUCCAGCACAUUCUCAUUCCCAUUUAUUUUUGUCAAGUAAACAUUGAAAUCUCAUUCAUAUUUCUCAUUUCCAUUCCAGUCCAUUCUCAUUCCCAAUCCACUCACAUUCCACCCCAUUCCACUUCCAUGAAGUAAAUGCACCAUUAAUUUUUAAAAUCAAUUUUGAGCUUCCCAAAAACAAUCCAAACAUGCCUUUAUUUGGGUGGUGUUAGAACUGUUAGCCUAAAGGACUAUACAUAAUGUGAUUUUGAUGAUAACAAACAUAUGUAUUAAGUGAUUUAAUAAAUAUUGUAUUUCACAUUUUCACUAGUUUUUGAAGGAUAAUAUUUAUGCAAGUGAAUCAAGUGAAAUCAAGAUUGAAGACACUCAACGGACAACGGUGACAUCAAGAAUAGUCUAGAGCUCCACGAACAAAUUAGUGCGAUAAAUUCUUGUAAAGCCGGUAUGAUUUAAUUGAUGUAUGAUUUAGCAUUUGAGAAGCUCAAGAGAUUAAUUUAAUUAAAUACUUUUCAUAAACUAAAAGUUUUAUUUUUAUAAAGUAAAGUAUUUUGUGGAUUUAAGUAAUUUGGACUUAAAUGCUAAUAUUUGAAAUCUUUGAUUUUAAAUAAGUAUUAAAUUUCAGAGUUGGACGUUUUUACAAAUAUUUGAAAUGUUUUGGGCCAUACUAUAAUUUAUGAAUAUGUUGGACUAAAGUGAAAGGUUUUGAGAACUUUGAAAAAUAUGGGUAUUAUGUUGAAAAGGACCUUUGUGCGAAAUAAUAAAAUCUUUGGGGCCAUAUCAUAAUUUUAGAAAGUUUGGGAAAGACGACUAUUCUUAGGAAGUUCUGAAAUUGGAUCUAUUUGUAAAGUUUUAUGACAUUUUGAGCCAUAGUAUAAUUAUAGAAAGUUUUGGGUCAAAGUAUAAAUUUAGUGAACAGAGUUACUGUAGUAAAUUCAAAAAUAACGGUAAUAUCACUGUUCCUGAGCGGCUAGCCGGAUAAUCAAGCGGCUAACCGCUUGGGCGCGGGAAUUUACCUAUAACGGCUAGUUUUCGGGCUUUCACUAUUAAAACUCAACUCAAACUUCAUUCCUUAAACGAAUGCAAGGAAAAACAAGAUCAUAUAACAUAUAUUGAGCUUCCAUUUCGCAAAUCAUCAUUGAUUGAAUGAUCAUUGAGCUAUAAUUUGUUAUCUACUCUUAAAGAGAGUUUCAUUGUUGUGAUUUUCAUUUCUCAUCAAAUUGUGAGUGUACAAGUGUGAGAAACACUUGGGGUGAAGAGAUUGGGGAGAUAAUCUCUUGUUGUAAAGGUUCAUUGACACCUUAGAAGUCAAUUGUAAACAUUUGAAGCCUUGGGAGGUUUGGAUAGUGAAAUCCUCAAGCCAGGUGUGCUUGGAGGCGUGGACGUAGGCAGGGAUAGCCGAACCACGUAAAAAUCCUUGUGUUUGUUUUAUCUUCCCUUACUCUUUUAAUAUUGUGCUUGAUUGAAUUUAUUAUUUUUUUAUUUGAUUAAGGCAAUAGAUUCAAUUGUUGUGCGAAUUGUAUUGCAUAAUUUUAAAAACCCAAUUCACCCCCCUCUUGGGUUGCAUAACUUGCAUUUCAUUUGGUAUCAGAGCGAGGUGCUCUUGUGUAGACUUAACCGUCUAGAGUAAAAGAUCCAUGGCAACCCAUAAUGAUUCAACCUUUAGGGAAGGACAAUCCACAAUUAGACCACCGUUCUUUGACGAUAAUGACUACCCAUAUUGGAAAACUAGGAUGAGAAUUUAUUUACAAGCUUUAGAUUAUGAAAUUUGGGAAAUUGUUUGUGAUGGUCCAUUUAUGCCUUUGACUAAAAACGAAGUCGGGGAAGAUAUUCCAAAACCUUCACGGGAAUGGAAUGAAUUGGAAAAGAGAAAAGCUUCUCUAAAUUCCAAAGCCAUGAAUGCCUUGUUUUGUGCACUUGAUAAGAAAGAGUUUCAUAGAGUGUCAAGUUGUGAAAGUGCUAAUAAAAUUUGGCACAAACUUGAAGUUGUUUAUGAAGGCACGAAUCAAGUGAAAGAGUCUAAAAUUAGUAGGUACACUCGACAAUAUGAAUUGUUUCAAAUGGAACAAAAUGAGAGUGUGUAUUCUAUGUAUACUAGAUUUACGGACAUAGUGAACACUCUAUGAGCCCUAGGAAAGACCUUUUCAAAUAGCGAGAAAGUUAAGAAAAUCAUUAGGUCUCUACCUAAGGAAUGGAGACAAAAAAAGACUGCCAUUGAGGAAGCCAAAGAUUUAAAUAUUUUACCUAUUGAUGAUUUAAUUGGUUCUCUUAUUUCUUAUGAGGAAGACUUGGCAGCUGAAAGAAGCAAUGAGGAGAAGAAGAAAAGUAUUGCUCUCAAAGCCUCGAAACACGAGAGUGAUGAGGAAAGCGAGCUGGAUGAGGAGGAGAUGGAUAUGCUGGCGAGGAGGUUUAGAAAACUUUUUAAGAAAUCCGGUGAGCGAAGAAAAUUUAGAGACCUCAAGAAAUGAAAGGAGAAGAAUGAAGUAAUCAAAUGUUAUGAGUGCAAAAAGCCUGGCCAUAUAAGAACGGAUUGCCCUCUUCUCAACAAACUCAAGAAGAAAGCAAUGGUAGCCACAUGAGAUGAUAGCGAUGAGGAAACAAGUGAUGAUAAAGAGCAUCAAGAAAUGACAAAUCUAGCUCUCAUGGCAAUUGGAGAUGAAUCGGAUGAUGAACUUGAUGAGGUAAAUGAUAUUUCUACUCAUGAUGAAUUAUAUGAUGCUUUUAAAGAAUUGCAUGAUAAUUGGAUAAAAAUUGGUAAAAAGAAUGCAUGUUUUAAAAAGAAAAUGGUAAAGCUCACAAAUGAAAAUGAAUCUCUAAGUGCAAAGAUUACAUGCCUAGAAUUAGAGAAUAAAACAUUACAUGAUAGAGUUGUAUUAUCAAAUGAGAAACCUAGCACUUCACAUGAGCAUCUAGAAUCAUAUGUAGAUGACUUGAAAAAUGAAAAUGAUGCUUUACAAAAAUGCAAUGAUUCAUUAAAUGAAAAGCUUAAAGGACUAGAGUUAGAUAAUAAAAUGUUGCAUGAUAGAAUUGUAUCAUUUAAAUGCAAACAAAGUACUUCAUAUGAGCAUGAGAAAUCACAUGUUGGUGAAUUAAUGAAAGAAAAUGAAGUGCUUAAGAAGAAGAGUAAUGAACUAAAUCAAAUUGUGUUAAAAUUCACAAAUUGGCAAAAGAUGUUGGAUAACUUGCUUAAUUCACAAAAAUGUGUGUUUGAUAAAGGAGGUAUUGGUUAUAAGCCAAAUUUGAAACAAAAAUAUUAUAAGAGUUAUUUUGUUAAAACUACCUCCAUUAAUGAUCAAAUUGUAUGUCAUUAUUGCAAUCAAAAUGGUCACAUAAAGAAUAGAUGUCCAGUUAAAAUAAAUGCAUAUUAUGGAGCAAAAUGUAUUUGGGUUCCAAAAGGAACCAUUACUAACACUCAGGGACCCAAGAAUAUUUGGGUACCAAAGUACACAACUUGAAUAAUUUUUGUAGGUACCACAAACAAGGAAGGGUGGAGAGUUCCUUGAUGAAACUUGUGAGGAUAAUCACUUGAUCAUGGUCUAGGCAAAAAUAAUGAGGCAAGAUGGUUUAAUUGUUUUGGUAACAAUUAUUGCCUUAUUGAUUAUAAGUUACGGUCUUUUAAUCUUAGUAAAUAUUUCAUAUUUCAUUAUAUCAUUAAGUGCUUUAUCAUGAUGGAUUUGUUUGAUUUUAAUGAUUAUGUAAUGCCUAAGUAUGAUAAAUGAGUAAUAUGCUUGAAUUAUUAAUCUUUGAAUGCUUAUAUGUUUCAUGAUUGAGUAAAAUAUAUACAUGAUGGAUGAAUUAUAUGUGUGAAUUAAUCAUGUCUUAAAUGUUUAUAAUUUCAACCAUAAAGGUUAUUGUAUCUCAUAAUUGUGAUGGAUAUGCAUGAUGAAUAUGUUAUAAAUUUGAGUUUUAUGAUUUUUUGGAUGUUAAUUAUAUUGAUCCAUGCAUUAAAAUGGUUUUUGAAAAUGUUUGGAUCACGAAAUGGUCUUAAAAUCGAUCAAAAAUAGCCAGAGAGCAAAAAUUGGUGCAGAUGGGCAGCCAUGAGGUAGCUAGCCGCCUGCCCCAAGCGGCUAGCCGCUUUGUCACGGGUUGGAGUAAUUGUUUUUGCUUCUUCUUCUUCCUUCGUUAUUUUUCUGCACUUGUUCCUCUCUCUCUCAAAACCGUGAGCCACCCUCUUCCAUUUCCAAUCAAUUUCUCUUUAUUUCUCAACCAUUUUUAUGCCAAAAUUAAUCAUUCAAACCAAUACCCAUGCAUUUCACUCUCAUUAAACACUUCCCAAUCAUCAUUUCUUCACUUGUUCUUGAUCAUUUCAUCAUCAUCUCUCACGCGUGAACAGUACCUCUCCAUUUCUCUCUCAAAUUUCUUCAUCUUUCACUCAUUCUCUUGCCAAAAUCAAUCAUCCAACUCAUUAUUCAUCCAUUACUCCUUCAAUUUUCACUCUCAAAACAUGAUUUCAUUAUCUCUCCACAUAAAACCCAAAAUCAAAAACCUAACUUACCCAUUUCUUUCUCUUCCAAUUUAAGCUCUUUUUAGUCCACUUUUGAUCCAAUCAACACCAUCCAUUAUCUUAAAUCAUCUCUUGGAUCAAUAUAAUCAGUUUAAAAUAAUCCAUUUCACUCAUUAUUUUACAAAACCGAGUUUGUGCAUUUUGGGUAUUUUAAAUUACCAUGGUUCCUUAUUAUAUUAUGCACCUACAUUUUCAUAUGCAUAAUUGUUUUAAUUGUAGAUUACGGAUGAUGGUUGUUUAAUAUUUGGAUAACUUAUAUUUGGAUGAUAUUUUCUGAAUUCUUAGAAUGAAUAUGACUCUUUAGUUAAUUGAAUGCUUAAUUUUUAUAUGUUUCUUGAUUAAUCAUUGAGAUAUUCUUUUUGGUAUAAGCAUAGAUUUAUAGUACUUUUGAUGAUUGAUGAUUAUAUGUGUGUUGCUUGAUGAAUUAAUGGAGUUGUUAGUUUGUUAUAAUUGUUUCAGCUUAUAUGGAAGUGUUUUUAACCAUGUUGUAUAUUUAAGGAUUUGUUCAUUUUAAGGGGAGAUUCUGCCGAAAUUUUUGCUCGCACAAAAUUGGUAAUAUCUUUAUCGAAUUAUUUUUGAUGCUCUUGUUUCGAUUGCAUCUAUCUAUUUUUUAUGAAGGGGAAGAUAAAUAUGAUAUGUUUUUGGAUAAUAUCAUUUUGGUUAAAUUUUUUAAUUGGCCAUAUAUUUAGGGGGAGCAUACAAUAUGAUUUUGGAUAAUAUGCAUUUUGAGCAUUCUUUUGAUGGGUUGAUGGUUCAUGAUCAUUUUAUGGUUAAUUGGAUGUUUGGUUAUUAUAUGUUUCUUGAUUAACCAUUGACAUAUUAUCGAUCUUCACAUGAAUUUCUAGUAAUUUUGAUGAUGAAGGGGGAGAAGUCAUGUAUUUUGAAUAUGAAGACAUAUAAUACGUAUUUUGUAUUUCAAGUAUUUAUGCAUGGUUUUGAAAUAUUAAGGGGGAGCUUACAAAUUAUCAUAAAUCAAAUAUUCAGGGGGAGUUUUUGUUUUGAAUUUGAUUUAUAUGUUUAAUUAUAUAUGCCAUGUAUUAAGGGGGAGUACAAAUGUCAAAAUACAUGAGAUGUUUGUCAUCAUCAAAAAGGGGGAGAUUGUUAGCCUAAAGGGCUAUACAUAAUAUAAUUUUGAUGAUAACAAACAUAUGUAUUAAGUGAUUUAAUAAAUAUUGUAUUUCACAUUUUCACUAGUUUUUGAAGGAUAAUAUUUAUGCAAGUGAAUCAAGUGAAAUCAAGAUUGAAGACACUCAACGGACAACGGCGACAUCAAGAAUAGUCUGGAGCUCAACGAAUAAAUUAGUGCGAUAAAUUCUUGUAAAGCCGGUAUGAUUUAAUUGAUGCAUGAUUUAGAAUUUGAGAAGCUCAAGAGAUUAAUUUAAUUAAAUACUUUUCAUAAACUAAAAGUUUUAUUUUUAUAAAGUAAAGUAUUUUGUGGAUUUAAGUAAUUUGGACUUAAAUGCUAAGAUUUGAAAUCUUUGAUUUUAAAUAAGUAUUAAAUUUUGGAGUUGGACGUUUUUACAAAUAUUUGAAAUGUUUUGGGCCAUACUAUAAUUUAUGAAUAUGUUGGACUAAAGUGAAAGGUUUUGAGAACUUUGAAAAAUAUGGGUAUUAUGUUGAAAAGGACCUUUGUACGAAAUAAUAAAAUCAUUGGGGCCAUAUCAUAAUUUUAGAAAGUUUGGGAAAGACGACUAUUCUUAGGAAGUUCUGAAAUUGGAUCUAUUUGUAAAGUUUUAUGACAUUUUGAGCCAUAGUAUAAUUAUAGAAAGUUUUGGGUCAAAGUAUAAAUUUAGUGAACAGAGUUACUGUAGCAAAUUCAAAAAUAACGGUAAUAUCACUGUUCCUGAGCGGCUAGCCGGAUAAUCAAGCGGCUAACCGCUUGGGCGCGGGAAUUUACCUAUAACGGCUAGUUUUCGGGCUUUCACUAUUAAAACUCAACUCAAACUUCAUUCCUUAAACGAAUGCAAGGAAAAACAAGAUCAUAUAACAUAUAUUGAGCUUCCAUUUCGCAAAUCAUCAUUGAUUGAAUGAUCAUUGAGCUAUAAUUUGUUAUCUACUCUUAAAGAGAGUUUCAUUGUUGUGAUUUUCAUUUCUCAUCAAAUUGUGAGUGUACAAGUGUGAGAAACAAUUGGGGUGAAGAGAUUGGGGAGAUAAUCUCUUGUUGUAAAGGUUCAUUGACACCUUAGAAGUCAAUUGUAAACAUUUGAAGCCUUGGGAGGUUUGGAUAGUGAAAUCCUCAAGCCAGGUGUGCUUGGAGGCGUGGACGUAGGCAGGGAUAGCCGAACCACGUAAAAAUCCUUGUGUUUGUUUUCUCUUCCCUUACUCUUUUAAUAUUGUGCUUGAUUGAAUUUAUUAUUUUUUGAUUUGAUUAAGGCAAUAGAUUAAAUUGUUGUGCGAAUUGUAUUGCAUAAUUUUAAAAACCCAAUUCACCCCCCCUCUUGGGUUGCAUAACUUGCAUUUCAAGAACUUGUAACUUUUGGAUCUUUUAGUUUUUAUUGGUUGGAUACAAUAUUAUGACUUGAGCGUCGGAAGGUUUUCACCGAAAUAACUUCCAGCACCCCCUGACUGUUCUUUGUGCUUGCAUGCUCGCGGGUUAUUUGCUCAUGGAUCAUCUGCUCAUAGAACAUCUGCUCACGGUGCUCACUGAUCAGCAGCUCGUGGAUUAUCUGCUCAUGGUGCUCACUGAUCAGCAGCUCAUAGAUUAUCGGCUCAUGGAUUAUCUGUUCAUGGUUAGAGGAUUUUCUUGGAGAUUAAUAAGUCGCUUCUCCACCAAACAAAUUUAUUGCUGAUGCGGGGAUGUGGUAUUGAGUCAACAACUGACUCGACUUUAUUUCUGCAUCAAUAUAAAGUAUUAAUCAGCUUAAUUAAUUUAUAAAAUUUAAAUCUAAUUAAUAAGUGACACAUAAAUGCCAAGUGCAAUAUAUGCAAAUCCUGUUUGUCGAUCAUUACAAAACUGGCUCUUGAAAACAAGCAAGAAAGCUUAAUUAAGAACUUAAAACAAAAAGUAUUAGAUUGAGGAUAGUCAAGCCUUAUUUUUUCAAGGAUGGAGCUUAUAAAUCUUCAAGUACCAACAUAUGCUUGGCCCAAUUGUUGUUUUUAAAAUUUCAAAAUAUAAGUAUGACAUAGCAAAAAUUUGAUGGUACAUGUGUCGGAAUAUACUAGCUAGUUCAUGGAUGCAUUUGAUUACUAUUUCCAUAAAUUUGAACUAAGAAGAAUGACACGAGAAAAUUUGAUUUUAUUAUAUGGUUGAUUUCAUAUCUCAUGCACUCAUUUCUUAAGAUAAUUAGAUUUUCUCUGGCAUCUUUUGCAAAUGUGGAAAUAUCAAUUAUGAUCAAUCAAAACGAUCUCAAAACUUUUUAACGAGACAUAUUUAUAAUACAAUAUUAUGAAAAUUACACCAAAAAUUUGAUUUAUUAUAUAUUAUUAUCCAACGAGCACACAAAAAUGAAUUCAUACAAAUCUAUAAUACUUAGCAAUUUUCAAAUAGAAUUUACCAUGUACUAUAAGAAAAUAUGGUAUAUGUGACCCCUAUUGUGAAUGCAAAAGCAGCCAUUACGUAUAUCACUAACUUCUAACUUUGUAACCCUGAGUUGCUUUUGUUACCCUUUAUGUGACGGCCAUACUGCUGUCACAUAUGUUACUAACCACGUGACGGUAAAGAGCCGUUCCGUAUACUACUAUUUUAGAAUUUUAAAUUUAUUUCCAGUUGGAAAACUAUUCGCUGGAUUACGAGUUUAAAUGCUGUCACCAUCGUAAACCUAACUGGUUGCCGGCGAACGGCGUAAAACACCGGCCAUCUUCUUCUUCAUCGUAUUCGCCCUUCAUCUUUUGAGUUAAGCUUGUGAUUAUGAGUUUCUUCUCUUACUUAGCUUGUAAUUAUAGAUUUUGAUUCUUUUUAAUUCGUAUUGUAGUCGUUAUUGUCAAUUUUUGUCCCGCCAGCAAUUUUUUUUAUUCCUACAAGUUGAAGCCCCUGUGUUCUUGUUCCAUUGGUGUGUUUGCUCACUCAAAUUAAUUUUGUUCUACAAAGUUCAAAUGGAUUCAUUUGAAUCACUAUUGAAUUCAGCUUUAAUUCCAACAACCAUUCUAAUGUUUUGUUAUUAGAUUUACUUUAAUUUUAUGUUUAAAGCUUCUACAAUGAAUAGCGGAGCUUGGGUUUUAGUUUCAUUUUCUAGAUAACUUGUUUUUCUUGUAUGCUCACCAAGUGCUUGUUAUAUUGUCUGAUAAGUUAAUAUAUUGCUGAUUCUAUAUUAAUAAUGUUACGUUCUAUUUUCAGAAAUUAUAAUAUAAACUGAAUUAACUUGUAGAAUAAGAGCUUGGAGUAGUGUUAUGUUCUUGAAUAAAUGAAAGUCCAUAUUGUGUAAGAGCAUGUAGAUGUAAAGCGCAUUGCCAUUUCUAUAAAGGACUUUCAUUCUGUUCAGAUGCUCCUCUUGAACUCUGAAAGGUGCCUCAUUCAAGUCCUAGCUAUAACUACUAGCUUUGAUUAAUUAAUUUCCUGUACUAGCAGAAACAGAUUUAUUUAUUUAAAUAAUUGUCUAUGUACUAAUUAUAAUGAAAGUAUAUGAAGAAAUUUUUUAACAUGAAUGACUUCUAAAUGACUUAAAAACCUAAAGGAUAUGAGAAAUAAUGCUCAUUUCACUUGAACGAGCCUAUUAAUACUUGUAUGUCUAUGAUUCUUAAUAUUGGCUUAAGCAUUUCAGUAAAUGGUUUACAUAACAGAGAAAAAAAUUUAAAUGAAAACUUUAGAGUUCUAACAGAAAUAUAAUUGACUAUGCAGAUAUAGUUAUUUUAUGGUAUACAAAUCAUGUUGCCUUAAUCUCAAUGUCCUAUGACCUAUUUUAUUUUAUAUAGUCGUUCAUUUUUGCCAUCGCUUUUUGUGUUUAUGAGUAUGGAAGUAGUGGGAUUUGGUGUAUCUUAGCAUCUUUGGAAAAUUCUCUUUAAAUGUGGCAAACAAAAAUAUACAUAUAAUCAAGUUUCUUAAUCAACUAUCAUAACUGGCUAGCUAGUUCUUGCCUGCCUUGCUGCCAUUACCCAGGCCAUUACAUUGCAUAGCAUAAGGAAUAGUGAUUAGGUGCUUAUUAGUGAUUCGUUGAGCUUAUUAUUGACCAAACAAACAUAUUCGCCUUUACCCACAACUUAGUUUGAUUAGUUAUUAGACCAUAAAGAGCGUUAAUCUGUUCAUUGGCUUUGUUAUUUUUAUUUGGUUUUUCUUCCAACAAUACUGUUGAUUUCUUAUAAAAAUACUCAUUGGUUUUUAGUUAUUAGACCAUAAAGAGCAUUAGUCUGUUCAUUGGCUUUGUUAUUUUUAUUUGGUUUUUCUUCCGACAAUACGGUUGAUUUCUUAUAAAAAUAUUCAUUGGUUUUUAAACACCUAAUCAUUGGCUAUAAUGAAGCUAAUUGAAACUGAGGCUUAUCAAUUUCUUCCUACAAGAUACAAUUGAGCAUAAACUAUAUCCUCAGUAAAUUUUUCUAAUAUCCUUGAUUUGUUAGGAUAUGGAGGCCUGAAAUCCUCUAGAUUUUUUUAACACUGUCAAUGUUCUUUUUACUCUGAAAAGGGAAAAAAAAGGUAUAUCUUUCAUACCCUAAUAGUAAGUAGGCCUUGACUUAACAUGCCUUCCCGAGGAUUUGCAAGAUUCACAAGCAGCUCACCCCCCCCCCCCCUCCCCCAACCCAAAAAAAAAAAAGAAAAACAAAUAGGAAGAUUUUGCGAGAUUCACAACCAGGUUAUAUUUAAUUUAUUAAUUGUGUGCACGUACUAGUUAUAUGUUGAAAGAAUAGGAAAGUAUUUUAACAUGAAUGACUUAAAACUUAUUGCUUAGUAAACAUAAUCUGCAUCAGUGCUAGAAAAUGUAUUUAUUGUUUGUAUUUUUUAUGGAUUUGCUUAAGAAAUGAUACGGGUAAUAAUGCUACAUUGUAUUAGGAACAAAUUGAAGAGAUUUAUGAUAUUUAUGUGUUAUUCAAAUUUCAGAUUGAAUUUUAAACUUUCAAUACAUGCAUUGAAAGCUUAGAUCGUUUAAGAAAUUAUAAAUAGACACAUGUUUUAUUAGUGCCAUCUUUGGAUGAUAGUGAGGAUCAUAUGCCUAUUAAUAAUUCUUGAAUUGUCUAGGCUUGAACUGUUUGGGAAUGCAUAGUUUUCUAUGGUAGCUAGUAGCUGAAGUUUUUUUCCCACAUAAAAAUGGGUUUUUCGCUAGCUGCUUCUCAUCUUCUUUGGGUGCAUACUAGAUAACACAUAAACACUCUUAUAUCUAUGUCGUUGCUUGGAGAACUAAAGGGAGAUGCUGCCGAAAUUUCUAUAAACGUAGAAGAAAACUUUAAAGUACUUGAGAUUGAAGAAACUUAUGCAUUCUUGAGAGGGAUAUAUGGGACCACUUACCUUUUGUAAAUAUGAAGGGAGUGUUGGACAUAUUGAUGGGAGUGGAGGAGCUGAGUUGGAUGGAUGUAAUCGGUUAUAGUUUUGCUGAGUUAACUUGGUUUUGAGCUUGUAAUUUUGUUUAUAAAUGGAGUACUAUCUCCAAUGUUGGUUUAUAAAUAUGUUUCAGCUGGCUGACCUUAUUUUUUGUUUCUAGGUAACAUGCUUUGUAUCUGUAAUUGAUAGCCAACUGAAGUUCUCAGCUGUGGGUGAGGAUAUUUCUUUACAGAAGGUAUUGGAAACUGUUUUUUACAUUAAUUAUUGUUGUAUAUAUACUUUAAUUUUCACAUCUUUUUCUCUGAUUCUUGUCACUUUACUUGCUUUCAUAUACAUAAAUUCUAAUGAAAUUAACCAUAAAAUUGUAUAAUGAUUUUUUAAUUAUAUUGCAAAACUGUGCACACACGAAAAUAUCUUGGUCAGUAGUAGAAAUGAAAAACUAAAAUGAUUUAUCUAACUAAUUUUUGUAGUGCAUUAAAAGGAGACGGUAAUGGAGAAGAGUUGGGUUGGUUUGGCAAAUAGAUAUCUAAGUUAUAGAUUUUGCAUUUGAGAAUGUUGUUGGUGAUGCAAGAAUUUAUUAUCCUUGUAAGAAGUGUCGAAUAUUUCGUUUUAAGGGAAGUAGCAAGAGACCAUAUCAUUAUAAAUGGUUUUUGGUUAAAGUUUUAAAACUGGAUAUUGCAUGGUGAGCCAUCUUCAUCUUUGGAAUCUAACCAAGAAACAGGUUAGUCAUGACUCGGGUGCUGAUGAUGAUAUGGUUGGAAUGAUACAUGAUACAUCACGUAAUCAAAUGUUCAAUUCACAGACAGCAUUGUUAUGGACUAUCAGUGACUUUCUAGCACAUGCCAACUUGUCUGAGUGGAGUAUUAAAGGUAAAUAAGCAUUUCUUGUUUGCCAACAAAACACCAGAUCGAAUUGGUUAAUACAUAGUAGAAAAUUGUCACGUCGGUAACGUCGAUUUUUACCGACGAAUCAUAGGUUUCGAAAAUAUAGUGCCUUUCGAAAAUCUGGAGCUGAAGUGAAAAAGCAGUUGAAUAAUAUCCUUACUGAGUUUAAGAUUGAAGACUUGAAAAGUGGAGAAUGAAUAAAAUGAGAGAAAUGACAAGAUUACUUGGAAGAAGAAAAGCAUAUUUUAUGAACUACCGUGUUGGGAGUUCAAUUUGAUUCAUCAUAAAAUGUGAGACAUGAGGGAGAGACAAAAGCUCAGGCUUGUCUGCAACCAUGUGGGCCCUCAUAAGCAAUUCGUGUACACAACUUGGUUCACCAAGCCCAACAACUUGAAGCAGGCAAAAUCCGGGAACGAUCCUUCUCCUUCGCAACCCUAGCUGCCUUAACCUUGUAUUUCUGAUAUUUAGUUAAAGAGUAAGAAGAUUGCUCCUCUGUCAAUUACCUUCGAGAGAGACUUUCUUUUUCAUUCAUCGAUGCUUGCUUGUGAAAGCAAGGGUUUUAGUUACACUUUCAACGCUGUCAAUGUAGUGAAGUAAAGCAUUCGUAGAAUAAUGAAGAUGGAAGCCCCACAGCAUGAAAACUUUUAAACAGUAACACAGCUCUUAUUCCAGAGGCUGCACGCGAGUGACCUGAAUCUUCUUCAGAACUUUCAAAUUUUAUCAGGCAAAGCUUUCAAAAUUUCUCAACAAAUUGAUUAUUUGGUGUGGUUGCCACAUUUUGAGUAACUGCUAUUUGUUCUCAAGUACAAAAUCCUUGCCUUCCUAAGUUAGGAAAUAUAGAUGAGAAGCAAACCAAAUGAAAUAAAUGGGUAAACAGAACAAACAGUGCAAAAAUUAAAAAUGAUGGCAAUUAACAAAUUAAUAGCAAUGUUACAUUUGACUCUUUAGCCCUUUGCUCCUUCUCUUAACAUUCUUCAAAGCUUUUGAAAAUUGGAUGUGAAGCAAACAAAAUAAAAUAAAUUUAGACAACACAUACCCUGUAUUCAGCAUCAUAUAUAUGUCGAAUAUCUAAUUUAAUAAAUUUCACAUCCAAAAUACUAAAAUUUUAUUUGCAUGCAUGUCUGUCAAAAUUUCCGUGAUUUAAUGUGCUUUCAUGCACGCAAGUUCUAACGUUUCUGUGAUCACAAAAUAAAACUGAAGAUAAAACAGAACAACUACCAAACCUUUCAAGCUUGACGAAGCCAUGAGAAUUGAUAGCUCAGGCUCUGAUACCAAGUUAAAGUUUCUAAUCUAUUUGAUAAGUAAGAAAAUGAGAGAAAAUGAAAGAAAGAACAGAGAUCAUCUAAGAGCUGGAUUUGAUGAAUAAAUCUGAAUCAUCCAUUCUUUAGCUGAUUACAAAUGUAUUUAUACAAGUUUUCUAAGCACCUGAGAGUUGAAUAACUUAUGCCAGCUCAGCUAACACGUCAGUAACUCUACCUAUCUUGCUUAACAAACUGAAACAAUAACUAACAAUUUUAACUAUCUUAACAAUCCCAAUAAUUUCUCCGUUUGUGUAUUUUUUUGAAUCAUAAUCAAAUGGGUAAAUGUUGCAACUAUUUUUUUAGACAUUUUCACUUUGGGAUGUCAGCCCGAGGAAGUUCGGGGGUCUGAGUUAUUCAACUGAAAAUGUCGGCCAAGUUCUCGCCAUCUCAGGUUCAAAACUGAUAAUCUUGCUCGUUGCUCCCCAUUUAUACUUAUUACGAAACUGAAAAAGUUACUCGUUCCUCUUAACUUGUUUUCUCAUGCAUCAACCCCACAAAACUGCUUAUUGCAGGGGGUAAAAUUUUGAACACAUCAUGUGGAAUUUGGACUAUUUGAUAGUUUGUUUCAAACAUAUCUGUUUAUAAAAUACUUUUCUUCAUGGUUUUGGUCCCAUAAUUUUCUAUGUAUGUACAGGUUUUAUCCAUACCUCUUUUGACAAGUUACACUUACAUAGCAAUGUUAUCUGGGUUCAGCCUUGCCUUUUUCAUAAACUGUGCUUCUGUGAUGAAGAAUGUUUUAUCUGUAAGUGGAUAUCCUAAUCAUUGAUCCAUAAACUUAGGUUAUAUUAUCCAUCAGCAAGUAUGUAUAAAAUUAUUUUAUGUCUUUUUUUAUUAGAAAUGUUGUAAUUCUAUUUUAAUCUUCCUGAAUUAUAACAUCAGGUGUCUAUAAUAACUGGAUUAUUCCUUCUGCAAAACAGAGCAGUGGUAAAUAUUUUUUUCUUUUGUUUGUUUAGUACAUUUACAUGCUUUCAGCUUUUUCAAAUUUUGUAUGUGUCAAAGUUUAAAUUUAAUUUGUUGGUUUAUGCCACAACAAAAGGAACAGCAUCAAAGAGGAGCUGCUAAUGGACUUGCUAUGACUGUAGUGUCGCUUACCAAAACUGCCGGUCCAGCUGUAGGAGGUGCUCUGUGAGUGUCCUGUUGAUUUUGUAAAAUUAUAUGUAAAUGAUGUUAUAAUAUUUUUUUUCAUUAAUUGGGGUUCUGGCAGAUUUUCUUGAUCACAAAAGCGUCAAGAUGCUGGUUUCCUCCCAGGUAUGAUGAUCUACUAAUGAAAUUAUAUUCUUUUUAUUUCAAAUAAUCUAUAAGUUAACUCAAAACAUAAUCAAGCUGAGAAUUAAAAUAAUGCCACUGUAUGAGAAGAUUUUUAUUUUUUUCCCGAAGUUUCACUAGGAAAUUAUUGAUAUAUAGCUUUAUUCGGAUCAUCUCAGUUCAAACGACAGCUAAUUGAAAGACUAAACUAAAUAGACCAGCCAACAACUUUGUACAGUAGAGUUAAAAAAAUAAAGUCAUGGUAUUGAGGUGUUCUGUCUUGAAAAGUACAGCAUAGUGAUAAAAUAAAAACUAUUAGUAUUUGGUAAGAUAUGACUUUUAAUUAAAAAAUUUCACAAAAAUAUAAAAAUAUUUAUAAAGUACUUCUGUAGUGCGGAGACCCUCACUUUGUUAAAGUGAAAAUAUCAACAAUAAACAAAAGACAUAUAUUUUAACACAUUAAAAACUGUAUUUUUUUAUCUAUUGGUGUAUUGAAAUAUGUGUUAUUUAGUUUGCUAAUGAUAUCAUCACUUUGUUAAAAUGAGGAUGUCAUCACUAGAGAAUCAUUAUAUAUACAUAUAUAUAAAGUGGUUCUCUCCAAGACCUAAACUUUAUUAAAAGUUUAGAAAGCAAAUAUAUUUUGUAUGGUAUAAUAGUGUAAUAACAUCACACUAUUAUAUCAUAUGAGUCCCAUAUAGAGUAAUAGUUUUUCGAACUUUAAUAAAGUUCAAGAUUAUAGAAUGAAUGAUUUAUAUAUAUUAUAAAUUUUUUAUUAUAUAGUGAAGGACAAAAUUAACAUAAUUUUCAAAUUAUAUUAAGUAUUUAUCAAAUAAUUUAACAUCAUAAUUUCUCCUAACUAGUAUAGUAAAUACGGCCUAGGAGGUACAUUCAAAGCAUUUCAUAGGUUCCUUGUUCGCUCCAGAUUCAGUCACAGACAAGGAGCCGUUUUUUGAGAAUAUUAAGCAUCAUCUUCAAAUGAAUUUUCUUGGCAAAGGUUUCAGAUCCAAAUUGUUGUUCCAGAUUAGUCCAAAGCUCAAGUAAGGUUUGAGAGUUUACCACAAGACUAAGGAUCUCGAUACUGAUGGAUGACAUUAACCAGCUCAACAACAAUUGAUCGUUUCUCUUCCACGAAGUUGAAUCUUCAAUUUCAGUAAAAAGAAAUUGGUUAGGACAGAGUUUUGAUCUAUCAAGUAGAUCUUCUAGUCCAUUGGCACGGACUGAAGACAAGACCUGUGAUUUCGAGAUCCUAUAAUUCGAUCGAUCCAGUUUGAUGGGUGAAGUGAAAGUAAACGAGGAAACAUAGGAGUUUGUAUUCUGAUUUGAGCUUGACGAAGCCAUGAGAAUUGAUAGCACAGGCUCGGAUAUCAAGUUAAAGUUUCUAAUCUGUUUGGUAAUUAAGAAAACCAGCGAAAAUGAAAGAAAGAACAGAGAUCAUCUAAGAGCUGGAUUUGAUGAAUAAAUCUGAAUCAUACAUUCUUUAGCUGAUUAAAAAUGUAUUUAUACAAGUUCCUGAAUAUUUUAGAUUCCAUAUGCUUGAGCUAAGCACCUGAGAGUUGAGCAGUGUGCACUAACAAACUGCUAACAAAAUAACUAACUUAUGCCAGCCCAGCUAACACAUCAGUAACUCUAACUAUCUUGCUUAACAAACUGAAACAAUAACUAACCAUUCCAAUAAUUUCUCCAUUUGUGUAUUUCUUGAAUCAUAAUCAAAUGGGUAAAUGUUGCAACUGUUCUUUUAGAUAUUUUCACUUUGGGCUGUCAGGCCGGGGAAGUGCGGGAGGUCUGAGUGACUCAACUGAAAAUGUCGGCCAAGUUCUUGCCAUCUCAGGUGUAAAACUGAUACUCUUGCUCCCCAUUUAUACUUACUACGAAACUGAAAAUGUUACUCGUUCCUCUUAACUUGUUUUCUCAUGCAUCAACCCCACAAAGCUGCUUAUUGCAGGGGUAAAAUUUUGAACACACCAUGUGGCAUUUAGACCAUUUGAUAGUUUGUUUCAAACAUAUUUGUUUAUAAAAUACUUUUCUUCAUGGAUUUGGUUACGUAAUUGUCUAUGUAUGUACAGGUUUUAUCGAUACCUCUUUUGACAAGUUACACUUCCAUAGCAAUGUUAUCUGGGUUCAGCCGUGCCUUAUUGAUAAAUCUGUAAUGAAGAAUGUUUUAUCUGUAAGUGGAUAUCCUAAUCAUUGAUCCAUAUCCAUAAGCAAGUAUGUAUAAAAUUAUUUUAUGUCUUUUUAUUAGGAUUGUUGUAAUUCUUUUUUACUUUUCCUGAAUUGUAACAUCAGGUGUCUAUAAUAACUGGAUUAUUCCUUCUGCAAAACAGAGCAGUGGUAAAUAUUUUUUUUCUUUUGUUUGUUUAGUACAUUUACAUGCUUUCAGCUUUUUCAAAUUUUGUAUGUGUCCAAGUUUAACUUUAAUUUGUUGGUUUAUCCCACAACAAAAGGAACAGCAUCAAAUUUUGUUGGUUUAUGCCAAAACUACCGGUCCAGCUGUAGGAGGUGCUCUGUGAGUGUCCUAUUGAUUUUGUAAAAUUAUAUGUAAAUGAUGUUAUGAUUUUUAUUGUCCCCCCCCCCCCCCCCCCAACACAAAAAAAAGCAUGAUUAAAUUGAUCAUUUGUUGGGUAACAACUUGAUUAACCGGUCCUGGCAGAUUUUCUUGGUCACAAAAGCGUCAAGAUGCUGUUUCCUCCCAGGUAUGAUGAUUUACUAAUGAAAUUUCUCACGAGUUGGUGAAUUACUUUGUGCUAAUUAGCUUAAUUAGCUGCUUAAACUAAAGUGCAGGUAACCAAAUGGUUUUUUUUUUCAUUCUGAAUUUGGUUGAGGCACUUGGAGUAAUAUUGACAUUCAAACCGUUUCUAACUCAACGCGCCCCGUGAGUUGAGAAAAGAUGCAUCUGUUGAAAUAUUCAAAUAUAUUUCAAGCAAAUUAAAGCUUUUCAAAAUCUAUCAACAAUAUGAUUAUUUGAUGUGGUUGCCACUUGCCAUAUUUUGUGUUACUGUUCUAAAGGGUUAAAUAUGAAAAUGGUUGUUGGUGCUCACACCAAUCGAUAGCUGGUAACAUUAACUCCUCAAUACUUAUACUUGUUCAUUUUCAGAACUACGACAAUUUAUCUUCACAAUGAUGCAAGCUAGAAAGAAUUUUUCAUGUUAAGUAAAACAUUGAAGCCAUAAAGAGUCUUAAUUGAGUACUAAGUUUUCUACCAUGCUUUCAACGGUAACAUAUUUGGAGCUCUUAUUCCAGGGGCUUCACAGUAGAGAGACCUGAUUUCGAUCUUCUUCAGAACUUGGGGAUUCCGUAAUAACAGAGGACAACAGUUAUAUAAGAAUAUUAUUUUGUACAAUUUUCGUAUAACCUGACCAAUGCAAGUAUAAUUUUAUGAUCUUAACUCAGAUCAAAAGACCUUCAAUGAUGUAAAUUUGCACAUAAAGCUGAGAUCCAAACAUUAGAACUUAUGAUGAAACGCAAACAAAAACGGUGAGAUUGAAAAGAUAGAGAAACACAAGCUUUUUAGUAGGAAUAAAUGCUCAUUUAGUCUCUAUAUUUUGACUCGAGCGCAUUUAGUUCUUAUAUUUUAAAAAGUGCCUCAACCUCAAGACACCCCCUAUUGUGAAAUAUAUUUUGUUUCUACCUUUUUUUUUUACAAUAAUACUCUUGGAAUAAUAUUUUUGGGAAUAUUAAUGAAAAUAAAAAAAUGGUAAUCAUCUAGCCAGCCUUAAACAAAAUAAAUAUUAAUAAAAACUUUUAUGUUAUUAUUUUAGUUUUAGGACUAAUUUCGUAAAUUAAAUUUUUUAUGCAUUUAUUAGUAAGAUUGCUUUAAGAAUAUUAAACAUUACUUUAAGAUGGCUGAUAUUAAUUUAUUUAUAAAGAAUUAUUAGCAAGAUUGUUGUGAAAGUACAAAAAAUACUGGUUAUUUCACAUUGAUAUUUAUUGAUUAAUUUGCCAAUUAACUUUUUUUAUAAAUAAAUUUAAGAAUAUUAUUGCCAAGAUAUUAUUGUAAAGGUAAAUAAAAUUUAAGGAAAAAAUGUAACGUAUUUAAUAUCAAGGUAUAUUGAGGUAUUUUUUAAAAUAUAAAAACUAAACGAGCAUUGAAAUUAAAGAGCAAUGAUAUAGCCACAAACUCUUGUACAAACUUAUUUUGUACAAACUGAUGUGGCAUGAUAAGAUUAGUUGAAUUAAAUAUCACUUUGCCCACAUGAUUUGUUUUUAUUAUUUUAUAUUUUCAUUCAACCAAUGAAUUAAUGCCACGUCAGUUUGUACAAAAUAAGUUUGUACAAGAGUUUGUGACUGUAUCAUUACUCGAAAUUAAAAUACAGGUACCAGACAAGUAUUUUCUCUUUUAGAAAGUUUUAUAUUUUAUUAAUGAAAGUCUGAAUAACAAAAUUAAGGUUUUGGACUUCUUUUAAACUAAACUUAAAUAUCACAAAUUUACCAAAAUAAGUAAACCUAAAAUAUUAAUACAUAAUAACAUUCUCCUAACUGAAAUAAAGAUAAAUGCUACUCAAAUUCUAUAUCUAGAAAAAAAAAAAGGUAAAAAUCCUGAAAACAAUAGGAAAAUAGAUCUUAAACUUGUAAAAUUAUAUGAAAUAAAUAUAAUUUUCAAUCGAACCACGAGACUAAUGUGGCGCUACAGUAUUAGAUUAGAUUCCCCUCGUUGCAAACUUCGAAAGGUAUAUUAUACACCCUAAAUACAUACUUAUAGCUCAAGUUGUUACCCUAGAGAGAUACUCUACUCAUCCUAUGCAACCAUCCGUUGCAUCAAAUUCGUUCCAAAAUUAAGAAUAAAUCAGCUGAUGCAUUCCAAAUAAUUUAGAUGAAACGAUAAAAUAAACCUAGAGAUCAAAUAAAAUGAAAUGAAAAUGAUAAUUACCUCGGACUAAAGCUCAUACAAAUUCAUUAUUUGACACCUCCAGCAAUUGUUGAAAUAAUAGUUAAUGAAAUAUAAAAUAAGACAAAAGUACAUAUUAAUGACACACCACUGUGAAUCGAUACAUCAACGUAAUACAUCAAUUGAAAUAUCAUACGAUAAAUUAGUCAGAGAAAGAAAUAAGUAAAUAAAUCAGCAAAGGAAACAUGCAUAAACAAAUUAAAAAAAAAACAAAGACAAAAGAAGGAAGAGUUGUCUGUGAGAAUCUUCUUCUAUGGUCAUUGAAGUCCCAAAACUAAUAAGGAUCGAUCAAUUGAACAGUUGCAAACUCAAUGGAAAUACAAUGGAACCUUAAAAAUGAACAGUGAAGGAAAAUGAAGAAAUCCGCAGGAAAUAAGGCGAGUAAGAGUGAAGAAUUAAUUACCACUGAGUAAAAUUGAGAGUUGUGAUCUAGAAGAGAUUCUUCUUCUCCGUAAUCCCCUUUUUUCUUUUAAUGUUGUUAUUAUUAUUAUUAUAUAUAUAUUUUCAAUUUCAUGAUUUCUUUUUUGUUUUAAACGGUAUUGGCAUAUUACAUUUAUUUAUGUUAAUUUUACAAUACCUCCCUUCAGAUUGCACAAAUUACAUAAAAAAAAAGCGCUUUAUGUAUAAAACUUUCAAACAAAUUGGGCCAAAAUCUAACUUUACCAAGUUUAGAGUAAUUUUGGGCUCGACAUUCCGUUUCCGACAAACGAAUUUUCUUUAUCACCAAGGUAUGAUACUUUUCAUAUUUAUCCAACGGCUCGUCAAUGACAAUACCUUUGUAAAAAGUACUUAUUUUGAAUAGUAUAUUGUGGAAAUGUCUGGUCGGUAAUACAACUAUUUCUUAUAGUGUAAAAAUGAUACACUAAGCGUUCACAUUUUGAUGAGUAAAUUAAGGAUUUCAAGAUGAAGUACAUAAUUAGAUUAAUGCUAAGAAACUGAAGUUUGAUCGAUUGAAAACGAAAAUAAUAAUGAAGGUAAUUAAGAAAAUGAACAAUAUAUGCGGAAGCGGUCCUUAUUAGUACUUCUAGAUUUUCUCUUGGGCUUUCCUUAUUAUUGUUAAAAAAUGACCCGAAGAACUUUGAGUUUAAAAAUCUGGCCCUGAUGCCUGGUAGCCCUUCAACACAUGAAGCACCAGAUGUUUUGAUGAGAAAAUGACAAGACCAUUUAUCAAAUUUCUUGUGGAUAUAAAUACAUACACAUAGACGAGACCAACCUCCUCAAAUGAGAAUCAGAGUGAUUACAAGACCUUGCAAUGAGACAAUGAUACACCAUCAAAUGUCAAAAUACAAUAGAAAUUCACGACAUAUAUAUAAUAAAAGACCUCUCAUUGAGUCAUAUAUAUUGAGAAUAAAAAUGUUAUAAUACAUACACAGAGCUUAGUUAGAAUAAAAUGUCUUUGAACUUACGAUGAUCAAACAAAGGAAACAGACAGGUUGUAACUCACACUAUCACAAGAAGAUCACGAAGAUGGAAAUGGGAACCCCUCAGAAUGGAAACUUUGAAUAGAGCAAAAAAGAAAAAACGACCUUAUUCACAGAAGAAGAGUGAUACAACUUGGCCAAUUGUUGUGAAUCAGAUCGAGCACAAUGAGACAGCAAGGGAAGAGACCCAGCCUGCAGAAAUAGAAGAAGUCCAACCCUUGAAUGAGACACAAGCUAAAGAGCAGCUCAAGACAGGUCCAGCUCGCGCGAGAAAGAAACCAGGAUGGCUCAAAGACUUUGUCAUUUGAGGAAUGUUCGAGAAUGCUUGAGAUAUCAUAAUAACGAAUAUUGUUCUGUUUUCAAUUAUUGUUUUGUUGUUAUCAAUUUUAUUCUAUUUAGUUAGUUAAGGGUGCGUGGCUGUUUUUGGAAGGGAGAAUAUAUUGUACUGUCAAGGGACCCAUGAGGGCAUGAAAAGAAAGGAUAUCAUUUUGUCUUUUUUCAGCUUCGUCUUCUUUCUCUUCUCUGUAACUCCCCUGUCCCAUUUCUCUUUCUUCAAAUUAUUUUCUCCACGAAUUGGAGCUUGCACUCGCUCAAAGAGUGUCGUAUCAACUGGUGCUUUCAUUGCAUUUAAUCUCUUUACACAAAACAAAAAAAAAAUGUCUCUCACAGAACCAACGACUGAUUCAGCAGUUCUCUCCACCAUGAAGACGCUCAUUGAAAAUCAAAUGCUUGCUGUUCAUCAGACCUUAUAGCAAUAUAUGUCCACGGUGGAUUCUCGAUUUGAGGAGCUACGUUCCCAAAUCAAUGGUUCCGUCGGAGGGUCAGUGGGUUCUUCCCGCCCAAUGGCGCCAGAACCAGCGUCUUCGACUGUACUGUCAGGUGUUACUGAUAUCUCUCCUCUGUUGCGUUCUAUGAAAAUGAAUGUCCCAAAAUUUGAUGGCACUGAUCCGAAUGGUUGGGAUUUUUGAAUCAAUGAGUUCUUUGAUUUUCACGGCACCCCUGACCAUUUACGCCUUCGUAUUGUAUCUUUUCACAUGGAGGGAAAAGCAGCAGCAUGGUAUCAAUGGAUGAAGGCCAACAACUUGCUGAGCACUUGGCAGAAUUUUUUACUCAAUCUUAAGCAAAGAUUUGGUACAUCCUGUUGAAAAGUCAAAGAGGUUUGGUUGAAAAAGAAAAGUGAGUCACAUGCAUUGCUUUUGUUUUUCAAAGUCAGCACCAAAUUGCAAGCUGUAAAAUAUUUGGCAUUUGACAAUCCUGCACCAAAUGAAGAAAAAUGGAAAAGUAAGCAAAAUUUGUCAAAUUGACAGAGAUGGAGAUUGACAAAUUGCAGAGGGAUUAGGUGGAAUAGUGCAUGCUUGAAGCCUAUAAAUUGAAGCCAUUUUUUUUCAUUCUAAAUCAUCCCAAAAUUUGUUAAGCUUAUAAGUUUCUAAGCUUUUGAGAGUUCUGAAAGUGUGAGCAAUUGGAGAGUGUGUGUGAGAGUACUGGGUGUAUUUGGGUUCUGGAAAAGUGAGAUUUCUUUACUCAAAUUUGUACUCAAAUAAUUGUUAAUAAUACAAUUAUUUUUCUCUUGCUCCCAUGGACAUAGGCAUAUUGCCGAACCACGUAAAUUCUUGUGUCCUUUAUUUUUCUAUGAUUAUUCGGUGUGUUUGUUUCCGCAUUCCGCGCACAACAAGUGGUAUCAGAGCCGACGGUUCGUACUUGGGGGGAUACGGUACAAUUUACGUAUACGGUACUAUUCAUGUAUACGGUACUGUUCACGAAUACGGUGGAGACGGCCAUUUGUACUUAGGAGACAGUCUAUUGUAAGUAGUGUGUAUUUUUGCAUGUCUAGGAAAGUUCUGUCAACAAAGGCGAUAAGAGUCUAAGGAUUCUGGUUUUUAAUUGGGACCAAGUUCCUGUCCAGUUUCCUGGAAACUUUCCUGGUGCAUUUAUUCACGCGAAAUUAACAUCAUAGAGACUGUUUUUCAAGUGAAAAUAGUUCGUUGAGAAAAUGGUAGAAGGUGAAACUUCCAGAAUUGGGGAGAGAUCUGCCGAGACUAUUUCAGGAGACACUUCAGGUAGGAGGCGAGAUUUGUCAAAUCGCUAUUCAGCACCUGUUAUAGGAGGCCAGAAGAUCGAUAUUGAAAAGUUUGAUGGGAAAAUCAACUUCGGCAUGUGGAAGCGCGAAGUUAUGGAUGCCCUUAUUCAAAUCGAUCUCGAUGUUGUUCUGAAAAAUAAAAGACACUUGUAUGAUGAAGAAAUUUAGGAUCGUAUGAACGAGAAAGCUUGUGGUCAGAUUUGAUCUUGUUUGACUAAGGAGGUGAAAUACUUGGUGAAAGAUGAGGAGUGUGCGGUGACUUUGUGGCGUACAUUGGAGGAGAAGUACCUGCUAAAAAGUCCUGAAAAUCAUCUUUCGAAUGAAGCCUGGGGUGUCAAUGCACGAUCAUGUCUCAAGAUUUGAAAAGUUACUUGCUGAUUUGAAGAAUCUUGAUGAAGAUAUUAAGGAUGAAAUCAAGGCUAUGAUUCUGUUACACUCACUGCCAGAGGAAUAUAGCCAUUUUGUGACUACCUUGAUAUAUGGGAAGAAUGUGAUCGUCUUCAAAGAUGUUUGCACAACAUUGACUAACUUGGAGAUUCGGAAUAAUGAUAAAAAUUCUGAACGAGCAUCGUCUGAAGCUUUAGUGAGUAGAGAUUGGGUGAUGGAGAAAAAGAAAAAGCGUGGUGGAAAGAAUUCUCGAUCCAAAUCGAGAAGCAGAAAUCUAGCUCGAGAUGAGUGUGCCUUUUGACAUGAAAAGGGCCAUUGGAGGAAAGAUUGUCCAAAGGCUCAAAAGAGAGAUGGGAAGAAACCAGCAGCAGCAAACAUGGCACGGAAAGAUGAGGACUCUGAUUAUUCACUAAGUAUUACUCCUGCAGCAUACGUGGCUAGUUCGAGUGAGUGGAUACUUGAUACUGGAGCAACCUAUCAUUUGUGUCCCAUUAAUGAAUGGUUUACGAAUUUUCGUAAUCUGGAAUCCGGUGCAGUUGUGAUGGGGAAUGAUCAACCUUGUCGCACAAUGGGGAUAGGAACAAUUCGGCUCAAAAUGUUUGAUGGAAUGAUCAGAGAACUCAAAGAGGUUAGAUUUGUUCCAGCUUUAAAGAAAAAUCUAAUUUCUGUGGGUGCUUUGGAAGCUAAAGGCUACAAGGUUACCAUUGAAGAUGGCACAAUGAAAUUUACACAUGGGGCUAUGGUGAUUCUGCAAGGGGUUCGGCGUCACAAUCUGUACUAUUUGAAGGGAGGUACAACUGAUGAAGCAAAUAUUAUUGAGGCGCACAGUAACACCACCAAGCUAUGGCAUGUACGGCUGGGACAUACUGGCGAGAAGUCUUUGCAAACUCUGAUGAGGCACGGACUCUUAAAAGGUACCAAAACCUGUAAAUUAAAUUUCUGUGAGCAUUGUGUAGUAGACAAGAAAACAAGGGUCAAGUUUGGUACAGCCAAUCACGAUACUCGUGAGAUCCUUGAAUAUGUUCAUAGUGAUGUAUAGGGAUCAACCAAGAUUGCAUCAAUUGGUGGAAGCCAUUAUUUUGUUACGUUUGUUGAUGAUUUCUCUAGAUGUGUGUGGGUGUACACCAUGCGAGCAAAGGAUGAGGUUCUAGAGAUUUUCGUGAAAUGGAAGAAAUUGGUGGUGACUCAAACUGGCAGAAAGAUCAAAGUAUUACGAUUUGAUAAUGGAGGUGAAUAUACUUCUGAUCCAUUCUUGCAAGUAUGCCAGAACGAGGGUAUUAAAAGACAUUUCACGGUGAGACAUACUCCGCAACAGAACGGUGUGGCUGAGCGUAUGAAUCGUACUUUACUGGAGAAGGUACGGUGUAUGUUAUCUAAUGCUGGUUUAGAUAAAAAAUUUUGGGCUAAAGCUAUGAGCUACGCAAGUCACUUGGUAAACCAGUUGCCUUCUGCUGCAAUUAGAGGUAAAACUCCUAUGGAAAUGUGGUCUGGAAAGCAUGCACAAGACUAUGAUUCUCUUCGUAUAUUCGGGUGUCCAGCUUAUUAUCAUGUCAAAGAUGGUAAACUGGAUCUUCGUGCUAGAAAAGCUAUCUUUAUGGGAUUCAAAUGUGGAGUAAAGGGCUUCAAGCUUUGGGAUCUCGAAGACAAAAAGUUUGUGUGUAGCAGAGAUGUCACAUUUGAUGAAGCUUCAAUGAUGAAAGCUUCAAGUUCUCAGCAGGUGGAGAACAAGACCAAAGAGGUAUUGCAGCGGGUGGAGUUUGAUGCAACUUCAUAUGUACCAGUUAGUUCUACAUCAAAGAAUGGUUCAACUAUGGAGGUGACACUUAGAGUUGAAGAAUAUGUUAUUUCUUCUGAUGUCCCACAAAAUGAAGAAACAAUUGAUGAUGUAGAUAAUUAUGAUUUUAUAGCAACAAGGAGACCAAAAAGAGAGAUAAAGAAACUCGAAUGGCUUACUAAAGAUAUGGUGGUAGCCUAUGCACUUUCAGUUAUUGAUGAUGACAUCCCCAACACUUUCGGUGAAGCAUUACGCAACAGUGAAAGUGAUCAGUGGAAGUUAGCCAUGGAGGAAGAGAUGAAAUCUCUCCAUCAAAACCAGACUUGGGAACUUGUAAAGUUACCAAAGGGGAAAAGGGCUAUUGGCAAUAAAUGGGUCUACACCAAAAAGCAAGGAUUUCCGAAUCAAACAACUCCUCGAUAUAAGGCAAGGCUCGUGGCAAAAUGUUUUGCUCAAAAGGAAGGUAUUGACUACAAUGAAGUUUUCUCUCCAGUUGUAAAACAUACUUUCAUUCGUAUCCUACUUGCCUUAGUUGCAGAAUAUGAGUUAGAGUUGGCUCAAUUGGAUGUUAAGACAGCGUUCUUACAUGGAGAGUUGGAGGAGGAAAUCUAUAUAAUUCAGCCUUGUGGUUUCAGAGUUGCUGGAAAGGAGAAUCAUGUGUGUAGAUUGAUUAAAUCUUUGUACGGACUGAAGCAAUCAUCAAGGCAGUGGUACAAAAGAUUUGAUCAAUUUAUACAAGGGAAGAAAUUCACCAGAAGUGAACACGAUCAUUGUGUUUACUUUAGAAGACUACUAGAUGGAGCUUUCAUCUAUUUGUUACUCUAUGUCGACGAUAUGCUUAUAGCUUCAAAGAAUAGAGAUGAGAUCGAAAGAUUAAAGAAGCAGCUGGCUUCUGAGUUUGAGAUGAAAGAUUUGGGUGAUGCACAGAGAAUACUUGGGAUGGAGAUUCAUAGAGACAAGAAGAAUGGGAGCGUAUGGUUGACUGAAAAGUCUUAUUUGAAGAAAAUGCUAGAAAGAUUCGGUAUGGAUGACAAAACUAAACCGGUAUGUACACCUCUAGCUCCUCAUUUCAAAUUAAACUCUUCUUCAUGUCCUAAAUCUCAAGAGGAGCGCGAUUACAUGGCUCGUGUUCCAUAUGCUAGUGUUGUGGGUAGUCUUAUGUAUGCUAUGGUAUGCACAAGGCACGAUAUAUCUCAAGCAGUGAGCAUGGUUAGUAGAUACAUGCACAAUCCGGGUAAAAAUCAAUAGCUUGCGGUAAAGUGGAUUCUCCGAUAUCUGUAUGGGACAGUUGAUGUUGGGUUAUUGUUCAAGAAGGAUUGUGGUCAACAAUGUGUUGGGUAUUGUGAUUCUAAUUUCGCUGGAGACCUUGACAAGCGAAGAUCAACAACAGGCUGCGUAUUCACAUUGGGUGAAGGUCCGGUUAGCUGGAGGUCGAUUCUACAAUUGACAAUUACUCUAUCCAGUACGGAAGCAGAGUAUAUGGCAGCAACUGAAGCUGUAAAAAAAGCUAUCUGGUUGAAAGGCUUGUUAAGUGAUUUGGGAGUAAUCCAGGAAAACAUUACGGUCUUCUGUGAUAAUCAAAGUGCGAUAUUCCUUGCGAAGAAUCAAACAUAUCACGCUCGGACGAAGCACAUAGAUGUGAAAUAUCAUUAUGUGAGGGAGAUUAUCAAGAGCGGUGUUGUGUUGUUGAAAAAGAUCGAUACCAAAGAUAAUCCAUCAGAUAUGUUGACGAAGGUAGUUUCUGGAGUUAAGUUUCAACAUUGCUUGAAACUAAUUCAAAUCCUUCGAUUGUGUUAAGUUAUGUCCUUCGAUAAUUUUGAACUACGGUUGGCUUGAUCCCAAAUUUUGGGUACGUAGGCAGUCACAUAGAUGUAACCACUUUGGGGAUGAUGAUUGGUUGGUAGUCGGCUCAGAUUUGAACAAAUCUUCGCCGAGGUGGAGAAUUAUUGAAAAGUCGCCGAGGUGGAGAAUUGUUGAAAAGUCAAAGAGAUUUGGUUGAAAAAGAAAAGUGAGUCACAUGCAUUGCUUUUGUUUUUCAAAGUCGGCACCAAAUUGCAAGCUGUAAAAUAUUUGGCAUUUGACAAUCCUGCACCAAAUGAAGAAAAAUGGAAAAGUAAGCAAAAUUUGUCAAAUUGACAGAGAUGGAGAUUGACAAAUUGCAGAGGGAUUAUGUGGAAUAGUGCAUGCUUGAAGCCUAUAAAUUGAAGCCAUUUUUUCAUUUUUUCUUACUUUUCCAUUUUUUAUGCAGAGGGAUUAGGUGGAAUAGUGCAUGCUUGAAGCCUAUAAAUUGAAGCCAUUUUUUUCAUUCUAAAUCAUCCCAAAAUUUGUUAAGCUUAUAAGUUUCUAAGCUUUUGAGAGUUCUGAAAGUGUGAGCAAUUGGAGAGUGUGUGUGAGAGUACUAGGUGUAUUUGGGUUCUGGAAAAGUGAGAUUUCUUUACUCAAAUUUGUACUCAAAUAAUUGUUAAUAAUACAAUUAUUUUUCUCUUGCUCCCAUGGACGUAGGCAUAUUGCCGAACCACGUAAAUUCUUGUGUCCUUUAUUUUUCUGUGAUUAUUCGGUGCGUUUGUUUCCGCAUUCUGCGCACAACACAUCCAUGUAUGAAGAUCAUCCAGGUAACCUCUCCAAGCUCUCCCAAACGUCGACUGUUGCUGAUUUUCAGUCUGCCUUUGAGGAUUUGAUGAACAAGGUCACGGGCAUCUCCGAGCCAUUGUUGGUUAAUUUCUUUAUCACGGGCUUAAAACCCGAUAUCAGGCGAGAAUUAUUAUUUGCAAGACCCACAUCUCUCAUGGAGGCUUUUGCUUUAGCCAUAGCUUAUGAGGCACGAUCGGAAGAAAUCAAGACCUCUAGCCGUUCUUGGACAAAGUGGACACCCUCAUCUACUUACACCCACCAAUCCACCAUUACUGCCUCCCCACAUCCUGCAUCAUAUAAAACCCCAACAACAACUACUCUUCCGAGUUUGUUAGCCACUAAACAGCCACCUCAACCCCCAUUAUUGCCUACUCCCACCUUGCCUAUUCAUCGAUUAACUCCAACAGAAUUAAGAGAGAAAAGAGAAAAAAGGGCUCUGUUACAACUGUGACAAAAAAUAUAGCGCCACACAUCGCUGUCGUAGCAAGUUUUUGUUAUUAAUGGGUACGGAUGAUGAAGAUGAUGAGCCAAGUGAGGACGCUUUUAUUCAUGCACAACCAGACGAAGUAGUCACAGCGGACAUAUCUAGUUUGCAUGCCUUGGCUGGGCAAACUAAUCCACGAUCUUUAAGGGUGAUGGGCACCGUUGUCAACUAUCAGUUUCAGGUGUUAAUUGACAGUGGCAGUACCCACAAUUUUCUUAAGCCGCCAUUGGCUAAACGCCUUGGCCUUUCCGUUCAAGCUAUAACUCCUUUUCGAGUUUACAUUGGCAAUGGCAAUUUUCUUACUUGUCGAUUUCUCUGCCCUAAAGUGCCUAUCAAUAUGCAGGGGCAUGAAUUUCUUUUGGAUUUCUUCCUUUUGCCAAUCGAAGGCCCUGAUGCUUUCCUUGGGAUUCAAUGGUUACAAAGCUUGGGAAGAAUUUCUACGGAUUAUUCCGAGAUGACGAUGGAGUUUCAGUAGGAGGGAAAAUCUGUCAUUUUACGAGGAGACCCAAUUCCAAAUCCGAAUUUAAUCUCUUUUAACCAGUUUCAUGCCUUGCUAUCCAACUCCAAAAUCGACAACGUAUUUGAACUUCAUUCUUUACCAACUGAACCAUCAACAACUCACACAUCUACCAACACAUUGCCGGAUAAUGACUUAGAAUUUCCGAGGUCGUUGCCUGAACCUAUUACUACUCUCCUUCAAAAAUUUAAGGCAUUAUUUGCUCCACCCACUGGUCUUCCCCCUCAACGGCUAUUUGAUCACAAAAUACACCUUAUUCCCAAUUCCAAACCAGUCAACGUUCGCCCAUAUCGGUAUCUUUAUUUUCAGAAAACCGAAAUGGAGAAAUUGGUGAGAGAAAUGUUAAAUCAAGGCAUCAUAAAACCCAGCCAAAGCCCAUUUUCUUCACCGGUAAUGCUAGUAAAGAAAAAGGAUGGCUCCUACAGAUUCUGUGUGGAUUACCGCGCUGUGAAUACGGUGACAGUGAAGGACAAAUUUCCCAUCCCCACUAUUGAUGAAUUGUUUGACGAACUUGGCGGUGCUAGGAUUUUCAGCAAACUUGAUCUAAGAGCCGGUUAUCACCAGAUAAGAGUUCACAAGAGGGAUACUUAUAAAACAGCGUUUCGCACGCAUGAUGGACACUACGAGUUUCUUGUUAUGCCGUUCGGUUUGACCAACGCGCCGUCCACUUUUCAAGCAACAAUGAACCAAUUAUUUGCUUCCUUUUUACGUAAAUUUGUUAUUGUCUUUUUUGAUGAUAUAUUGGUCUAUAGUGCAUCAUUGGCUGAUCAUGUGUAUCAUUUGGAGCAGGUUAUGAGUUGUUUAUACACAUAUCAAUUUUAUGUCAAAUUCUCCAAAUGUUUGUUUUGCCAGGAAUCAAUUGAUUAUUUGGGCCAUAUUGUGUCGGCUCGAGGAGUGCACGCUAAUCCGCAAAAGAUCACAGCCAUGGUAGAUUGGCCCUUGCCUAAAUCGGUGAAGCAACUGAGAGGGUUCUUGGGGCUGACAGGGUACUACUGACGUUUUAUUCAAGGCUAUGCAACCAUCGCAGCUUCUCUCACUGAGUUGCUUUGUAAGGAGGCUUUUUAUUGGAAUCUGGCAGCUACUCAAGCUUUUCAAGCAUUAAAGAAGGCUCUUGUGGAAGCCCCUGUACUUCACUUGCCGAAUUUUGCCUUGGAGUUUGUCAUUGAGACCGAUGCUUCUAAUGUCGGGAUCGGUGCUGUGCUAAUGCAAGUCGGGCAUCCUCUAUCUUAUUUUAGCAAAAAGUUGGGUCCUCGAAUGCGUGCAUCCUCGACAUAUUUGAAGGAAUUAUAUGCUAUUGUAGCUGCGGUUCAAAAAUGGCGUCAAUACCUCCUUGGUCGAUUUUUCCUUAUACGCACUGACCAUAAAAGCAUAAAGGAACAGUUUCAACAAGUUAUUCACACCCCAAAGCAGUAAUUUUACAUUCGCAAGUUGAUGGGUUAUCAAUACAGAAUCGAUUAUAAAGCUAGUAACUUCAAUAAAGUUGCUGAUGCUUUAUCGCGAAUUCAUGGGGACAACGUGACUGAAGAACCCAAACCAACAGCACUCUGUUUGUCAUUUGUAAGCCAACCUUCUAGUGAACUAUUGACAGCUCUGCACAAGGAAAAUUGCACUCUUCCUGAUAUGAAAUAACUCCAUCAGAGGUAUGCAGCCGGUUCACUUUCUUCUGACUUCUCGGUUCCUGCUAUUUCGACAUCGAUAUUACCUCAGCCCCAACUCAUCAUUAAAAGCCGUGCUACUCAAAGAGUUUCACGAGACACCUAUGGCAGGACAUGCUGGUAUUAAAAAGACAUUGGUACGUCUUUCAUCGACUUUUUUUUGGCCUAAGAUGAGGAAAGAUGUUGAGCAAUAUGUAGCCGCUUGCCUUGUUUGCCAGCAAAUUAAAUACUCAACUCAAGCGCUGGCGGGUCUGUUACAACCUUUGCCCGUCCCUUCAUUAGUUUGGGAUGAGUUAACCAUGGAUUUCAUUACAGGGCUGCCACUUUUGAGAGGAUUUGAAGCAAUUCUGGUUGUUGUGGAUCGUUUAUCAAAGUCAGCUCACUUUGGAGCCUUGCCUUCUCAAUUUACUGCCAUCAAAACAGCAGCUUUAUUUGCUGACAUGGUUGUAAAAUUACAUGGAUUUCCUAGCUCUAUAAUUUCAUAUCGUGAUCCUAUAUUCAUGAGCAACUUUUGGCAAAAAUUGUUUGAUUUAAGUGGGACAUAGUUAUGCCACAGCACGGCUUAUCACCCUCAAACGGAUGGCUAAUCCGAAGUAGUUAACCGAGGGCUUGAGCAAUAUUUACGAGCCUUCGCACAAGACAAGCCACAGACAUGGUCUUCAUUUUUAGGCUGGGCUGAAUUUUACUACAAUACCAGUUAUCACAGCAGCUUGCGUAUGACUCCCUUUCAAGCCCUUUAUGGACGUCUUCCUCCCACAAUUCCAAGUUACUCAAGGGGCUCUACUUCAAUCCAAGCGUUAGAAGACAUGUUAAUUGAGAGGGAUGCCAUGCUUUGCUCAUUGAAAGAGAACUUACGACAAGCUCAGCAUCGAAUGGCUCAAAAGGCUAAUUUACAUCGCCGAGAAAUUCAAUUGCAGGUAGGUGAUAAAGUGCUGGUACACCUUCAACCAUAUCGCUAGACAUCAGUUGCUAAGCGCUCAUCUCACAAGCUGGCAAGGCACUAUUAUGGACCAUUCACAGUGGUAAAGCGUAUUGGACCCGUUGCUUACAAGUUAGAGUUACCCACAAAUUGUAGAAUUCACUCGGUGUUCCAUAUUUCCUUACUAAAACCUUAUGUGGGAAACUUCCUCAUUGAUGUUUAUUCACUGCCUCCAGGAAGUGUGGAUAACAAGCCCCUGUCAUCGCAAAUUGCAGUAUGUGCUGAGCGAAAGAUACUUCAACAAGGCAAAGUAAUUCCACAAAUUUUGGUGCAAUGGUCUGAUAGCUCACCAGAAAAUUCGACUUGGGAGGACUUUGAGGAAUUUCGUAAACUCUACCCUGCACUACACCUUGAGGACAAGGUAAGCUUUCAAGGAAUGGGGAAUGAUACAACUUGGCCAAUUGUUGUGAAUCAGAUCGAGCACAAUGAGACAGCAAGGGAAGAGACCCAGCCUGCAGAAAUAGAAAAAGUCCAACCCUUGAAUGAGACACAAGCUAGAGAGCAGCUCAAGACAGGUCCAACUUGCGCGAGAAAGAAACCAGGAUGGCUCAAAGACUUUGUCAUUUGAGGAAUGUUCGAGAAUGCUUGAGAUAUCAUAAUAACGAAUAUUGUUCUGUUUUCAAUUAGUGUUUUGUUGUUAUCAAUUUUAUUCUAUUUAGUUAGUUAAGGGUGCGUGGCUGUUUUUGGAAGGGAGAAUAUAUUGUACUGUCAAGGGACCCGUGAGGGCAUGAAAAGAAAGGAUAUCAUUUUGUCUUUUUUCAGCUUCGUCUUCUUUCUCUUCUCUGCAACUCCCCUGUCCCAUUUCUCUUUCUUCAAAUUCUUUUCUCCACGGAUUGGAGUUUGCACUCGCUCAAAGAGUGUCGUAUCAAAGAGUGACUUAAAUUUUCAUCAGUAUCCAGACAUUCUGCAAUCAUAGAGUAGAGAAAUUUUAACAGGAACAGCAGAGAAAAUAUUAUGAAUAUGCUAUAGACCAAUAUACUUGUUCAUAGCUAACGUUUGAUGGUUUAAGGAUUUGUUCUAGGAAUAAUGGGUUGAUUACUUUUUUUAUUUUAAUUUUUUUUAAUCCAAUGAAUGAUAUUCAGCUGUUAAUUAUGUGUUCAUAGGGAAGAACAUUUUCUAAGUACUUUCCUUGCCUUCUAACUUUCCGAAAAGCAAACCCAAUGAACAAACAGAGCACAAACUAAAAUAAAAGAACAGCAAUGAUGACAAUAAAUAAUUGGAAAAGAAAAAAAGGAAAAAGUAUGCACGUUUUCAAGGAAUUAUAAAAUACGAAGGCUUUUAAUGAAAUUUUAUCAUAAAAACGUAUGCAAGGAGUUAUAAAAUUUUAGAAGACGAGGGGAGCUCCCAAAAAAAAAAAAAAAAGAAAAAGACUCAAAUUAAACUAGACUAAAAAGACAUUCAAUUAUGCAAAAUCUGUCCAUAAAAGUCUGAAAGGAUCAUUAAAAUUGCAUUGCAAAUUUAACAGUAAACUGAGGGACCCAUUCUAAAUAAUUCAGUUGAAAUUGCGAAACAAGCCAUGGGAUUAAAUAAAUGAAAUAAAAAUUAAUUACCAGUUGAGACUUUCUUCUAAAAAUUCGCAACUCCAAGUCAUAAGAAGCCUAUGAAAUUAGUCGUAAUACGUAGAGUAUAUCGACGACACCGCCAACAGCUGAAAGUAAAAUUCUUAUUCAUCAAUGUAAACUUACUUUAUAACAAAUAUCUUAUCUAUAUUGUAUUUAAGAAAGCAAAUUUUGUAAAAAUUUAUCAUGGGAGAUAGAGAGUAAUAUGUAUAUCCGUACCUUCUCAGCAGGUAAUUGUUGUAUGGUUGUGUUUAGAUCAUUAUUAGCCCAGCGCCGUUGAUCCGCUGUCUCUCCAUACCAGACAUUUACUCUUGGAGGCGUGAUUGCUUCUCCUGUAGUGAAAAUCUUCAUCUUGGGACAACCAAUCACCCACAAAUCUUGCAAAGAUGGCAAUUUGAAGGUGUAAUUGGGAGAGCAGAAACUUGUGAGGCUAUCUAAAUCAAACAGUUCCAACGUCUUCAAUUUGCGGAAAACAAUCUCUUCUUUUUCAACUCCAUCUUUGUCAUUUAUUACCACCUCUGUCAUUGCUCUGCAUCCAUAUAUUUCUAUUGCUACGAGUCGCACCAGAGUUUUUGCUGUGGAGGAUGUUACCAUGUGUAACAAUUUCUUGCAACCGAAAGCCACCAGAGCUGUUAGGUUCUGAAAAGAUACCGAUGAUGAUGGCAAUAGAAUUAACAGACUUUGACAAUGAUAUGCUUUUAGAAUUUCAAGAUACUGAAAAAUGGGGCCAAGUUUGGAGUCUUGUUUGCACAGCUGCUUCAGAUGAUAGUGCCAGCGCAGCUCUAAUGUUUUUAUCAUUGCCAACUUCCCCACAUGUUUCUCUAAGCUUCCUUCCUCCGAAAAUACCUCUUCGUGGAAUGAAAAUUGAAACAGUGAGAGUAUUUCGAGAUUGUGAAAUCUCUCAAGUACAUUCCAGAUUGGAAAACAAGCUGAGUUAUCUUCGGCAAUCUCUAGUUGUUUAAGACUGCCAAAAAGGUGUUGUGGGAAAUCGGCCUGCAAAAUCAUCUUCACGUCUUUUCCAUUCAAUGAUAGGUCCUUCAAGUUGGGUAAGAUCUGAUCAUCAUAAAUCAUAAUAACUAAUGAGGUCAAUUGAUGUUCUCUCAAAUGAUUUUGAGUAAUCCAAUUACCAGCAGUGACUUUAUAGUAUCUGUUUUAUAUUAAUUUUACCCCCAAAAAAAAUUUAAUUAGUGAUAAAAUUCAUUAUAUGAUUUUUUAUAUGUUAAUUUUAGAGGUAAAAAAGAAAUUAGGGAAAAAGGGUUGAUUUAUAUUUGCAUGAAUUUCACAACAAUAAAUUAUUAAUUUAUUUUGUAAGUCGUUGUAUAAAGAAAAACUAAGGAUUCUUUACCUAAAAAAGUUCAUAUAAUUAUUAAUCUCCCACAUUGAUCCCUUUGUCAAGACUAGCAAAGAUUAUUAUGUAAUAAAAAUUUUCAAUUUAUUAAGUAUUAAUUUAUCAAUGUUUUGUUACAUUUUUCAAAGUCAAAAGACGUCAAUGAGAUAUUGAAAAAAAUAUCUAGAAAAUGACUUCAUACCUUUUCCAAUGGCAAUAGGGGCUGUUGUGCAGGAAUACCAAGUUGAUCAUUCCCAUUAUUCUGCGAUAAAUCUGCAGCGAAUAUUUUUAAUUUGUCACAACGACACACUGCAAAAUUUUCUAGUGCUGGCCAUUCCGAAGUAUGCAUUCCUGGGUAUAAACAUCUAAGUUUUGGUAGACCUUGGAGUAUCAGAACGGUGAGCUGUGGAAAGACAAAAUAAGGGAUCACUUCAUCUGCUCUGUUUUCAGAAAUGAUCUCCUGUAAAUCCUUACAGUCUCGUAUAUCUAGGUGUUGGAGCUGCUUAAGGCUUCCGAUCAUAGACGCUGAAAAUAUGUAUUUCAGUUUGUCACAGUACCACACAACUAAUCGUGUUAAACUUUGAAAGUGAGGAAACACGGCCGCCGGAAUUUGAUUGUAGUGCCAAAUCUUGUCGACAUUAAUUGCAGAUAUCUCCAAAGCCUCCAAGUUAGGCAACGCAACCUAAAAAAAAUAAGAAUUUCUCGUUAGAUCCAAUAUCCAUAUGGGAAGCACUUGUUGAAAUUUUCUUCUUUGAUUACAAAUUAAUGCAAGUCAGAAUCAAUUUUCAACUGACAGCUGAGUUUGAUGCAUUCUAAUUCAUACUACUUGUUAAGAGCUCAAUUAGUGAGCGUGUGAGAUUCUUUUUAUCCUUUUUUCCAUUUUCUUUCAAUUCUUUAAAUGAUUUAAUUAUUUUCCACGUAUGACAUCAAAAGAGAACGCAUGAUAGAAUAAAAUCUGUUAUAUAUAUAUAUAUGAAGAAAAUGUUAGCCUACGCACCUUCUUGUUGAAAAGCAGAGUUGAAGUAUCCUCUUGCGACGAUGGUCUGUUUAGUGAUGCUGAAGGAGUCUUUACUUCACGGCAGACAUUUGUAACCUCUGGAAGAUUCCCCAGACUCAAAGAUCUUAAUUGAGCAAACUCUAUCUUCUCAAUUGCAUUAUCAACUUCUUCCCCAAUUGCAAAAAUCUCUUUCAUCUUGCUGCAAUUAACAACUGCAAUUCUCUCAAGUCUUGGAAGGCAUUUUGUAGUAGAGAGCCAAAAGAUAUUACUCAAUUUAUCACAAUUAUAUGCUUCUACGGUUUUGAGUUAGUUGAAAGACUCUACUUUGAGCCGAUCAACACAUAUCCUCUCCAUGUUGAUCAAAUUGUGAAGGAUAAGUGACUCCAAAAGAGGAAAGGCUUCACAAGCUACCAUCUCCAUUGAGUCCACGAUACACAGGAAGUUAGGAUUAUUUUGAACAUGGAGAUGCUUCAAUUGUGAAAAGCCUUCUGUGUCCAAAUAAAAAAGAACAUUCUUGACACCUUGCAGCUUGUCCAACCAUAGGUAUUCAACGUUAUUGAUGCCCUGCAAUUUCAUGGAGCAAAUGUCCAUAAAAUCAAGCUUGAGCUUCAAUUCUCUUAAACUCUCACGAUUACUCUUGAUCAAAAAGUGCGGCCGGCUUUGAAACCGUUCUCUUGUAACAUUCUUGGGAGGCAUGAAUGACUCAUUUCCAAUGGAUAUAUUGAACCUUUCGAGCUUUCUGGCCAAAAAGCCUUCCGAUAAAAUACUGUCAUUUUUAACAUCAAUUUCUAGAGUGGUUAGCCAAGGUAAAAGCAUCAAUUCAUCAAGGCUAGCAUUACUUCUUUCACUGUUGGCUCUUUCAACCUCCCAUUCAACGGAGCAAUUACCCAUAUACAAUUAUUCUAAUCGGAUUAAGCUUGAUAUGACAUUUGGGGCAAUAACUUUCAGACGGAAACAGUCUGUUAAAUCUAACAGCCUUAGCUUAGUCAGUUGCCCUAGUGCUUUAGGUAACUGUACAAUAUCAGACCGCACAAAGCUAAGGAUUUCUAGAUUUUCCAACUUUCCAAUAAUGGCUAUGUCCAUGUCUCCCAAAAUGCUUUGAUUAAGACAAAGUGUCCGAAGAUUUACUUGAAGAUCAAUUGAAGAUGGCAAUGACAAUAACCGCAUUCUAGUCAAAUCCAAAACCCGAAGCUUUUUCGUCCUUUUGAAGAAGUUCUCAGGAACAUUGGGCCCAACAAAAGAGUUAUUGGGUGACAUGAAUUAAAAUUCAAGUUGUGUAGAUUCCAACACUUCAGGAAUGUCAUUAAUAAUACUAUCUUUUAAACAAAUUGCAAAAUAUUUUUUUAGUGCAUCUGCAUCUGGCCAGUUCCACACACCCUCAUUUCUCACCGCAAAUGCAAUUUUGUCACGACGUGCUAUUGAAAUGGCAACAUCGCGAACAACAUCAUGCAUGGAAAAGAAUUUACUGCUACCAUCCUCAUGCAACAAACAAGACUCUCUUAGUUGAUGGACCCAUGCAUGUAAUUUGUUUGUUAUGUGCAUCUUCUAGCUUAUGGACACUUUCAAAUGCACCCAAGCCCAUGCUAUAUUUGAACAAGUCCAUAAUUGAAGUUGGUGUAAUUAGACUACACAGUAAAAAAGUUUUCUUGAGUUGCUCACCUCUUAAAUACUUGUAACUUAGCUCAAUUGUUGAGUAUGCCUCUACUGGUACUCCUUCAUCGAAGCUUGCCUCUGAAGGCGUUUGGAGUUCUUGCAAGGCAUUCUUCCACACAGGCAGCUCUUUGUUUCUCAGUGCCUUUGCUACUGUGGUUAGGGCAAUAGGCAAACCUCCACAUGCCUUGGCUACAUUUGUUGCUGUAGAUUUUAACUCACGAUUUUCAACAUAAUUACCAGCCAUUAUCUUGAACAACCUCCAAGCUUCUUGCUCAUUUAGAAUGCCAAUCAAGAAGUUAUUUUCAGAUCCCAUACUUAACAAGACAUUACGAUCCCUUGAUGUUAAUAAUAAUUUGCAUCCUCUAUGAUCAUCGCCAAAAGGAAUUCCGACAGUCUCUAAAUCAAGAUAUUUCCAGAUGUUAUCCAGAAUCACAAGGAUCAUCUUCUCUUUCUUCAAUCGUUCAUAAAGUCUACUAGCUCUUCUAGAUUCAGCCUCCUCGGACAACUCCAGACCUAGUUUCUCUGCAAUUUCCCCUUGAAUCUUUUUUAUGUCUGGAGUUUGGGAAACCUCUGAAAAAACCACCUGAUCAAAGAGUUUCUCUUCACUGGCUUGCCUUGCAAACUCCUUCACCAGUGUUGUCUUUCCAAUGCCGCCCAUGCCGUAUACCCCAACGAUGCUGACAUUGACAUCAGUCAAUGCAUCUUGUAUAGACUUCAGAGUAGAAAGUCUUGAUUUAAAGGCCUCGUAACCUUUGUUAGACUUUAGCCAUACCUCCUCCGCAAUGGUACGGUAGAAAAUUCUAUCAUCAAAUCUCCUAGCUUCUUCUUUGAGUUCAACAAGGGCCUUCACCUCUGUUUCUGCUUUCUUGCUAAGCUGAUAGCGGGUCUUCAAAUUAGGACACAAGCCCUUGAAACAUCGCUUACUUGUUGUCUCCCCAUCUUCAAUGAAUUUGGCUGCCUGCUCAAUGGUGUUGUUCGCACUAACCAUCCACUUCUCAACCUUCUCUUCAAUCUUUUCUCCUUUUCUUUCAGCCUCAGAAACUCUGUGCUGAAUGCUCUUACUUUCAUCCUUGAGCUUGUCUAUUUCUGCCUUGAGAUUCUCAAAGUUGUCUUUAUAGUUACGCAAAUAACCAAGUUGGCGUUCUGUUGGAGGAGCGAAGCAUUUCACAACUUCUAACAGAACAGUAACAAUGCUUUCCACCAUCUUCGAUCCUAUUUUUUUCAAAGUUCCGAAAUGAAAAUAAACGACGAGCGAAACACAGAGAGAGAGAGAGAGGCAAAAAAAAGAAAAACGAAAAAAAGAAAAUGAAACAACAAAGAUGACAAGUGUAUAUGGUUGUGGAAGUGGAGAAAUCAAUGAAAGCUUAAAAACUGCUGUGAAUCUGGUGAGAAGAUGGAAACAAGGAAAAGGUUUCUAGUUCAAAAGUGAUUGAAUUGAUAUAAGGAAUGAUUUAGAUAAUAGAGGAAAAGUGAAUCAGUCAAAACAACUUAUGUAUUGACCAGAAGAAAGAUGCAAACAAUAUUAGAGACAACAACCGCGCUAUUGACUGGUAAUAGAGAUGGAGAAAAAGAAAUAUCUUCACACGGUGGAAGUACAAAGGGUAGAUAUGGAACCAAACAGAGACAACAACAUGCCACAACUAGAUUGGGAAUGGAGAGAAACAAAUUAACAAAGACUGGAGAUUACAACAGAACAGAUGCCAAGAGAAAAGGGUUUCUUCAUCCAGUGAAAUUCAAGAGAGUUGACAGCAAAAGGGAGCAUAUGUGUUUCUUGAUUGAGAACGAGUGCAAAGGAUGACUUUUUAAUGAGGUUCUGAAGCUGACGAAUAACGAUUUGCUAAAAUUUUGAGAAAGUUAUAUAUUCCGUAACUUCAACAAGUGAAGAAUAAAAGAAUAAUAGUUCGUCAUCUUCACAAUGAAGAUCAUGGAUGAGAUUAAAAGCUAAAACUAGUUUUCAAAAUAAUUCCUUAUGAANNNNNNNNNNNNNNNNNNNNNNNNNNNNNNNNNNNNNNNNNNNNNNNNNNNNNNNNNNNNNNNNNNNNNNNNNNNNNNNNNNNNNNNNNNNNNNNNNNNNUCUUUUUUCUUUAAUACACGAAUAUACGCGACAUCUUAUUUAUCUUAAUAUGGUUAUUUGAUAUUUAUAUUUUCACAAAUCAAAACAAAAAAAAAGUAGUUAGAUUUUAUAGUUUAAGAAAUAAAUAUAUUUUAUAAAAAUAUUUUUAGAAUAUAUAUUUACUUCUUAUUCAAACUUUUUUCUAUUCAAUAAAAGUCACAAAAGUUACUUUUUCUAUUCAAAUGUAAAUGCUUAAAAAUCAGAUAUAAGUUACAAAAAAUGUUUUUAGAAAAAGUCAUAAAUUAAUAAAAUUUCAGAUUUUAUAUAUUUAACUCCCAAUGCAGAUCCGCCCCUAUUAGUGUUAGGAAAUUGACCGGUGAAGUAGGUCCACAACUAAAAUGAAAUUGAAAGAAAAUGAAGAACAAGCACACAGAGAACACCAAAAAUUACAUGGUUCGACUUUUAGCCUACGUCUACAGGUAAAGACAGAAGGAUAAAACUUUACUGGUGAAAUGAGGAUUACUAGUAUUAUAAUAUUUUGUUUCACUUCCCAGAACCUCAAUCCACUCAAUCUCUUAAAACACUAAUCACUCAAGAGCAUUAAAACUCUUAGUCUCUCACUCUAGAAUUGAAGAAGAAAAGAAUGAAAUGCGGGGGUGAACCCCUCAUUUAUAGUUAAAAAUUUGGGCACUAUUUAUAUAUUUAUAUAUUUUUUUUUAAAUUCAAAGUUUGAACUUGACAUUCAAACUUUGAAUAUCAAAAGGUAUUGGUCGCUCUUCUAGAAAAGCGAUAUUGACUUUGACAUUCUCCCACUUAGAAAUUUAAUUGAGAAUCAAUCAAUCUCCACACCAUCCUUUCUACUUCGCCGCUAUCAUGUUGCUUAUGUCUCUACUAGGCCAUAAAAUGAUCUACUCCAAACAAAUUUAUCAACAUUGAUAGGCUUGGGCAAAACAUUUGUUAGGUUCUCCUUGGUAUCCACUCUUGUAUCUUUCACUACUUCAUGAAGAAGUGAUAUUGUACUCCUAUAUUCUUUGUCCUGGAAUGAAAGGUUGGAUUCCUUGCAUCCUAACUAUCACAAGCCAUAAAAAAUUUUAUGCCCAAGCUCCUUCAGUAACCUUUGUAUCCAAAUAGCCCUUCCAAGCUUGUGUAGCUGCUAUGUAAUCUACUUCUGUUGUUGAUAAAACCACAACGGUCUGCAAUUUUGAAAUCCAACUAACAAUUUCUCCUUCUGGUGUAAAUACUUAGCCAGUAGUGGAUUUCCUUUUAUUAAGAUUUUCUGUAAAAUCUAAAUGCACAUAGCCCUUGACAGUAAAUUCUAAUCCUUCGUAACAUAAUGCAACAUCUAAUGUUCCUCUGAUAUAUCUCAGAAUCCUCUUAAUAGUCUUCCAAUGUUCUUUGCAAGGAUUCGCUAUGUAUCGACUAACCGCUCCCACUACUUGUACAAAUCAUAGUGAACCUUAAAUUUUCCACUGCUGAUGCAUACAGUGCUCAAGACAUCUCUUCUUCUCUACUUCAUUACCAGAUGAAUACUUAAGAAUAACUUAAAAUUAAUAGGAGGCGGGGUAGAAAGCCAAAUCUUCUUGCUAUUACUAUCUCGGUGAAUUUGCAUCCCUAAAAUCUUGUUUACUAGUUCUAAGUCUUUUAUUUCAAACUCCCUAGUUAACUGUGCCUUCGGUUCUUGGACUCGGUCUUUGUUGGGGUCUGCUACCAAUAUGUAAUCCACAUACCACAAUAAAAUGAUGAAAUCAUUAUUAUCAAACUUGUUGUAAUAUGUACAACAAUCUGAACUGAUUCUAUUGUAUCCAAUGUUUAUGAUGAAGGGAUUAAAAUCUCUUAUUUCAACAUUUCGGUGCACGUUUGAGAUCGUAUAGAGAUUUGUUCAACUUGCAAACCAAGUGUCCCUUUUUAGUAAAAUCUUCUAGUUAGAACAUAUAAAUCUUUGUUUCAAGUUCUCCAUGAAGAAAUGAAAUUUUCACAUCUAACUGCUCCAAAUAUAGGUCAAAUGUAGCACACAUUGACAAGACCACUCUGACUGUCCUAGGUCAAAUCACUGGAGAAAAUAUGUCAUUGAAGUUAAUACAUUCUUUCUAAGCAUAUUCUUUCACCACCAAUCUUUCACGAUACCGCUCCACUAAGUUAUUACCAUCACAUUUGAUCUUGUGGACCCAUUUGCAACCAAUGGUUUUUUUUUUUUCAUAUGGUAGUAGUACGAGUUCCUAUGUCAUAUUCUUGUGUAGAGCCUUAAUUUCUUCCUGCAUUGCUAUCAUUCACAAAGUAACAUCUGAGCUGUUUAAAGUUUCAUGGAAAGUUGAUGGCUUUCCAUUCUCUGUUAAAAGACAGUAUGCAAAAUUGAUAUCUAUGACAUAAUCCAAAUGCCACACUGACAGUUAUCUAUCACGAGUUGACCAACAAACUUUUGGGGCCUCAGACUCGAUUGGUUCUUGUUCUCAUACUUUGGUGUUGCUUCAAAAAAAUAUGAAUCUUCAUUUUCCAGAUUAUUUUCAACAUAUAUUAGCACAAUCUCUGAAUUUUUAUAGUGCUAUCAUCCAUAUCUCUCUUUUGCAUUUGAUCUUCUACAAAGAUAAUAUCUUUGCUGAUAACGAUCUUGUGAGCAUUGAGGUCCCAUAGAUAAUACCCUUUCACUCCAUCAAUAUAUCCUAAGAAGAUACAUCUCUAGGAUUUUGGAUCCAUCUUUAAUCUCACUUGGGUAUUGUAUAUCACGUAAAAGGACAUCAAAAUGCCUGAGAUGAGAGUAAUCAAUUGGCUUUCCUGUCCAUUUUUCCAUUGGAAUCUUCAACCUGAUUGCCUUGAAUGAUGACCCAUUUACCACAUAACAAGUAGUUUUUGCUACUUCCGCCUAGAAUGAGUUGAUAGACCAGCAGUUCUCAACAUAACUCUUAUUUUUUCUAUAAGAGUCCUGUUCUUUCACUCUACUACUCUAUUUUAUUGAGGAGUGUAUGCCACCGUGAACUAUCUCUAGAUACUUUCUUGCUUACAUAUGCAAGAAACAUGUUAUCUGUAUACUCUCCACCAUUGUUUGUCCUCAGGCACUUGAUCCCUUGCCCUGAUUUAAGUUCAAUCUACGCUUUGAAUUCUUUGAACAAUAGAAAUACAUUUGACCUUUUCUUGAUUGGAUACACCAAAUAUCUCCUAGAAUAAUCAUCAAUAAAAGUCACCAAGUACUUUGCACCUCCUAUAGAUAUAUCAAGUUAUUCCCAAACAUUAGAAUGAAUCAAGUCUAAAUACAUUUACUUUUGAAAGUGGAUCUGCUAAACUUUCAUCUAUGAUGCUUCCUUGUUUCGACAUGUGGCCAAGUUUAAGAUACCACAUCAUCGUUGAAUUUUCUCUAUUUGAUGUGACACACAUAAAAGCUUUCUGUAGUGUUUCCCUUUAAGUAUGAAUAGAUUAGCACCGAUCUUUUCCACUUUCAUUAAUGCAAGUGCGCCUUUGACUAUCUUUAUGAUCCCAUUUUCUACAUGAGUUUUGCGCGCAAGACUAUUUAUUUGUCCUAAAGAUAAGAGAUAUUUUUCAAGUCUUUGACAUGUCUUACCUUCUCAAUUGUGUGAACCGUACUAUUAAACAUAUUUAUUUUGACAGUACCAAUAUCAGUAAUCUCAAAGGCAUGAUCAUUACCUAUGUAUACAAAUUCUCUUGAAAUAGGUUCAUAUUUGUGAAAUCAUUCUCUUGGAGAGAUCAUGUGCCAGGCAACUAUUAAGUCUAUAAGCCAGACGUCAUAUAGUGGUUUUCUGCCUUUUGAAGUAGUUGUUGCCUUACUGUAGAGAAUUUUGCCCUCAUACGAGGUACUUACUACAUACCCUUGAGCAUUUGAUGACUUAGGAUCUUUACCCUCUCUUCUCUUCUAGUUGUUCCAAUACUCUUCCUUGCCACGCCCUUUCUUGCCACAAUUGUUGCAUUUGACAUUCUUCUUACUUCUUGAUUUUGAUCUACCGUGAUUGUGGCUCUCACUAGGGCCACGUUCCAUGGAUCUUCCUUUCAUCACCAAUAGUGCUUCUACUUGUUGCGAACUCGUUUGUCUAUCUUUUUUAUUUUUUGCUACUCUCCUCAUUUAAUACGGAGGCUGCCAUAUUGUCAAAGACUAACUUGUCUGCUCGAUUGUUAUUAGUUAGAUUAAUGACGAAUUGAUCAUACGAAUCUGGUAAACCUUGAAGUAGAAGCUCCACAUGUUCAUUUUCCUCUAUUUUAUGACCUAACGUUGUAAGUUAUGAAAAUAAAGUCUUUAAAGUGUUGAUAUGGUCGAUCACUGAUGUAGAUUCCGCCAUUCGAAGAGUAUAAAGCCUCCUCUUUAAAAAGAUUUUAUUUUGUAGUGAUUUGACCUCGUAUAGUCUUGUGAGAGUAAACCAUAUUUCCUUUGCUUUCUUUUACUCUACCAUAUUGAAUAAUACCCUAUCUGAAAGUGGGAAGUGUAGAUCUGCAAUGGCAUUAUUGUCUAUUUGAAAGUGGUAAGUGUAGAUCUGAAAUGGCAUAAUACCACUAUUAGAAAAUUGAUUGGUGAAGUAGGGUCACGAUUAAAAUAAAAUUGUAAGAAAAUGAAGAACAAGAACACAGAGGACAUCAUCAAUUAUUUAGUUCGGCUUUUAACUUAUGCCCAUAGGCAAGGACAAAAGGAUAAAACUUUACUAGUGAAAUGAGGAUUAUAAGUAUUUUAGUAUUUUGUUUCACUUCUCAAAACCUUAAUACACCCAAUCUCUCUAAACACUCUUAAUCACUCAUUAUAGAACUAAAGAAGAAAAGAAUGGAAUGAAUGAAAUGAGGGGGUGAACCCCUCUAUUUACAGCUAAAAAUUUGGGCAUUUUUAUAUUUAUUAUUAUUAUUAUUAUUUCUAAAUUUAAAGUUUGAACUUGAUAAUCAAACUUUGAAUAUCAAAAGAUAACGGCACCAACCUUGACUCUUAGGCUGACCUUUAGAGCUUUAAAUAAAGAAAAAGCUUUUAAAAAUGUCAUGUGUACUUGAUUAUACAAAAAUCUCCACCACAUAGAAUGAUUUGAUAAAAGAAAAUUUUUAUUUUUAAUUUUACUUUUAUCAGGCACAGUGCAUUUCCCCUUGGGCUCAUAUGUAAGGAUGUCAAUAAGAAGGGAAGGAGAGGGGAUUGAUUUCCCCAUACUCAUCUUUAAUACUCUGUCUAUCUCUUUGUACUCUAGACAUUUCCUUCAAAAUUACUUGAAAUGAGGGGAUGGAUGUUUCUAAAUAAUACAAAGGGAUCUCCGAUGGUAUCCGAUCGCUGAUUAUUUAAUUUCUUUUUUUUUCUUAAUUUAAUCAUCUUAAAGUAAAAAUAUAAAAUCAUAUUAACACAAAAAUAUCAAAUUAACUAAAGUGAUUAAAAUCAUUUCCAUCAAAUUAAGUCAAUGUCAUCAAAUUAGAACAUAAUCUUUGAACUAAUUAAGCAAAAGUAAAUCUUCAAAGUUGAACUCAUCCAUAAAUGUCAUAUAGUAUAAACCAUCAAUUAAAUUAUCUUUGUCAAUUUUAAAUUGUUUAUAUUUACUUUAUAUUGGCUGUUAUUUAUAUUAUUUUUAUAAAUGUAUUAUAAUAUUUUUUAUUUACAUCACACUAUUACAAUUGAAAUUUUAAAUGUAUUUACUAUAAAUUUGAAAAAAAUGAAUUAAAAAUAGAAACUAAAGAUAGAAAUAGAAAAAUGUGGAGCCAAAUAAAAUAUUAGGGCAAACACCAAGUUAUAUUUCAUGUAACUUACACCCACACAUAUUAAUUUAUCAGAUUCUUGUCUCCACAUAGAAAAAUUAGAUCUAAAAUUAUCAAACUCCCGAAUGAGGAAGAUCCCUCGGGGCCAUCGUCCCUGUGGAAAUUUCUGCAUCCCUGCAGUCUACAACGCCUAAUAAUGAAUUGAACGGUUGAAAUCCCUCUAAAUUUUUGAUAAUUUCUAAUCGCCCCUCCGUAUUUGAUUGAACAUCAAAACUAUUGAGUCCAAAUUUAUAACUUUGAUUUAUCUUCCAUUCCAUAGUUUUCAAGUUCUCUCUCUCUCUCUCUCUCUCUCUCUCUUAAUCCUUUUUACUGCAACCACCAUCAAAGCCUAGUAGUUAAUAUGUAUGCUGCUUUGCUUUCAAAAUCGGACACUACUGCUAUUUAUGGUUUUUAUUCUUUAUUUGACACAAAAUUUGGUGAUAUCUCCGUGGAAAAACACUACUGGUGUAUUCAAUUUUAUCCGGUAAUGGUUAAAUUGAUUAGUUAUAUGAACGGUAACUUCGCCAAGACGAAAAUACAUAUUAAGUUAUAAAGUGUUGGCACUCAUUAUUUUUCGCAAAAAGUUUCGCCCAAAAUACAUAUAUUUUUUUAUUGUUUUAUUUGACACAAAAUAUUGACAAAUUUUUCUGUGAAAAAACACUACUAUUAUAUUCAAUUUUAUCAUUAAAGUUGUUAGUUACAUGAACCUUAAAUUUGUUGGAUCAUAAACUUGAUCCAAGAUGAAUAAAUUCAAGCCCAAUUCAUGGAAGAUUCCAUGAGUAGGUAUGGUUGGUGAAGUAGGUGAGUGGUAGGUUUUAAUAAAUGGUGAUGAUUUAUGUAGUAGUUGAAUAAAUGAAUAGUUGUGAUUAGUUUGUAUCAUGUAUAAAUACCCCCUCUCCCCUUUGGUUUAAGCAUCAAGUGAAGUAACAAAAUCUCUAAGGUGUAGAGAAUGAAAAAUAAGAGUUGUAAUUGGUAAGGAGUGUUGUUGAAGAAAUAAAAUAGUGUGAUUUGUGUGUUUUAUUUGUUAAUUCUCCAACAAAAUUAACACGAACCGUAACUUAGCCAAGCCCAUAAUACAUAUUUCAUAUUUGUAUGAACUUUAAAGUUUUUCCACUUAUUAUUUUUCGCUAAAAGUUUCUAAAUUGUAUUGUAGUUUGAACUUGCCCAUCAUUCAAUUUUUUAACUCCACAAUUAUUUGACCUUACCAAGCUUGAAAAUAUCCUUCCAUACAUAUUUAAUUUUCUCCAAGUAUGAUCAAGAUUUAAUCAAGAGCCUCCGGGAUCUUAAAGUAUAAGAAAGGUCCGGAAAAUCUUUAAAACCCCACUGUUUAAAGUUUUUUUGGACUUUCCUGUACUUUAAAAUCUUGAAUUGAUAUAUAUAUAUAUAUAUAUUAUCAUUGUUAGGUGCUAGUACCCUCAUUUUUUUUUUUAAUGCAAACACCCUCUUAAGCAGUAGGGUUUAAUAGGAUUAUUGUUGAAUAAACUAUAAAGUCGUGCAUCUUAAUAACAUUAAAAACUAACUUUCAACUAGCUCUCUUAAAUUGUACGGCUUAAAAGCAUGUCCGCAUGAAAAAAUAAACAUGCCUGCACCAAAAAAGGACUAUAUAUAUUAUUUAUUUUAUAUAUACAUACGUGUGCACGCUCGUGUAUAUAUAUAUAUAUAUAUAUAUCUUUUUAAUAUAUUCGAUUACUUUAAUAAUCAAUUUAAAAUAGUUUGUGAUAUUUUCAGCUAUUUAUUUAUCUACUUUUAGUUAGUUAUUUACACCGAAUGAAGUGCUAGGGUCCAAAUUUUAGUAUCCUUCUCAGUUGUUUGGGAUUAGUAAAUACUAAUUAGCUUAUUCGUCCCGAACAGGCGCGUAAAUGCUGUUAGAUUUCGGAGAGAUCGAUGCUGAGGAUGGUACAAGAUUUAUCAAAUUGUGGCGACAUUUUUAUACCUUUAGAAUUUCAAGAUUUUGAAGAAAUAAAUGGAAUCUGUUUUCCAUAAGUGCUCCACUAUCCACCAGGAGGAAUUCUAAAACACAUUACAUAUUCGUGAUUUCUCAUAAUAAAUAAACACAUGUUAUAACAUUAUUUACUUAUCGUAUGACUGAUAUGAUACUUUGGAUUGCAAUUCUCAUACAAUACAUAGAAUUAUCAUAAUCUAUAAAUUGUAUUUUUGCUUUUCUACGGUAGUAAGUCAAGAAUCCUUAGUGACAAUUUAAAUUGAAAAAAUAAAAUCAUAAAUAAGAAUUAUUUGAUAAGAAUUAAAAUAAUUGAUAAAUAUUUGAGAGGAGCAAUUUUGGAAGACUCGAUUUCUAAUAGGAGGGGAAUUUGAAUUUUACAACUUUCGGUGAGGAAUCCAAAAUGCACAAUUUGAUGAAAAUUAAAUUUCAAUAGAAAUUGAAUUCCCAUAUGUUAGUGAAAACCAAACAACAGAAAAGUGAAAGGAAUUUGAAUUCAUUUCCUUCCCGUCUCAUCCCUCCAACUAAACACCAUCGAGACCCAAAGAUAUGGGUUUGGAAUUCCAUACUGAUCACAAUGGGAUUUGUCCAUAUUAUUAGGACCAAUUUUAAAAGCAGUCGGAGUUUAAAAUUGAAAUUAAUCCUAAUUUUUUAUUUGGGACUAGAUAAGAAUUUAUAUUGUAACUCCAAUUCUCCCAAUUAUUUUAGUUGAUAAUAUGUUUAACAUUAUUAAUUGCAUAUUAUUUAAUUAUCAGUAUAUAAUAUUCUUUAAUUUUCCAAUUUUAUAGGAUUAGACACAAAAUUGAUUAUGCUAAUAUUCUUUAAUUUUCCAAUUUUAUAGGAUUAGACACAAAAUUGAUUAUGCCUUCUGAAAUUUAAGGGUUAUGUCAAUUGAACAGAAAACUUGGAGUUGAACUUUUGGAUGUUUUUGUUGAUUAUCAAUUUAUGCAUGAAUUUUUGUACGUUUACUUUGGUUUAUUAUUGUUACUUUUAGACAUUUUUAUUGGUUUGAUUUAGGGUCAUUUUGGUAAUCUUGUAAUUUUUAAAGUAGUUACAGUUAGCUAUGCUGUAGAAAUUGAUCAAUUGUGAAGAGAAUCAGCUGAACAUUUAGUAAAAUUUAUUUUUAAAAGUACUUUAGUUUUAAAAGCAGUUGUAUGUGUUUCGUAAAUCUUAUUUUUAAACAGGUGCAAGAAUAUAAAUAACUAAAUUGGACAUAAUGCUAAAUAAAAUUUAUUUACACAUUUACAAACAUGUAUAUAAAAUAUUUUUAUUAUGUACAUAUAAUUAUUGAUAACUAAAAUAAAAAUUUUAUAUUAUUAAAUUUUAUUCUUUAUUUUGUUAUCCCAAUAUAAUUGGUAAUAAUAAUAAUCUCUUAAAGUUAAUGAUUUUAUUUCUUAAUUAAUAAAGAUAAUUCUGGAUUUUUAUUAUAUAAUGAGGAUAUAUAUAUAUAUAUAUAUAUAGAAUUGGAUUAAGUAUAAAAGUGAUUUUCAAAAUCAAAUUUUGAAAAACUAUUCCUUCCAUACUUUUCAAAAUCCACUGUAUGAUGAGAUGAUUUUUCCAAAAAUAAUUGCUAAAAAAUUAUAAAACACUAAAAAUUAGGUUUUAGUUUUUAAAAUCACUUUUGAGCUUCCCAAAAACAAUCCUAACAGGCCUUUAUUUAGGUGGUGUUGGAACUUGUAACUUUUGGAUCAUUUGGUUUUUAUUGGUUUGAUACAACUGUUACACUAAAAAUUGAAUGUAUCUUAAACCCCACACUUCUUCUUCUUCUUUUUUGAUUGCACAAAAUUAAAAACAAUAGUGAACGCAUUCUUUAAUAAACAAUAAGUAAUUACUAAAAUUGUGUUAAAGAAUUUAGUUGAAACAUAAAUUGAUUUCAAUGUUGUAUAUGCUAAAUUUCUUAAAAAUUUCUUUCACGGUUUGCUGAAUAGUUUUAUUAGUAUUUUGAAUAAAUAAAAAUAAUUGAUUUAAUUUUUUAAAGAAAUUUAUUAGGUUCAUGUAAAUACGUUUUUGUUAUUUUAAAAGUGUACAAAGUAAAACUUAAUUUUUUAAAUUUAUUAGAUGAGUGGAUAAAAUAAUUGAGUGUUCAUAGUAAAUUUUAAAGUAUAGAUAGUGAGACCCUAAUAUUUUUAAUAUAUGGAAAUUUUGAAAAUAUGUUAAUGGGAAUUAAAAUGAUAAUUAAGGGAGGCAUUCGAGACAUUCAGGAUUGUUAGGAUAGGACAUGAUUGUGAGCGGUUUGAGAUUGGCCCUAAUUUUGAUCACAAAUAUAUAAGCAGGAUGAGUUUAUCCAUUCUUACAUUCCAUUUGAUAAUUAAGAUGAGAGUGGAAUUGUCAAAUCCCAAAUUAUCCCGGACCAUUGCCACCAAAGGUACUCUCACUAAUAAUAUCUAAAGAAAAAUCUACAUCUAUUUCAUACCUUUUUUUUAAACGGAAAGAGCCCUUAUGGGGCUUGAAAUGGUAUCCUAAAUAAUAUUCAAAAUAUCAGGCCAUGACUGGGUUUGUAACAAACAAAUAUUACAUAGUUGGGAUACGUAGUUACUAGUGUCCCAAUUUAUGUAGUAUCUAUCAUUUAGUGCACAUAUAAAGUGUUUGGGAAAUGAAAUAGGGUGACCAAGAUAAGGUGUUUGCUCAUACAUUAUCGUGCUCUCCUCAAAGUAAAAAGUGAAAAAAUAGUUGAUAGGCUACUAGGAGUUUAUUUGGUCACCUCGAGCACAUCACCUCGACCAGGAUAUUAUUUGGUGAUCUCGAGCACAUCAUCUUGACUAAGAGAUUAUUUGGUCACCUUGAGUAUAUCACCUCGACCAGGAGAUUAUUUGGUGACCUCCAGUAGAUCAUCUUGACCAGGAGGUUACCAGGAAGCACGACUCAGUCGAAACAAAUCUCACUUAUUUUCUUCGAAAUAUUAGGGACCAUAUUCUUAGUGGGCUGAAAAUUGGUGGUUUUCUUGAGAGUUUUAGGUGAGAGGAUAAAAAUCACUAUAAUUUGCUAUAAAAACCCUGGGAAAGGGAGGGAAAUAGGGAGAUUCUUUUUAUCUCUCUCUCUUUGGGUGACUGAACCCAUGGGAUCUUUUUCUUUCUACCACUGGGAACCUUCUCUUUCUCUCAUGAUUUAUUUUUCUUUAAGAUUGGUUAUUUUUUAUUCUUUUCCCAUAAAUUUACUUAAAAGCUUUUUGUUUAAAGUAUUCAUAAUUAAGCCGCGUGAAUUGUGGUACGGAUUUUUCCAAGUAGACCCAAAUCGCUGACUUGAGCAUCGGAGGAUUUUCUUUAAGAUUGAUUAUUGUUUCCAUAAAUUUGAACCAAGAAGGAUGACGCGAUAAAAUUUGUUUUUAUUGUAUGGUUGAUUUCAUAUCUCAUGCACUCAUUUCUUAAGAUAAUUAGAUUUCAUCUUUUGCAAAUGUGGAAAUAUCAAUUAUGGUCAAUCAAAACGAUCUCAAAACCUUUCAACGAGACAUAUUUAUAAUACAAUAUUGUGAAAAUUACACCAAAAAAUUAAUUUAUGAUAUAUUAUUAUCCCACCAGCACACAAAAAUGAAUUCGUACAAAUCUAAAAUACUUAGCAAUUUUCAAAUAGAAUUUUAAAUUUAUUUCCAGUUAGAAAACUAUUCGCUGGACUCCAUAUUACUAGCCACCAUCGUAAGCCUAACCGGUUGCCGGCGAACGGCGUAAAACACCAGCCAUCUUCUUCUUCAUCAUAUUCUCCUUUCAUCUUUUGAGUUAAGCCUGUGAUUAUGAGUUUCUUCUCUUACUUAGCUUGUAAUUAUAGAUUUUGAUUCUUUUUAAUUCAUAUUGUAGCCGUUAUUGUCAAUUUUUGUCCCGCCAGCAAUAUUUUUUUAUUCCUACAAGUUGAAAAUGGAUUCAUUUGAAUUACUAUUGAAUUUAGCUUUAAUUUCAAUAUCCAUUCUAAUGUUUUGCUAUUAGAUUUGCUUUAAUUUUAUGUUUAAAGCUUCUACAAUGAAUAGCGGAGCUUGGGUUUUAGUUUCAUUUUCUGUAACUUGUUUUAGUUUAUCUUGUAUGCUCACCAAGUGCUUGUUAUAUUGUCUGAUAAGUUCUAUACAUUGCUGAUUCUAUAUUAAUAAUGUUAUGUUCUAUUUUCAGAAAUUAUAAUACAAAAGUUUUUACAAUGGCGUGCAUCUACAAACUGAAUUGACUUGUAGAAUAAGAGCUUGGAGUAGUGUUAUGUUCUUGAAUAAAUGAAAGUUCAUAUUGUGUAAGAGCAUGUAGAUGUAAAGCGUCAUUACCAUUUCUAUAAAGGACUUUCAUUCUGUUCAGAUGCUCUUCUUGAACAUUGAAAGGUGCCUCGUUCAAGUCCUAGCUAUAACUACUAGCUUUGAUUAAUUAAGUUCCUAUACUAGCUGAAACAGAUUUAUUUAAUUAAUUAAUUGUGUAUGUACUGAUUAUAUUGAAAGUAUAUGAAUUUUUUUUUUUUUUAACAUGAAUGACUUCUAAAUGACUUAAAAACCUAAAGGAUAUGUGAAAUUAUGCUCAUUUCACAUGAAUGAGCCUAUUAAUACUUUUAUGUCUAUGAUUGUCAAUAUUGGCUUAAGCAUUUCAGUUAAGUGGUUUACCUAACAGAGAAAAAAAUUUAAUAGAAAACUUCAGAGUUCUAACAGAAAUAUAGUUCACUAUGCAGAUAUAGUUAUUUUACGGUAUACAAAUCAAGUUGUCCUAAUCUCAAUGUCCUAUGACCAAUUUUAUUUUAUAUAGUCAUUAAUUUUUGCCAUGGUUUUUUGUGUUUAUGAGUUUGAAAUAGUGGGAUUUGGUGUACCUUAGCAUCUUUUGAAAAUUCUCUUUAAGUGUGGCCAACAGAAAUAUACAUAUAAUCAAGUUUCUUAAUCCUGUAUAUUAGUUUUGGGUAUGAAUGGUCCUAUUCUAGCUCUAGGCAAAGCUUCUUUGUUUUGGGCUUCAGAUUUCCAGUAGGUUAAGUUAAUCAACUAUCAUAACUGGCUAGCUAGUUAUUUGUUUGCCUUGCGGCCAUUACCCAGGGCAUUAUAUUUGCAUAGGCAUAAGGGAAUAGUGAUUAUUAGUGAUUUGUUGAGCUUAUUAUUGACGAAACAAAUGUAUUUCGCCUUUGCCCACAACUUAUUUGAUUAGGUAUUAGACCAUAAGGAGCCUGGAUCUAUUCAUUGGCUUUAUUAUUUUUAUUUGGUUUUUCUUUCAACAAUAUUGUUGAUUUCUUAUAAAAAUAUUCAUUGGCUUUUAAACACCUAAUCAUUGGCUAUAUGAAGCUAAUUAAAACUGAGGCUUUGGAUCAAUUUCUUCUAACAAGAUACAAAUGAGCAAAACCUUUCUCCUCUAAGUUAAUUUUUUUAAUAUCCCUUGAUUUGUAAGGAUCUGGAGGCCUGAAUCCUCUUGAUUUUUUUUAACACUGUCAAUGUUCUUUUUAUUCUGAGAAGGAAAUAAAAGGUUUUAUCUUUCAUACCCGAAUAGUAAGCUGGCCUUGUCUUAACAUGGCCUCCCGAGGACUUGCAAGAUUCAUAGUGCCCCCCACCCCAAAAAAAAACAUAAAAAACACAAAUAGGAAGAUUUUGCAAGAUUCACCACCAGGUUUUUUUUAAUUUAUUAAUUGUGUGUACGUGCUAGUUAUAUGUUGAAAGAAUAGGAAGAAGUAUUUCAACAUGAAUGACUUAAAACUUAUUGCUCAGUAAACAUAAUCUGCAUCAGUGCGAAAAUGUAUUUAUCGUUUGUAUUUUUUAUGGUUUUGCUAAAGAAAUGAUAUGUGAAAUAAUGCUACAUUGCAUCAGGAAUAAAUUGAAGAGAUUUAUGAUAUUUAUGUGUUAUUCAAAUUUCAGAUUCAAUUUUAAACUUUUGAUACGUGCAUUGAAAGCUUAGACUUGUUUAAGAAAUCAUUAAUAGACACAUGUUUUAUUAGUGUCAUCUUUGGAUGAUAGUGAGGAUCAUAUGUCUAUUAAUAAUUCUUGAAUUGUCCAGGCUUGGACAGUUUGGGAAUGCAUAGUUCACUCUGGUAGCUAGUAGCUGAAGUUUUUUCCCACGUAAAAAUGGGUUUUUCGGUAGCUGCUCCUCGUGUUCUCUGGGUACGUACUAGGUGAAUGGGUGUCAUGUGCUGUUUUGGCAUAACGCAUAAACACUUAUAUAGCUAUGUCGUGUGCUUGGAGAAUUAUAGGGAGAUGGUGCCGAAAUUUUUAUAAACGUGGAAGAAAACUUUAGGUACUUGAGAUUGAAGAAACUAAUGCAUUCUUGAGUGGGAUAUGUAGGAUUAGUUGCCUUUUGUAAAUAUGAAGGGAAUGUUGGAUAUAUUGGGGAUAGUGUAGGAGCUGAGUUGGAUGAAUGUAAUUGGUGAUGAUUUUGCUGAGCUGACCUUGGUUUUGAGCUUGUAAUUUUGUUUGUAAAUGGAGUGCUAUCUCCAAUGUUGGUUUAUAAAAAUGUUUCAGGACUUGCUGACCUAAUUUUUUGUUUCUAGGUUACAGGCUUUAUAUAUCUGUAAUUGAUAGCCAAGUGAAGUUCUCAGCACUUGGCAAGGAUAUUUCUUUACAGAAGGUACUGGAAACUGUUUUUUACAUUAAUUAUCGUUGUUUAUAUACUUUGAUUGUCACAUCUUUUUCUCUGAUUCUUGUGGCUUUGCUUGCUUUCAUAUAUGUAAAUUCUAAUGAAAUUAACCAUAAAAUUGUAAAAUGAUUUUUUUAUUAUAUUGCAAAACUGUGCACACACGAAAAUAUCUUGUUUAGUAGUAGAAAUGAAGAAAUAAUUUUUGUAGCGCAUUAAAAGGAGAUAGUCAUGGACAAGUGUUGGGUUGGUUUGCCAAAUAGAUAUCCAAGUCAUAUACUGAUGGCGUUGAAAAAUUUAUAGAUUUUGUAUUUGAGAAUGUUGUUGGUGGUACAAGAAUUUAUUGUCCUUCUUGAUAAGUGUUGUAAUCUAUAUUUCGUUAUAAGGGAAGUGGCUGAUGAUGAUAUGGUUGGAAUGAUACAGUGCAUCACGUAAUCAAAUGUUCAAGUUACACGCAGCAUUGUUAUGAGUGGCAACUUGUCUGGGUGGAGUAUUAAAGGUAAAUAAGCAUGUCUUGUUUGCCAACAAAGCACUGGAUCUAAUUCGUUGAUACAUAGUAGAAAAUUUUGUCACGUGGGUCACCGUCGAUUUUUCCCAACAAAUCAUAGGUUUCGAAAAUAUAGUGUCUUUGAAUAAAACUAGAGAGUAGGGACAAGCACCUUCUCAGUUGUCUGCAACUGAAGUGAAAAAGCAGUUUAAUGUAUUUACUGAGUAUAAGAUUGAAGACUUGAAAAGAGAAGAACGAAUGAGAAAUGAUAAGAUUACUUGGAAGAACAACAGCAUUUCUUAAGAUUACUUGGAUGAGAAAUGAUGUGGAAGAUGGCUAUAAAAGAUAAAAGGAAAGGCUUAAAAAGAAAAGCCACGCCUGUCAAAAACAAAAAUCAAUGGCAGCGUCAAAUUUAUAACAAAAAUCAAAACGGUGCGUUUGAGAGUGUAUAAAAUACAUUUAGAGUGGGAGUUGUGUUGUUGCUUGAAGGCAGAAUGUUUGUGAGAUAUUUGUCGACGAAGCCGAAACCAAAGAUGAAGCCCAUCGAAAGUAUUUAUAGUGUAAAAAGUAUAUUGUGGAAAUGUCUGGUCGGUAAUACAACUAUUUCUUGUAGUGUAAAUGAUACACUAAUUUGAAUUUAUAUGCUUUUAUGAUUAUUUGAUUAUCAAGUGGUGAUCAUAUGUGAUGAUAAACUUAGGUCGUACCUUUAUAUUUAUAGCCUUAGUUUUCUAAGCGUUCACAUUUUGAUGAGUAAAUUAAGGAUUUCUAGAUGAAGUACAUAAUUAGAUUAAUGCUAAGGAACUGAAGUUUGAUCAACUGAAAACGAAAAUAAUAAUGAAGGUAAUUAAGAAAAUGAACAAUGCAGAAGCGGUCCUUAUUAGGACUUCUAGAUUUUCUCUUGGGCUUCCUUAUUAUUGUUAAAAAAUGACACGAAGAACUGAGUUUAAAAAUCUGGCCCUGAUGCCUGGUAGCCCUCCAACAUAUGAAGCACUAGAUGUUUUAAUGAGAAAAUGACAAGACCAUUUAUCAAAUUUCUUGUGGAUAUAAAUACAUACACAUAGACGAGACCAACCUCCUCAAAUGAGAAUCAGAGUGAUUACAAGACCUUGCAAUGGGACGAUAACACACCAUCAAAUCUCAAAAUACAAUAGAAAUUCAUGACAUAUGUAUAAUAAAAGAUCUCUCAUUGAGUCAUAUAUAUUGAGAAUAAAAAUGUUAUAAUACAUACAAAGAGCUUAGCUAGAAUAAAAUGUCUUUGAACUUGCGAUGAUCAAACAAAGGAAACAGACAGGUUGUAACUCACACUAUCACAGAUGUAGCGACACGAUGCAGUGAAUCACAAGAAGAUCACGAAGAUGGAAACGGGAACCCCUCAGAAUGUAAACUUUGAAUAGAGGAAAAAAGAAAAACGUCCUUAUUUCAAAUUGUGCACAGAAGAAGAGUGACUUAAAUCUUCAUCAGUAUCCAGGCAUUCUGCAAUCAUAAAGUAGAGAAAUUUUAACAGGAACAACAGAGAAAAUAUUAUGAAUAUGCUAGACCAAAUUAGUCCCUUUUUUGGUUUGUGAAAACUUUAUUUUUUAUGAAUACGCUAUCCAAUAUUUUCAAUCAAUAUUUCCACAAUAUAGUUGUUCAUAGCUAACGUUUGAUGGUUUAACGAUUUGUUCCAAGAAUAAUGGGCUGAUUACGUUUUGUUUUAUUUUUAUUUUAUUUUUUUUAAUCCGAUGAAGGAUAUUCAGCUGUCUUUAAUUAUGCAUUCAUAGGGAAGAACAUUUUCUAAGUACUUUCCUUGCCUUCUAACUUUCCAAGGAAAGAUAGGUGUAAAGAAAAGCAAACCCAAUGAACAAACAGAGCACAAACUAAAAUAAAAGAACAGCAAUGAUGAGGAUAAAUAAUUAGCAAAUAAAGAAAGGAAAAAGUAUGCACGUUUUCAAGGAUUUAAAAAAUACGAAGGCUUUUAAUGAAAUUUUAACAUAAAAAAGUAUGCAAGGAGUUAUAAAAUUUUAGAAGACGAGGGGAGCUCGCAAAAAAAAAAGAAAAAGACUCAAAUUAAACUACACUAAAAAGACAUUCAAUUAUGCAAAAUCUGUCCAUAAAAGUCUGAAAGGAUCAUUAAAAUUGCAUUGCAAAUUUAACAGUAAACUGAGGAACCCAUUCUAAAUAAUUCAGAUGAAAUUGCGAAACAAGCUAUGGGAUUAAAUAAAUUAAAUAAAAACUAAUUACCAGUUGAGACUUUCUUCUAAAACUUCGCAACUCCAAGUCAUAAGAAGCCUAUGAAAUUAGUCGUACAGCGUAGAGUAUGACGACGACACCGCCAACAGCUGAAAGUAAAAUUCUUAUUCAUCAAUUUAAACUUACUUUAUAACAAAUAUCUUAUCUAUAUUGUAUUUAAGAAAGCAAAUAUUGUAAAAAUUUAUCAUGGGAGAUAGAGAGUAAUAUGUACAUACGUACCUUCUCAGCAUGUAAUUGUUGUAUGGUUGUGUUUAGAUCAUUAUUAGCCCAGCGCCGUUGAUCCGCUGUCUCUCCAUAGCAGACGUUUACUCUUAGAGGCGUGAUUGAUUCUCCUGUAGUGAAAAUCUUCAUCUUGGGACAACCAAUCACCCACAACUCUUGCAAAGAUGGGAAUUUGAAGGUGUAAUUGGCAGGGCAGAAAUUUGUGAGGCUAUCUAAAUCAAACAGUUGCAACGACUUCAAUUUGCAGAAAACAAUCUCUUCUUUUUCAACUCUAUCUUUGUCAUUUAUUACCACCUCUGUCAUUGCUCUGCAUCCAUAUACUUGCACUUUGACCAGUCGCACUAGAGUUUUUGCUGUGGAGGAUGUUACUAAGUGUAUCAAUUCCUUGCAACCGAAAGCUACAAGUUUUGUUAGGUUCCGAAAAGAUACCGAUGAUGAUGGCAAUAGAAUUAACAGACUUUGACAAUGAUAUACUCCUAGAAUUUCAAGAUACUGAAAAAUGGGGCCAAGUUUGGAAUCGUGUUUGCACAGCUGCUUCAGAUGAUAGGGCCGGUACAGCUUUAAUUCUUUUAUCAUUGCCAACUUCCCCACAUGUUUCUCUAAGCAUCCUUCCAUCGAAAAUACGUCUUCGUCGAAUGAAAAAAAAGACAGUGUGAGUAUUUCGAGAUUGUGAAAUCUCUCCAGUACGUUCCAGAUUGGAAAACAAGCUGAGUCAUCUGCAGCAAUCUCUAGUUCUCUAAGACUGCCAAAAAGGUGUUGUGGGAAAUCGGCCUGCAAAAUCAUCUUCACAUCUUUUCCACUUAGUGAUAGUUCCAUCAAGUUGGGUACGAUCUGAUCAUCAUCAAUCAUAAUAACUAAUGAGGUCAAUUGAUGAUCUACGGUCACACGCAGUGACUUUAUAGUAUUUGUUUUAUAUUAUAUUUUAAAAAAAAUUGAAUUAUUGAUAAAAUUUAUUAAAUGAUUUUUUAUAUGUUAAUUUUAGAGGUAAAAAAGAAAUUAGGGAAAAAGGUUGAUUUAUACUGGCUCGAAAUUAUUUUAUUGCACAAUAAUAAAUUACUAAUUUAUUUUGUAAGUUCUUCUAUAUGGAAACACUAAGGAUUCUUUUAGAAAUGCUAUACAAAAAAAAGUUCAUAUAAUUAUUAAUCUACCACAUUGAUCUCUUAAUCUAGACUAGCAAAGAUUAUUGUAUAAUAAAAGUUUUCAAUUUAUUGAGUAUUAAUUUAUUGAUGCUUUGCCAUAUUUUUCAAAGUUAAAAAUAAGCUAUAGACAAAAAAUCUAGAAAAUGGCUUCAUACCUUUUCCAACGGCAAUGGGGGCUGUUGUGCAGGAAUGCCAAGUUGAUCAUUCUGCGAUAAAUCUGCAGUGAAUAUCUUUAAUUUGUCACAACAAUGCACUGAAAGAAUUUCUAGCGCGGGCCAUUCCAAAGUAUGCAUUCCAGGGUACAAACAUCUAAGUUUUGGUAGACCUUGGAGUCUCAAAGUGGUGAGCUGUGGAAAGACAAAAUAAGGGAUCACUUCAUCUGCUCUAUUCUCAAAAAUGAUCUCCUGUAAAUCCUCACAGAAGCGAACUUCUAGGUGUUGGAGCUGCUUAAGGCUUCUGAUCAUAGACGCUGAAAAUAUGUAUUUUAAUUUGUGACAACGCCACACAAUCAAUCGUGUUAAAUUUUGAAAGCGAGGAAACGUGACCGGAAGAUGAUUGUAGUGCCAAAUCUUGUCGACAUUAAUUUCAGAUAUCUCCAAAGCCUCCAAGUUAGGCAACGCAACCUAAAAGAAUAAGAAUUUCUGGUUAGAUCCAAUAUCCAUAUGGGAAGCACUUGUUGAAAUUUUCUUCUUUGAUUGCAAAUUCAUGCAAGUCAGAAUCAAUUUCCAACUGACAGCUGAGUAUGCAUUCUAAUUCAUACUACUUGUUAAGAGCUCAAUUAGUGAGCGCGUGAGAUUCUUUUUAUCCUUUUUUCCGUUUUUUUUCAAUUCUUCAAAUGAUUUAAUUAUUUUCCACGUAUGAUAUCAAAAGAGAACGCAUAAUAGAAUAAAGAAAAUGUUAGCCUACGCACCUUCUCGUUGAAAAGCAGAGUUGAAAUAUCCAAAGUGAUUUCGCUGGAGCAAUACAUAGUCGUCGAUUCCUCUUGCGACACUUGUCUGUUCGGUGAUGCUGAAGGAGUCUCCACCUCACGGCGGCAAAAACUUGUAACCUCAGGAAGAUUCCCCAGACUCAAAGAUCUUAAUUGAGCAAACUCUAUCUUCUCAAUUGCAUUAUCAACUUCUUCCCCAAUUGCAAAAAUCUCUUUCAUCUUGCUGCAAUUAACAACUGCAAUUCUCUCAAGUCUUGGAAGGCAUUUUGUAGUAGAGAGCCAAAAGAUAUUACUCAACUUAUCACAAUUAUAUGCUUCUACGGUUUUGAGUUCGUUGAAAGACUCUACUUUGAGCCGAUCAACACAUAUCCUCUCCAUGUUGAUCAAAUUGUGAAUGGUAAGUGACUCCAAAAGAGGAAAGGCAUCACAAGCGACCAUCUCCCUUGAAUCGACGAUACAAAAGAAGUCAGGAUUAUUUUGAACCCAGAGAAGCUUCAAUUGUGAAAAGCCCUCCGUGUCCAAAUUGAAAAGAACAUUCUCGAUGCCUUGCAGCUUGUCCAACCAUAAGUAUUCAACGUUAUUGAUGCCCUGCAAUUUCAUGGAGCAAAUGUCCAUAAAAUCAAGCUUGAGCUUCAAUGAUAUUAAACUCUUGCGAUCACUGUUGAUCGAAAAGCGAGGCCGACUUUUAAACCAAUGUUGGCCAACACUCAUGGGAUGCAUGAAUAACCCAUUUCCAAUAGAUAUUUUGAACCUUUCGAGCUUUCUGGCCAAAAAACCUUCUGGUAAAAUAUUGUCACUUUUAACGUCAAUUUCUAGAGUGGUUAGCCGAGGUAAAUGCAUCAAUUCGUCAAGGCUAGCAUUACUUCUUUUGCUGUUGGCUCUUUCAACCUCCCAUUCAAUGAAGCAAUUACCCAUAUACAGCUCUUCUAAUCGAGUUAAGCUUGAUAUGAGAUUAGGCGCAAUAACUUUUAGAUGGAAACAAUUGGUUAAAUCUAACAAUCUCAACUUAUUCAAUUGACCUAGUUCUCCGGGCAACUGCAUAAUAUCAGACUUCAAAAAGCUAAGGACUUCUAGAUUCUUCAACUUCCCAAUGAUUGCUAUGUCCCCCAACGCACUUUGAUCCAGACAUAGUGUGUGAAGAUUUGGUAGAAGAUCAAUUGAAGAUGGAAAAGAAGAAAACUGCAUUCGAGUAAAAUCUAGAACUCUAAGCUUUUUCAUCCCUACAAAAAAGUUCUCAGGAAUAUUGAUUUCAAGAGAAGAAUCUUUGAGAGAGACAAAUAAAAAUUCAAGGUUUGGGCAUUCUAAUCCUUCAGGAAAUUCACGAUUACUAUUAUUUCUUAAAGAGAUCGCAUUGCAUUUUCGAAGUGCAUCCUCAUCUGGCCAGUCCCACACAUCCUUAUUUCUCACCAAAAACACAUGUUGGUGGCGGCAUGCAAUUGAUAUUGCGACAUCACGAACAACAUCAUGCAUUGAAAAUUGUUCAUUGCUCUCACCCUCAAGCAACAAACAAGAGUGUCUAAGUUCAUGGACCAAUGCAAAUAAUUUGUCUCGUGCAUCUUCCAUCUUAUUGACUCCUUUAAAUAUACCCAAACCCAUGGAGUACUUAAACAAGUCCGAAGUAAGAAUACGGUUAUCCAUUAGACUACAGAGCAGAAAAAUUUUCUUGAGUUGCUCACCUUUUAAAUGGUUGAAACUCAGCUCAAUACUUGAAUAAGUCUCUGCAGAUACUCCUUCGAAGUUUACCAUUGAAGGCGUUCGGAGUUCUCGCAAGGAAUUCUUCCAUUCAUGAAGACUCUUGCUUCUCAGUGCCUUUGCCACUGUAGUCAAGGCAAUGGGCAAACCUCCACAUGCCCUGGCGACGUCUAUUGCUGUAGAUUUCAACUCACGAUUUUCAACAUCAUCUCCGGCCAUCAUCUUAAACAAUCUCCAGGCUUCUUCUUCAUUUAAAUUGUUUAUCAAAAAGUUGUCUUUAGAUCCCAUUUUUAAGAGGACACUACGAUCUCUUGCUGUCAGCAGUAGUUUGCAGCCUUUAUGAUCUUCUCCAAAAGGAAUUGCAAUAGUCCCCAAAUCAAGAGGUUUCCAGAUGUUAUCCAGAAUCACAAGGAUCUUCUUCUCAUUCUCCAAUCUUUCAUAUAGUCUACUAGCUCUUCUAGACUCAGCUUCCUCGCGCAACUCCAAGCCCAACUUCUCGGCAAUUUCCUGUUGAAUCUGUUUUAUGUCUGGAGUUUGCGAAACCUCUGAAAAGACCACCAUAUCAAAGUGCUUGUCUUCCAUAGCUUGCCUGGCGACCUUCUUCACCAGUGUCGUCUUUCCAAUGCCGCCCAUGCCGUACACCCCAAUGAUGCUGACAUCAACAUCGAUCAAUGCGUUUUUUAUAGCCUCCAAAGUAGAACGUCUUGAUUCGAAGGCCUCGUAGCCUUUGUGAGACUUGAGCCAAAUCUCCUCCGGAAUGGUACGGUAGGAAAUUCUAUCAUCAAAUCUCUCAGCUUCUUCUCGGAGUUUAAAAAGGGCCUCCUUCUCUGUUUCUGCUUUCUUUCCAUGCUGAUAGCGAAUAAUCCAAUUAGGAAACAGCCCCAUGAGACAUCGUUCAUUUGCUUUCUCUUCGUCUUGAAUGAAUUUGGCUGCCUGCUCAAUGCUCUUGUUCGCACUAAACAGCCAUUUCUCAACCUUCUCUUCAAUCUUUUCACUUUUUCUUUCAGCCUCAGAAACUCUGCGCUGAAUGCUUUCUCUUUCAUCCUUGAGCCUAUCGAGUUCUGCCUUGAGAUUCUCAAAGUUGGCAGCGGAGUUAUACCAAUAACUAAAUUCGCGUUGUGCGUGAGGAGACAAGCAGUUUACAACUCCUGGAACAAUGCUUUUCAAAAUGUCCAUUUUUUUUUUCUUUUUUGGGGAAGUGAACGAAAUAGAAAUAGAACAGAGUCAACGACCGCGCAAUUGAUAAUUAAGUAGAAAACAAGGCAAAAUUGAAAAAAGAAAUUAUAUUUGUACAAAACAAGGGGAAAAUCAGUGUAACAGAAGAGAAUCAAAGUGUUUUUGAGAUCAGAAAAUUGAACCAAGAAAAGGGUUGCUUGAUCCAAUGAAAAUGCAAAGAGCUGAUGGCAAAAGGAAACAAAGCUAAAUAAGAAAACGGUUAGCACGAGCAGUGACCACGAUCAACAGAAGCAAAGUGUGUAUGAGAUCAAAAGACGAAAAUGAGGAGAGGUUUUCUUGAUGGAGAAUUGAAGGCAAAGAGUAGGAGCUGACGAAUACGGGGAUCAAGAGGGAAAAACUGCUUGCUUGUAAAACUACUUUCAAGCGAAUCUGAUAAAAUUAUUUCAGUACUCGUGGGCGACUCCUUUUUAAACUGCAGAAGGGGGAAAAAAAAAGUCUGAAUUUCAAUAUAUUAAUCUCGUAAUCAAUGAUUAAUUAGUAGAUAAUCUUUCUAACAAAUAUGUGUUGAAUAGAUAUAUUUCUUGAUUAGUAGUAGGUUCGAUAUACUUUACUAUAGGAAUGAAAGUACAAAUUGUGUCAUAUUAGAAUACAAAUGGGACCUAAAAAUCCCGUUUUAUGGCCUUUUAAUUAUUUGUCAGCUAAUAAUGAAGUCAUAUACAAAAAUUAUUAAUCUGACCUAGUCUUUAAGUCUUAUAAAUGUUUCUAGAUUUUUAAUUAUAAUAUCAUUAUUUAAAAAAUAUUGCUUGACUUACAUUAGUAACAUUACGAUUGUUCAUAAAACAUGUGAUCCUCAUCCAAAGGCCAGGUGAACAAAUAUAAACGACAAAUUCUUUUCAAUUAAAUAAUCAUCAAGAGAUAAUCUUCUAUUUCAGUACAAAUAGCGAGUGCAGAACAGCUGUCAAGAGAUAAUCAUUGUUUAUGGAGCCAUAUAUAUUUUCUAUUAAAAUAGUUCGUGAACAAUUGCCAGAAUCCGUAAAAAUUGUUGAAAGGUCUAUUAUUUUCGAUUAAAAUUGUUGAAAGGUCUAUUAGUUUCGAUUAAAAUAUUUUCGAUUAAAAUAGUUGCGUGAAUAAUUACCAUAGAUAGUGUUUACAUUUUGGAUUGGACUGAAAAUCUUGAAAAGUAGAAAUCUUGGGAUUGAGAGUAUGGAGUAAAAGUGGGUGUAAGUUGUUUACUUACACUGGAAUAUCAGCAUGGAAUAAAGAUUAUAAUCCAAUUUAUGUGUUUACUUUAUCUUGGAUUGGGAGUAAAUAGUUUCAAAUUAUAAUUUUAUCUUUAUUUAAAGAAUUAUAGUUUUUAAUUACAAAGUUAAUAAAAAAAUAUAUUUAAUGAAUAAAAAUUUAUUUUAUUAUAUUUGUAAAUUUAUAAUAAUUAUUAAUAUUCUUAAUUAUGUACAUCAUAAUUUUUUAUUAAUUUUAAUUUUAAUUAUAUAAAUUAAAAAUUAUUGAUAAGAGCAAUGUAAAUGAAACAUUUUUACUAUUAACAUAGUACAAAAUUAAUAUUUUCUUAUAAUUAACUAUUUAUUAUUACUAAUUAUUGAUAUUAAAUAAAUAUAAUACUAUUAUUUUUAAAUAAAUAUAAUAAUAUUAUAUUUUCAAAUAAAGAUAGUAUAUAGUAAUAUUAUUAAUUCUCUAUUAAUAUAAUAAUAUUAUUUUUAAGUAAUUUAAACUUAGAAUCAAACCAAAUUAUUAUUUAGUUAAAUAUAAUAAUAUUAUUUAAAUAAAUAAAAUAUUAUUUAUUUUAUUUUAUUAAAUAUAAUUAUAGUAAAUUUAAUAAAAGGGGGUUAAAAAAGGAAGGUAAAUAUAAAAUGAAAUAUUUUUUAUUUAAUUAUAUUAAAUUUAUUAUUAUAUAAAUAAUAAUAUAAUAUUAUUUAGUAUAAAAUUAAUAUUUUCUUAGAAUAAACUAUUUAUUAUUAUUAAUUAGUAAUAUUAAAUAAAUAUAAUACUAUUAUUUUUAAAUAAAUAUAAUAAUAUGAUAUCUUCAAAUAAAGAUAGCAUAUAGUAAUAUUAUCAAUUCUCUAUUAAUAUAAUAAUAUUAUUUAUUUUAUUUUAUUUUAUUAAAUAUUAAAUAUUAAAUUUAAUUAAAUAAAGGUAGAAAAGGGAGAGGUAGGAGUGGGUUUCCCAUGGGAGUCCCACUCACACUCCCCACUCCAAAAAUGGGUGGGGUCCACGGAGUGGGAUUCCCAAUCCCUCCUUAAAAUAGUGAAGAAAACACUGAAGUUAGAGGAAUUCACACUGCGCACACUCACUCCAGAAAGUAAACAUCGAAAAAGCCAAAGGAUGAAGAACCACUAUAAGUUCUUUUAUGAAUUUAAAAUGCUAAAGAAACUUGACACCAACGCUAAGCUAACAAGUGCAUAUUUUUCUGUGGCCCUUGCCUCAAUGUCUUUCGGGCAUUGCUCGGGGGUAGUUGAUAUACUGAUUAAAAUAUGAAUGAAUUGGAAUGGAAUGAGUUGGAAUUAAAAUAUGGAAUGAUAAUUAAUUAAUUUAUUUAAAUUGUAAAAAUUAAAAUUAAAAUAAAUUAUAUCAUCAUUGAUAUAUUUAUUUUAUUUUAAAAUCACGAUGAGUUGUUACAAAUUACAAAAUAUCUUUAAUUUUUUAUCAUAAUAAUUAUUAUUUAUUAUAAUAUUUUGUUGGCCUAAAUGGUUAUAUAAUCCUUGAUUUUGAUGAUAACAAACUACAUAGAGUACAAUGGUAAAUUUAUUUCUCACAAUUUCACAAGUUUUUGAAGGGCAAAAAUCAUUCAAGUGAGAUCAAGAUCAAGAUACUCAAUAGACAAUGACAAUCAAGGAUGACUACUAAGGGUACUAGUUUACGCAAUCUUUAUUGUUAAAUUUCUUGUAAAGCUAGUAUAAUUUAACGUGUGCAUGAUGUAACAUUUAAAAGCUCAAGAUAUUUUUCAUGACAUUUUCAAAUUAAAUCAUCAUUUUCUAUAAUAUAAAAGUUUUAACGAUUUUAUAAAAUUAGUUGCUUUUUCCAAAUUUAUGGACUAAAUUGAAAAGUUUUGAGAACUUUGAAAUCAACUAAUAAUGUUUUAAAUCAUAGAAAUUGACAUAUUUGUAAAUAUUUCAAACGUUUUGGGUCGUAAUAUAAUUUCAAAAAAUUAGGUCUAAUCUAUAAAUCCUGGAACAAUAGUGGCUAAUCGCUUAACCAAUAGCGGCUAACUACUUCAAGUCCAAAAACAUAGCAGCUAACCGCUUAAAUCAAGUGGUAAUCCACUUGAACCAAAGUUUUCAAAUUUGAUUUGCAACUGUAACUUACCAUAUCAACAUAGUGGCUAAUCGCCUCAUUUUAACGGCGAUCCAGCAAGUCCCUAGAAAAACCAAUAAUUGCUAGUUUGAUUGUUUAAACUAUAAAAUUCAAAUCUAACAAUUUUUUUCAAUCUCAAUUAAGCUAAAACUUAUUCAUAUAUCUUGAGCUUUCAUUUUGCUUAUCUACAUACAUUAAUCAUUAUAGAGCUAUCAUUUGCUUAUACACUCUUAUAGAGUGUAAUCUUUGUAAUCUUCAAUUAAUAUCAAAAUUGAGUGAGUACAAGUGUGGGAAACACUUGGAAAAAGAGGUGUGUGUAUACAUAAUUACUUGUAAAGGUUUAUUAACACCGUAUAAGUCAAUUGUAAAAUUUUAGAGCCUUGGAAGGUUUGGAUAGUAGAAUUCUCAAGUUUGGAUUACUUGGAGGCGUAGUCAUAGGCGGGUUUGCCGAACUACAUAAAAAUUCAUCUGUUUGUUAUCUUCUCCCUUAUCUUUUUAAUUUCACGCAUAGUUAAAUUUACCAUUAUUAAAUUUCUUGAAGCAUUUGUUUAAUUUGUAUUGUGUUUUUGUUAGUAUAAUUUUUAAUACCUAAUUCACCCCCUCUUGGGUUGCUUAGCUAGAAUUUCAUUUGGUAUCAAAGGAAGUUCUCUUGUUAGGACUUAACCAUCUAGAGUAAAAGAUCCAUAGUAAUCCAAAAUGAUCCCAGAUUUGGGGAAGGUUAAUCCCUUCUAGAUCACCAUUCUUUGAUGGGAAUGAUUAUCCAUGUUGGAAAAUUAUGAUAAGAAUUUAUUUGCAAGCAUUAUAUUAUGAAAUAUAGGAAGUUGAUUGUGAUGGUCCAUUCAUGCCUACUGCUAAAAAUGAAGAAGGGAAAGAAAUUCUAAAACCUUCACAAGAAUGGAAUGAGUUGGAAAAGAGAAAAGAUUCUCUUAAUUUCAAAGUCAUGAAUGCUUUGUUUUGUGCCUUAGAUAAAAAAAAAUUCUAUAGAGUUUAAGGUUGUUCCAAUGCUUAUGAAAUUUGGAAAAAACAUAAAGUCAUUUAUAAAGCUACAAAUCAAGUCAAAUAAUAUAAAAUUAGUAAAUAUAGUAGGCAAUACGAAUUGCUAUAAAUGGAACAAAAUGAGAGUGUUAAUCCCAUAUACACUAGAUUAACAGACAUUAUAAACACUUUAGGAACUCUUAGAAAGACCUUUUCAAACAGCGAGAAGGUAAAAAAAAUCAGAAGGUCUUUACCAAAAGAAUGGAGACCUAAGAAAAUUGCCAUUAAGGAAGCCAAUGAUACUUUAUUUAUUGAUGAUUUAAUUAGUUCAUUUAUUUCUUAUGAAAAGGAUUUGACAACUGAAAAAUAUAUUGAAGACUAGAAGAAGAAGAGUAUUUCCUUAAAAGCAUCAAGAUCUAAAAGUGACAACGAAAGUGAGAUCGAAAAUGAAGACAUGGCUAUGAUAGCUGGAAAAAUCAAAAUAAUUUUCAAGAAAUCCAUCGAGCGAAGGAAAUUCAAAAAUCAGAAAGAGAAGAAGGAGGCAAUUAUUUGCUUUAAAUGCAGGAAGCCUAGGCACAUAAAACUAGCAUGUCCUUUUCUCAAAAAAUUAAAGAAGAAAGCCAUGGUAGCAACACGGGAUGAUAGCGAUAAGGAGACUAUAGAUGAAGAGUAGUCCCAUGAAGUGUCAAAUUUGGCACUUAUGGUUAUAGGAGAUGAUUAUAGGAGAUGAACUUGAUGAGGUAAACCUCUUAGGAUGAGUUGUUUGAAGUAUUCUCUAAAUUGCAUAAAGAUUUAAAGAAGAUUGAAAUGUAAAAUGUUUCUCUUGGAAAGAAAAAAGUAGAACUUUUAAAUGAGAAUGACACUUUGAAUAAAAAGAUUAAGUGCCUAGAAGUAUUUGUGAAGAAAUUGCAUCUUUUAAAGAAAAAACAAAAUGUUUCAUCUAAGAAUAAAGGUUUACUUGUAAAUGAUUUGAAAAAGAAAAAUGAAAUAUAUUGCUUUAGAAUUUGCUUAGUAUUAGUAAAUUGUGUGAUAAAGGUUACAAAGUUAUUUUUAUGUGAUAAAGGCUAUAGAGUUAUUUUUUAUAAAACAAAAUGUAUUAUUAAAAAUGCAUGUGAUGACAAAGUUUUAUUUGUUAGAUAAAGAUGUGUUAAUGUAUACACCAUUGAUAUAGAUAGUGUAUCAACUUAUGAUAAAUAUUUUUUUCACAUUACAUGAUGAUAGUUGAUAUGGCAUGGAAGACUAGGUCAUGCGAGCAUGGAUUUGAUUUCAAAAUUUUUUUAAAAUGAUUUGGUUAUAGGUCUUCUAAAAAUUGGUUCUAAAAAAGAUAGAAUUUGUGAAGUUUGCCAAUUUAGAAAACAAAUAAAACGUCCUUUAAAAAUAAAAUUCAUAUUUCUACUUCAAAACCACUUUAACUUUUUCACAUGGAUUUGUUUGAAUUUUCUAAAUAUGCUAGUUUAAGUGGUAAAUAUUAUGCAUUUAUAAUUAUAGAUGAUUAUUCUAUAUACACAUGGUAUUACUCUCAACUAAUAAAGAUGACACCUUUAAUGCUUUCAAAAUUUCUAUAAAAAGAUUCAAAAUGAAAAAUGAUAUGUUAUUUCUUCCAUUAGAAGUGAUCAUGGUGGAGAAUUUGAAAAUUAUAUUUUGAAAAUUUUUACAAUAACUUUGGCAUUGAGCAUCAAUUCUUGUCACCAAGAACUCCACAAUAAAAUUGAGUAGUUGAGAGAAAGAAUAUGUCUAUCCAAGAAAUGGCUAGGACCAUGUUAAAUGAAAAUACUUUACUAGAAUAUUUUUGGGUUGGAGCCGUCAACAUUGUUUGUUAUAUUUUAAAUCAUGCAUUGAUUAGACCUUAUCUCAAUAAAACUCCUUAUGAGCUUUGGAAAAAUAGAAAAACAUUGACUAUUUCAAAGUUUUUGGUUGCAAAUGUUUUCUAUUGAAUACAAAAGACAAUCUUGGUAAAUUUAAUCUAAAAUCUUAUGUUGAUAUUUUUCUUGGGUAUUCAAAUACAAGCAAAACUUAUAGAGUGUAUAAUAAAAUAUCCUUGGUCGCUAAAGAAUCUAUACAUGUUAUGUUUGAUGAAUCUAACUUUUCUUCUAUGAAGAAAGUUGUUGUUGAUGAUGAUGCAUAUGAAGAGUUACAAAAACAAAAAGUCUUUAAAAGACAAACAAUAUGAUUUACCAGGUAAAAAUCAAGAUGAGCAACAAGAAGAACAAGUUAAACAGAUUCAAAAUAAAGGUAAUUCACAAACACUCUCUAAGGAGCUAAGGUAUGUCUCUUCACACCCUAAAGACUUAAUCUUAGGAGAUCCUUCAUGAGGUGUAACUACGAGAUAAUCACUUAGAAAUACAUGUGAACAUACUGUAUUCAUAUCUCAAGUUGAACCAAAAUCCUUUUCAGAUGUGGAAAAUGAUGAAUCUUGGAUUAUAGCAAUACAAGAAGAGUUAAAUCAAUUUGAAUGAAACAAUGUAUGGAAACUUAUUCAUAAACCAUAACAUCAAUCUGUAAUAGGCAGUAAAUGGGUAUUUAUGAAUAAAAUUGAUGAAUCUAGUGUGGUUGUAAGGAAUAAAGUUAGAUUAGUAGCUCAAUGAUGCAACCAAAAAGAAGAAAUUGAUUUUGAUGAAACCUUUGCACAUGUAUCUAGAUUAGAAUCCAUUACAUGCUUUUAUUAUUUGCAUAUCAUAAUGAUUUUAUUUUAUAUUAAAUGGAUGCUAAAAGCACCUUUCUAAAUAGUUGUAUUAUGAAGGAAGCUUAAGUGAAACAACCCCCUCAUUUUAAAAACGAAAAAUGUUUUUGGAUCAUGUUUACAAAUUGUCCAAAGUUUUAUAUAGUUUAAAGUAAGCAUCUAGAGCAUGAUAUGAUAGACUUAGUAAAUUUCUUUUAGAAAAUAGUUUUUCAAUGGGUAAAGCGAAUACUACUCUAUUUGUUAAAUACAAGGAUCAAGGUAUACUUGUUCAAAUUUAUAUUGAUGAUAUUAUCUUUAGUUCUACUAAUGAGUUUCUGUGUAAGGAAUUUUCAUCUUGCAUGAGUAGAGAAUUUGAGAUGAGCAUGAUGGAAGAAUUGAAGUACUUUCUUGGACUUAAAAUUUAAGAGAAAAAAAAGAAUUCAUUAAUCAAGCCAAGUAUUUCAGAGAUCUACUCAAAAGAUUUUGCAUUCAAGACUAAGGACACUCCAAUGAGUACUACAAUCAUGCUCGAUAAGGAUAAAAAAAGUAAAGAUGUUGUAUCAAACGAUAUCGAGGUAUGAUCAUAUCUUUACUUUACUUUACUGCUAGUAGACAUUACUUUAGUGUAUGUUUGUGUGCAUGAUUUCAACCAUAUCUCAAAGAAUCUCAUUUUCUUGCAGUUAAAAGAAUUUUUCAUUAUUUAUGAGGAACAAUUGAUCUUGGUCUAAGGGAACUCAUAUAAAUUAUUAGCUCAAUAAAUUUGUCAAAGAAUCUCAUUGAACAUUCUAGGACCAAACAUAUUGAAACUAGGCAUUAUUUCUCACGUGAUCAUGUUCAAAUGAGAGAUAUUGCUUUAGAAUUUGUUUCUAUGGAAAAAUAACUUGCUGAUAUUUUUACAAACCCUUUUUGUGAAGAAUAGUUUUCAAAGAUUUAGAUUGAGUUUGGAAUGAUGACAUUUUCACAUCAAUAUUUCAUUGCAUGAUAUUGAGACUACAAAUUUGCUUAAUUUUCUAUCUUGAUUGAUUGUACGAUAAAAACUUGAUUUUAAUGUGUUAUAUGCUUGAAUUUACUUCUUUGAAUGUUUAUCAUCAUAUCUUAUGCAUUAAAAAUGGCUUUUAAAAUACUUCAGGAUCACAAAAUGGUCUCAAAAUUAAUUAAAUUUUGGCCAAAAAGCAAAAUCGUGCAAAAUCUAGGGGAACUAGCUAACCGUUAACCACAAGCAACUAGCCAAUUGUGAGGCAGAAACUAGCUGGCCAGCCGGCUCAAAGCAAACGGUUAAUUGCUUGGUUUCUAAAAAUGAAACAGUUAACUGCUUUCUUCAAGAGGCUAGCUGGCUUCACGUUUUCAAAUGUUGUUCAUCUUCUUUUUCCCACUUUUAGUUGUUACCCUCUCUCUAUCACUGUCAUCUCUCAUUUCUUUUAACCUCUCUCUAAAAUCUUCCAUUUUUACAUCACUUUUGUGUCAAGUUAAACUUUCCAAAUCAUUUCCCAUCAAUUAAUCUUCACACAUUUGCUUUUAAAACACAAUCUAAUCACUCUUCUCUCAAAAUCUUAAAGCUUAAGUCACCAGUUUCAAUAUUCUCAAAUUUGAACCAUUAUUUGACCAUUUUCGACCAAAAUAAACCCAUACAUUCCUUAGAUCUUCUCAAAGAACAUUUUAAUCGGUUCAAAGUCAUCUAUUUCUUUAAAAACUUUGUGAACUCGAAUUUGUGCAAUUUUGGACACAUUUUGAUAAUUUCUUAAUGGCUAGUGGUGAGAAGUCCAAGGGUAAGCAUAUGCCUAAAAUGUAAAAAAAAAAAAGAUUCAUAAAGACAUUAUGAAAUUCAUUUCCACCCACUUCCCAAAUCCGCCUCAAUGGAAUGAUUCUCUGAUCGAUUUAUGACAAGGUCAGUCCUCCCAUACUAUAUAUGUUAAUCUUGAUUAAUUAGAAAAUUUGUCAUGUUGUAGCAAAACUCUUAGAACUUUACUUGCUGAAUUGGGUUGGACAAAUGUCUUAGUUCUUAAGGAACAUAUUUGUCCUAAUUUGGUACGAGUAUUUUAUUCGAACAUGCUUAUUUCUACAAAUACUGCCAAUAUGAUUAUUACUAAUGUUAUUGGGAUUCCUAUUAAGUUUACUGUAGAAGAUUUAAACAUGAAUCUCAUAUGAUAGGUUGCAUUUGUAUACAUCUAGGACUAAAAUUGAUUAUCCCUGGUAUUUAGUUGUAGAUGAUGUUUGAAACAUAGAUGUUCGAAACAUAUGUAGGUGAUCUGAUCUAUCCAUGGAGCUUUUUAACUCCUCUCUUAGAUCACAAGUGUUGCCUCUUCAAGUUCGGAUCCUACAUAGUGUCCUUCAGCUUGUGAUCAGUCCUCGCAAGGGACAUGGUGCUGAGGUUACACGCUUAGAUGUUACUUUAUUAGAUAGCAUCCUUGAGGGUAAAAGCUAAAUGUGCGAAUAUUAUCAUUCAGCACAUGCUUAAUACACUGAGUAUAGGAAACCGAUCCUUUUCGGUCUGUAGUGUCAUUACCCAUAUCCUUCAAUAUUUUUGGGUCCCUAUAGCUGAACCAUCUCAUGAUGAACCCAAGGAGUUAAGGGAUGAGGUCAUUGCUAGCUUAGGAUUUGGGUGGGUAGAUGACCAAUAGGUUAAAAAUCAGAACUUGUUGAGCAAACCCACAAAGCUGGCUCUUUUUUAUCAUUGCAUCUUUAACGAUGUGCUUCCCCUUACUGGGUUCUUGAUCUUAGUUCUUCCCUGAGGUCACAAGCUCUGCAUUGGCCUUCUGAUGCUCCACCAUCAUCAUCUUCAGCCAUUCCCAAUAACCCAAUCUAGCAGUUGUUGAAUAAAGUGUGUUCCAUAUCCGAACAGUAAAGCGAGCUUAAGAUAUCGUUCGCAGCAUUCCAGGAUCAUUUUCUUUCUGAGCAGCAACAUCUCUUUCUUCAACAAUAACAAAUUCUAGACCAUCACCAGCUUAUUUUCAUUGCUCUUAAAUUUUCACCACCAUCCUUAUUAUCAUGUUUGCUGCUUCAUCAGUGAUUUUCUUUUAUCUCUUUUGCUUCCUUGUUUUAUGCACCGACAUUAUUUAUCAUAUGCAUUUUCGUUUUUAGCAUUAUGGAUACUUGAUGGAUGUUAUUUUACUUAUGCAUUAUGGAUACUUGAGUUGAUAUGGAUUAUCUUUAUGCAUUCUAGUUAUUGAUUGUGGUAUCUUUAUUAAUUAUCUUUAUGGAUUAUCUUUAUUGAUUAUGGAUUAUGUAUAUGGAUACUUGAUUAAUGGUCAUGUGUGGAUUUUCGAUUGAUGAUAUUUGUGGGGGAUAAUUAUUGAUAAUAUUUGUAUAAUAGAGGAGUGAUUUUUCAUGAUGAAGGGAGAGAAGAUAUUGACAUGUAUUUUGAAGUGUUUUGACAUGUUUUUGGCUCAUGGGGGUUGAUUGAGUGUUUGUAGUAUUUUAGUUACUUUCUGAGUCACUCAAGGAGAGUUUACAAAUGUUGUACAAUUAUAUGGAUCAUGUACUUAGAGGGAGUGAGUUUAUAUAUUUGGUUAUAUUUUUUGAAUUAUGUCAUAUACUCAAGGGCAAUAGAAAUGUCAAAAUACAUAGGGUGUUUGUCAUCAUAAAAAAAGGAGAGAUUGUUGGGGUAAACGACUAUAUGAUCCUUAAUUUUGAUGAUAACAAACCACAUAAGGUAAAAUGAUAAAUUUAUUUCUCACAAUCUGACAAGUUCUUGAAGGACAAAAAUCAUUCAAGUGAGAUCAAUUUCAAGUCACUCAAUGGACAACAACAAUCAAGGAUGAAUACUAAAGGUACUAGCUUAAUUAAUCUUCAUAGCUAUAUUUCUUAUAAAGCUAAUAUGAUUUAAUGUAUGCAUGAUUUAGUAUUUAAGAGUUCAAGAUAUUUUUCAUACAAUUUUCAAAUUAAAUCAUCAUUUUCUAUAAUAUAAAAGUUUUAAACGUAAAUAAAAAUGAUUUUAUAAAAUUAAUUGUUUUCAAAUUUAUGGACUAAAUUGAAAAGUUUUGAGAACUUUGAAAUUAAUUAGUAAUGUAUUAAAUUCUUGAAGUGGACCUAUUUGUAAAUAUUUCAAAAUUUUAGGCCAUAGUAUAAUUUUAGGAACUUUUAGUUUAAAUCUAUAAAAUUUGAAACAGUAGUGACUAACCACUUAACGAAUAGUGGCUAACUGCUUCAGGUCCAAAAACAUAGCUGCUAACCAUUUAAAUCAAGCGACGAUUUGCUUAGGCAAAAAAGUUUUUAAAUUUUAUUUGUAACGGUAACUUGCCACAUCAAUAUAGCGACUAACUUCUUUAUUUUAGCAGCAAUCCGGUAGGUCCUCAGAAAGUCAAUUAUGACUAGUUUGAUUGUUUAAACUAGAAGAACCCAAAUCAAACUCAAAUCUAACAACUUUUUCAAUCCCAAUUAAGUUAAAACUUGUUCAUACAACUAAUCUUGAGCUUUCAUUUUACUUAUUUACAUGCAUUUAAUCAUUAUUGAGUUAUCAUUUGCUUAUACACUCUUAUAGAGAUUAAUCUUUGUAAUCUUCAAUUAAAUAUCAAAAUUUUGUGAGUAUAAGAGUGGGAAACACUUGGGGAAAGAGGUAUGUGUACACAUCACUACUAUAAAAGUUUAUUGACACAUUAAAAGCCAAUUGUAAAAUCUUGGAGCCUGAGAAGGCUUGGAUAGUGGAAUCCUCAAACUUAGUUUGCUCGAGGCAUAAACAUAGGCGAGUUUUGCCGAAACACGUAAAAAUUCAUUUGUUUGUUAUCUUCUCCCUUAUUUUUUUAAUUGCAUUCAUUGUUAAAUUUACUAUUAUAAAUUUCUUAAAGCAUUUGUUUAAUUUGUUUUGUAUUUUUGUAAGUAUAAUUUUAAUACCCAAUUCACCGCCCUCUUGGGUUGUGUAGAUAGAAUUUCACAUUUGUUGUACAACAACAACAACAACAACAAUAACAAUAACAAUAAUAAUUGUUAUAAUGGUUGGAACAAUUACUAUUGAAAAACUUUUAUUGUUAAUAAUAGUAGAAAAUAAGAACAAAAAAGGAAAUUAUCCAAUAACCAUGUAAUCUUUGGGUCUUUUUUAAAAAUACACAGAAACGUUUUUCUUUGUAGAAAUCCACCUAGAGUUUAUUAAUUAUUCACUGUCAUCUUAGCUCAUUAGAAUCUUGUUGAUGUCAUAAGAUUAAAAUUAUCAUUUUACUUGAACACCUAAGAUUAAAGUUAUCCUUUAGAGUUUCUUUCGCUGGGGCUGGUGACCUUAGUGGUUAGAUUUGCUAGAUAUGGUCGUGAGAAACUCGACAAUGGCCGAGGAUUGGCUGGAUUCACGGUGGUUUGGUCAAAAAGUUGACUUGAAUUGGCAUAUGUGGUGCUUCAUUCAUGUUAGAGAUUUCGAUUGCGAUUUGGAUAUCGACAAUGAGAAAGUGGCGUUUGCGGUGGCGCUAGGUGAGGCCCGGGUUUUGGGUUAGCAUUGUGGCGGUUUAUGGCGGUGAUCAUUGGUGGGUUUUGUCAAGUUAUGACCAGUGGAAUCUAGCAAGUUUAGUGGUGGUCUUGGUUGACAGUGAAGAUGGUUGGUUUCACGGUGGCAGCUGGUGGAUGCUCCCAGUUUUUAGGUCUAGAUGAUUUAUAGUAGGUACAAGCGGCGAUUGAUGGCAGGAGUGGCUAAGGUUUGGUAAGUAGUGGCUAAUGAGUUUGGUAGAGGGAUUAGCCAAUGAUGAACUAUUAGUGAAGAGUGGCAGUGGCGGUGGGCGGCUGCUAAGGUUUUGUAAUUUUGUAAUAUUUUUUUGUUGGAUAAACAAUGAUGGAUUUGGUGGGGAUGGAUAUGGGUAGCCAGGAAAACUGUGCAAUUGGCAUUGAACCACUCUAAUACAAACUAACAAAUUGGAAUAGCGGAAGUGGAAUUGAUAGGUCGGAAAUAUUAGCUAUUGUUAUAAUACUGGCUAAGGUAAUGUGGAUAGUUUACGUCCUAAUCGAAACGUGUAGAUCUCAUUCUAACAAUGGCUCAAUGAGAUUUUAAUAACGCAUAAAGCGAGAUUAGACGACGUUCUAAUCCAAAUAACUUUGCAAGAGAGAUUUUAAUAAAUAAUUUUAGAGGGAAUUAUUAAAAAGGGCUUUAUUAGUUGAUCAAUAGUUGAAGUUACAAUAAUAAGAUUUUGAUUUAUAAUAUAAUAAACCUACUUCACUAAGUUAACUUAAAAAGAAAAACUAAAUCACAAUUUUAAUAGAAAUAAAAAAACUAAGACAUAUACCAUAGUUGACUAUAAUUAAAAUAGAAAACGAUAAAAUAAUAAAAAUUAUAAAAUCCUAAAACAAUGUCUACAUCAUAUCCUCACUAAAAUAAAAAUAUAAAAGUAAAGCAAAUUGUGGUAUAACAGACUUUAAUUCUAUCACUCUUCAAUUUUUUUGUUUAUUAAUUAAUAUUGGUGUCUAUGGUUAAAUUUGUUAUUUUUUAUAACAAUUUUAUUUGUUAAUUGAAAUAUUUAGUCUAUGUAAACAAAAAAAAAUGGUUGGAGAGAAUGAGAGAGGAAGGGGGGGAGAGAGAGAGAACAAAGUCAAACAAAUAAUUUAAUGAAUUAUAUUUUUAAAAUUAAAUUUUAAUUUGAUUAAAUAAAUGAUGUAGUGAGAAAAUGAGUAGGUUCAAAUAGCUUUACUUAUAUUUAUUUCAUUAAUGGCUCAAAAUUUAAUGAAAAUAAAUGGUUUUAAAAAAUUGCAUUUAAGUUGCAUAAUUCAAUGAGUAGUGCCACACAUCCUAAAUCUUUUAUCUUAAAAAAUUAUCCCAAAUGAUAUAGUAUUCAUCAAUAGAUUGAAGAGAUAAUACAAUUAAUUCACUCAAAUCUUGAAAGAAUUACCUACUAUUCAAGUAAUGACACACCAUUUGGGAUAUCUAUCAUUACUCUAAUUGAAAAUAAACCUAUCACUGGAUGAUUAAUUAUGGUAGGUUUGCUUAAUACUAAAAUGCCACUCAUAAGUUUUGUUUGGAUUUGUAAUUGAUUUAUCUUAAUCCUUCAACUUGACAUAAGGUCGUUCUCCUCGUUUCUGUACACUUAAAAGUCACCCAGAUCAAAACUAGAUCUAUCGUUGCAUUUGCUUGAAAAAUAAUUUACAAGUAAUAAGUUCUCGUGAUUAAGCAACAUUUUUAAAGGGUUAUGAUAGUAGUGGAACCGUGAUACAAUUUGUAAAUAUUAGAUGGAUUGUUGAAAACAAUAAAAAAUGCUUGUAUGUUUUUUAUAAGGAUCUCCCUAUCUUACAUGCAUGUAAGAUAGGAAUUGCCUUUUUAUAAAGGCUAAAAGAUAAAGUGGUGCAUGGAUAAUUACUUUUUUUUUCCCUUUUUAUCUUAAUCAUGUUUGAACGACAUCCUUUUAUAGUUCCCAGACAUUCUGCAACUAUAAUAGACAAUUUUAAUAGGAACUACAGAGAAAAUAUUAAUAUUUUUAUACUUAUUCACUUACCUGAUGGAUAGUUAGAUAAGUGUUACUUUUCACACAACUAGACCAAAUUAGUACCCUUUUUGGUUUGUGAAAACGUGAUUUUUAUGAAUAUGCUAUAGAUGCUUUCAAAUGUUUCUACAGUUUACGAAUUUACGCAUUAAACGAAAACCUCCAACUAUCAAAUAAAAAGGUGAAAAUUCAAUAGAAUCGACAACUUCUCAGACUCACGUAGGUGGUGGUUCAAGUUUCUAAACUACUAUUAUUAUUAACAGUUUUGAAAAGCAAAUAGUAACUUCAUUUCACAGCAUCUGCUUUUGAGAAAGCUCAGAUGUAAUCAAAAUUCCAAAACCACUCUAAAUAUGUUAGGGAUAUGACCAUAAAUAGAAGUUAAAUAUGAUAGGAUAUAUAGUUGUUCAUAGCUAACAUUUGAUGGUUUAAUUAUUUGUUCUAGGGAUUAUGCGCUGAUUAGUGUUUUUUGUUAUCCGAUGAAUGAUAUUCAGUUUUUCUUACAUGCUCAUAGGCAAGAGCAUUUUCUAAGUACUUUCCUUGCCUUCAAAUUUUGAAAGAAAGAUAGAUAUGAUAUGUGACGCAAGCCCAAUGAAAUAAGCAAAUAAAAUAGAAUAAACGAAGCAAAAAUAUUUCUAGAAACAAGAAAUGACAAAGGAAACACGAAUACAACUUUUUUCUUGUUUUCCUUAUUUUCCUCUGUUAAGCUCCAAAAUGAAUAACUUUAUUCUACCAUCUCUCAAAUAAUAACAUCAACAGCACAUAAUCGUCAUCAAUAAUAAUAAUAAUAAUAACAAUAAUAAUUUAACUUUGUAGGAUGGAGCUCUCGCAAAUCUUCAAGACACAAAAUGUGCUUGACCCCGUUGUUGUUAUUAUAAUUUCAAAAUCAUUUGUAUUAUAUAAAAUUAGGGAAUAAAACAUAGCAAAAUUGAUGGUACAAAUGUUGCAAUAUAUUUUUUCAUGUAGCAACACAUUGAAGUAAAGAAAAGCAAAACAACGAAAAAUGUAACGGGAGAGCUCUCAUUAUGUAGAUUUUCAAUAGAAGUAAUGAAAAUUUCACAAGGACAAUGGCCUUAUUUCGAAUGCUACACCUGGGGAAUGGCUUGAAUCUUUUAUAGAACUCACACUAUUAUAAAAAACGCUAAACAAUGACAAAAAUUUUAUAACAUAUAUCGAUAUGUCAAAAUCAUUUGAUGGUACAUUUUAUAACAAAAAAUGAAAAAUGUAACGGGAGAGCUCUCAUUAUGUAGAUUUUCAAUAGAAGUAAUGAAAAUUUCACAAGGGCAAUGACCUUAUUUCGAAUGAUGCACCUGAGGAAUGACUUAAAUCUUUUAUAGAACUCACACUACUAAAAAAACGUUAAAUAAUGACAGAAAUUUUAUUACAUAUAUAGAUAUGUAACAAAUGUAUCAUGAAAGUGUGAUAGAUUUGUAACAUAUAUUCAUAUGUCUAGAGUUUAUGACAUAUUCAUGACUUAUAACUUAGGGAAAUUUACGAAAAUAACCAUUAAUAUUUUAUUAUUUUCGCAAUUAAUCCUGUCAACUUUUUUCUAUCAACAUUAGCCAAACACAAGCCUUUCUUCCCAAAUUACCCUUCUUUACAGAACAAAACCAACAUUGUUUCUCCCAUGUCGCCAAACCAAAAGCAGCUUGUCACUCUUGAAUCAUCAGCCAACGGCGACCACAAAAGACAACGAUAAAAGUGAUAUCCGAUCAUAAUCUAUCCGGAUCCAACACAAAUCGACAUCAUUUAGUGGUAUGAAUUAUUUUCUGAACUUACUGAACUGAGUUGGGUGAAUCUGAAUCUGCCGACAGGCUAAUGUCGCAGUAAAACUCGGUGCGACAGGCGCCUGUCGCACCGAGCAAGGUGCGACAGGCACCCUGUCGCACCAAGAUUCGGGCGACAGGUUGUCUGUCGCACCCACCCUGGAGAUUCAUUAAAACUGUAUUAUUUUAAUAGGACUGAAAUAAAUUUUUUUUUAUAAUUUCAGGCUUAAUGGAUUCAGUUGUACUUGAAUUGUGUUACGAUGGUUGGUGGGAGACAUUAGAGAAUGGUCGUAUGGAGCAUGUGAAUGGUAAAAAUCGAGCUUUUUUGGUUGGAAAAAAUUAUCUGUUUGAUCAGUUAUUGGCAAGAGUAUACGAGGUGUUACAAAUAAACCCUAAUGAUUAUAGUAUCACAAUGAAGAUAACUUUGAGGUCUAGUAACACAUUAUAUCGUAUAUGUGCAAUGCCCAUGGAUAUAUGUGAUGAUGAAAUGGUGAGGGUUGUGUUGCAUAUGGCAUUUGACGUAGCUAAUGUUGGAUGCAUUCCUAUAUUCGUGACCACAUCACCUUGAGUUCCGAGCGAAGGUAUUGAGCCACUUGUCGAUACAGAAACUUCGUUUAGAGCAAAUAUGUCUGGCCCCGAUAAUGAUGAAGAGGUGUUGCCAAGGACAAUAUCGUUGCAGCAAUAUUACUCUCCAAUCCACGAAAAUUAUGACAACAUUGAUGAUAAUGGCGUUACGUUACAGGAUGUUGGAGCAACGGUAUUUCCAAUAACAACGUCGUUGGAGCAACGAUAUUCUCCGUAUCACAACAAUGAUUUUCGGGACAAUGAUGAUUUUAAUAAUGAGACAGAGGGGGAUAAUGUUUGUGCAGAACCUUCUAAUAAUACGAGGCGGGGCACUCGUUUCAAUAAUGAUGGUGAUGAUAGAGGAGCCGGUCCUUCGAAUGUUCCGUCGUUUCAGCAUGAGGAUGAGUGUGAAGACAAUACUCCUGUGAAUAACAGAGGCAAUAGACCUAUUCCUUCUACGGUUCGAUCGAGAAGGAGAAUUGACCCCCUUACAAGUCUUGCUCCAACUUUGCCUUCGAACAUGGUUGCUCCAAGCUUUGUUAGCAAUUGUGACUCAGAUGAUAUCAGCGUGGGUAAGCUAUUUGCUGAGAAGAAUGAGCUUAUAUUACAACUACGCAAGGUGGCCUUUAGAGAUAAGUUUGAUUUCAAGAUUGCACAGUCUACUAUGACACGUUUCGAGGCUCACUGUUGUUCAGAAUCAUGUAAAUGGCGUAUUCGAGCAACUAGAAGUUCGAACGAGCAAAAUGUUCCUUGGGUGGUGAAGAGAAUUGAUAAUGUACACACUUGUCAUAAUGAGGUAUUGGUUGAUGGACGUCAUCAAGUAAGGAGCCGGGUUGUCGGUCAUAUUAUCGCAGAAAAAUAUAUUCAAGAUAAGAGGAUUUAUACUCCCAAUGACAUAAGAGCAGAUAUGCAACAGGAAUACGGUGUUCAGUUAACAUACCAGCAGGCAUAUAGGGCGAGAGAAGUUGGUCUUGAAAUAGUUCGCGACAACCCUGCAGAGUCAUACAACUUGCUCCCUAAAUACUCUCACGUACUAACUACAGCGAAUGAGGGUACAGUCACUCACCUCAAGCAAGAUGGAGAUGGUAAUUUCUUAUACUAUUUUGUAGCACUCGGAUCUUCCAUCAAGGGGUUUAUGCAGUACAUUCGGCCUGUCAUUGCUGUAGAUGGUACUCAUCUGAAGGGACUAUAUCGUGGAAGCAUGUUCGUGGCAACAUGUCUUGAUGGUAACAAUCAAUUGUAUCCGUUAGCUAUUGGGAUCAUGGAUUCAGAAAACAAUGAUGCUUGGGAAUGGUUUAUGAUGAAGUUACACGAAGUGAUUGGUGAUAGACCUGAGUUGGUAAUUAUCUCUAAUCGAUGCACUACCAUAAGGAGAGCCGUUCUUAAAGUAUUUCACAAUGCAACUCAUGGCGUUUGUUUUUACCACGUCAAAGGUAACAUUAAGUCACAAUUUAGAAUGUCCAAAGCUCUUUGGGAUGAAUUUGAGCCUGCCUUUAUUAAUGCAGCAAAAGCAUAUGGCCAUGAGGAAUUUAAGAGACAACUUGAGGGGUUGUGGAUGGAUCCACUCGGGUGCGGCUGAUUACCUAGAAAAUAAUGUCGGUACGUGUAAUUGGGCAAGGUCUCAGUUUGAAGGUAGGAGGUACAACAUUCUUACCACCAACAUCGCGGAGAGUGUUAAUGCUUUCAUGAGGGAACCUCAAAAAUUUCCUGUUACUCAUCUUGUUGAUCACUUUAGGAAAACAUUGCAGCAAUGGUUUUAUGAUAGAAAAAUUGUGGCUGAAUCAAUGACUACUCGGCUAACAACAUGGGCGGAUGAAAUAGUCACUGAGAGGAGAACUAUAGCUGAAAGAAUGAUAGUUCGGCCGGUGUCUCCGCAUCGCUUUCAAGUUAUAGGCGGUGGGCUUAAGGAAGGGUUGGUUGACUUGCAAAAGAGAAUUUGCUCCUGCAGAGUGUUUCAGCUUGAUCAGCUUGUGUGUGCUCAUGCAAUUGCGGCGUGUCUAACAUACCGGGUGGAUUUUAUUAACCUUUGUUCAGACUUUUACACUACAGAAUCGUUGGCGAUGGCUUAUGCACAACCAGUGGAGCCAGUUGGUGAUGUGGCUGAUUGGGAAGUUCCAGAUGAAAUUCAGGAGAUGCAAGUAUACCCACCAGUUGAGGCACCACCACCUGGCCGUCGUAAAGAGCUCAGAAUACCCUCGGCUGGCGAGGACGUUGACCGGCGGACUGUAAGAUGCUGCCGGUGUCAUGAACUAGGCCAUAAUAGUAAGCGAUGUAAGAAUCCUAUUGCGUCGACUCGAAGUUAGUUGUAUUUUGUGUGUUAUUCGGUGGUUAAAACUAUUAUUGUUUUUGUGUUUCGUUGGUUAAAACUGUUAUUGUUUUUUGUAUUUCGUUGCUUAAAACUGUUAUUGUUUUUUGUAUUUCGUUGCUUAAAACUGUUAUUGUUUUUUGUAUUUCGUUGGUUAAAACUGUUAUUGUUUUUUGUGUAUUGUACACUUAUAUUUCAUAAAACUUUAUUUUAUUUUAAAGUUCAAAAUGUGAGGCAUUAAAAUUAUAUAAACUUAAGUGCGCAAAUUAAAAAAAAAUUCAAAUUUCAACAUUAAAAUUACUACAUAGGUCUAUAAUAUAAUAUCGUCAUUAAAUAUAUCAACCGCAAUCUUCUUUCUAAAGUACUCGACAUGACUAGCGUUAAACUCCAAUCUAAGCCCAAACAUUAAAUACAUCGUAACCAUCAAUACAAAAACACCGCAAUCGCCAGUUCCGGGCUCUUGUUGCGGCGCGCUCUUAACUGCGAUAACUUUCCACGGGUCUUCACUCCGCAACUCAGGUCGGAUAUUGUAGAAGCCAACAUAUUCCAACCAGCGAGGGAAUAUAACUUCAAGUGGCUUGAAUUUCAACUUGUACCUUUUGUCGUCGCGAAAUGUGAGUAAUGAGUCAUAGAUCCAGACUUUAUUUUUCCGAAAGUCAACUCGUGCUAGUACCCAAUGCGCGCCGUCCAAGUUAACAGGGAUGAGUAAAUGCAUAUAAAAAUUGAAAAACAUGUUCGUUAUAUAUGCAAUUGAAAUACAACAAAGAAAAAGCAACAACUCGAAUAUUUUCAUUAUAGAACAUGUGAAAUGUAAUAAAAUACAUACCAUAUCGACAUCUGUCAUUGAUUUUGACAUUGUGUGCUGUCGCCCACAAAGAUAACUAUUUAAGCGGUCGUCGAAUACUAUUGAAUCGACUGCACAAUUCUCGUUAUUCCAUAACUGAUUCAAGAACACCUAGUACAUAGAUAACCAAGAAAUGCAUAAAUUAAUAAAACUUAAAGGCAAUAAUUAAAAAAAAAUUAAAUAGUAUUUAUAAGUUUUGUCGGCACGUUACCCAAAAAAAUGUGUCAGUAUGUGUGACACGUUGGAGUAAGGCAUUUGGAUACUGCCGUUGUUUCUCGCUAAUCAAGCGGAGAUACUCGUGAAUAUGCUGUAGAGAAACAGAAAUAUUACGAUUUAAAAAAAAUUAUACACAAAUCCACAAUAGAAUACACCACGAGGAAAAUAUAAAUACCUCAUCGCCUAGCCAUCCCAUCGAAGCUGUCCCCAAAAUUAUUUGAAAGAAUGACCGCGGGUGCUGGACUCUCCGGCGGACUCUGCUAUCACCAGUGAACCAUCGAUCAAACUCAGCAAACAAACUAGAGUCCUCCAAUUCUCUAAGUGGAUUUACAUCCACACUUGUACUCAUGUCAAUCGCAUGCUCCAUGAUUUGGGGUCGAGGUAAGGGCCGGACGUUCUGUCCUCGCCUGACCGGAGGAAUCAUGUAAGGACUGUUAUAAACAUAUGACGGUAUGUACGCGCGGCCGAACUUACUAAAGCCCGGAGGCACCUCUGUGAACACCUGCACGCUCUCCCCACUAACAUCCCCGUAGAAACUAUACAAUGACGUGGGCGUAGACAAAUUUUCAUUGCCCACGUCAGUAUACACUCCAUAGUCAUCCGGGGCCUAUACAUUCGCCAAAAAGAACAUAUUAAAUAACUAUCAAAUUAAAAGUUAAACGAACAUAAUUAUUAAAUUUAAAUUAGCUUACCGCAUACGAGCGUGCAGUGGGAGAAUCCUUAUUUGGACGUUUAGAAAAUGUGUCGAUGAAGCCAACAACGGUUUCUUUAAAAUCUUUUAAUUCGGACUUUAUUUCAUACACGUUACGAUCAAUCUUAUCCAGCCGUCGUUGUACAUAAUCAUUAAACUGCUUUGUCCUCGACUAUUACAAAAGAAAAAAAUAAAACUUUAGAAUAACAAUAAAAAAAUAAUAAUUUAUAAAGGAAAAAUAUCGUAUAUUAUUUCUAACCUCAGAAUCCCGUGUGUCAUCAGAGUUGUCUGUUUGCUGGUGGUGGUCAUCAACAGCCACCUCAUCCUCAAAAGUGUCAUGACCCACCUCAUCCUCAAAAGUGUCAUGACGCUGCUCUGGUAUUGGGUUUGGUAUGUCGUCAUGAUCGUCAUGCUCGUCUGAUUGCCUUGUAACCGACGGCAUCGCGUUGAUCGAGGGUUGGUGCUGUAUAAAGUAUCAUUUAAAAUUAGUAAAUGAAAAGCCAAAAAUUUCGAUUAACAAAUUUUUAGUACUUAGAGUAUACCGACCUUAUGAACCCAGUCUGGAAUGCUUGGCAAGUAAUUCUUCACAGAGAGCCAAUAUUUUCUGCUACUCUCCUUUGAAUUUGGCUCAAGAGUUUGUAAAAAGUCCCCCUGCCAUAAAUUCAAUUGAAAAUUUUAAGUAAGUAUACAUAACUUAAAUUUAGUAAAGUUAAAAAAAUAAGUAAUACAUAUUACUUACAAGACGAGAUUCGUCGUUGAAGAACGAAUAAACCUCCGCAAAGUUGAUUCUCGAAGACGCCAUGGGAUUCCAUUGCAGAAUGCGGGGAAUCUUAUUCUUCGUUUUGACGACCCAUGUUGAUGGCAACCCUCCGAUUGCUUCGUAAAUCCAAGCCUACAACAACCAAAGUGAAAAAUCAAAUAAAACAACUAUCAAAUAUUUAAUACUAUAAAACUUAUUAAUAAACAAAAAAAAAAAGCACCUGAACCCCAGACGUAAAGCCGUAAAGAUUGUAUAUUUCAAUAUUAUGAUUUGGAUUUUUCAACCGAGUCUUCUUAAAUUUCUCGUCUUUCUCGAACAGUGCAUUGUCAAGACUCUCGUAAAUCAUUUCCCACGACAAUAGACCCCAUGGACGUUUUCGGAAGUACUGUACAUCAUCAACUUGGUCAAGCCAAUCGAAAUUAAUUUGACAGUGAUUUUUUCUUGCAUUUAGUACUCUGUCCGUAAAAUAAAACAGCGUAAUCUUUAAUGCGUCCAUAUCGUCCAUUUCCUCGAAUUUCAACUUCUUAAAUACUGCAUCGAAUUGCUUCACAUUAAUCUUACGAUGCACACCACCAAAAUACGUAUUCCGUAGCCUCUGCUCCAUUUCAUCAUUUUUUUCAUUGGUAUCAACACCAAAUGAAAGUCCAGUAACCAAGCACCAUUCGACAAUUGACAAGCGAAUCAAACGCUUACCAAUUUGAAACCAUAACUGAUCCUCACGGCUAUCGUCUUCAUGGGCCACUUGCCGCAGUAAAAGAUUGUGCAAAAUUACCCCACUAAACGAAAAACUUCGACACUCCAAGAAAUGCUCAAAUAUAUCCUUUUUGAACAUACUCAACUGCCGCAUUGUUAAUUUUUCCUCGAUGGCUUUUACGACCGAAGAUAACAUACACAUGCUCGAAAUUCGACCAGGAAAGUGAUCAGCAUAACGAAAAUACAUCUUGCCUACUUCAAUAUCCGGUGAUUCUGAUUUCGCCAUGUAUCUGUAAUAUUUAUAAAAUUAUUACAUUACAUUUACAGAAAAAAUAUACUCGUUAAAAAAAAAUUAUAAUUUUUGGUCCAAAGCUGGUGCGACAAUGCCUGCUGUCGCACCAAAUCUGGUGCGACAGCGUGCCGCGCAUGGGUGCGCGCGCGCCCCCUGCCCCCCUCCCUCCCCACCCCCAAAAUUAAGCGCAAUCACUCCAAAAUCGAAAACAAUACUCCCAAACACCACCAACCACCACAAACAUCAUCACCACCACUAUUAUUCUCAAGCUAUAACUAUUAUUAUUCUAAAAUCUCAUUUUAAAUUAAUGAAAAUAAGAAAAAUGACUAACCUAGGUUUUGUUGAAGGUUGUAGAUCGUAGAUCGGAUGCCGGUGAGAGAUGGAGCCGCCGCCGACGAGGGUUGAUGUCGCCGCCGAUGAUGGGAGUUGGAUCGGUUUGGGAGAGAUGAGUGCAAGAGAGUGUUGGGGGAGAGAUGAGGGAGGGAUAUUUUGGUCUCAAAUGUUGUUUUAUGGCUAAUGUUGAUAGAAAUAUUUUUGGGGGGGUAAGAUGAAAAAAAGUAAAAUUUUUUUGGUUAUUACUGUAAAUUUCCCUAUAACUUAACUAACAUAAAUAAAUGAUAGAUAUGAGUAAUGUUCAAGUUUUGUGGAUUUAAUAUUUUAAAAUGAUGCCGUUUAAAUUAACGACGCCGUUUUUAUGAAACUUAAAACAUAUCAACACUUCAGCCAAUUAUCGACCAAGUGUUGAAUAAACCCCUCUCGCUGCAACCUAAAAUCAUUGAACUUUGAGCCACUCUUAACAACAUUGUGUGGAACCCUAACCCUAAGCCUCAUUUCCACCACCGAUAAAGCUAAGAAAGUUUCCCGUAUAUCAGAACUAUGGCGAAUUGCCUUCAGUCCUUAGGACCCAUAAAAAAUCUUGUAUUCCCUCGCUUUUACUUCGCUAAUUUUUUGUAUUAUUCCAUCUCUUUCACUUUAAUAACCCAAAAUCUCUCCUCUGUUUCAAUCGAAAGAAAACCCUAGCUUAAAUUAAGCUGAAAUUUACAUAUCAAAGCUCUCGCUCAACUUCCCUCCUUCAAUUGAAACAAAAUGCAGCCAUAAAACCCCAAUACGCCACACCCUUUUGUCUCAGGCCAACAUUCAUUUAAACCCCACCUUUCGGUUCAAUGCCAUUUAAUGCGAUUGCAGAUGCCGUUUCAACUCAUUAUUUAGUUAACGCCAUUCAGUUCUUUGCUGUCAGCCUUAACCCUAAUAACUAAUCGACUGUGGUAGCACGUUGCUGACUCGGGCUGAGGAUACAUGAAUUAAAUAUAUGAAUUGGGUGAUGUCAGUGAUUCAUCCUCCUAUUUGCCGUGAAUUGAGAUUUGUGUAUAAUGUUUGUAAGAUUGUUAAAAAUUUCAUGUUCCAGUCGAAUUUCUUGCUCUCUCUCUAUAUAUAUAUAUAUAUUAUCUUCUUUAUAGUCAGGCUCUGGCUUUGCUGCUAUGCUUAGUGCAGUAUAUGGUUUCAAGACUAAAUUAGGUUUAUUUGACGACAUCGAUAUCUUACCUAGCUCUGCUUGAAAAUGAAAAUGUUGUACUAGUAAUCAUAGACUUUGUUUAUUCAGUUGAUAUUUUAAUUAUAUGUAUAAGAAUGAAGCUUUAUUUGGGAAAAAAAGAAAUAAAGAAAUAGGCUCUGUUGAAGCUAAUUAAUACUUCAUUCUUUCUAUACGUGCGACCUGUGGUGGAAACAUGAUAUGAAAAUGUGUUACUGGUGAGGUUGCUGCUUGAGAUGAGAAUGAUGAGAAUGCCUUCUAUUCGGAAAUCCUUGGUAGGUAUUAUAUAAUUAUAUUUGAUGGAAUAUUAAAUAGCUAAAGAACCUCUGAUAUUGUCUUUGUUCAAUGGUUACUGUAGUAGUGUUUGUUGGUCUUUUUCUGGUUGGCGUUUGGAUGUUAAUGUCAUCAUCAGUUGUACUGGUGUGGGAUCCAGGAUGUUGUCCUCUUAAGAGCCUAUAAGCAAAGUGAAACAGAGAGUAUCUGAGUUUUGUCUGGGCCUUUCGUAGAAAAUCAAGGUGAUGAAUGACAGGAUUCAACAAUGGGGAUGGGGAUGAUGUUCCUGUUGAAAAGUUAGAGAAUAGAGUGGAAGAUAAUCACGAAGAGAUGAAUAUGUAUGAGGGUGAUGGUGAGACGAGUGAAUCUAAGAAUAUGGUUAAUCAAAACCAGGAAGAGAAUUUAGUGAAGGAGAGUUUUGAUGAGAAUACUGAGUCUGAAGAGGAAUCUAAGGCGGUGUCUAAAAAUUACGAUGUUAGAAAAAGGGAAGAUAAGGAAUCUAAAAGUGAAGGUGGAGAUUCGAAUUCAGAAGCUGGAGAAACAGAAGGCGGCGAAUUGAAUAAAAUUGAGCAAAUUGAAUCAGAGAAGAGCUUGGAUGAAAAUAAAUGGAUGAGGCUAGUCAGAUUGAAAAGGAGAAGGAUUCUCAAGAUCAAGAUAAUGACACUGAGAGUCGUUGAAAGGAUCAGGCUUCAACUGAGAUUUUUCCUUUUGGUGACUAGUCAGAAAUUCUGAAGGAAACUAAUGCUCAGAAUGGGGCUUGCUCAACUCAACCUAUUGAGUCAUAGAAUCAGAAAAUAUCACAACAAACUUCUAUAUCUAAGGACCCGUAUGGUCAUCGCUGGAAAGUGUGUAAUGCCACUGCUAGGCCAGAUUGCAUCCCUUGCCUGGACAAUUUGCAAGCAAUUAGAAUGCUUUCCAGCACAAAAGCAUUAUGAACAUCGAGAGAGGUAUUGCCCUGAAGAAGCUUGUACCUGUAUUGCUCCUUUACCGGAAGGAUACAAACACUCAAUUAAGUGGCCCCAAAGCAGGGAUAGGGUAUGAUCUUAUAUUAUGCAUUAUAAAAUAUAUACUUGAGUACUUUUAAUUCACUUGGGCUAAGAUUUGUUCUCAUGCUGUGUGGGAUAGAUUUGGUAUUAUAAUUUUCCCCACACAAAGCUUGCAGAAGUUAAGGGUUAGCAAAAUGGGGUUAAAGUUACUGGUGAAUACCACAUUUUUCCAGGUGGCAGAACUGAAUUUGAGCUCUUCAUUACAUUGACUUCAUUCUGAAGGUGAGCAUUUUUCAUUUAUCAUUUUAUGUCUGUUGUUAGCUUCAAUUAAUACGUGGCUUAUUCUUUUCUUUGUAUGAACCAUGGGCGGUCCAUUUCAUUUUAUAAGCUAUUUCUUGGGUUUUAGCAAGACAAAUAAUAAGAUUUGUGCUGUUUUUGUUUUAUGCGUCUAUAUAAAUUGUGUGUGCGCAUAUCAUACUAGGGGAGUAUUGCUUUAAUGCUAUAUACAGUCAAGGACACACGGUGGGUCACAUUCUGACUCGUUUCAAUGCUUAUUUUAUAAAUAUUUACUUGUAUAUAUUUUGUAGUACUUUUAGAGAUGUAUUCUGCACUGGAUUUUUUAAGUGCUUUUAAUGUAGACUACUGUCUUUGUCUUUAUCUCUCUUUCUGUGAAACUGAAAGGUUCAUAGAAUUUUUUAGAAACCAGUAAUCUUACAAAAAAUUUUAACCUGUUAAUUAAUGCGGUUUCAUUAUCUUGAAAAAUUUUCAAGCGUGCUUGCUUUUUUCUUUUUCUUUCUUCUGAAAUAAUUGUUGAUAUUCCCCUUCUCUUCUAUCAAGUUUCUGAUUCUCUAAAGCCCACAUUAUUUUUGUCUUUCUUUAUACAGGCCUUUAUCAUUUAUUGGCCAGCACCCUUUCCUCGGUUCUAUAUAAGAAUGUAAUUUCGUCCGAAUCUGCCAAAAACCGUGUGCUAUUGUCAACAACAAAUCAGAAUUCCAUCUCCACCUCCUGACAAACCAUGCGUCACCACCUGCUUAGGAAUCCAAAGCCUUUGCUGGUGUUGAUAGUAUGUUCUCUCUCUAUCUCUGUUUUUCCUCGGUUGAGAAUUUAAAACAACAUCAUACUCAUCAUAUACUCUGUUUGGAUUCCUUGAAAUAAUAUUUUUUUAAUUUUUAUUGUUAUUUUGAAUUGUUUCUACAUAUUUUGAAUCAGAGUUGUUUGAGUAAAAUUUAAAUAUCAAUAUUACUGAUACGUGUCUAAUCUGAACUUCUUACCUUAAUAGCUUACUCACCUGUGCUUUUUUUUCUCCCCCCUUUUAAGAAUUCAAAAGCUAUAUUAUGGAUUUUGUUUUUGUUGUUUAUUGUCAUGAAGUAGGAGUGGGCAGAAAAUUGAAGAACCGUAUCAGAUUCGGUUCGAUAUUUGAUUCGGUUGUGCAAUAACCUAAAUUGGACGGUUUCAUUUCGGUUGGGAUGAAUGAAAACCGAAACCGAACCAAUAAUAAAAUUAACAAGCAAACCAAAUGAAAGUCCCAAAACAGUAACAAAACAAACACAGGUUUCUUAUCAAAUUUCACAGCACGACAUGGUCGCUCUAUUUGGUAAAAAAAUAGAAAAAAGAAUAAUGGGUCUCGAAAAUUUUUUAGAGUAUUUCUGUCGCUUACAUUUUUUUCCAUCGAUUAAUGUUAGUUGUAGGUGAAUGAUUGUUGCAAAUCCAUGUUAGCUUGUGAUUGAUUGAAAAUGGCUUGUGAUUUGUUAUGCUGCCAUGUGACAGAUUGAAAAUGGCUCUGAAAUUUUUUUAUUUGUUUAAGGUAUUACUGCUGAUUAUUGAACAGAGAUUCAUGCUAGUUUUUGUUAAAUUGAAGAUGAGAUUUUUUUUAGGAGAUCUGCAAAACCUUCUCUACUAUAGAUUUGGCUUCUAGCAUACCUGGUUGGCUGGAAAUAAUUGUUUAUACAGUCAUUGCUGCCUAUAUUAAUCAGGAAUAUUGAUUAGCAAUGUACUGGGUUAGAGAUUGGUAUAAUUUUGGAAAAUUAGUUGUAGAUGCAACCUGAUUAUGGUCUCAAAUAGUGUGAUCUGUCAAUUUUGUUUGCUCUGGCCUAAUAACCUUGAAUAUGAGCUAUGCCACUAUACAAAGUCUUGACCUAAUCACACUUGUUAGCCAAUGUCCAAAAUUGCAGUGUCUUUAGAUAAGUCCUUUCUUAUUUGUUUCGGUUAUAAAUGAAAAUUGCAGUGUCUUUGGAAAAUCAUGCUGAAUGUUGAAGUUAUGGACGAGAGGAGACCCCCAGAUUCAAGGCCGGAGCUCCCUGUUAAGAAGCUUUACAAAUAUAGGAUUGUCGCCUGGCAGAGGAUUGCUAUGCCUGGUUUUGUUUGGAAUAUGGAUGAAGAUUUUGCAUUGAGGCUUUUUUGAUAGAUCAUUUGGCAAAUCAAGCUCCAUGUAUCUAUCUUCAGACUCUUGGAUAUUUAUAAAGCAGGUGCAUGCUCCAUAUGUUACUCAAUGUAUCACGAUUAUUUUUCUAUUGCUUAAUAUAUUUGCAGUCCUUGAUGAAGUUGACAACUUAUGGAGGGUAUACAGAGGCUCAAGAGCUCAAUCGCCAUUCAUUUUANNNNNNNNNNNNNNNNNNNNNNNNNNNNNNNNNNNNNNNNNNNNNNNNNNNNNNNNNNNNNNNNNNNNNNNNNNNNNNNNNNNNNNNNNNNNNNNNNNNNGGAUUUUGUUUUUGUUGUUUAUUGUCAUGAAGUAGGAGUGGGCAGAAAAUUGAAGAACCGUAUCAGAUUCGGUUCGAUAUUUGAUUCGGUUGUGCAAUAACCUAAAUUGGACGGUUUCAUUUCGGUUGGGAUGAAUGAAAACCGAAACCGAACCAAUAAUAAAAUUAACAAGCAAACCAAAUGAAAGUCCCAAAACAGUAACAAAACAAACACAGGUUUCUUAUCAAAUUUCACAGCACGACAUGGUCGCUCUAUUUGGUAAAAAAAUAGAAAAAAGAAUAAUGGGUCUCGAAAAUUUUUUAGAGUAUUUCUGUCGCUUACAUUUUUUUCCAUCGAUUAAUGUUAGUUGUAGGUGAAUGAUUGUUGCAAAUCCAUGUUAGCUUGUGAUUGAUUGAAAAUGGCUUGUGAUUUGUUAUGCUGCCAUGUGACAGAUUGAAAAUGGCUCUGAAAUUUUUUUAUUUGUUUAAGGUAUUACUGCUGAUUAUUGAACAGAGAUUCAUGCUAGUUUUUGUUAAAUUGAAGAUGAGAUUUUUUUUAGGAGAUCUGCAAAACCUUCUCUACUAUAGAUUUGGCUUCUAGCAUACCUGGUUGGCUGGAAAUAAUUGUUUAUACAGUCAUUGCUGCCUAUAUUAAUCAGGAAUAUUGAUUAGCAAUGUACUGGGUUAGAGAUUGGUAUAAUUUUGGAAAAUUAGUUGUAGAUGCAACCUGAUUAUGGUCUCAAAUAGUGUGAUCUGUCAAUUUUGUUUGCUCUGGCCUAAUAACCUUGAAUAUGAGCUAUGCCACUAUACAAAGUCUUGACCUAAUCACACUUGUUAGCCAAUGUCCAAAAUUGCAGUGUCUUUAGAUAAGUCCUUUCUUAUUUGUUUGAGUUAUAAAUGAAAAUUGCAGUGUCUUUGGGAAAUCAUGCUGAAUGUUGAAAUUAUGGGCGAGGGGAGACCCCCAGAAUUCAAGCCGGGAGCUCCCCGGUAAGGAAGCUUUCCAAAUAUAGGAUUGUCGCCUGGCAGAGGGUUGCUAUGCCUGGUUUUGUUUGGGAAUAUGGAUGAAGAUUUUGCAUUGAGGCUUUUUGGAUAGAUCAUUGGGCAAAUCAAGCUCCAUGUAUCUAUCUUCAGACUCUUGGAUAUUUAUAAAGCAGGUGCAUGCUCCAUAUGUUACUCAAUGUAUCACGAUUAUUUUUCUAUUGCUUAAUAUAUUUGCAGUCCUUGAUGAAGUUGACAACUUAUGGAGGGUAUACAGAGGCUCAAGAGCUCAAUCGCCAUUCAUUUUACACUUGGCUGGGCUAUAGCAUACCAACUAGUGAUUAAUAAAGAGAGGGUAUGAAGGUCCUGUUGCUGGUGGUAUUAUCAAUCAGAAUUGUUAUUUUACUUGGUCAUACUUACCAUGUAUACUAUUCGUAGGCUUUUUUCAUUUUCAUGCAUUCGCAUCAUCUUCUUGUUAAGCUACAGAUGGUUGAUUUGUGUACUCAUUUGUAUCACUUGUAGCUCUUGAGGAAUAAAAUUUAAAAUUAUGUUGCAUCUCUUGUACUAAAUAGUAAUUUUGUUGGCUUUAUGUAUGGGAAAUGGUUUGUUGUCUUAUUUCUUUGAUGUGUAUGGUGUUACACUGUCUAAAGUUCAGAAGUAUUUCUAUCACUUGUGUAAAAAACAACCUACUUUUUUCGUUCUUCUUAUAUUGAAUAAAAGAGGGACACCAAGAUUGAACGAAAUUUGAUUCAGACAGCAUAGCAAUUAGGCCAGCGCAAAACAGCUUCCUUCUGAUUCUUUGAUAUUUGACUUAAAUCUUUUGUUUGUUUCAUUUAUCAAAGUCAUUUUGGAAAGUAACGGGGGUGAUUUGAUAUUUUCAUUGCAUUCACAUCCCUUGGCACCAAAACAAACAUGCUGGUACUAACCAACAAUUUUUUAUUUUCAGUAUACAAAUUUUUUUUUUUCUAAAUUAAGGGUAUUAAGAAAAGGUAUACUAGCACCAGAGGAGGUAUUUGAGAAUACACAAAUAUAAUCUAUCAAAUUGAGAAUACGCCAAAUCUCCGGAGAGGUUUUUGAUAAAUCCUUUUUUUUCUUUUUCCUCCAUUCACUAUAGGUUCAAUUUAGGGUGGUUGUUAAGUUAUAUCAUUGUGUAACAUAGAUCAAUUCAACAGUUGUUACCAGUAACACAAAAGUAUAACGAACAAAAACUAAUUGUGUUACUGGUAGUAACUAUUAAAUUGAUGUAUGUUACAUAAUUAUGUAACUUAACAAGGUCUUCAAUUUAGACACGGUUGACCAAACUGAAGGUUUAGGUUGGUAAACGCACUAGUGUUAAUGUCAACAACCCAAGGGGCUUCAUGGUCCUCUAGGCCGAAAUAGCGUAAUUAUUAAUUCUCCUCCACUGAAAGUCUUUAUCAUCUUGGGACAAAUAAUUACAAAUUGACAUUAUAGCUGUGGAAAUUUGGAGGUGUAACAACCGGAAAAAUAAAAAUCUUAAGAGACUUUAAAUAAAAAAGAUAACACCUUCAAUUUGCUAAAAGUAAUGGUAUCAUUUCUUGUAUGGAUAAUGGAUGAUUAUAUUUUGUUUUUGGUUAUCUGACGAAGGAUAUUAAGUUGUUCUUUAUGUGUUCAUAGGCAAGAGCAUGAGCAUAUGCAUGAUUUGACAUAUGGUUCUUGCAUUUUCUAAUUAAGUGCUCUUUUUCCUUGCCUUCUUAGUUUGAAAGAAAGAUGUGAAGCAAAGCAAACCCAGUGAAAUGUACAGAGAAACAGAACCAUCAGAGGAAAAACUAAAUAACAGAACUACAAUUGAACCAAACAAAAUCAAAUAAACGGACGCAACAGAUGCCCUGAACCUAGUAAUUACUCAAGAGUUGAGGAGUUGGAAUGAUUUGGUAUUCAUAUCUUCACAAAUCAUAUGCUUUAAUGCAGAAUCGACAGCUUUAUAUUAUUUUAUUCAAAAAACGAUAAAGCAGGAAAACCACAAUAAUCCACCAACUUUUGAUACUUGUAGGAAUUUUUUUUAGUCAAAUUAAGUUUCAUGAUAACACAAGUGGCUCGUCCACACACUUGCACUUGCUUGAAUAUUUGUGCCGACAUUUUCGUAUGUGAUGGUACUUCUUAGCCAGUAGAUAUGUUGAAAUACUACAAAACAGAGUAUUUGAUGAAGUUUUGCUACUUUCGUAUCCCCUUUUUUUGUUGCAUAACUAAAUUCUUUAUAAACACAAAUUAGAAAGAUACAAAUAAUACAGUAGCUUGAAUUUAUAUGCUUUUAUGAUUAUUUGAUAAUCUAGUGCUGAUCAUAUGUGAUGAUAAACUUAGCUAGUAGUUUUAUAUUUGUUUUCGCAGUUUCCUUAGCGUUCACAUUUUGAUGAGUAAAUUAAGGAUUUCCAGAUGAAGUACAUAAUUAGAUGAAUGCAAAGGAACUGAAGUUUGAUUAAUUGAAAACAAAAAUAAUAAUGCAGGUAAUUGCGAAAAUGAGCAAUGCAGAAGUAGUCCCUAUAGUAUUUCUAAAUUUUCUCUUGGGGUUCCUUAGUAUUCCUUAAUAUUUUUAAAAAAUGACAUGACGAUCUUUGAGUUGACGAAUCUUGGCCUGCUGCUUAGUACCCUUCCAACAUAUAAAGUACUAGAUGUUUUACUGAGAAAAUGACGAGAUCAUUUACCAAAUUUCUUGCCCAUAUAUACGUAUGUAUACGAGAAAUGAGAAUCAGUGAUUAUAAGACCUUGCAAUGAGACAAUAAUACAUCAUCAAAUCUAAAAAUACACAAGAAAUUCGGGACAUAUAUAUAACAAAAGACCUCUCAUUGAGUCAUACAUAUUGAGAAUAAAAUGUCAAAAUGCAUACAAAGAGCUUAUACAAAAAAUGAAUUUACACAUAUUUAGAAUAAACUGUCUUUGAACUUUCGAUGGUCAAACAAAGGAAACAGACAGGAUAUAAUACACGCCGUCAUAGAUGUAGCGACACGGUGAAGUAAAUCACAUGAAGAUGGAAACGGAAACCCUUCACAACAUAAAAUUUGAAUAGAGGGGGAAAAAAGGCUUCAUUUCGAAUGUUGCACAAAACUAGAAUAACAGACAAAAUAUUGUGCUUCUAUACUUGUCACAAAACUAGACCAAAUUAGUUUCCUUUUUGGUUUGUGAAAACUUGAUAUUUUUGAAAAUUCUAUCCAAUGCUUUCAAACAAUAUUUCCAUAAUAUAGUUGUUCAUAGCUAACCUUUGAUGGUUUAAGCAUUUGUUGUAGGCAUGACGGGCUAAUUAGAUUAUUAUUUUUUUUAUCCGAUGAAUGAUAUUCAGCUGUUCUUAAUUAUGUGUUAAUAGGCAAGAGCAUUUUCUUAAGCACUUUCGUUGCCUUCCAAGUUUCCAAAGAACAAACAGAGCACAAACAAAUUUAACGGAACAGUAACGAUGACAAUAAAUAAUUGGCAAGGAAAGAAAGAAAAAAGUUUGCAUGAUUUCAAGGAAUUAUAAAAUCUGAACACUUUCAACAUGCAAGUGUUGCCCCUCUUAAUGAAAUUUCAUCAUAAAAUGCUUGCAAGGAAUUAUAAAAUUUUAGAGAACAAGCGAAUUAAAUUAAAUUAGACCAAAAGACGCUCAAUGACGCAAAAUCUGCCCAUAAAAGCCUGAACGAAUCAUGAAAAGUGCAUUCCAUAUUGACAGUAAACCAAGUGACCCAUUCUAAACAAUUGAGAUGAAAUUGUGAAACAACCCACGAGAUCAAAUAAAUAAAAUAAGAAUUAAUUACCAGCUGGGACUUUCUUCUUCAAAUUCGUAACUCCAAGUCAUAAGAAGCCUAUGAAAUUAGUCGUAAUCCACAGAGUAUGACGACGACCCCGCCAACAGCUGAAAAUAAAAUUCUUAUUCAUCAAUUUAAACUAACUUUAUAACAAAUAUCUUAUCGAUAUUUUAUUUAAAAAGAAAAAGAAAAUUUUGUAAAAAUUUAUCAUGGGAGAUAGAGAGUAAUAUGUACAUACGUACCUUCUCAGCAUGUAAUUGUUGUAUGGUCGUGUUAAGAUCAUUACCAGCCCAACGCCGUUGAUUCGAUGUCUCUCCAUACCAGACGUUUACUCUUGGAGGCGUGAUUGAUUCUCCUGUAGUGAAAAAAUUCAUCUUGGGACAACCAAUCACACACAACUCUUGCAAAGAUGGGAAUUCAAAGGUGUAAUUGGCAGAGCAGAAACUUGUGAGGCUGUCUAAAUCGCGCAGUUCCAACCUCUUCAAUUUGCGGAAAACAAUCUCUUCUUUUUCAACCCCGUCUUUGUCAUUUAUUACCACCUCUGUCAUUGCUCUGCAUCCAUAUAUACUCACUUUGACGAGUCGCACUAGAGUUUUUGCUGUGGAGGAUGUUACCAAGUGCAUCAAUCCCUUGCAACCGAAAGCUAAAAGUUUUGUUAGGUUCCGAAAAGAUACCGAUGAUGAUGGCAAUAGAAUUAACAGACUUUGACAAUGAUGUACUCCUAGAAUUUCAAGAUACUGAAAAAUGGGGCCAAGUUUGGAGUCUUGUUUGCACAGCUGCUUCAGAUGAUAGUGCCAGCGCAGCUCUAAUGCUUUUAUCAUUGCCAACUUCCCCACAUGUUUCUCUAAGCAUCCUUCCAUCGAAAAUAGCUCUUCGUGGGAUGAAAAAUUAAACAGAGUGAGUAUUUCGAUAUUGUGAAAUCUCUCCAGUACGUUCCAGAUUGGAAAACAAGCUGAGUCAUCUCCAAUAAUCUCUAGUUGUUUAAGACUGCCAAAAAGGUGUUGUGGGAAAUCGGCCUGCAAAAUCAUCUUCACAUCUUUUCCACUUAGUGAUAGUUUCUUCAAGUUGGGUACGAUCUGAUCAUCAUCAAUCAUAAUAACUAAUGAGGUCAAUGAUGAGCUUUUUUUCAUUUUUUAAAACAAAAAUAUAAAAGGUUUUUUAAAAUUUUUAAAAAAUAAUUUUUUAAGAANNNNNNNNNNNNNNNNNNNNNNNNNNNNNNNNNNNNNNNNNNNNNNNNNNNNNNNNNNNNNNNNNNNNNNNNNNNNNNNNNNNNNNNNNNNNNNNNNNNNGUUCAGCUGGCUGACCUAAUUUUUUGUUUCUAGGUAACAGGCUUUAUAUAUCUGUAAUUGAUAGCCAAGUGAAGUUCUCAGCUGUGGUGAGGAUAUUUCUUUACAGAAGGUAUUGCAAACUGUUUUUUAGAUUAAUUAUUAUUGUAUAUAUACUUUAAUUUUCACAUCUUUUUCUCUGAUUCUUGUGGCUUUGCUUGCUUCCAUAUAUAUAAAACCAUAAAAUUGUAUAAUAAUUUUUUUUAUUAUAUUGCGAAACUGCGCACACAUGAAAAUAUCUUGUUUAGUAGUAGAAAUGAAGAAUUAAAGUGAUUUAUUUAACUAAUUUUUCUAGUGCAAUAAAAGGAGAUAGUCAUGGACCAGAGUUGGGUUGGUUUGCCAAAUAGAUAUCCAAUUCAUAUACUGAUGGGGGUCAAAAAAUUUAUAGAUUUUGCAUUUGAGAAUGUUGUUGGUGAUAAAAGAAUUUAUUGUCCUUCUAAGAGGUGUUGUAAUAUCGAUAUUUCAUUAUAAGGAAAGUGGCAAGAGACCAUAUCAUUAUAAAUGGCUAUUGGUUAAAGUAUUAAAACUGGAUAUUGGAGGGUGAGCCAUCUUCAUCUUUGAAAUCUAACUAAGAAACAGGUUAGUCAUGACUCGGGUAGUGAUGCUAGUAUGGUUGGAAUGGUGCAUAAUGCAUCACGUAAUCAAAUGUUCAAGUCACACGCAGCAUUGUUAUGGACUAUCUCCGACUUUCUAGCAUAUGCCAACUUGUUUGGGUGGAGUAUUAAAGGUAAAUAAGCAUUUCUUGUUUGCCAACAAAACACUAGAUCUAAUUGGUUGAUACAUAGUAGAAAAUUGUCACGUGGGUCACCGUCGAUUUUUACCAACAAAUCAUAGGUUCCGAAAAUAUAGUGCCAUCUGAUAAAACUAGAGAGUGGGGACAAGCACCUUCUCGGUUGUCUGGAGCUGAGGUGAAAAAGCAGUUCAGUAAUGUACUUACUGAGUAUAAGAUUGAAGACUUGAAAAGAGGAGAAUGAAUAAAAUAAAAGAAAUGAUAAGAUUACUUGGAAGAAGAAAAGCAUUUUUUAUGAACUAACGUAUUGGGAGUUCAAUUUGAUUCAUCAUAAUCUUGAUGUCAUGCACCGUUUUGAUUUUUGUUAUGAACUCAGAUCAAAAGUUUAAUGUGAUCAAAAUUUCUUAAAAAUAGUGAAAACGACUCCUCCUAAUAAUAUGGAAGAUGGCUAUAAAAGAUAAUUUCUUAAAAGUUUAAUGUGAUCAAAAUUGCUUGUGAACGCAAGGGUUUUAGUCACACUGUCAACGCUGUCAAUGUAGUGAUACAAUGAAGAUGAAGUAAAGCAUUAGUAGAAUAAUGAAGUUGACCAGUAACACAGUAAAGCAAAUUUUAUUCCAGAGCAUGAAAACUUUUAAACAGUAACACAGCUCUUAUUCCAUAGGCUGCACACGAGUGACCUGAAUCUUCUUCAGAACUUUCAAAUUUUAUCAAGCAAAGCUUUCAAAAUCCUUGCCUUCCUAAGUUAGGAAAGAUAGAUGUGGAGCAACCCAAAUGAAAUAAAUGGGUAAACAGAACAAGCAGGGCAAAAAUUAAAAAUGAUGGCAAUUAACAAAUUAAUAGCAAUGUUACAUUUGACUCUUUAGCCAUUUGUUCCUUCUCUUAGCAUUCUUCAAAGGUUUUGAAAAUUGGAUGUGAAGCAAACAAAAUAAAAUAAAUUUAGACAACACAUACCCUGUAUUCAGCAUCAUAUAUAUGUCGAAUAUCUAAUAUAAUAAAUUUCACAUCCAAAAUACUAGAAUUUCAAACAGUACUAGUAGUAAAAAAAUGACGACAACAACAAAAAUAGAAAAUUACAAGACUGCUGAUAAAAUUUCAUUUGCGUGCAUGUCUGACAAAAUUUCCGUGGUUUAAUGUGCGUUCAUGCAGGCAAGUCCUAACGUUUCUGUGAUCACAAAAUGAAACUGAAGAUAAACCUUUCAAGCUUGACGAAGCCAUGAGAAUUCAUAGCUCAGGCUCUGAUACCAAGUUAAAGUUUCUAAUCUGUUUGAUAAGUAAGAAAAUGAGAGAAAAUGAAAGAAAGAACAGAGAUCAUCUAAGAGCUGGAUUUGAUGAAUAAAUCUGAAUCAUCCAUUCUUUAGCUGAUUACAAAUGUAUUUAUACAAGGUUUCUAAGCACCUGAGAGUUGAAUAACUUAUGCCAGCUCAGCUAACACGUCAGUAACUCUACCUAUCUUGCUUAACAAACUGAAACAAUAACUAACCAUUUUAACUAUCUUAACAAUCCCAAUAAUUUCUCCGUUUGUGUGUUUUUUUGAUUCAUAAUCAAAUGGGUAAAUGUUGCAACUAUUUUUUUUANNNNNNNNNNNNNNNNNNNNNNNNNNNNNNNNNNNNNNNNNNNNNNNNNNNNNNNNNNNNNNNNNNNNNNNNNNNNNNNNNNNNNNNNNNNNNNNNNNNNNNNNNNNNNNNNNACUAACUUGAAUUUAUAUGCUUUUAGGAUUAUUUGAUAAUCAAAUGGGUAAAUGACAGGAAGAACUUUGAGUUUAAAAAUCUGGGCCUGAUGCCUGGUAGCCCUCCAACCUAUGAAGCACUAGAUGUUUUAAUGAGAAAACGACAAGACCAUUUAUCAAAUUUCUUGUGGAUAUAAAUACAUACACAUAGACGAGACCAACCUCCUCAAAUGAGAAUCAGAGUGAUUACAAGACCUUGCAAUGAGACAAUAAUACACCAUCAAAUCUCAAAAUACAAUAGAAAUUCAUGACAUAUAUAUAAUAAAAGACCACUCAUUGAGUCAUAUAUAUUGAGAAUAAAAUUUUUUUAAUACAUACAAAGAGCUUAGCUAGAAUGAAAUGUCUUUGGACUUGCGAUGAUCAAACAAAGGAAACAGACAGGUUGCAACUCACACUAUCACAGAUGUAGCGACACGAUGCAGUGAAUCACAAGAAGAUCACGAAGAUGGAAACGGGAACCCCUCAUAAUGUAAACUUUGAAUAGAGGAAAAAAGAAAAACGACCUUAUUCACAGAAGAAGAGUGACUUAAAUCUUCAUCAGUAUCCAGACAUUCUGCAAUCAUAGAGUAGAGAAAUUUUAACAGGAACAACAGAGAAAAUAUUAUGAAUAUGCUACACCAAAUUAUCCCUUUUUUGGUUUGUGAAAACUUGAUUUUUUAUGAAAUAUUUUCAAUCAAUAUUUCCACAAUAUACUUGUUCAUAGCUAACAUUUGAUGGUUUAAGGAUUUGUUAUAGGAACAAUGCACUGAUUACGUUUUUUUUUUAAUUUUUUUAAUCCGAUUAAUGAUAUUCAGCUGUUCUUUAAUUAUGUGUUCAUAGGGAAGAACAUUUUCUAAGUACUUUCCUUGCCUUCUAACUUUCCAAGGAAAGAUAGGUGUGAAGAAAAGCAAACCCAAUGAACAAACAGAGCACAAACUAAAAUAAAAGAACAGCAAUGAUGAGAAUAAAUAAUUGGCAAAGAAAGAAUGGAAAAAGUAUGCACGUUUUCAAGGAAUUAUAAAAUACGAAGGCUUUUAAUGAAAUUUUAUCAUAAAACUUAUGCAAGGAGUUCUAAAAUUUUAGAAGACGAGGGGAGCUCGCAAAAAAAAAGAAAAAGACUCAAAUUAAACUAGACUAAAAAGACAUUCAAUUAUGCAAAAUCUGUCCAUAAAAGUCUGAAAGGAUCAUUAAAAUUGCACUGCAAAUUUAACAGUAAACCGAGGGACCCAUUCUAAAUAAUUCAGAUGAAAUUGCGAAACAAGCUAUGGGAUUAAAUAAAUGAAAUAAAAUUAAUUACCAGUUGAGACUUUCUUCUAAAAAUCGCAACUCCAAGUCAUAAGAAGCUAUGAAAUUAGUCGUACUGCAUAGAGUAUAUCGACGGCACCGCCAACAGCUGAAAAUAAAAUUCUUAUUCAUCAAUUUAAACUAACUUUAUAACAAAUAUCUUAUCGAUAUUUUAUUUAAAAAGAAAAAGAAAAUUUUGUAAAAAUUUAUCAUGGGAGAUAGAGAGUAAUAUGUACAUACGUACCUUCUCAGCAUGUAAUUGUUGUAUGGUCGUGUUAAGAUCAUUACCAGCCCAACGCCGUUGAUUCGAUGUCUCUCCAUACCAGACGUUUACUCUUGGAGGCGUGAUUGAUUCUCCUGUAGUGAAAAAAUUCAUCUUGGGACAACCAAUCACACACAACUCUUGCAAAGAUGGGAAUUCAAAGGUGUAAUUGGCAGAGCAGAAACUUGUGAGGCUGUCUAAAUCACGCAGUUCCAACCUCUUCAAUUUGCGGAAAACAAUCUCUUCUUUUUCAACCCCGUCUUUGUCAUUUUUUACCACCUCUGUCAUUGCUCUGCAUCCAUAUAUACUCACUGUGACGAGUCGCACCAGAGUUUUUGCUGUGGAGAAUGUUACCAUGUGUAACAAUUUCUUGCAACCGAAAGCCACCAGAGCUGUUAGGUUCUGAAAAGAUACCGAUGAUGAUGGCAAUAGAAUUAACAGACUUUGACAAUGAUAUACUUCUAGACUUUCAAGAUACUGAAAAAUGGGGCCAAGUUUGGAGUCUUGUUUGCACAGCUGCUUCAGAUGAUAGUGCCAGUACAGCUCUAAUUCUUUUAUCAUUGCCAACUUCCCCACAUGUUUCUCUAAGCAUCCUUCCAUCGAAAAUACCUCUUCGUGGGAUGGAAAAAAAAGCAGUGAGAGCAUUUCGAGAUUGUGAAAUCUCUCAAGUACGUUCCAGAUUGGAAAACAAGCUGAGUCAUCUCCAGCAAUCUGUAGAUGUCUAAGACUGCCAAAAAGGUGUUGUGGGAAAUCGGCCUGCAAAAUCAUCUUCACAUCUUUUCCACUUAGUGAUAGUUCCUUCAAGUUGGGUACGAUCUGAUCAUCAUUAAUCAUAAUAACUAAUGAGGUCAAUUGAUGAUCUACGGUCACACGCAGUGACUUUAUAGCAUUUGUUUUAUAUUAUAUUUUAAAAAAAUUGAAUUAUUGAUAAAAUUUAUUUUAUAUGUUAAUUUUAGAGGUAAAAAAGAAAUUAGAGAAAAAGGUUGAUUUAUACUGGCUCAAAAUUAUUUUAUUGCACAAUAAUAAAUUACUAAUUUAUUUUGUAAGUUCUUCUAAAUGGAAAGACUGAGGAUUCUUUUAUAAAUACUAUGCCUAAAAAAGUUCAUAUAAUUAUGAAUCUACCAUAUUGAUCCCUUAGUCUAGACUAGCAAAGAUUAUUGUAUAAUAAAAGUUUUCAAUUUAUUGAGCAUUAAUUUAUCGAUGCUUUGUCAUAUUUUUCAAAGUUAAAAAUAAGCUAUUGAUAAAAAAUCUAGAAAAUGGCUUCAUACCUUUCCCAACGGCAAUGGGAGCUGUUGUGCAGGAAUACCAAGUUGAUCAUUCUCAUUAUUCUGCGAUAAAUCUGCAGCGAAUAUCUUUAAUUUGUCACAACGAUACACUACAAGAAUUUCUAGCGCGGGCCAUUCCGAAGUAUGCUUUCCAGGGUACAAACAUCUAAGUUUUGGUAGAACUUGGAGUAUCAGAGUGGUGAGCUGUGGAAAGACAAAAUAAGGGAUCACUUGAUCUGCUCUGUUUUCAGAAAUGAUCUCCUGUAAAUUCUCACAGAACCAUACUUCUAGGCGUUGGAGCUGCUUAAGGCUUCUGAUCAUAGACGCUGAAAAUAUGUAUUUUAAUUUGUGACAAUGCCACACAAUCAAUCGUGUUAAAUUUUGAAAGCGAGGAAACGUGACCGGAAGAUGAUUGUAGUGCCAAAUCUGGUCGACAUUAAUUUCAGAUAUCUCCAAAACCUCCAAGUUAGGCAACGCAACCUAAAAAAAUAAGAAUUUCUCGUUAGAUCCAAUAUCCAUAUGGGAAGCACUUGUUGAAAUUUUCUUCUUUGAUUACAAAUUAAUGCAAGUCAGAAUCAAUUUCCAACUGACAGCUGAGUAUGCAUUCUAAUUGAUACUACUUGUUAAGAGCUCAAUUAGUGAGCGCGUGAGAUUCUUUUUAUCCUUUUUUCCAUUUUCUUUCCAUUCUUUAAAUGAUUUAAUUAUUUUCCACGUAUGACAUCAAAAGAGAACGCAUUAUAGAAUAAAGAAAAUGUUAGCCUACGCACCUUCUCGUUGAAAAGUAGAGUUGAAAUAUCCAAAGUGAUUUCGCUGGAGCAAUACAUAGCCGUCGAUUCCUCUUGCGACACUUGUCUGUUCGGUGAUGCUGAAGGAGUCUCCACCUCACAGCAAAAACUUGUAACCUCUGGAAGAUUCCCCAGACUCAAAGAUCUUAAUUGAGCAAACUCUAUCUUCUCAAUUGCAUUAUCAACUUCUUCCCCAAUUGAAAAAAUUUCUUUCAUCUUGCUGCAAUUAAUAACUGCAAUUCUCUCAAGUCUUGGAAGGCAUUUUGUAGUAGAGAACCAAAAGAUAUUGCUCAACUUAUCACAAUUAUAUGCUUCUAUGUUUUUGAGUUGGUUGAAAGACUCUACUUUGAGCCGAUCAAUACAUAACCUCUCCAUGUUGAUCAAAUUGUGAAGGAUAAGUGACUGCAAAAGAGGAAAGGCAUCACAACCGACCAUCUCCCUUGAAUCGACGAUACAAAAGAUGUCAGGAUUAUUUUGAACCCAGAGAAGCUUCAAUUGUGAAAAGCCCUCCGUGUCCAAAUUGAAAAGAACAUUCUCGAUGCCUUGCAGCUUGUCCAACCAUAAGCAUUCAACGUUAUUGAUGCCCUGCAAUUUCGUGGAGCAAAUGUCCAUAAAAUCAAGCUUGAGCUUCAAUUCUCUUAAACUCUCACGAUUACUGUUGAUCAAAAAGUGCGGCCGGCUUUGAAACCAUUCUCUUGUAAUACUCUUGGGAGGCAUGAAUGACUCAUUUCCAAUGGAUAUUUUGAACCUUUCGAGCUUUCUGGCCAAAAAACCUUCUGGUAAAAUACUGUCAUUUUUAACGUCAAUUUCUAGAGUGGUUAGCCGAGGUAAAUGCAUCAAUUCAUCAAGGCUAGCAUUACUUCUUUCCCUGUUGUCUCUUUCAACCUCCCAUUCAAUGCAGCAAUUACCCAUAUACAGCUCUUCUAAUCGAGUUAAGCUUGAUAUGAGAUUGGGCGCAAUAACUUUUAGAUGGAAACAAUUGGUUAAAUCUAACAAUCUCAACUUAUUCAAUUGACCUAGUUCUUCUGGCAACUGCAUAAUAUCAGACAUCAGAAAGCUAAGGACUUCUAGAUUCUUCAACUUCCCAAUGAUUUCUAUGUCCCCCAACGCACUUUGAUCCAGACAUAGUGUGUGAAGAUUUACUAGAAGAUCAAUUGAAGAUGGAAAUGAAGAAAACUGCAUUCGAGUAAAAUCUAGAACUCUAAGCUUUUUCAUCCCUACAAAAAAGUUCUCAGGAAUAUUGAUUUCAAGAGAAAAAUCUUUGAGAGAGAUAUAUAAAAAUUCAAGGUUUGGGCAUUCUAAUCCUUCAGGAAAUUCACGAUUACUAUUAUUUCUUAAAGAGACAGCAUUGCAUUUUCGAAGUGCAUCCUCAUCUGGCCAGUCCCACACAUCCUCAUUUCUCACCGAAAACACAUGUUGGUGGCGGCAUGCAAUUGAUAUUGCGACAUCGCGAACAACAUCAUGCAUUGAAAAUUCUUCAUUGCUAUCACCCUCAAGCAACAAACAAGAGUCUCUAAGUUCAUGGACCAAUGCAUAUAAUUUGUCUCGUGCAUCUUCCAUCUUAUUGACUCCUUUAAAUAUACCCAAACCCAUGGAGUACUUAAACAGGUCCAAAGUAUGAAUACGGUUACCCAUUAGACUACAGAGGAGAAAAAUUUUCUUGAGUUGCUCACCUUUUAAAUGGUUGAAACUCAGCUCAAUACUUGAAUAAGUCUCUGCAGAUACUCCUUCGAAGUUCACCAUUGAAGGCGUUCGGAGUUCUCGCAAGGAAUUCUUCCAUUCAUGCAGACUCUUGCUUCUCAGUGCCUUUGCUACUGUGGUCAAGGCAAUGGGCAAACCUCCACAUGCCCUGGCGACGUCUAUUGCUGUAGAUUUCAACUCACGAUUUUCAACAUCAUCACCGGCCAUCAUCUUAAACAAUCUCCAGGCUUCUUCUUCAUUUAAAUUGUUUAUCAAAAAGUUGUCUUUAGAACCCAUUUUUAAAAGGACACUACGAUCUCUUGCCGUCAGCAGUAGUUUGCAGCCUUUAUGGUCUUCUCCAAAAGGAAUUCCAACUGUCUCCAAAUCAAGGUGUUUCCAAAUGUUAUCUAAAACCACAAGGAUCUUCUUGUGAUUUCUCAAUCGCUCAAAUAGUCUACUUGCUCUUCUAGAUUCAACUUCCUCGUGCAACUCCAGGCCCAACUUCUCGGCAAUUUCCUGUUGAAUCUUUUUUAUGUCUGGAGUUUGCGAAACCUCUGAAAAGACCACCAUAUCAAAGAGCUUGUCUUCCAUAGCUUGCCUGGCGACCUUCUUCACCAGUGUCGUCUUUCCAAUGCCGCCCAUGCCGUACACCCCAACGACACUAACAUUAACAUCGAUCAAUGCAUUUUGUAUGGCCUUCAAAGAAGAAAGUCUUGACUCGAAGGCCUCGUAGCCUUUGUGAGACUUGAGCCAUAUCUCCUCCGGAAUGGUACGGUAGGAAAUUCUAUCAUCAAAUCUUGCAGCUUCUUCUCGGAUUUUGACAAGUGCCUUCACCUCUGCCUCUGCUUUCUUGCUAAGCUGAUAGCGGGUCUUCAGAUUAGGGCACAGACCCUUGAGACAUAGCUUAUUUGUUGCCUCCUCGUCGUCAAUGAAUUUGUCUGCAUGGUCAAUGAUCUUGUUCGCAUUAACCAGCCAUUUCUCAACCUCCUCUUCAAUCUUUUCUCCUUUUCUUUCAUCCUCUGAAACUCUGCGUUGAAUGCUCCUACUUUUAUCCUUGAGCUUCUCGAUUUCAGCCUUGAGAUUCUCAAAGUUGUCAUUGGAGCAACGCAAGUAACGAAGUUGGUGUUGUGCUGGAGGAGCCAAGCAUUUUACAACCUCUAAAACGACAGUAACAAUGGAUUCCAUCACCUUCAAUACUUUUUCUUUUCUUUUUUUUUUUUUGGGGGGGGGGGGGUUUGUGGGAGGAUGGAUUGAUCUGAAGUGAAAGAAACAGAAAAAGAACAGGGGAAACGACUGGACAAUUGUUAAUCAAUGAAGAAGCCGAAGAAAAAACAGAUGACGGUGAAAGGGAACGGGACUAAAUUAGGAAGAGAAAUUGUAUUUGAGCAAAACAAGGAAAAAAUCAGUGUAAUAGAUGAGAAUCAAAGUGUUGUUGCGAUCAGAAAAUUGAAACAAGAAAAGGGUUUCUUGAUCCAAUGAGUAUACAGAGAGGUGAUGGCAGAAGGGAGCAAAGCUAGGUCAGGAGAGGGUUUCUUGAUUGAGAAUUGAACGCAAAGAGUAGGAGCUGAUGAAUUAUAACUGGUAAAACUGAUUUGAAGCAAUUCUAUUGAGCGAUCUGAAAAAAAUUAUUUUGUUCAAUAUCAUACAGUAAAAGGAACAAAACAGUAAAAAGAAAUUAUUUAUUUAUUUUGUCAAAUGUGAAUACAGAGAGUAUCCAAACGAGCAAUUAUUUCUUUCUCGUCUCAGUAAACUAUAACGACAAAACAGCAAAAGAGAAAAUUAUUGUCAAACGUGAAUCACGUUUCUAAUCUAUUAAUUAAAAUGAUGUUAUACAAAAAAUGCUAAUGCUGGGAUGAUUUAACUUCUAACUGAAAAUUGCUAAUAUCAAUGUCGGGGGUGAAGGACAUAAAUUAUUCGUAAUUGCGAUGUAACAUUUGCUGGCAUAUUAUGAAUGAAAGAUAAAUUAUAAUCAUCGAAAUGUGUGGGGUCAGCUGUCAGUUGUAAUAAAAUGAAAGUUUUAAUUUUUGAAAUAAAAAUUAAUAAUACCUGAUAAAGUGGUACCAUUGAAUCAGUCUACGGAAGUCAUCAGAGUUGUCAAUGGUUAGACCCAACUAUAAUAUGGUCCAACUAUGGUAUCCCAUUAAAUGAGCCCUAAAACUAAACUCAAAGCCACAAUUGCUAGAAGAGAAAUUUACACGAGAUAGGUCAUGAUGAACUUCUCUAAUGAUAUUUUCUCAUGUGCUAUAGUGAGACUCACAAUAAACCUUACUAAUUUUUUAAAUAUAAAAUCUUAUGAAUCCCAUUAUAAAACACAUCUAUAAUUUCGCUUUGAAAUUUACUGCUCUGCACGUCUAAGCUAAGCGGAGAAUAGACUUCAUCAACAACGCUUUUGUGAAUAUGUGUUGCAUUACAACACUCCAAUGUGAUCCUCAUCCAAUAUCCAUUAUUUGUGAUCCUUAUUCCUCUGCGUCAAUUAAAUAUUGUUCCAUGAAUUUUUAAUUAUUUGUCAGCUAAUAAUUAAGUCAUAUAAACAAAUUAAUAAUCUGAAUUAGUCUUUAGGUAUUAUAAAUAUUUGUAGAUUUUUAAUUAUAAUAUCAUUAUUUAAAAGUAAUGCUUCACUUACAUUAGUGGCAUGCCAUUACCACUGUCAUAAAACAUGUGAUCCUCAUCCAAUAGCCAUUAUUUGUGAUCCUUAAUCAAUGAAAUAUCUGACAAUAUCUGCGUCAAUUACAGUCCAGUCCAAUGCUGCCAUCAUUAUCGAACAGUCGAUAUCCAACACUUGCAUGAAGAUUCCAAGAAGUUGCAUGGCUGCCGACUUUUAGAUGCUAAGCCUCAUUGUGUCGAUGAUACACGAAACAGAGCUUAGAACUAAACAGUAGCUUAGUCGGAAAAUCAAACGCCAGUGCCGGUAAAAUGACCGAUAAAAAUAUAAGGAAAUAAAAAUUUUAAAGUUUUACUUCAUUGCUUUUUUAAUCUUAUUACUAUUUCUUCUUGCACUUCUAAAGAAAUCAAAGCUUUAAAAGAAAUCAGCCAAAUCACGAAGAUUGAAGUGAACAAAAAUUUUAGGUUUUAUACAACAUCUCUUUUUUUUUUUUUUUUGGUUCUAUUUGAAGUGAACGAAAUAAAAAUACAACAGGGUCAGCGACUGGGCAAUUGAUAGUCAAGUAGAAGCAAAUCAAGGCUAAAUGGGAAAGAGAAAUAAUAUUUGUACAAAACAAAGAGAAAAUUAGUGUAACAGAAGAGAAUCAAAGUGCUUUGGGAUCAGAAAUUGAAACAAGAAAAGGGUCGCUUGAUCCAAUGAAAAUGCUAAGAGCUGAUGGCAAAAGGGAACAAAGUUCAACAAGAAAACAAAUAGCACUAGCAGCGACCAAAAUAAACAGAAAAUUUGAGAUGGAUUUACAAUAUUUCUGCCUUUCUUUAUGCUUUAACAAAUAUUGCUCUAUCAAUAUAUAUAUAUAUAUAUAUUGAGCGUUUUUAUUAUUGGAGUCACAAAAGACCUACACAAUAUAGCAAGUGGCUAGGAAUAAAUAAGAUAUAUAACUUUCUCUCUAAUUCUCGCUCGGGCUUUUAAUUGUCACUCAAAACCCAGAAUUCAUACUUAAAAUUGUAAGCAAGUCAGACAUGACAGCGUCUGGUUGUCAUACGCGCCUUCUAGUUUCCGGAUGACAUGGCAUACACUUAUUCUGUAAAUCCAACAUGACAUGCCGUACUCUUUGUUUUGAGAUCAUAUUUCAAACUCUUCAUGCAAUGAAUGAAACAUAAACUACAAUCAUCAAAACUUUAGUGUUUGUUUGGUAAUGUAACGUCACGGUUGUUGUGAAUUGAAAUUAUUUCUGUAAAAUAAAAGGAUUUGGGUCAUUGAUUGUUAUUUCUGGCAAUAUUUGUUAAAUAUUAAAAAAAUAAAUUUAUAUUUAUUAAGUAUAAAAAAUAAAUAAACAAACAAAAAUAAAAGAAAAAAUUUAUACAUUACGUAAAAUAAUAAGAACAAUAUCAAUAUUUCACACUCUAUAAUUGAGUGAUGUGUUGUCCAACUGCCAUACAUUGGUCCCAAACAGAGACUUAAAUAUUAAAGUCCAAAGUUAUUGUGAUGAUGACUUAUAAUCGCCAAACUUGACAUACGGGUAAUCAUACAUUAUAAGGCGCUGAUUUCUUCCUAUCGGAACCUUAUUUUUCAUUUACAAAUAAAUAAAUUAUGUGACUUCACGGUUGGCGGGGUCCUUUGUGUCAUUUGGGCAUUUCACUAAAUGAUUGAUUGUAGCAGGAAGAUUCCUGGAAGUUGCCAUAAUGCUACUAACAUUUUAAAACUUGGAAAACCCUUCUAUCAAUCUUUUAGUGGUAGGCUCUGGUAGCUUGGUUUGAUUAUGGCGUAUGAUUAUUUGAUAAUAAAGUUAGAGGAUGUAUUAAUAUAAAAUUUGUUUAUUGGUGUUGAAGUUAAUUAUCUCAUUAAUAAUAGUAUAAAAAAUUAAUUACUAAGAAACACAUAACAGUAGUUAAUUGGUGUUAUAUUAUUGGGAUUCUGGGAUAUAAUUUUAUAUCAUAACUUUGUAGGUGUAUACUUACUCAUCAAACUAAUAAAAUUAUUUAAAAAUUUCAGUUGGAAAACAUAAAUUAUAUUAUUUUCAUUUCAAAUAAUCUAUAAGUUAACUCAAAACAUAAUCAAGCUGAGAAUUAAAAUAAUGCUACUGUAUGAGAGGAUUUUUAUUUUUUCCCGAAGUUUCACUAGGAAAUUAUUGAUACAUAGCUUUAUUCGGAUCAUCUCAGUUCAAACGACAAAUAAUUGAAAGACUAAGCUAAAUAGACCAGCCAACAACUUUGUACAAGAGAGUUCAAAAAUUAAAGUCAUGGUAUUAAAGUGUUCUAUAUUGAAAAGUACAGUGUAGUAAUAAAAUAAAAACUAAUAGUCUUUGGUAAGAUAUGACAUUUAAAUAAUAAUUUUCACAAAAAUACAAAGAAUAUUUAUAAAGUACUUCUAUAAUGAGGAGACCCUCACUUUGUUAAAGUGAAAAUAUCAAUAAUAUAAAAAAGACAUAUAUUUUAACACAUUAAAAAUUAUAUUUUUUUUUGUCUAUUGGUGUAUUGAAAUGUGUGUUAUUUAGUUUGUUAAUAAUAUAAUCACUUUGUUAAAAUGAGGAUGUCGUUGCUAGAGAAUCAUUAUAUAUACAUAUAUAUAUAAAGUGCUUCUGUCCAAGACCUACACUUUAUUAAAAUUUAAGAAAGCAAAUAUAUUUUAUAUGGUAUAAUAGUGUAAUUACAUCACACUAUUAUAUCAUAUAGAGUAAUAAUUUUUCGAACUUUAAUAAAGUUCAAGAUUAUAGAAUAAAUAAUUUAUAUAUAUUAUAAAUUUUUUUUAUCAUAAAGUGGAGGACAAAAUUAACAUAUUUAUUAAAUUAUAAUAAGUAUUUAUCAAAUAAUUUAACAUUGCAAUUUCUCCUAACUAGUAUAGUAAAUAAUACGACCUAGGAGGUACAUUCAAAAGCAUUUCAUAAGUUAGCUGAUAAUAAUAAAUGAUAUAUGCAGCCCAAUCAUCAUUGUACGGUGAGUAAUUUUUGAUGACUUAAUUUAGUGGGAUCAAAAUCAACAUUGAAUUUUUGACCAGCUGCCAACAACUUGUGAGCAGUUCACAGUGGGUACUGCACAUGAUGCCUGUUUCUCCUUUUGCAUCUAUUUUUGUUGUUAACAUUAAUUUCAAUAGCAGCUCGUUAAUCCCAUUUGUUGAUUUGGGACUAGAUAAGAAUUUAUCUUGGAACUCCAAUUCUCCAAUUAUUUUAGUUGACAAUAUAUUUAACAUUAUUAAUUGCAUAUUAUUUAAUUAUCAGUAUAUAAUAUUCUUUAAUUUUCUAAUUUUAUAGGAUUAGACACAAAAUUGAUUAUGCCUUUUGAAAUUUAAGGGUUAUGUCAAUUGAAUAGAAAACUUGGAGUUAAACUUGUGGAUGUUUUUGUUGAUUAUCAGUUUAUGCAUGAAUUUUUGUACGUUUACUUUGGUUUAUAAUUAUUACUUUUAAACAUUUUUAUUGGUUUGAUUUAUGGUCAAUUUGGUAAUCCUGUAGCUUUUAAAAUAAUUGCAAUUAGCUAUACUGUAGAAAUUGAUCAAUCGUCAAGAAAAUCAGCUGAACAUUUAGUAAAAUUUAUUUUUAAAAGUACUUUUAGUUUUGAAAGCGUCGUAUGAAUGAAACUGUUACACUAAAAAUUAAAUGUAUUGCCCACUUGGGUAAAUAAAGCUAUAUAUUACAACUGUUACACUAAAAAUUAAAUGUAUCUUAAACCCAAACUUCUUCUUCUUUUUUUUUUUUGACUAACAAAAUUAAAAACAAUAGUGAACACAUUCUUUAAUAAACAAUAAGUAAUAACUAAAAUCAUGUUAAAUUUCUUAAAAAAUUUCUUUCACGGUUUGCUAAAUAUUUUUAUUAGUAUUUUGAAUAAAUAAAAAUAGUUGAUUUAAUUUUUUUAAAUAAACUUAUUAGGUUCAUGUAAAGAUGUUUUUGUUAUUUUAAAAAGUGUAGAAAGUACUCCUAAAAAAAAGCGUAGAAAGUAAAACUUAAUUUUUUAAAUUUAUUUGCUGAGUGCAUAAAUAAUUGAGUGUUCAUAAUGAUUUUUAAAGUAUAGAUAGUCGGACCCUAAUUUUUUAAUAUAUGGAAAUUUUGCUAAUAUGUUAAUGAGAAUUAAAAAGAUAAUUAAGGGAGGCAAUCGAGACAUUCAGGAUAGUUAGGAUGGGACAUGAUUGUGAGCGGUUUGAUAUUGGUCCUAAUUUUGAUCACAAAUAUAUAAACAGGACGAGUUUAUCUCUACUUACAUUCCAUUUGAUAAUUAAGAUGAGAACGGAAUUGUCAAAUCUCAAAUCAUCCCGAACCAUUGCCAUCAAAGGUACUCUCACUAAUAAUAUCUAAAGAAAAAUCUACAUCUAUUUCAUACUCUUUUUUUUUAAAUGGAAAGAGCCCUCAUGGGGCUUGAAAUGUUAUCCUAAAUAGUAUUCAGAAUAUCAAGCCAUGAUUGGGUUUGAGACAAACAAAUAUUACAUAGUUAGGAUACGUAGUUAUAGUGUCCCAAUUUAUGUAGUAUCUAUCAUUUAGUGCACAUAUAAAAUAUUUGGACAUAUAAAAUAUUAAUCAACUUAAUUAAUUUAUAAAAUUUAAAUCUAAUUAAUAAGUGAUACAUAAAUGCCAAGUGCAAUACUGUAUAUGCAAAUCAUGUUUGUGGAUCAUUACAAAACUGGCUCUUGAAAACAAGCAAGAAAGCUUAAUUAAGAACUUAAAACAAAAAGAAUUAGAUUGAAAACAGUCAAGCUUUAUUUUUUCAAGGAUGGAGCUUAUAAAUCUUCAAGUACCAACAUAUGCUUGGUGUUGUGCAAAUUUUAAUGUACUCGCAAGCGCACGAAUCUAUUGUAGUAUCGAUCAAUGGUGACGAGUGUCGAUCCCACGAGAAGGUGGAUUUUAAUUGUGUAGAAUUAAUUUUGUAAAUGGGUGAUUGGAUUUGUGGUGGAAAUGAUUUGGAAUAUGCUAAAACUUAAAUUAAAAUGGCAAGAAUAAAUUUUAAAAUUGGUAUUGAAAUGGCGAGAAUAAAUUGAAGAGAAUUCUAUUGAAAUGACGUACUUGGGUAUCUGGAUCCGUAUCAACAUGCAUCAUGGGCUAAAUAAUCCUUAUUAAUGCCAAUUAAAUCAUGAGGGGGGAAUCCACACCUCAUGAACCACGCUCUAAUCAAUAUUGUGCUAAGGGCUUAUCGUGCCAAAUAAUAAUAACCUUGUACUAGGGGGCCGGUGAAACCAAGGCGGUACUAGACAAGAUUAGUAUUAUUUUUCGACGAGAAGUCAAAACAUCCACAAAAACUAGAGGGGAAGAGAAAAUAAAUUUACCAAAUAAGCCAUGACACAUGUUGAGACUUCACCUUCAACCCAAGCUUGAAAGAAAAUUAGCCACUCAUAAUUGAACUAGGGGCAAAAUGGAAAUUUAUUAAAAUAUGAAGAAAAUACAAGAUGGAGAAGGAAUUACAGAAAAUGGAUCCCAAAAAUGGAUUCAGAGAUCUCAAAUUAGGGGGGAGAGGCCCGCUUUUUAUAGAUACAUGGAGUAAAUCAUGACCAUCGGAUUAAAAACAGUUUGGACGCUCAGGAUUACGCCACGUCAUCAGUCAACAGUACGCGGUUUGACCACGCGGAUGAACAGUAAUGCGGUUUGGUUGAAAAUAAUCCUGUGUGAUGCAUGUACCGUACGCGAGAUUUUUCGUCCACUGAUAUGCUGCCACGUCACCAUCAACAAUUCAUAAGAAUUUUAGCCCAAUAGGAUCGUGACACCUCAUCAGUCAAUGCCACAUCAUCGGUCAAUGCCACGUCAUCGAUCCGUAUAUGUAAACAGUGUCGUGAACAGUAACGUAGACAGUACUGUACACAUGAAUAGUACCGUACAUGUGAAUAGUGCCAUUUUUCCUUUUAUGCUCCUCCUAAGGUUUUCGACCGUCCUGAGUUCAAAAGUGAUGUCCGUUUUGCCGUCUGACCUCUCCUUUAUUGUGAAAUGACUAUAAUGCCCCUAAAAUACAUAAAAUACUUAAUUAAAAUAAAACACAUGUAAUUAAAUCACAAGAAGAUUAAAUACAUAAAAGUAAGGGUUGUUAGUAAGACUUGAAAUGUAAAAUGAUGGUUUUCUCCUUUAUAAAUAUGCAUUUUCUAACACUCAACACACCCCCCAACUAGCUUAUUGCUAGUCCCUAGCAAAUAAAGCGAAAAUAAAAUUCAAAUUCAAAAUGAUUUUUUUUUUUUUAGAAACACUCGUGUUUAUUCAAUCAGAUUAAUGAUAGCAAUCAAAUAAAAGUAUAAGCAUUAUCUCCAGUCUAAAGCAACAUCACACCCACAUCAACCAUCCACAUGAAUCAGCCCAGUAGACUUCGUUAUAGCUACUUUCAAGAAUGACAUGUCAAACCCCAAAAUCUCACUGGAAGUAGUGACACUCUCACAAAGAAAUUAAAACCAAUAAAAAUAGUCACUCCAAUGAAUGUAAUUGAGAGAGAAAAUAAUAAAGAAGUGAUAUCACAUGCUCUCACCAAGAUGAAAUAAAUAUGCCCCCAGCUUAGAAAUAAUACGAUCUCAAGUCAAAUAAAAAUGCUAGUCAACCCAAUUUAUUUAUCUUUUUUUUUCUUUUAUUUAUUUAUUUAUUUUUAUUAUGCACCACUACAUCUUUUUAGCCCAUAUAACUAGUUUCUACUUCAGAUUAUAGUUCCCUAAAAUCGGGAAGGACUUUUAUUAGGAUGUAACGUAGGCUAGGGACAUGGUUAACAAAGAAGGGAAAUAAGGAAAACAAAGUGUAUGUUUGAGAAAAAUGCAGAGGAAAUUUUUUUUUUUUUGGAAGUUACAAGGUGGAUUUCACCUAUUAUUGUUAUUAUUAUUAUUAUUUUUUUUUUUUGCUUUUGCUUGGCACAAUGUCACUAAAUAAAAUAAUUAUUUACAUUUUCUCAAACAUAAAUAGGUGAUGGAACUUAUAAGACAUCGGGUAAUACUCCAAAUCGGAGUGGGUCAAGAUGAUAAGUUGACAAAGAAAAUAUAUAUAUAUAUUUUUAAAGGCUCAAAAGGGUUAACUAUGGAUAUUUAAUAAAAGGGAUGGUUAGAAAGGCUCAAACGGAUCAAAGAUGGCCUUUCCAUCGUCUUUUAGGGCUCUAAAUAAUCAUCUAUAUCUACUAGUUAGAUGGGCCUCCAAAUGUAGCUACACACAUUUUUUUUCUUUUUUUUUUAAUUUUAUAAUUUUUUUUUUAAGGGUUAACUCAAAAGAAAUCUAGAGAUCGUGUAUACAAUAAUAAACUGUUAAGCUGUAUAAAGAAUGGGCAAAAGGGUUACUCUCCAAGAAAAAUGAUAAUCUCAAAAACUCACUUGGUACUUAUUAUGACAUGUUCAUUCCUUCAAGCAACUCAUAUUUGUCUCCGACAUCAACAUGUAGAGUAGCAAACAUAAUGUAACAUCACUUAAGACCAAAGAUAAUACAAAUACUAAAAUUUGAAAUUAAUCAUGUCAUCCAAUGUUAAAACAAAUCACACAAUUUUUUUUUUAAACAACAUUCUACCCCCCAACCUAUUCUAAACGUGAAAGGAAAAUAUGCAUGCAGAAAUGUGAAAAUGAUGCAUAAAAACUAAUUAAAAAAAGUUACACGUAAAAUGAUAGAAAACGAAAAUGGUUUUUUUUUUUAAGAAGAUGUGUUUCUAGAGGCACUACACUCCAUAUUCAGCCAUCUUCGACUCAUAAGUUGGAAAAUGUAUAUUUAUAGAGGAGAAAUUAAAAAGAAGAAAAAUAAACAUAAAAACAGAAUAAAGAAAAAGAAAAUGUCUGAAUUUUUUUUUUGUUUUUUAAUUUUUUUUUAAACGAUGAAGAUGCGUUUCUAGAGUCACUACACUCCAUAUUCAGCCAUCUUCAACACAAAAAGUUAGCAACAGUUAGUUUCUACAACAAAAAAUUAGUAAAAACUUAACCAAAAUUUCACAAUUGUCGACUAUUCCCUCCCCCCAACCAGAACGAAACAUUGUCCUCAAUGUUUGAAAGGAAAGAAGUAGAGUUUAGAAGACAUCAACUGGGUGGUGCAACACAGAAAACAAUAUUUACAAGUGGAGAGUUAAAUCUAAUUUGUACUUCUUACUGCGGCUACUGUUACCAUCAUUAUUUGGAUGCUCCAACACAAAGGUCCAGGGGUCUGGCUCCGGUCUAUAAGCUUGUAACAUAUCAAGUAGCUCAUUAGCAGUGUGAGCACAAAUAAAGAGUUUUUUCGCAUUAGAGGGAAUGAAAUAGUUUUUUAUUGCAUGGUUAAGAAAUGCGAUAAAGCCAUCAUAAAAGUUAUUGACAUUUAACAAACCAAUGGGUUUCUGGUGGAUGUGCAGAUGGGCCCAAGAUGCUAGUGUGAUAAGUGCCUCUAGUGUUGCAAGAUCUCCUGGAAGGAAAAUAAAAUGAUUAAGCAUUUCAGUUAUUCUUUCAUGCAUACUUGAGACGACUAACUCUUCUCCAGUUGAUGAGUCAGACGAACUGUCCAAAGGUUUUAGGGCUCUUGGGAUGAUGCCUAACACUUGGCUGCCUCUGAUAAAAGCUGCUUCUGAGACCAUUUUUGAUAACCCUCGAUUACCUCCUCCAUACACCAAGUGUAAUUUUCUCUCUGCUAUACUUCGACCAAGAUCGAUGGCUGCCUCAACGAACUCUUUAUGUUUGCCAUAGGUAAAUCCAGAAAUCACACAAAUGUUCUUGAAUUGUCUAUUUGGAGGAGCUACCAUUGUGAUACUUCUCAAAAAAUAAUUUGUGAGUGCUUGACAAAAAAAAAUCACAUUUAAGAGUCUUGGUGACAGUGGGUCACAGUUGUGUAUGAGGUAACACGUCAGUGUCAAAUAACGCGUAAAGCACGUGGCUCGCGAGUCAAAAAGGAAACAGUAAAAAGGAAAAAGCAAACAGUAAUAAGGAAAAAGUAAACAGUAAUAAAAUUAUUAAAGACAAUAAUGCACACAAUAAAACAAUAGUGAAAUAAAAUAACAGUAAAGUGAAAGGAUAUUUACAGGUAGUUGCGACUGUAGCUCACAUCUUCCUCUGGUUUUACGUCCAGAAACGGCUUAAACGCCCUCUAUGGGUCGAGGAUAGGCUUCCUAUCUAGUUUUCUUAUAAACUGGCAAACAGGGUCGUUUAUAGUCAGAUUCCCGAGACUAUAUCGUGCAUGCUCUUUCUGGAAUAAUGGCCAUAACUGGAGAAUCGCUCCUUGCACAUAUCCAUUGGGAUGCGUUUCAAGAGAUAAAAGGAUAUCAUCCAAUGACUCCUUAUUCAAGCCAUCCCUAAUGAAUUGAAUCUUAUAUUCCCUGUUAUCAGACACCAUUCCUAAAGAACAUGGGUUUUUAUUCCUGCUCAUUCUGGCACACUUAUGACAAGCAACAGAAAUUCUUCGAGCUCGUCGUUUUCUUGCAUAAUUUCCUUUACCACAACCAGGCAUGUAUGCAAUAAAUUUUGGAGGUAACUCACCUGCCGAUCGUACUUUAGCCUCGAUUAACCAACGGAUGUCAGCAGGUAUGUUAUUCCUCAUGAGUAAUCGCAUGCGUUCGGACCGAGCUUUAUAGAUCGUAAGGAGGGCAUUCUGAGGAAGUGAAGGGAAUCGCUUGUGAAGCUUCGCUAGAAUCUCGUUUCUGUCCAUACUUUCACCUCAGAAUAUCAGUUAUUAUGAGAAACUGAAGUAACCGACUUGAUUGUCACGGAGUACCGUUAUCCGCCACUUCACCGGGGUAACAAACUAAAGCACACAAACAGAAAAAUAAAUUAAAACACACAAAGAAAAUUAAAAUUGUCCUCUUAUUGAAUUUACCUCAAGCUCCAACUGGAUGUCGUAAACACUUCUCUCAAUGUCUCUGAGUUGUCUUUCUAAACCCUCAACAUAGGCUACUAACUCUGGUGGUUGUAGAGCCCAAAUGCGAUGUGUUUUACAAAAUUGAAUCUGCCUUUUGAGAUGAGUUUUGACACAUUGAAGUGGUUUAAGAAUGUUCAGGAGGAACGGUCUAAGUAAGGUACUCAUGAUUAAAAACGAUAAAAGAAAACUUAAUAGUUAAACAAACACAUUUAUGCAAAAAUAAUUUCAAUUAGCAGAAGAAUAAUAUAAAGAAAAAAAAAUCAAAUCAACGAAAAGAAAAAAAAUCAAUUCAAAUCUGGUGGGUCACUCAAAUUUAUUUCGGUGUCUUCUCCAUGUGGUUGGUACUCUAGAUAUGGCUUUAAUCUUUGACCAUUAACUUUAAACGUGACACCGUUGUUUGGGUCCUUAAUUUCAAUUGCCCCAUGUGGAAAAACAGUAUGACCAAUAAAGGGACCAGACCAUCGAGAACGUAACUUACCUGGGAAUAGGUGCAAGCGAGAAUUGAAUAAAAGCACUUUCUAACCUGGAGUGAAUGAUUUUCUCAUAAUUUGCUUGUCAUGGAAGACUUUCAUCCGUUGCUUGUAAAUCUUGGUAUUUUCGUAUGCGUCAUUGCGAAUUUCUUCAAGUUCUGCCAGUUGUAAUCUUCUUUCUGAGCUGGCUUGCUGCAUGUCAAAGUUGAAUUUCUUGAUGGCCCAAUACGCACGAUGCUCGAGUUCCACAGGUGGGUGGCAAGCUUUUCCAUACACUAGCCUGUAGGGUGACAUCCCAAUCGGGGUCUUGAAAGCCGUUCUAUAUGCCCAUAAUGCAUCAUCAAGUCUUAAUGACCAAUCUUUUCUGUCCGGCUUCACCGUCUUUUCUAAUAUGUGCUUUAUUUCUCGAUUGGAGAUCUCAACUUGGCCACUGGUUUGCGGAUGAUACGGGGUCGCCACUUUGUGUGUGAUUGAAUACUUUGUCAAAAGAGUUUUGAAUGCUUUGUUACAAAAGUGGGCACCACCAUCACUGAUUAUUGCUCGAGGGAAUCCAAAGCGCGAAACAAUGUUGCUUUUCAAAAAUCCUAUCACCACCUUGUGAUCAUUGGUUCUACAUGGAAUUGCUUCUACCCAUUUCGAUACGUAGUCAACACCAACCAAUAUGUAUUGAUGGCCAAAAGAAGGGGGAAAGGGUCCCAUAAAGUCGAUACCCCAUAUGUCAAAAAUCUCAACCACUAAAAUUGGAUUUAGUGGCAUCAUGUUCCUUCGUGUAAUGCUCCCCAUUCGUUGACACCUAUCACAUGAAGAACAGAAAGUGUAAGCAUCUCGAAAUAUAGUUGGCCAAUAGAAACCACAUUGUAAAACUUUAGUUGCUGUUUUCUUAGCACUAAAAUGGCCUCCACAAGCUUGUUCAUGGCAGAAUGAAAGGAUAUUCUGAAUUUCACUUUCUGGGACACAUCGUCUAACAAUUUGGUCUGCACAAUACUUGAACAAAUACGGGUCAUCCCAAAAGAAAUUCUUUAUCUCUGCAAAGAAUUUAGCCUUAUCUUGCUUGGGCCAAUGCUCUGCAAGUUUACCUGUAACAAGAUAAUUAACUAUAUCAGCAUACCAUGGUAAUACUUCCACAUUCAUUAAUUGUUCAUCUGGAAAUGACUCAUUCAAUAUUAAUGGCUCUGUAAUUGUGUCAAAAUGGAGACGAGAGAGGUGGUCCGCCACAACAUUUUCUGUCCCUUUCUUAUCUUUGAAUUCCAAGUCAAAUUCCUGCAAAAGUAACACCCAACGAAUUAGUCUAGUUUUUGCAUCUUUCUUUGUGAGAAGAUAUUUAAGAGCAGCAUGAUCUGUGAAUACAAUUAUUUUACAACCAAUGAGAUAAGAUCGAAAUUUCUCUAAUGCAAACACUACUGCUAGCAUUUUUUUUUCAGUAGUUGAAUAGUUCAACUGUGCAUCAUUCAAUGUCAUACUAGCAUAGUAAAUAAUGUGGGGAAUUCGAUCAACUCUUUGUCCUAAUACUGCUCCUACUGCAUAAUCAGAUGCAUCACACAUGAGCUCAAAUGGUAAGCUCCAGUUUGGGGGCUGAAUAAUGGGUGAUGAUGUCAACAACUGCUUUAGUUUUUCAAAUGCCACAAGACAUAAAUCAUCAAAGAUAAAAGGUACAUCCUUAGCAAGUAAAUUGCAUAAGGGUCUAGAAACUUUGCUAAAAUCUUUAAUGAAACGUCUAUAGAAACCAGCAUGCCCAAGGAAAGAUCUUACCUCUCUGACUGUUUUGGGUGGAGGAAGAUUAGAAAUGAGAUCCACCUUGGCUUUGUCAACCUCAAUACCUUUGCUCGAAAUGAUGUGACCGAGAACAAUACUUUGUUUUACCAUAAAAUGACACUUCUCCCAAUUUAAGACCAAGUUCUUCUCGAUACAUCUCUGCAGAACUAAUGUUAGAUGAUGUAAACAUUGAUCAAACGAGUCACCAAAGACAGAAAAAUCAUCCAUAAAGACUUCAAGGAAUCGUUCAAACAUAUCAGAAAAAAUGUUCAACAUGCAUCGUUGAAAUGUAGCAGGUGCAUUACAUAAUCCAAAUGGCAUUCUCUUAUAUGCAAAUGUGCCAAAAGGGCAAGUGAAAGUAGUUUUCUCUUGAUAUUUUGGUGUUAUGGGAAUCUGAUUAUAUCCUGAGUAGCCAUCUAGAAAGCAAUAAAAUUCAUGGCCUACCAAUCUAUCAAGCAUUUGAUCGAUAAAUGGUAAAGGAAAAUGGUCUUUACGUGUGAUAGAAUUCAAUUUUCUAUAAUCAAUGCAUACACGCCAUCCUGUAGUUACUCUAGUUGGUAUCAAUUCAUUAUCAGCAUUGGUAACUACUGUGACUCCUGACUUUUUGGGGACAACUUGUACAUGACUGACCCAUGAACUAUCAGAAAUGGGGUAAAUGAUACCUGCAUCUAAUAGCUUAAGGACUUCAGUUCUAACAACUUCUUUCAUGUUAGGAUUUAACCGACGUUGCAUUUCCCUAGUAGAUUUAGCAUUUUCAUCAAGGUGAAUGUAAUGCAUGCAGUCUAUUGGGUUUAUAACUUUUAUGUCUGCUAUGGUCCAUCCUAAUGCUCCUUUAUGCUCUUUUAAAAUAUCCAACAACUUACCUUUUUGUUCGUCAUUUAGGGAUGAUGAUAUGAUUACCGGCAGAGUACUUUCUUCUCCCAAAAAUGCAUAUUCCGGAGUGUUGGGUAAUGGUUUGAGCUCAAGUUUCGGUGGUGAUUCUGAUGAUGGGAUGAGUUUCUUCUCUGAUGGUGCUAGUUGUUCAACUCUUGACUUUCAUUUAUUAGUGUCCAUGGAUGGUGCUGAGUCAAGUAGGGCGUUGACCUCAUCAACUGAUCUGUCAAUAUCAAAAUCCAAACCAAAGUGAGUUAAACAUGUUUGUAAAGGAUCAUCACUAAUGUUUGAAAGAAAAGUAUUAUCAACUAUUGUUUCUAUUAAAUCCACAUCAACAAUUCCAUCAUCUGCACUGUGAGGUUGUUUGGCAAUGUUGAAGAUGUUCAGUUCCAUAGUCAUGUUGCCGAAGGACAACUGCAUAUUUCCUGUCCUGCAUUGAAUGUGAGCAUCCGCAGUUGCCAAGAAAGGUCGGCCUAGAAUAAUGGGGAUGUGCUUCCUUGAAUCCUGUAUUGGUUGAGUGUCAAUUACAAUGAAAUCAACAAGAAAAUAAAAUUUGUCUACCUGGAUAAGCACGUCCUCCACAAUGCCACAAGGUAUUUUCGUGGACCGAUCUGCAAGCUGUAACACCACUGGGGUUAGGUGUAAUUCUCCAAGUCCAAGUUUCACGAAUACAGAGUAAGGCAAAAAAUUUACACUAGCUCCUAAAUCCAACAAAGCAUUCUCAAUUGUGUGGUUCCCUAUGCUACAUGAGAUAGUGGGAGAGCCUGGGUCUUUGCAUUUUAGAGGAAUUUUAUGUUGGAGGAUAGAACUAACGUUUUCUGUUAAAAAUGCCUUCUUUUGAACAUGCAUAUUUCUCUUUUUAGUACAAAGGUCUUUAAGAAACUUGGCAUAAGAUGGAACUUGCUUUAUAGCAUCAAGUAAAGGGAUGUUAACACUUACCUGUUUGAAGAUUUCAAGAAUCUCACCUGUGGAUUUUCCCUUUUUGCUUUUAGCUAACCUCUGAGGAAAUGGAGCUUUGGGAACGUAUUCUCGUGAGUUGCUCGUCCUCUCUCUGGGUAAACUCCGAGAUUUCCUUGCGAAUAGCAUUGGUUUUAUGCACUGGGAAAUAUUUAUUCAAAAAUUUUGUAACCAUUUAUUCCCCAUGAUGCAAUGCUAUUAGCAGGCAAUGUAUUAAGCCAUGAACAAGAUCUAUCCUUUAAAGAAAAUGGGAAUAGUCUAAGUUUAACAUCAUCGUCUGAAAAAUUUUCAUAUUUAAAUGUUUGACAAAUGGCAUGAAAAUCAUUCAAAUGAUUAUAUGGGUCCUCAUUUUCUAGGCUAUAAAAUGUUGGGAGACAAUUUAGCACACUAGGUUUUAGUUCAAAACUCCUAGCAGCUACAUUUGGGUAUCUUAUGCAUGAUGUGCUCAAAUUAGCUAAAGGACUAAAAUAAUCCUUAAAUGGCCUCUCAUGUGGUGCUUGUAAAUCCAUUUUAUGUUUAACGUGUUUGUGUGUGCGAAGUGUUUUCUCAAGUUCAAGGUCUAUAGGUUCAAGAUUAGGUAAUAAUGACCUACGACCAUGCAUGCAAAACAAAUAAAAUAAAAAUAAAGAUGAGAACAAAACAAAUAAAGAAGAGGGAGAUAUUACGAUACUAACCUUAUUGCGCUAUUACAACAUUUCUAUAAAAAUACACAAAAACAAAUACGUGAAAUAAAUUAACUAAAAAUUAAAUUAAUAAAAUAAACAAAAAUUACAAAGAAAAAUAAAUUGAAAAUUAAAUUACAGAAUUUUAAAGAAGAGAAAAAGAAAAGAAAUACUAACCUUUAUAUGUAGAUUCACUUUUUUUUUCUUUUUUUUUAAUAAUUAAAAAAAUACAAGAAAACAAAUAAAAGAAAUUAUUCACAAAAAUUAAUUCUAUGAAUUAAAAUUACUUACCUCCCCGGCAGCGGCGCCAAAAACUUGUUGUGCAAAUUUUAAUGUACUCGCAAGCGCACGAAUCUAUUGUAGUAUAGAUCAAUGGUGACGAGUGUCGAUCCCACGAGGAGGUGGAUUUUAAUUGUGUAGAAUUAAUUUUGUAAAUGGGUGAUUGGAUUUGUGGUGGAAAUGAUUUGGAAUAUGCUAAAACUUAAAUUAAAAUGGCAAGAAUAAAUUCUAAAAUUGGUAUUGAAAUGGCGAGAAUAAAUUGAAGAGAAUUCUAUUGAAAUGACGUACUUGGGUAUCUGGAUCCGUAUCAACAUGCAUCAUGGGCUAAAUAAUCCUUAUUAAUGCCAAUUAAAUCAUGAGGGGGGAAUCCACACCACAUGAACCACGGUCUAAUCAAUAUGGUGCUAAGGGCUUAUCGUGCCAAAUAAUAAUAACCUUGUACUAGGGGGCCGGUGAAACCAAGGCGGUACUAGACAAGAUUAGUAUUAUUUGUCGACGAGAAGUCAAAACAUCCACAAAAACUAGAGGGGAAGAGAAAAUAAAUUUACCAAAUAAAGCCCAUGACACAUGUUGAGACUUCACCUUCAACCCAAGCUUGAAAGAAAAUUAGCCACUCAUAAUUGAACUAGGGGCAAAAUGGGAAUUUAUUAAAAUACGAAGAAAAUACAAGAUGGAGAAGGAAUUACAGAAAAUGGAUCCCAAAAAUGGAUUCAAAGAUCUCAAAUUAGGGGGGAGAGGCCCCCUUUUUAUAGAUACAUGGAGUAAAUCAUGGCCAUCGGAUUAAAAACAGUUUGGACGCUCAGGAUUGCGCCACGUCAUCAGUCAACAGUACGUGGUUUGACCACGCGGAUGAACAGUAACACGGUUUGACCCGGAUGAACAGUAACACAGUUUGGUUGAAAAUAAUCCUGUGUGAUGCAUGUACCGUACGCGAGAUUUUUCGUCCACUGAUAUGCUGCCACGUCACCAUCAACAAUUCAUAAGAAUUUUAACCCAACAGGAUCGUGACACCUCAUCAGUCAAUGCCACAUCAUCGGUCAAUGCCACGUCAUUGAUCCGUAUAUGUAAACAGUGUCGUGAACAGUAACGUAGACAGUACCGUACAUGUGAAUAGUGCCAUUUUUCCUUUUAUGCUCCUCCUAAGGUUUUCGACCGUCCUGAGUUCAAAAGUGAUGUCCGUUUUGCCGUCUGAUCUCUCUUUUAUUGUGAAAUGACUAUAAUGCCCCUAAAAUACAUAAAAUAUUUAAUUAAAAUAAAACACAUGUAAUUAAAUCACAAGAAGGUUAAAUACAUAAAAGUAAGGGUUGUUAGUAAGACUUGAAAUGUAAAAUAACGGUUUUCUCCUUUAUAAAUAUGCAUUUUCUAACACUCAACACUUGGCCCAAUUGUUGUUAUUAAAAUUUCAAUAUACAUAUAUAAGUAUGAUAUAGCAAAAAUUUGAUGGUACAUAUCUCGGAAUAUACUAGUUCAUGGAUGCAUUUGAUUAUUAUUUCCAUAAAUUUGAACCGAGAAGGAUGACAUGAUAAAAUUUGAUUUUAUGGUAUGGUUGAUUUCAGAUCUCAUGCCCUCAUUUCUUAAGAUAAUCAAAUUUUCUCUGGCAUCUUUUGCAACUGUGGAAAUAUCAAUUAUGAUCAAUCAAAACGAUUUCAAAACCUUUCAAUGAGACAUAUUUAUAAUACAAUAUUGUGAAAAUUACAACAAAAAUUUAAUUUAUUAAAUAAUAUAUUACUAUCCAACAAGCACACAAAAAUGAAUUCGUACAAAUCUAAAAUACUUAGCAAUUUUCAAAUAGAAUUUACCAUGUACUACAAGAAAAUAGGGUAUAUGUGACCCCUAAUGUGAAUGCAAAUUUGCAAAAGCAGCCAUUACGCAUGCCACUAACUUCUAACUUUGUAACCUCGAGUUGCUUUUGUUACCCUUUAUGUGACGGCCGCUGUCACAUAUGUUACUAACCACUCGUCACGGGAUGAGUAUUUUGCGCAGCUAACCCGUGCGGCACUUAGACAACUUUACCAAAUGUUGCUAAGUAAGCCUAGAGCUUCUCGAACUAGAGAAGAGAGCAAUUGAGCUGAAUGAGAAAACUUGUAUUGCACAAAGAGAGAAUACAAUGCUUGAGUUGCUUACAAAGCUUGUUGUUGUGAGUUUGUUGGAUGCAAAUGCCUAAUGCCAUCCCAUAUUUAUAGGGGAGGCUUGCCAAGCUCUAGAGAUUCUAGAGAAUUCUACCAUUUCCUAGCUAUUUACAUGUGCUGGAAAUGUAAAGAGAAUUCUAGAGUAUUUACAAGCUCACAUGUGCUAGAGUUGCCUAGAACUUUCCGGAAUUGGGCCAAGCUAGAACUCUUGGCCUUGUGUUGGCUCUCUAGCCCAAAAUUGUGGGUAAUUGGGCUAGCGAAUUGGGCGGACCGUAACAUCCUCCCCCACCUAAGCUCGCGGCGUCCUCGUCGCGAUCUCGUCCUUGCUCCUUUAGGGACUUGUUCCGCGAUUUGUCGUUAGUCUUCUUGUGCUUCACUCUUGGGGAGGUUCCGCCACUUGCUCCGCAUAUGAUCGUUUCCUUCUUUCGGUUGGUGUUGCGGCGUCCCCUCUUGUGUUUCCACAACUCAUCAUGCUCGGAUGGCUUUGUGCGUUGCUCAACCACUUGUCUUGAUGGGAGCUUCGGAGGCAUGGCGUCCUUGCCUUUAUCAUGGACGGUUCGUGCUUGUUGUGGGACUUGGCUUGGAGGGCUUUUGGAAUCCUCUCCCUUGUGGUGUUGCCGGAUGGAGACCAAGUGGUCCGAAUUCUUCUUGAAUCCUCAUCUGCAUUGCAUGACCGAGACCGCCUUUUUUACGGGUUGUGCACGCUCGACCGGUGCCACGCAUGCCUUACUCCCAUCGAAGAUGCUAAGGGAGUUCGUUGCUGGAAGUGGGAAGGCAUGUACCUUGUCGAAGAAUUCCAUGCCAAGGAUCAUUGCGAAGUCAUCCAUCGGCACAAUCGAGAAGUCGAGCUUCCCAUUCCAUGUCCCAAGCGUAACGUGUACGCCUCGUGUGGUUCCCCUAAAUGGCUUGGCGGGUGAGUUUACAGCCUUGAUGGUGCCUCCGUCUUGCGUUACCUUAAGGCCUAGACAUUUAGCCUCUUCUUCGGAGAUGAAGUUGUGUGCUGCUUCGGUGUCAAGGAGCGCACGAACGGUUUGACCAUUGAUGAGCACACUUACGAACAUGAGCCCUUUCCUUGUAGGUGUUGGUGGUUGGCUCACGAGUGUGCUAAGACGUUGGAGCGAACCCAAGUUGUGUUGAGGUUCCUCCGUAGGCGGUGUGUGUCGGCCCUUGAGUUGUGCCACGAGGGCACUCAGCGACUUUUUAUCCAGGCAGUCGCGCACUCAAUGAGGACCGUUGCAUAUGAAGCAUGGGCUUCGCGGCUUGGGUGACUUCUCGGAUUUACUUUGCCCGCCCUUGCCGCUUGGAAGCUUUUUCUUGCUCCACUCCUUGCAAUUGCGGUCGUUGUCCUCAUGGCUCUCUCCCCCACCUUGAUCGUAGCUAGACCUCUUGUCCUUGAGAUGGGCGGAGUAUUCGGUGAGAGACUCCGCAAUAGCAAUGGCGUCGUCAAGUGUUUGUAUGCCACGCCUGUCAAGCUCGGUCUUAGCCCAAUCCUUGAGGCCAUCUUGGAAGUAGAAGAGCGAAUCCUUGUCGGACAUGUUGCUUAUCUCCAACAUAAGGGUAGUGAACUCAUUGAUAUAGUCCCGAAUGCUACCCGAAUGCUUGAGGCGACGUAAGCGCGCUCGCGCUUCCUUCUCCGCAUUGCUUGGGGCGAACUGCUUUCGGAGUUCUUGCUUGAAGUCGGCCCAAGUGUCGAUGGUACAAAUGCCUUUGCCCAUCUCGCCAUGCUUGCGACGCCACCAUAGUUGUGCAGGGCCUCUAAGAUAGGUGGGUGCAGUGCACACUUUCGAUGCCUCAUCACGGACACCCAUGGCAUCGAAGUAUUGAUCCAGCCCGAAUAGGAAGUUGUCCACGAUUGUGGCAUUGUGUGUGCCAUCGUAUGUGUCGGGCUUUGGCACAUCAAUACGGUGCGCAUCACUCGAGUUUGUGGAAGCUGGACUUGCGGAGAGUGUGCGCUUGUGCCAUGCCCAAUCUGAGCGGACUUCAUCCACUUCCGCACGGACAGCGUGUAGUUCGUCCUGAACAAAACUACGAAGUUUGAGCAACUCAUCAUGGAAAGAACGAAACUCACCUCGGAGAGUGUUCGCUUGCUCUUGGAUGAGAGCUUUUGUUGCCACCGUGAACUCGGCGUAUUCCCCCUCGAGACUGUCCACUCGUUCCUCCAAUCCCUCGAGGCUAUCUUGAGCGGCGGACAAUGCGAUUUCGAGAGUAGUCACACGAGGCUCCAACGCAUCCACUGAUGCGGCUUUGGACUUGCCGCGAGUCUUGCUUUGGGCGCGUUCUCCCUCUCGGCUGCAGCUUGGUUCCGAUGGAACAUCCACACCAACAACACCCUCUUGUGCUACGUUCGAAGGGUUGGCCAUUGCUCGUGAGCUAACUUGCGUGCGUGCAAACCUUAGCUCUGAUACCACUUGUCACGGGAUGAGUAUUUUGCGCAGCUAACCCGUGCGGCACUUAGAUAACAUUGCCAAAUGUUGCUAAGUAAGUCUAGAGCUUCUCGAACUAGAGAAGAGAGCAAUUGAGCCGAAUGAGAAAACUUGUAUUGCACAAAGAGAGAAUACAAUGCUUGAGUUGCUUACAAAGCUUGUUGUUGUGAGUUUGUUGGAUGCAAAUGCCUAAUGUCAUCCCAUAUUUAUAGGGGAGGCUUGCCAAGCUCUAGAGAUUCUAGAGAAUUCUACUACUUCCUAGCUAUUUACAUGUGCUGGAAAUGUAAAGAGAAUUCUAGAGUAUUUACAAGCUCACAUGUGCUAGAGUUGCCUAGACCUUUCCGAAAUUGGGCCAAGAUAGCACUCUUGGUCUUGUGUUGGUUCUCUAGUCCGAAAUUGUGGGCAAUUGGGCUAGCGAAUUGGGCAGACCGUAACAACGUGACGGUACAGAGCCGUUCGGUAUAGCACUAUUUUAGAAAUUUAAAUUUAUUUCCAGUUAGAAAACUAUUCGCUGGACUAGCCACCAUCGUAAACCUAACUGGUUGCCGGCGAACGACAUAAAACACCGGGCAUCUUCUUCUUCAUCGUAUUCUCCCUUCAUCUUUUGAGGUAAGCUUGUGAUUAUGAGUUUCUUCUCUUACUUAGCUUGUAAUUAUAGAUUUUGAUUUUUUUUUAAAAUUCGUAUUGUAGCCAUUAUUGUCAAUUUUUGUCCCGCCAGCAAUAUUUUUUUAUUCGUACAAGUUGAAGCCCCUUUGUUCUUGUUCCAUUGGUGAGUUUGCUCACUCAAAUUAAUUUUGUUCUGCGGAAUUUACAAAGUUCAAAUGGAUUCAUUUGAAUUACUAUUGAAUUUAGCUUUAAUUCCAACAUCCAUUCUAAUGUUUUGCUAUUAGAUUUAGUUUAAUUUUAUGUUUAAAGCAUCUACAAUGAAUAGCGGAGCUUGGGUUUUAGUUUCAUUUUCUGGAUAACUUGUUUUAGUUUAUCUUGUAUGGUCACCAAGUGCUUGUUAUAUUGUCUGAUAAGUUAUAUACAUUGCUGAUUCUAUAUUAAUAAUGUUACGUUCUAUUUUCAGAAAUUAUAAUACAAAAGUUUUUACAAUGGCGUGCAUCUACAAACUGAAUUGACUUGUAGAAUAAGAGCUUGGAGUAAAUGAAAGUUCAUAUUGUGUAAGAGCAUGUAGAUGUAAAGCAUCAUUACCAUAUCUACAAAGUGCUUUCAUUAUGUUCAGAUGCUCUUCUUGAACUUUGAAAGGUGCCUCGUUCAAGUCCUAGCUAUAACUACUAGCUUUGAUUAAUUAAGUUCCUAUACUAGCUGAAAUAGAUUUAUUUAAUUAAUUAAUUGUGUAUGUUCUAAUUAUAUUAAAAGUAUAUGAAUUUUUUUUUAACAUGAAUGACUUGUAAAUGACUUAAAAACCUAAAGGAUGUGUGAAAUAAUGCUCAUUUCACUUGAAUGAGCCUAUUAAUACUUUUAUGUCUAUGAUUGUCAAAAUUGGCUUAAGCACUUCAGUUAAGUGGUUUACCUAACAGAGAAAAAAAUUUAAUAGGAAACUUCAGAGUUCUAACAGAAAUAUAGUUCACCAUGCAGAUAUAGUUAUUUUACGGUAUACAAAUCAAGUUGUCCUAAUCUCAAUGUCCUAUCACCGAUUUUAUUUGAUAUAGUCAUUAAUUUUUACCAUGGUUUUUUGUGUUUAUGAGUAUGAAAUAGUGGGAUUUGGUGUACCUUAGCAUCUUUUGGAAAUUCUCUUUAAGUGUGGCCAACAGAAAUAUACAUAUAAUCAAGUUUCUUAAUUGUGUAUAUUAGUUUUGGGUACGAAUGUUCCUAUUCUAGUUCUAGACAAAGCUUCUUCGUUUUGGUCUUCAGAUUUCCAGUAGGUUAAGUUAAUCAACUAUCAUAACUGGCUAGCUAGUUAUUGUCUGCCUUGGCGCCAUUACCCAGGCCAUUAUAUUGCAUAGCAUAAGGAAUAGUGAUUAGGUGAUUAUUAGUGAUUUGUUGAGCUUAUUAUUGACCAAACAAACAUAUUCACCUUUGCCCACAACUUAGUUUGAUUAGUUUUAGACCACAAAGAGCCUUGAUCUAUUCAUUGGCUUUAUUAUUUUUAUUUGGUUUUUCUUUCAACAUAAUUGUUGAUUUCUUAUAAAAAUAUUCAUUGGUUUUUAAACACCUAGUCAUUGGCUAUAUGAAGCAAAUUAAAACUUAGGCUUUGGAUCAAUUUCUUCUAACAAGAUACAAAUGAGCAUAACCUUUCUCCUCUAAGUAAUUUUUUUUAAUAUCCUUGAUUUGUAAGGAUCUGGAGGCGUGAAAUCCUCUAGAUUUUUUUUAACACUGUCAAUGUCCUUUUUAUUCUGAAAAGGAAAUAAAAGGUUUUAUCUUUCAUACCCUAAUAGUAAGCUGGCCUUGUCUUAACAUGGCUUCUUGAGGAUUUGCAAGAUUCGUUUAGAUGAUUAGAAUGAAACUAAGCGACUGGAAAGAGUGGAUGGUAGACUAAAGAGAAAGUGAUUGAUUAUUUUAUGAGGCCAAUUAACGUAAUGACAGAUCCGGUUUCGAUGUUUGUAAUUUGAGUAUGAGGUAAAUCGAUUCUUUGUCGAGCCAGUCAAAUACAAAGGCAAAUUAGUAAAACAAGAGCCAGCAACUUUUACUCACACAUAAGGCAAUAAUAUAUUGAGAUCACGCAACAUUGCAAUAAAGUUAUCAUCAAGUUGUAGCCUUCUUAUUCAAUCAAUUAUAGCAUUAUCUCUAGCUCUGUAUUUUUCAAAAAAAAAUUAUUCAAAAGAUGUCUGUCAUUAGUUUUUCAAUGAUUAAAAUUAUAAUUUUUGUUUAAUAUAUAUAACGUAAAAUUUUAAAAGAAUCAGACAUGCAUUAGGGUAAAAAUAAAAAAUAUGGAGGUAGCUUUUAACUAGGCAAUUGGCUCAACUAUGGAUCAGUGUGAGAUCGCUAUUUUUCUUAUAAAAAAAAUAUUCCAGCCAAACAAUUGUCGCAAAAUUUUAAUCGAAAUUACAAAAUAUAUAUAUUUUGAAUACCUGUAAAUAAACCACUUAGAAAGCUAUCGAAACACGAAUAUUAAUUUUUUAAAAUAUAUAUUUUUUCAAGCAAAUGCAGUGACAGAUCUGGUUUUGAUCCUCGUGACUUUUGGGUGUAACUGUGUAAGUACGGGUGAACGACUCUCUAGUCCAGGACAACUUGCACGUGACAUUUUAGUAUUAAGCAAACGGAAUUUUUUUAAAUUAAAUUAAUCUCAAAGUGAUAGGCUUCUCAUGAAUCAUGUAAUGUUGUCGUUUUUCAAGACAUGACAUUGCCCAUCACUUGUUUGUCACAAUGUCCAAAUAAAUAAUUUUUUUUUAAAAAAAAAGUUAUUUUCAUUCUUUCUUUUCAAGUAUCCUAAUUCCUUUCGCAGUUUGAUUCCUCUUUUCCUGAAAUUUGUUCCUUCCAUUAAACUAAUAAUUUAUUUAAAGGUAAUUAAGCGUCAGCCCCAAUUAUUUAGUAUUUCACACAGCACACCCACAUCUUUCGAUCAUGUGCACCUCUUCCUUAUUUCCGUUAAAAAAUCAACUAUCAACUAAUUCUAACUGUUUAGGCUGUUAUAAAUUUAAAAGACUAUACUACCCCUAUUUUGAAAUGAAUUGGGUAUAUAAGUACUAAAAUACCCUUACAACUAAUAAAAUUUAAAUCAAAAAGUAAAAAUUUAUUAUAAUAUUUUUAAAAUUACAUGGAAACAAUUUUUUUUCCGGAUUACGAACCCAAGAUUAUAAACCUAGUAAAUUACAAAAUCAGAGGCAAAGCAUGAUUCCAAUGUGAAAGAAAAAAAUCAAACACACAUUCAUCAAUACAUUACAAAAUAAGUCCAAUAAUCCCACCAAAACAAAUAAAACCCAAUAAGAAAGAAACCCGAAACUAAUGAUACCAAAAUCCAUGACAACAAAUUUCAUUGUAAAAUUCUAUUACAAAAUAAAUUCAUACUAAGAAAAUUCAAUAAAAAGAAACUCAAUAAUCAAAAAUCCUAAGACUAAAGAUAUCAAACCCUAAAUUAAAUUAUAGAGGCGGCGAAGGAAAAAGGGGUUUUUUUUUAUUAUAUAAAUUAUUUUAAUCUUGUAUUAAUUACCAUUCUACCCUUCUUUCCGUUAACGUUAGAUUUGAAAGAAAUGGGGGUGGUGGACGUGGUCAGAAGAUUGGAGGCACAAUGCAAAAUGUCGAAACAAUUGGGGCUAACGCUAAAUUACACAUUAUUUAAAUUAAAUUAUCCUAGUUGUAUUUGACUGUGACUGUGACUGUGACCGGAACCGUUACAAUCACUUAGUAUUUUUAUUAAUUAAUUAACAAUUUGUUUCAUCAUUAGACGGUACUAUGAUAGUUUUGUCACUAUGUUUGGUACCAUCUCUUAAAUCGUGUAACAAAGAUUUCAUGAAAAAUUAGAAAACAGCACGACAUGAUACAAACUCUUUUUUAAUACAUGUAGACCUUAUUUUUAAAAAAUGAACAUACAAACUUUUUUUAAUACGUGUAGACCUUUUUUUGUAUUUAAAAAUAGUUACACAGAUCCUCAAUUUGUGUGUCCCUCAAUAAAUUUUCAUGAUCAUUUUUUAAAAUAAGGGAUUUUUGUGAUUAUUUUGCCACGUCCAAGGAUGCCGCUAUUCUUGUCACCAAAAAUUAUUCUCAUUAAGAGUCAUGAUUAAUUGGACGUCAACAAUGUCCAAAUAAAUAAUUUUUUUUAAAAAAAAGUUAUUUUCAUUCUUUCUUUUCAAGUAUCCUAAUUCCUUUCGCAGUUUGAUUCCUCUUUUCCUGAAUUAUGUUCCUUCCAUUAAACUAAUAAUUUAUUUAAGGGUAAUUAAGCGUCAGCCCCCAAUUGUUCAGUAUUUCACACAACGCACCCACAUCUUUCGACCAUGUGCACCUCGCCCCUAUUUUCAUUAAAAAAAUCAACUAAUUCUCACUAUUACUGUUAUAAAUUUAAAAGACUAUACUACCCCCAUUUCGAAAUGAAUUGGGUAUAUAAGUACUAAAAUACCGUUACAACUUAUAAAAUUUAUAUCAAAAAGUACAAAUUUAUUAUAAUAUUUUUAAAAUUAUAUGGAAACGAAUUUUUUCCGGAUUACGAACCCAAGAUUAUAACCCUAGUAAAUUACAAAAUCAUAGGCAAAGCAUGAUUCCAAUGUGAAAGAAGAAAAUCAAACACACAUUCAUCAGUACAUUACAAAAAAUUGAUGGUUUAGCUUAUAGAGUCAUGUCUAUUAUUAUUACCUUGUAAACAAGUCAAAUGUCUCAAUAAUUUGACACCUCAAUAACUGAAACAAUUUAAACCCUUGUUUAGUAUUAAAGUUGGGCAGGUGUAGCUUAAAAGUUACAGUACCAAAGUGUUUAGUAAACACUAGCUAUUGCCGCUUAGAAAUUAAGUUGAUUUGAUCUCACACUUGUAUGACAAAACCUAUAGUGUCUUUAUUAUUUUUGUCAAAUUAUUAUUUAAUAAUUAUUUUAUUAUACAUUAUCAACUUUUAUUUAAUAGUUGCAACUUCUUUUUCUUUUUUCUUACUAUGCUAUAGCAUUUCAAUAUCAAAUAGGGCUUAAAUGAGAAACAACUUCUAAAUUAAAUGCGACGUCUCUCUUCUUAUUAUUUGCAUAAGUUUGCCUAGUGGAUUAAAUGAGCAUUGGUAACCAUAAAUUAUGUAGAAUUAUUUUAUUGAUAUAUUUUUUCUAUGAUUUUCAAAUUAUACACAAGAGCCAAAACGUUUUCAUGAUGGCAGAUUUAUUGAGAAAAAAAGUGUUCAUUCAAAUAAACCUCAUGAAUAUUCACAUGAAUUUAUGUGAUGAGAAAGGGAAAAAAAAUUCUUCCAUUCAUUCAUAUGAACAUCUUUAACUAUUUCCUAAAAUUUAGGAGGAAAAAAAUGAAUUCUUCAUUUAUUCAUAUAUCGAGUUUCAUAAUCACUCGUACUAGGUUCCUGGGUGUAAAUGACUGAGAUUUACGAUUUGAGGACAAUUUUGAUAUUUCAAUAGACUACAAAUGCAUGUUGCGUUCAUUUCACACCAUCUGAUACGAAAAAAAAAAUUGAUGUUUUGGCUUCUAGAAUCAUGUCAAUUAUUGCCAUAUAAAUAGGUCAAUUGUCUCAAUAUCAGACCUUUUAAGAAGCCAAACAAAUUAAAAAUCAGUUUAAUAGUGCUGUAGUUUUUAAAAUAAUUACUGUUAGCAGUACUGUAAAAAUAAUUAGUUGUAAAAAGAAUCAGUUAAAUAUUUGAUAAAAUUUCUUUUUAAAAUUACUGCAAAUUUUAAAAGUAGUCGUUUGUGUUUAGUAAAUUUUACUAUUAAACUGCUGUAAAAAUAUAAAUAAAUCAAUUGAACACAAUAUUGAAUAAAAUUUAUUUACGCAUUUAUAAACAUGUAUGAAAUUUUUUUUAUUGUGUAUAUAUGAUAAUUGAUAACUAAAAUAAAUAUUUUAAAUUAUUGAUUUUAUUUUUUUAUUUGGUUAUCUUAAUAUAAUUGGUAAUAAUAAUCUCUUUAAAUUAAUGAUUUUAUUUCCUAAUUAAUAAGGAUAAUUGUAGAUUUUUAUAAUAUAAUUGAAUAUAUAUAUAUGAAAUUGUACUAACUGUAAAACUGAUUUUCAAAAUCCGAUUAUGAAAAGAUACUCCUUCCACGCUUUUCAAAACCUGCUAUAGGACGGGGUGAUUUAGCUAAAAGUAAUUUUAAAAAAAAAUUGUCAAACACCAAAAUUGACAUUUAGUUUUUUAAAAUUACUUUUGGGAACUCCCAAAAGCAAUUUCAAACGGGCUUCAAGGUCUUAUUUGAUACUAAAGUUGGGCAGUUAUAUCUUAAAAGUUACAGCUAUUUAGUAUAUAAUAGUUGUUGUGAUAUUGAAAAUACAAAUUGAAGGACUCUUUUUGUCCCAAAACUGAUAUUGAAAUCCGAAAAGUUACAGAAAUGGUGUGUCCACGUAUAAAAGUGAAGAGACAUAUUUGAUUUUAGGUUUAAAACUCAGGGUCCACGUACUGAAACUUCCGUAAUAAACAUAGGGCGAUUUUAUUGCAAUGGUCACCUACACUGGCCUACUUAUUUAUUUGAGUUGGCACCGAGCUUGAAAACUGCGGGAAAGCAAACUGACUGACAAUGACAAUACGAAGCUUGGCCUUUGGCCGGAACCACAUUUCACCACACAUUAUGAUAUUAGAUCUUUCAUUAUUGAUCACAUAUUCACAUUAUCUAACUUCAACGGAAAAUUACCUUCUAGAAAGUGCUCGUAUAAUUGUUUAUAUAUAAGCAGUCUCCAAACUUAUCAUCAAUUUUCCAGAUUCACCGAAAAAUGAGCUGGCGCUGGGCAGGUAGUAUUGGCGCUGCUAAGGUAAAGAUCAACCCUCUAAUUAAGUCUCUUCACUUGAAAAGCUUAUAGAUACACGUAACAUGCUGAUAUUUAAAAUAAUGUUUGUUUAAUUUUCGCUGUACAGAACAAAUUGGAAGAAGAUGCGCGACUUCAAGACUACCAGAACGUGGGACUUGUAGUAGGCGUGACAGGAAUUGUAGGCAACAGCCUAGCUGAGAUUUUGCCCCGAUCAGAUACCCCCGGUGGCCCGUGGAAGAUCUACGGGGUGGCGCGACGUCCCAGGCCUAACUGGAACGCCAAGUACCCUAUUGAUUACAUCCAAUGCGACGUUUCCGACCCAGACGAUACGCAAGCCAAGCUCUCAAAACUCGCUGACGUCACCCACAUAUUCUAUGUGACGUGGGCCAGCCGUCCCACUGAAGCCGAGAAUUGUCAGAUCAACGGCGCCAUGUUUCGUAACGUGCUCCGUUCUGUAAUCCCGAAUGCGCCUAAUCUCCGCCACAUCUGUCUCCAAACGGGAGGCAAACAUUACGUCGGUCCAUUCGAGUGUAUUGGCAAGAUACCGUCUCACGAUCCGCCUUUUACUGAGGAUUUGCCAAGACUAAACGUAUCACUUUUUUACUAUAAUCAGGAAGAUAUAUUGUUUGAAGAAGUUGACAAAAGACGGGGUUUGACUUGGUCCAUACACCGACCUUCCGGAAUAUUUGGGUUUUCACCUCAUAGUUUGAUGAAUAUUAUAGGCACUCUCUGCGUGUACGCAGCUAUUUGUAAACACGAAGGUGCUCCUCUUGUAUUUCAUGGGACUAGAGAUGCUUGGGAAGGUUUCCAAGAAUUUUCAGACGCAGAGUUGGUUGCGGAGCAGGAAAUUUGGGGGGCAGUGGAUCCUAAUGCAAGAAACGAAGCUUUCAAUUGCACCAAUGGAGAUGUUUUUAAGUGGAAGCAUUUAUGGAAAGUGUUGGCUGAGCAGUUUGAGAUUGAGAAUUAUGGGUUUGGAGAAGAAAUGGGUAGUGAGAGGGUGAGAUUGGAGGAAGUUAUGAAAGGUAAAGAAAGUGCGUGGGAGGAGAUUGUGAGAGAGAAUCAGCUGCAGCCAACAAAAUUGAAUGAGGUUGCUGUUUGGUCAUAUGCAGAUGUGGUGUUGAAUAUUGGUGCGGGUUAUUUUGUUAGCAUGAACAAGAGUAAGGAGCACGGGUUCUUGGGUUUCAGGAACUCUAAGAAUUCGUUUAUCACAUGGAUUAAUAGGUUGAAAAGUCACAGGAUUGUGCCUUAAGUAUUUUUUUUUUUUUUUCACUUUUUGAUUUGGUGCCUCGAGUAAUUGAAAAGCCACGAAAAAUUAAUAGUUCAACCCGUGAUUGGUUUGGCUGGAAAUUGUACCCUUUUGUUAGAUCCUUGUUUUGUUAAUCAAAGAAUUUUACCUCAGGUAGAAAAAAAAAAAAAAAGAUGCCUUUGUUGUUGCUAAAGAGUUAAUAAAUAAAUACAGUACUGAAUUAUCAACCUUAGAAAACCUCCAUUAUACAUUUCUGAAUCACGUACCUUCAAGUUAUAACGACCCAAUGUUCAAGUAAUGCCUAAUCCUAGUAGUCUAAAGCUUCUUUAAAUGGUUCGUGUGUCGAAAGCACUCUCUUUCGAACCAACCGAUUCACUAGACCAGGAAAAAAAAAAGAUUGACUGUGAAAAUAUUAAAAAUUAAAAAUGAAGUCUUUCGAAAUUUUUUAACCGGACAGCAUUUGUUAGAAAGGGGAGAGAGAGAGCAAAGGGUAAGAAAAGAAAAUUAAAAUAAAGUUUAUGGACAUUUAUCAUUUUACAUUAAUUAUUCGUUAUAAUUAAAGGAUGAAAUUAUAAUUUUAUUUGGUCAAAUUGGUCAACACUUUCAUUUAAUAGAAAAUCUAAAAGACCAAGCCUAUUCUCAGGCAUUCUUGGGGAAGAAUAAACUAUUUAUGUCUAUUUUAAAACUUUGAUGGUAGAUCUAUACUAAACUAAAAAUUGUUACGGGAGAUUCUUGUACCACUACGUAGCUCGAAAGAGGAAGACUGAAGUGGUACUAAAUUUGCUAUGAAAUGAGUUUAACGACCGCAUGCAAACGAACAAUUAUAAGAAAAGUUUAGUUGAGGAGCGAGCAAAGAUAUGCUGACCAAUACAAUAUUUGAAAAAUAUAAACAUAUGUUUUUAAACUAUUAUUAUUAGGCUAAUGCUAAGUUACAUGCAUGUGACUUAUAACCCUCUCACAUAAAUAGUGAAUAAUGUUGGUCCACUCACUAUUAAUGUGAGAUGGUUGUAAGUUACAUGCAUGUAACUUAGGGAGAUCUUAUUAUUAUCAUCAUCAUCAUCAAAUAAAUAUAGUGCAAACAUGUCUAAAAACAGGCGGGAGCCGGGUUUGAUUUAUGUUGUAUACUUGUGUAGGCCGCUGUUCAGAUAUAGUCCAGCCCAAUGGAAGCAAUAUGUAAGCCCAACACGGGUCUUCAUCGAUUUAUGCAAUGCAGUAAAAAAACAUAUCUAAUGGAAACAUCUACUGAAUUUGAAUCAGUUACUGCAAUUAAAGUUACCAACCUUGUAUGAUUGAACGAAAAUAUUAAUAUUAAGUAUACAUUAUUGGUAGAAGAAAAAUGACAUUUUUUGGAGAAAUUCUAUAAUGCAUUAGAAGUAUUAUAACAGUUAUAUAACAAGUAAAUGAUACUGUGAUAUUUAUGUAUUUAUUGUGAAAGAUCAUUAUGUAAAAUAAUGGUUACAUUAAAUUUAAUUAUACAUGUCAUGCAUACAUCAAUCGAUUAUAUUACUACUAAUGAAUUAUAAAAUUUCUCAAUUCGCUGAUAUUAUGUUUAAUAUUAAAUAAAAAAAUAUCAGUAUUUGAUGACUUACGUAGUUUUUAACAUUUUUAACGUACCAGCAUCAACAGUUAUUGAUAUUAUAGGAUCAUAAACCUUCACUCAUGCGAAGAUUUUAUAUUUUAUUUUAUUUUGAAAUUUAUUAUUUCAUUUAUUCUUAACGAUGUCGUUUUGGACAUAAAAUUUAGAUAAAUUAUUAAGUCUUCAUCUUCUCUUUCUUCACAAAAUCGUUUCCCUCUCUUUCCUGACACAGUAUCUCAACAAAACAAAAUACCAAAAUAAAACAAAGGCCAAAACCAAAAGCAGAAACAGAUCAAGCAGCUCAACCUCUCUAGCCUCUUAAUGAAUAAUGAUAGAUCGAACCAGAAGCAAAACAGUUGAGUUGAAGAUCGAAGCUCUAGGUCAAAACACACUCUCUCUUUCUCAAUUUUUGUAGUUUUUUCUUUCGACUUCAUCAAAGUCUAAACCCUAAAUGCUCGCCUUCUCAAGCACAACAACUUCAAAAGGAUUUAUCAUUUUCUUGGAGAUCUUAUAGAGUCGUAUUCUUAGCAUCAUCAAAGUCAGCCGCGUCGAGCCGUCAUGGUCUGUGUGACAAGCUAAAAGGUCACAUUGACUUGAGCAAAAGAAUAGUUAAGCUUGUAAAUAGAGGCAGAACAAUUAGCAAGCUCGUUCACUCUAUCGUGCGACCCGUGCCUGAGACUCUUGGAAUCGAAUUAGAGGUAUUGAUUUUGAUUUGAUUGUCGACAUAUUUUUGUUUUUAGAUUUUUUUUUUUUUUAUAUUUUAUAGUGUUUAAUUAGCAAUAAAUUUGAAUUUCUAGAGUAAUUUAGGUGUACUGGCGAAUUAAAUGUUGAUUUUAUGUAUUUACUUUUUGAUUUGAAAUCCGCUUUCUCUUAAGUGUUAUUCGUUUGUGUUUCGAAUGCAGGUUUAGUGCUUGAUGAAUUGCCUCAUUCGGGUCUACUUUUUAUGAUGCAGAAAACUUAUUGUUUUUUUUUUCUAUCUAAAUUUGGUUGUUAUUAAUUAAUAAAAGUAGAGAGAUUCAGUUGUUAUUCUUGGUUCUUUAUGCAGAUGGUGCUCUUGCUUUUCUUCUGUGUUCUAUUCUUUUUGUUCAAGAUAUUUAUAGUUGUCGAUCCAAUAUUUAUUUAUUCAUUAGUUUUUACUGAAAGCAUAAAUACUCUUCCACUCGCCAAAAAUUAUUUUAUUCCAGUAGUUUUUCAAUUGUAAUGCCAGCUAGGUCCUACCAAUGCUAUUAUUUUAUGCCAGUAGUUUGAGUUCAGGUUCCCAGUGGUUUUCUUCAUUUUAAACGUGGUUAGGCAAUUGGAGUAUUGAUAACAUUCAAGCCGUUUUUAGUUCAACGCCGCAACUAGAGAAAGAUCCUUUUAAUUUUCAAGCCAAUUAAGUUUUCGGAAUGCUUCAACCAAGUUAUUUCUUUGGGGUUCCACAUCAGUUUUUGGGGUAGCCAUAAACUUAUGAUGAUGAUGAUGAUGAUGAUGCUCUCGCCAAUUGAUUAUUGCUAAUUUUCUUUGUACCUAUUAGCUGUUCCAGGCUAUCUUAUUGCCAUUUUUACAAUGUUACUAAAAUUUGUUGGUAUAGCAGUGCCCUUUCAUUAUAGUUGGCCUCUUAUGAGUGUAAUUAAUCUCAAAUAUCAACAUUAUAAAUUAUGAGUGUAAUUGAUUGGGUAAAUACUCGUUUAAUCCCUAAAUUUUGAUAUAAGUGUCCGUUUAAUCUCCAAAUUUUAAAAAGUGCGUAAAAACACUCUUAUUGUUCAAUAUGUUACAUUCUUAUCAUUGUUUGUUUCUUUUCUUUUACAAUAAUAAUAUUGCAACAAUAUUCUUGACAUUAAUUAAUUUAUUUAUAAAAAAAUUAAUUAGCAAAUUAACCAAUAAAUAUAAGUGUGAAAGAACUAAUAUUUUUUGUAUCUGUUAAACAAUCUUACUAAUAAUUUUUUAUAAAUAAAUUAAUAUUAGCCUACUUAAAGUAAUGUCUAAUAUUUUUACAAUAAUUUUACUAAUAAUUAUCACGUCGGUAACGUCGAUUUUUACCGACGAAUCAUAGGUUUCGAAAAUAUAGUGCCUUUUGAUAAAUCGAGAGAGUGGGGACAAGCACCUUCUCGGAUGUCUGGAGCUGAAGUGAAAAAGCAGUUGAAUAAUAUCCUUACUGAGUUUAAGAUUGAAGACUUGAAAAGUGGAGAAUGAAUAAAAUGAGAGAAAUGACAAGAUUACUUGGAAGAAGAAAAGCAUAUUUUAUGAACUACCGUGUUGGGAGUUCAAUUUGAUUCAUCAUAAAAUGUGAGACAUGAGGGAGAGACAAAAGCUCAGGCUUGUCUGCAACCAUGUGGGCCCUCAUAAGCAAUUCGUGUACACAACUUGGUUCACCAAGCCCAACAACUUGAAGCAGGCAAAAUCCGGGAACGAUCCUUCUCCUUCGCAACCCUGGCAGCCUUAACCUUGUAUUUCUGAUAUUUAGUUAAAGAGUAAGAAGAUUGCUCCUCUGUCAAUUACCUUCGAGAGAGACUUUCUUUUUCAUUAAUCGAUGCUUGCUUGUGAAAGCAAGGGUUUUAGUUACACUUUCAACGCUGUCAAUGUAGUGAAGUAAAGCAUUCGUAGAAUAAUGAAGAUGGAAGCCCCACAGCAUGAAAACUUUUAAACAGUAACACAGCUCUUAUUCCAGAGGCUGCACGCGAGUGACCUGAAUCUUCUUCAGAACUUUCAAAUUUUAUCAAGCAAAGCUUUCAAAAUUUCUCAACAAAUUGAUUAUUUGGUGUGGUUGCCACAUUUUGAGUAACUGCUAUUUGUUCUCAAGUACAAAAUCCUUGCCCUCCUAAGUUAGGAAAUAUAGAUGUGAAGCAAACCAAAUGAAAUAAAUGGGUAAACAGAACAAACAGUGCAAAAAUUAAAAAUGAUGGCAAUUAACAAAUUAACUUGUAUUUCUGAUAUUUAGUUAAAGAGUAAGAAGAUUGCUCCUCUGUCAAUUACCUUCGAGAGAGACUUUCUUUUUCAUUCACCAAAAUAAAAUAAAUUUAGAAUUUCAAACAGUACUAGUAGUAAAAAAAUGACGACAACAACAAAAAUAGAAAAUUACAAGACUGCUGAUAAAAUUUCACUUGCAGGCAUUUCUCACAAAAUUUCUGUGAUUUAAUGUGCUUUCAUGCACGCAAGUCCUAACGUUUCUGUGAUCACAAAUGAAACUGAAGAUAAAACAGAACAACUACCAAACCUUUCAAGCGUGACGAAGCCAUGAGAAUUGAUAGCUCAAUGUCAUGGGAUGAGUGUUUUGUCACUAAAACAGAACAAUAAUUUUGAACACACCAUGUGGCAUUUAGACCAUUUGAUAGUUUGUUUCAAACAUAUUUGUUUAUAAAAUACUUUUCUUCAUGGUUUUGGUCCCAUAAUUUUCUAUGUAUGUACAGGUUUUAUCGAUACCGCUUUUGACAAGUUACACUUACAUAGCAAUGCCCUUUUUGAUAAACUGUGCUUCUGUGAUGAAGAAUGUUUUAGCUGUAAGUGGAUAUCCUAAUCAUUGAUCCAUAUACUUAGGUUAUAUUAUCCAUCAGCAAGUAUGUAUAAAAUUAUUUUGUGUCUUUUUUUAUUAGAAAUGUUGUAAUUCUAUUUUACUCUUCCUGAAUUAUAACAUCAGGUGUCUAUAAUAACUAGGUUAUUCCUUCUGCAAAACAGAGCAGUGGUAAAUAUUUUUUUUCUUUUGUUUGUUUAGUACAUUUACAUGCUUUCAGCUUUUUCAAAUUUUGUAUGUGUCAAAGUUUAAAUUUAAUUUGUUGGUUUAUGCCACAACAAAAGGAACAGCAUCAAAGAGGAGCUGCUAAUGGACUUGCUAUGACUGUAGUGUCGCUUACCAAAACUGCCGGUCCAGCUGUAGGAGGUGCUCUGUGAGUGUCCUGUUGAUUUUGUAAAACUAUAUGUAAAUGAAGUUAUAAUUUUUUUUUUCAUUAAUUGGGGUUCUGGCAGAUUUUCUUGAUCACAAAAGCAUCAAGAUGCUGGUUUCCUCCCAGGUAUGAUGAUCUACUAAUGAAAUUUCUCACGAGUUGGUGAAUUACUUUGUGCUAAUUAGCUUAGUUAGCUGCUUAAACUAAAGUGCAGGUAACCAGAUGAUUUUUUUCAUUUUGAAUUUGGUCGAGGCACUAGGAGUAAUAUUGACAUUCAAACCAUUUCUAACUCAACGUGCCCCGUGAGUAGAGAAAAGAUGCAUCUGUUGAAAUAUUCAAAUAUAUGUCGAGCAAAUUAAAGCUUUCAAAAUCUAUCAACAAUUUGAUUAUUUGAUGUGGUUUGCCACUUGCCGUAUUUUGUUUUGCUGUUCUAAAGGCUUAAAUAUGAAAAUGGUGGUUGGCGCUCACACCAAUCGAUUGCUGUUAACAUUAAUUGUUCAGUACUUUUCUCUGUCGACAUUUAUACUUGUUCAUUGUCAGAACUACGACAAUUUAUCUUUACAAUGAUGCAAGCUAGAAAGAAUUUUUCAUGUUAAGUAAAAUAUUGAAGCCACAAAGAGUCUGAAUUAAGUACUAAGUUUUCUGCCAUGCUUUCAACGGUAACACAUUUGUAGCUCUUAUUCCAGGGGCUUCACAGUAGAGAGACCUGAUUUCGACCUUCUUCAGAACUUGGGGAUUCCGUAAUAACAGAGGACAACAGUUAUAUAAGAAUAUUAUUUUGUACAAUUUUCGUAUAACCUGACCAAUGCAAGUAUAAUUUGAUGAUCUUAACUCAGAUCAAAAGACCUUCAAUGAUGUAAAAUUUGAACAUAAAGAUGAGAACCAAACAUUAGAACUUAUGAUGAAACGGAAACAAAAACAUUGAGAUUGAAAAGAUAGAGAAACACAAGCUUUUUAAAAGGAAUAAAUAUUCAUUUAGUCUCUAUAUUUUGACUUAAGAGCGCAUUUAGUUCUUAUAUUUUAAAAAGUGCCUCAACCUCAAGACACCCCUACUGUGUUGGAAUAAUAUUUUUGGGAAUAUCAAUGAAAAGAAACGAAUGGUAAUUCAUCUAGCCAGCCUUAAACAAAAUAAAUAUUAAUAAAAACUUUUAUGUUAUUAUUUUAGUUUUAGGACUAAUUUCGUAAAUUAAUUUUUUUAUGCAUUUAUUAGUAAGAUUGCUUUAAGAAUAUUAAACAUUACUUUAAGAUGGCUGCUAUUGAUUUAUUUAUAAAGAAUUAUUGGCAAGAUUGUUGUAAAAGUACAAAAAAAUACUGGUUAUUUCAUAUUGAUAUUUAUUGAUUAAUUUUCCAAUUAAAUUUUUUAUAAAUAAAUGAAAUUAAUUUAAGAAUAUUAUUGCCAAGAUAUUAUUGUAAAAGUAAAUAAAAUUUAAGGAAAAAUGUAACGUAUUUAAUAUCAAGGUAUAUUGAGGUAUUUUUUAAAAUAUAAUAACUAAACGAGCAUUGAAGUUAAAAUAUAGGUACCAGACGAACAUUUUCUCUUUUAGAAAGUUUUAUAUUUUAUUAAUGAAAGUCUGAAUAACAAAAUUAAGGUUUUGGACUUCUUUUAAACUAAACUUAAAUAUAACAAAUUUACCAAAAUAACUAAACCUAACAUAUUACUACAUAAUAACAUUCUCCUAAUUGAAAUAAGAUAAAUGUUACUCAAAUUCUAUAUCUAGAAAAAAAAAAGAUAAAAAUCCUAAAAACAAUAGGAAAAUAGAUCUUAAACUUGUAAAAUAAUAUGAAAUAAAUAUAAUUUUCAAUCGAACCACGAGACUAAUGCGGCGCUACAGUAUUAGAUUAGUUUCCCCUCGUCGCGAACUUCGAAAUGUAUAUUAUACACCCUAAAUAGAUACUUAUAGCUCAAGUUGUUACCCUAGAGAGAUACUCCACUCAUCCUACGCAACCUAGAGAGAUACUCCACUCAUCCUACGCAACCAUCCGCUGCAUCAAAUUCGUUCCAAAAUUAAGAAUAAACCAGCUGAUGCAUUCCAAAUAAUUUAGAUGAAACGAUAAAAUAAACCUAGAGAUCAAAUAACAUGAAAUGAAAAAGAUAAUUACCUUGGACUGAAGCUCAUACAAAUUCAUUAUUUGACACCUGCGGCAAUUGUUGAAAUAAUAGUUAAUGAAAUAUAAAAUAAGACAAGUACAUAUUAAUGAAACACCACUGUGAAUCGAUAGCUAAGGACGGAGUAAAAUUUAAUUGUAAAUUAGGACAGUAGAGCAAGCAUCCAUAAACAUAACAUGAACGUAAUACAUCAAUUGAAAUAUCAUAGGAUAAAUUGGGACAUCAGAGAAAGAAAUAAGUAAAUAAAUCAGCAAAGGAAACAUGCAUAAACAAAUAAAAAAACAAAGACAAAAUAAGGAAGAGUUUGUGAUAAUUUUCUUCUAUGGUCAUUGAAGUCCAAAAACUAAUAAGGAUCGAGCAAUUGAACGGUUGCAAACUCAAUGGAAAUACAAUGGAACCUUAAAAAUGAACAGUGAAGGAAAAUGAAGAAAUCUGCAGGAAAUAAGACGAGUGAGAGUGAAGAAUUAAUUACCACUGAGUAAAUGCGAAUGAAGAAUGGAGACAGAUCCUUCUUCGCCCCAUUGAGAAGUGAGAUUCAUAGAUUGCAUUGAAAUUGAGAGUUGAGAUCAAGAAGCGAUUCUUCUUCUCCGUAAUUUCCUUUUUCUUUUAAUGUUGUUAUUAUUAUUAUUUUUUUUUUUUUUCAAUUUCAUGAUAUCUUUUUUGUUUUAAACAGUAUUGGCAUAUUACAUUUAUUUAUGUUAAUUUUACAAUACCUCCCUUCAGAUUGCACAAAUUACAUUAAAAAAAAAAGUGCUUUAUGUAUAAAACUUUCAAACAAAUUGGGCCAAAAUCUAACUUUACCAAGUUUAGAGUAAUUUUGGGCUCGACAUUCCAUUUCCGACAAACGAUUUUUCUUGGCGUUUGAUUUUUCUUUAUACUUUUCAUAUUUAUCCAACGGCUCGUCAAUGACAAUACCUUUGUAAAAAGUACUUAUUUUGAAUAUUAUAUUGUGGAAAUGUCUGGUCGGUAAUACAACUAUUUCUUAUAGUGUAAAACUGAUACACUAGCGUUCACAUUUUGAUGAGUAAAUUAAGGAUUUCAAGAUGAAGUACAUAAUUAGAUUAAUGCUAAGAAACUGAAGUUUGAUCGAUUGAAAAUGAAAAUAAUAAUGAAGGUAAUUAAGAAAAUGAACAAUAUAUGCAGAAGCGGUCCUAUUAGGACUUCUAGAUUUUCUCUUGGGCUUUCCUUAUUAUUGUUAAAAAAUGACACGAAGAACUUUGAGUUUAAAAAUCUGGCCCUGAUGCCUGGUAGCCCUCCAUGAAGCACCAGAUGUUUUGAUGAGAAAUGACAAGACCAUUUAUCAAAUUUCUUGUGGAUAUAAAUACAUACACAUAGACGAGACCAACCUCCUCAAAUGAGAAUCAGAGUGAUUAAAAGACCUUGCAAUGAGACAAUGAUACACCAUCAAAUGUCAAAAUACAAUAGAAAUUCACGACAUAUAUAUAAUAAAAGACCUCUCAUUGAGUCAUAUAUAUUGAGAAUAAAAAUGUUAUAAUACAUACACAGAGCUUAGCUAGAAUAAAAUGUCUUUGAACUUGCGAUGAUCAAACAAAGGAAACAGACAGGUUGUAACUCACACUAUCACAAGAAGAUCACGAAGAUGAAAAUGGGAACCCAUCAGAAUGGAAACUUUGAAUAGAUGAAAAAAGAAAAACGACCUUAUUCACAGAAGAAGAGUGACUUAAAUCUUCAUCAGUAUCCAGACAUUUUGCAAUCAUAGAGUAGAGAAAUUUUAACAGGAACAGCAGAGAAAAUAUUAUGAAUAUGCUAUAGACCAAUAUACUUGUUCAUAGCUAACGUUUGAUGGUUUAAGGAUUUGUUCUAGGAAUAAUGGGCUGAUUACUUUCUUUUUAUUUUAAUUUUUUUUUAAUCCAAUGAAUGAUAUUCAGCUGUUAAUUAUGUGUUCAUAGGGAAGAACAUUUUCUAAGUACUUUCCUUGCCUUCUAACUUUCCGAAAAGCAAACCCAAUGAGCAAACAGAGCACAAACUAAAAUAAAAGAACAGCAAUGAUAACAAUAAAUAAUUGGCAAAGAAAAAAAGGAAAAAGUAUGCACGUUUUCAAGGAAUUAUAAAAUAUGAAGGCUUUUAAUGAAACUUUAUCAUACAAAGUAUGCAAGGAAUUAUAAAAUUUUAGAAAACAAGGGGAGCUCUCAAAAAAAAAUGAAAAACUCAAAUUAAACUAGACUAAAAGACAUUCAAUUUUGCAAAAUCUGUCCAUAAAAGUCUGAAAGGAUCAUUAAAAUUGCAUUGCAAAUUUAACAGUAAACCGAGGGACCCAUUCUAAAUAAUUCAGAUGAAAUUGCGAAACAAGACAUGGGAUUAAAUAAAUGAAACAAUCUAAUAAAAAAAAAAUAAAUGAAACAAAAAUUAAUUACCAGUUGAGACUUUCUUCUAAAAAUUCGCAACUCCAAGUCACAAGAAGCCUAUGAAAUUAGUCGUACUGCGUAGAGUAUGACGACGACACCGCCAACAGCCGACGACACCGCCAACAGCUGAAAGUAAAAUUCUUAUUCAUCAAAUAUCUUAUCAAUAUUGUAUUUAAGAAAGCAAAUUUUGUAAAAAUUUAUCAUGGGAGAUAAGAGUAAUAUGUAUAUACGUACCUUCUCAGCAUGUAAUGUUGUAUGGUUGUGUUUAGAUAAUUAUUAGCCCAGCGCCGUUGAUCCGCUGUCUCUCCAUACCAGACAUUUACUCUUGGAGGCGUGAUUGCUUCUCCUGUAGUGAAAAUCUUCAUCUUGGGACAACCAAUCACCCACAACUCUUGCAAAGAUGGGAAUUGGAAGGUGUAAUUGGCAGAGCAGAAACUUGUGAGGCUAUCUAAAUCACGCAGUUCCAACGUCUUCAAUUUGCGGAAAACAAUCUCUUCUUUUUCAACUCCAUCUUUGUCAUUUAUUACCACCUCUGUCAUUGCUCUGCAUCCAUAUAUUUCUAUUGCUACGAGUCGCACCAGAGUUUUUGCUGUGGAGGAUGUUACCAUGUGUAACAAUUUCUUGCAACCGAAAGCCACCAGAGCUGUUAGGUUCUGAAAAGAUACCGAUGAUGAUGGCAAUAGAAUUAACAGACUUUGACAACGAUAUGCUUUUAGAAUUUCAAGAUACUGAAAAGUGGGGCCAAGUUUGGAGUCUUGUUUGCACAGCUGCUUCAGAUGAUAGUGCCAGCGCAGCUCUAAUGUUUUUAUCAUUGCCAACUUCCCCGCAUGUUUCUCUAAGCUUCCUUCCUCCGAAAAUACCUCUUCGUGGAAUGAAAAUUGAAACAGUGAGAGUAUUUCAAGAUUGUGAAAUCUCUCAAGUACAUUCCAGAUUGGAAAACAAGCUGAGUUAUCUUCGGCAAUCUCUAGUUGUUUAAGACUGCCAAAAAGGUGUUGUGGGAAAUCGGCCUGCAAAAUCAUCUUCACGUCUUUUCCAUUCAAUGAUAGGUCCUUCAAGUUGGGUAAGAUCUGAUCAUCAUAAAUCAUAAUAACUAAUGAGGUCAAUUGAUGUUCUCUCAAAUGAUUUUGAGUAAUCCAAUUACAAGCAGUGACUUUAUUGUAUCUGUUUUAUAUUAAUUUUACCCCCAAAAAAAAUUGAAUUAGUGAUAAAAUUCAUUAUAUGAUUUUUUAUAUGUUAAUUUUAGAGGUAAAAAAGAAAUUAGGGAAAAAUGGUUGAUUUAUAUUUGCAUGAAAAUAUUUUAUUUCACAACAAUAAAUUAUUAAUUUAUAUUGUAAGUCCUUGUAUAAAGAAAAACUAAGGAUUCUUUACCUAAAAAAGUUCAUAUAAUUAUUAAUCUCCCACAUUGAUCCCUUAGUCAAGACUAGCAAAGAUUAUUAUGUAAUAAAAAUUUUUAAUUUAUUAAGUAUUAAUUUAUCAGUGUUUUGUUACAUUUUUCAAAGUCAAAAGUCGUCAAUGAGCUAUUGAAAAAAAUAUCUAGAAAAUGACUUCAUACCUUUUCGAACGGCAAUAAGGGCUGUUGUGCAGGAAUAUCAAGUUGAUUAUUCUCUUUAUUCUGCGAUAAAUCUUCAGCAAAUAUUUUUAAUUUGUCACAACGACACACUGCAAAAUUUUCUAGUGCUGGCCAUUCCGAAGUAUGCAUUCCUGGGUAUAAACAUCUAAGUUUUGGUAGACCUUGGAGUAUCAGAACGGUGGGUUGUGGAAAGACAAAAUAAGGGAUCACUUCAUCUGCUCUGUUUUCAAAACGAUCUCCUGUAAAUCCUUACAGUCUCAUAUAUCUAAGUGCUGGAGCUGCUUGAGGUUUCCGAUCAUAGACGCUGAAAAUAUGUAUUUCAGUUUGUCACAGUACCACACAACUAAUCGUGUUAAACUUUGAAAGUGAGGAAACACGGCCGCCAGAAUUUGAUUGUAAUGCCAAAUCUUGUCGACAUUAAUUGCAGAUAUCUCCAAAGCCACCAAGUUAGGCAACGCAACCUAAAAAAAUAAGAAUUUCUCGUUAGAUCCAAUAUCCAUAUAGGAAGCACUUGUUGAAAUUUUCUUCUUUGAUUACAAAUUGUUGAAAGUCAGAAUCAAUUUCCAACUGACAGCUGAGUUUGAUGCAUUCUAAUUCAUACUACUUGUUAAGAGCUCAAUUAGUGAGCGUGUUGUUAAGAGCUCAAUUAGUGAGCGUGUGAGAUUCUUUUUAUCCUUUUUUCCAUUUUCUUUCAAUUCUUAAAUGAUUUAAUUAUUUUCCACGUAUGACGUCAAAAGAGAACGCAUGAUAGAAUAAAAUCUGUUAUAUAUAUAUAUAUAUAUAUGAAGAAAAUGUUAGCCUACUAUCACGGGAUGAGUAUUUUGCGCAGCUAACCCGUGCGGUACUUAGACAACUUUGCCGAAUGUUGCUAAGUAAGCCUAGAGCUUCUCGAACUAGAGAAGAGAGCAAUUGAGCCGAAUAAGAGACAUUGUAUUGCACAAAGAGAGAUUACAAUGCUUGUUGUUGUGUUUGUUGGAUACAAAUGCCUAAUGCCAUCCCAUAUUUAUAGGGGAGGCUUGCCAAGCUAGAGGCUCUAGAGAUUCUAGAGAAUUCUACCAUUUCCUAGCUAUUUACAUGUGCUGGAAUUGUAAGGAGAAUUCUAGAGUAUUUGCAAGCUCACAUGUGCUAGAAUUGCCAAGAACUUUCCGGAAUUGGGCCAAGCUAGCACUCUUGGCCUUGUGUUGGCUCUCUAGCCCGAAAUUGUUGGCAAUUGGGCUAGCGAAUUGGGCGGUCCGCAACAUCCUCCCCCACCUAAGCUCGCGGCGUCCUCGUCGCGCUCUCGUGCUUGAAAUUCUAGAUGUGCUCAGCGAAUUGCCAUAAGUCAUCUUCACGUUCCCAAGUGGCUUCGCUCUCGGGGAGGUUUUUCCACUUCACCAAGUACUUGCUAUGUGCUGGCACGCCCCUCCUCGAAACCGUGCGGUCCGCAAUGAUGUAGUCCACAUCUUUGUCGAAUGCGGUGACAAGCAGUUGGCACGCGCCUCGAUUCUCCGCGACUUGGUUCUCCCAUGUCUUCGUGAUAUGGCUUGAGAAGGCUCACAUGGAAGACCGGAUGGAUCUUGAGUCUUGGCGGAAGUUGGAGUUGAUAUGAGACGUUGCCCACACGUCGAACAACUCGGAAGGGUCCCUCAUAGCGCCUCACUAACCCCUUGUGGACUUUCCGCAAUGUCUUGAAUUGUUGGGGUAGGAGCUUGAUCAUGACUUGAUCUCAUUCAUUGUACUCAACAUGCCGUCUCCUUGUAUCCGCCCAUUUCUUCAUUUUCCUCGCGGCUUUGUCGAGGUAGGCUCGCGUGAUGUCCGCUUCCUCAUGCCAUUCGCGGGCGAACUUGUGUGCCGCGGGGCUUUUCCCGCCGUAAGUCGAGGCUAUGGCGUUGGGGGUCAUGGGCUGGAAUCCCAUGAUGAUCUCGAACGGACUCUUGCCCGUAGCCUCACUUCGCUGCAAGUUAUAAGAAAAUUGGACGAUGUCGAGUAGCUUCGCCCAAUCCCACUGAUGAGCGCUCACAUAAUGCCUCAAGUACAUUUCGAGGAGGCCAUUGAUGCACUCGGUCUGCCCAUCCGUUUGUGGGUGGAAGCUUGUCGAGAACUUGAGAUCGGUCCCCAACAUCUUGAAGAGCUCCGUCCAAAAACGCCCAGUGAACCGAGGGUCUCACAAUGCUCCUUGGAACUCCCCAAAGCUUCACAAUGUGCUUGAUGAAUAGGCAGGCUGCCUCAUCCGCUUUACAAUCGAUUGGUGCGGCAAUGAAUGUGGCGUACUUGCUGUAUCGGUCGACAACGACCAUGAUGCUUCCGCAACCUUCGGAUUUGGGCAGCGAAGUAAUGAAGUCCAUGGAGACAUUUUCCCAUGGCCUUGUUGCUAGUGGUAGCGGCUCCAAUAAUCCCGCUGGAAGUUGAUGAUCCACCUUGUCUUGUUGGCACACAAGACAAGUUCGCACAUCUGCUUCGAUGUCGUCCCUCAUGUACGGCCAAAAAUACGAGGCUUGAACUAGUGCGGUGGUGCGCUCGAUUCCUGGGUGACCAGCCCACUUAGAGUCGUGGCACUCCUUGAUUACCUCCUUCCGUAAGUUUCCCCACCUUGGCACGAACAGCCGAUCUCCCUUGGUGUGGAGGAUGCCUUCCUCUUGCCAAAAUCGCCUUGUCUUGCCUUCGAGCACCUUCUCCAGCAAAUCCUUUGCUAGCGGAUCUUGUUGGAGGCCUUCCUUGAUGCGUGAGACAAGGUCGGACUUUGGUUGGCUCAUGCUAAUUGUUGCCAAUUCGGCCUUACGGCUUAGAGCGUCUGCAACGACAUUGGCUUUCCUCGGUUUGUACUCGAGCCAAUAGUCGAAUUCCGUAAGGAAAUCUUGCCACCGUGCUUGCUUCGGGCUCAACUUUUUUUGUGUUUGAAAGUAGCUCGUCGCUACGUUGUCCAUCAUAGUCAUGAAGUGAGAGCCUAGCAAGUAAUGUCGCCACACCCGCAAGCAAUGUAUGAUUGCGGUCAUCUCCUUCUCUUGCACCGUGUAGCGGCGUUCCGUAUCGUUUAGCUUUCGACUCUCGAACGCUAUGGGAUGGCCUUCUUGCAUAAGGACUCCACCUAUGGCGAAAUCCGAGGCAUCCGUUUGAACUUCGAAGGGUUUAGUGUGGUCCAGAAGAGCGUGGACGGGUUCCUCCGAAAUUGCCUUCUUCAACUGCUCGAAUGCGCGUUGGCACUCUUCGGACCAAUGCCACGUUCUGUUUUUCUUGAGCAUAUCCGUCAAGGGUGCUGCCUUGGCUGAGUAGCCCUCGAUGAAGCGGCGGUAGCAGUUCACCAACCCAAGGAAUGAGCGAAGCUCGGGUACUUUCGAGGGAGGUUCCCAUUCGAGGAUGGCCUUUACUUUGGCAUUCUCCAUCAUGAUCUUUCCGCCCGCAACCUUGUGGCUAAGGAACUCCACUUCUUGUUGGGCAAACGAGCACUUCUCCAACUUGAGGAAGAGCUCGUUGUCUCGGAGUACUUGGAGGACUUGUCGUAAGUGUUGGGCAUAAUCCUCGAGUGUGGUGCUAUACACCACUAUGUCGUCCAAGUACACGACCACGAAGCGGUCGAGGAAUGGUUGGAGUAUCUUGUUCAUGAGCGUGCAAAAUGUAACAGGUGCAUUAGUAAGGCCAAAAGGCAUCACAAGGAAUUCGAAAGACCCAUACCUUGUAGUGCACGCUGUCUUCGGUUCGUCUCCCUUGGCGAUGCGCACUUGAUAGUACCCGGAGCGCAAGUCAAGUUUGGUGAAGUACCGCACUUUGCCAAGUUGGUCGAACAAGUCCGCGAUCAAGGGAAUCAGAUACUUGUUCUUGAUGGUGAUCUUGUUGAGCGAUCUAUAGUCGAUGCACAUCCGCAGCGAUCCAUCCUUUUUCUUUUGGAAGAGGACCGGUGCACCGAAUAGGGCCUUUGAGGGGUGAAUGUAGCCUGCGUCCAGCAAGUCUUUGAGUUGUCUCCGCAACUCCUCUAAUUCGGGUGGCGCCAUGCGGUAGGGCGCCAAGGCUGGUGGCUUCGCGCCUUGUUCCAGCUCGAUCGCAUGAUCUACCUCUCGCCGAGGUGGGAGCUUCUUCGGAAGUUCCAGAGGCAUCACGUCCUUGUAUUCAUUGAGAACGGCUUGAAUUCGCGAAGGGACUUGGCUUGGCGACGUUCUGCUCUUUCCUUCCUUGUUUAGUUCCCGGAUGGAGACCAAGAAGCUUGGGUCCUUCUUGAAAGCCCUUUUGAAUUGCAUGGCGGAGAGUGUCUUCUCCUCGGACUUGCCUCGCUCCGUGGGUACCAUGCAUGCUUUGCUCCCGUCGAGGAUGCUUAGGGAGUUUGUAGCGGGCAGUGGGAAGGCAUGGACUUGGUCGAAAAAUUCCAUGCCGAGGACUAUCUUGAAGUCAUCCAUGGGGAUGAUGGAGAAAUCAAGCUUUCCGCUCCACGUACCGAGUGUUAAGUGCACGCCUUGUGCAAUUCCCGCAAUUGGCUUGGCGGGUGAGUUUACUGCCUUCAUUGUGCUUCGUGAGCUAACUUGCGUGCGUGCAAACCUUAGCUCCGAUACCACUUGUCACGGGAUGAGUAUUUUGCGCAGCUAACCCGUGCGGCACUUAGACAACUUUGCCGAAUGUUGCUAAGUAAGCCUAGAGCUUCUCGAACUAGAGAAGAGAGCAAUUGAGCCGAAUAAGAGAAAUUGUAUUGCACAAAGAGAGAUUACAAUGCUUGUUGUUGUGUUUGUUGGAUACAAAUGCCUAAUGCCAUCCCAUAUUUAUAGGGGAGGCUUGCCAAGCUCUAGAGAUUCUAGAGAAUUCUACCAUUUCCUAGCUAUUUACAUGUGCUGGAAUUGUAAGGAGAAUUCUAGAGUAUUUGCAAGCUCACAUGUGCUAGAAUUGCCUAGAACUUUCCGGAAUUGGGCCAAGCUAGCACUCUUGGCCUUGUGUUGGCUCUCUAGCCCGAAAUUGUGGGCAAUUGGGCUAGCGAAUUGGGCGGUCCGCAACAUCCUCCCCCACCUAAGCUCGCGGCGUCCUCGUCGCGCUCUCGUGCUUGAAAUUCUGGAUGUGCUCAGCGAAUUGCCAUAAGUCAUCUUCACGUUCCCAAGUGGCUUCGCUCUCGGGGAGGUUUUUCCACUUCACCAAGUACUUGCUAUGUGCUGGCACGCCCCUCCUCGAAACCGUGCGGUCCGCAAUGAUGUAGUCCACAUCUUUGUCGAAUGCGGUGACAAGCAGUUGGCACGCGCCUCGAUUCUCCGCGACUUGGUUCUCCCAUGUCUUCGUGAUAUGGCUUGAGAAGGCUCACAUGGAAGACCGGAUGGAUCUUGAGUCUUGGCGGAAGUUGGAGUUGAUAUGAGACGUUGCCCACACGUCGAACAACUCGGAAGGGUCCCUCGUAGCGCCUCACUAACCCCUUGUGGACUUUCCGCAACGUCUUGAAUUGUUGGGGUAGGAGCUUGAUCAUGACUUGAUCUCAUUCCUUGUAUUCAACAUGCCGUCUCCUUGUAUCUGCCCAUUUCUUCAUUUUCCUCGCGGCAUUGUCGAGGUAGGCUCGCGUGAUGUCCGCUUCCUCAUGCCAUUCGCGGGCGAGCUUGUGUGUGACGAUGGUCUGUUUGGUGAUGCUGAAGGAGUCUUUACUUCACGGCAGAAAUUUGUAACCUCUGGAAGAUUCCCCAGACUCAAAGAUCUUAAUUGAGCAAACUCUAUCUUCUCAAUUGCAUUAUCAACUUCUUCCCCAAUUGCAAAAAUCUCUUUCAUCUUGCUGCAAUCAACAACUGCAAUUCUCUCAAGUCUUGGAAGGCAUUUUGUAGUAGAGAGCCAAAAGAUAUUACUCAAUUUAUCACAAUUAUAUGCUUGUAUGAUUUUGGGUUCGUUCAAAGACUCUACUUUGAGCUGAUCAAUACAUAUCCUCUCCAUGUUGAUCAAAUUGUGAAGGAUAAGUGACUCCAAAAGAGGAAAGGCUUCACAAGCUACCAUCUCCAUUGAGUCCACGAUACACAGGAAGUUAGGAUUAUUUUGAACAUGGAGAUGCUUCAAUUGUGAAAAACCUUCUGUGUCCAAAUCAAAAAGAACAUUCUUGACACCUUGCAGCUUGUCCAACCAUAGGUAUUCAACGUUAUUGAUGCCCUGCAAUUUCAUGGAGAAAAUGUCCAUAAAAUCAAGCUUGAGCUUCAAUUCUCUUAAACUCUCACGAUUACUGUUGAUCAAAAAGUGCGGCCGGCUUUGAAACCAUUCUCUUGUAACACUCUUGGGAGGCAUGAAUGACUCAUUUCCAAUGGAUAUUUUGAACCUUUCGAGCUUUCUGGCCAAAAAGCCUUCCGGUAAAAUACUGUCAUUUUUAACAUCAAUUUCUAGAGUGGUUGGCCAAGGUAAAAGCAUCAAUUCAUCAAGGCUAGCAUUACUUCUUUCACUGUUGGCUCUUUCAACCUCCCAUUCAACGGAGCAAUUACCCAUAUACAAUUCUUCUAAUCGGAUUAAGCUCGAUAAGACAUUUGGGGCAAUAACUUUUAGAUGGAAACAGUCUCUUAAAUCUAACAGCCUUAGCUUAGUCAGUUGCCCUAGUGCUUUAGGUAACUGUACAAUAUCAGACCGCACAAAGCCAAGGAUUUCUAGAUUUUCCAACUUUCCAAUAAUGGCUGUGUCCAUGUCUCCCAAAUGCUUUGAUUAAGACAAAGUGUCCGAAGAUUUACUAGAAGAUCAAUUGAAGAUGGCAAUGACAAUAACCGCAUUCUAGUCAAAUCCAAAACCCGAAGCUUUUUCGUCCUUUUGAAGAAGUUCUCAGGAACAUUGGGCCCAACAAAAGAGUUCUUGGGUGACAUGAAUAAAAAUUCAAGUUGUGUAGAUUCCAACACUUCAGGAAUGUCAUUAAUAAUACUAUCUUUUAAACAAAUUGCAAAAUAUUUUUUUAGUGCAUCUGCAUCUGGCCAGUUCCACACAUCCUCAUUUCUCACCGCAAAUGCAAUUUUGUCACGACGUGCUAUUGAAAUGGCAACAUCGCGAACAACAUCAUGCAUGGAAAAGAAUUUACUGCCACCAUCCUCAAGCAACAAACAAGAGUCUCUUAGUUGAUGGACCCAUGCAUGUAAUUUGUUAUGUGCAUCUUCUAUCUUAUGGACACUUUCAAAUGCACCCAAGCCUAUGCUAUAUUUGAACAAGUCCAUAAUUGAAGUUGGUGUAAUUAGACUACACAGUAAAAAAGUUUUCUUUAGUUGCUCACCUCUUAAAUACUUGUAACUUAGCUCAAUUGUUGAGUAUGCCUCUACUGGUACUCCUUCAUCGAAGCUUGCCUCUGAAGGCGUUUGGAGUUCUUGCAAGGCGUUCUUCCACACAGGCAGCUCUUUGUUUCUCAGUGCCUUUGCUACUGUGGUUAGAGCAAUAGGCAAACCUCCACAUGCCUUGGCUACAUUUGUUGCUGUAGAUUUUAACUCACGAUUUUCAACAAAAUUACCAGCCAUUAUCUUGAACAACCUCCAAGCUUCAUGCUCAUUUAGAAUGCCAAUCAAGAAGUUAUUUUCAGAUCCCAUACUUAACAAGACAUUACGAUCCCUUGCUGUUAAUAAUAAUUUGCAUCCUCUAUGAUCAUCGUCAAAAGGAAUUCCAACAGUCUCUAAAUCAAGAUAUUUCCAGAUGUUAUCCAGAAUCACAAGGAUCAUCUUCUCUUUCUUCAAUCGUUCAUAAAGUCUACUAGCUCUUCUAGAUUCAGCCUCCUCGGACAACUCCAGACCUAGUUUCUCUGCAAUUUCCCCUUGAAUCUUUUUUAUGUCUGGAGUUUGGGAAACCUCUGAAAAAACCACCUGAUCAAAGAGUUUCUCUUCACUGGCUUGCGUUGCAAACUCCUUCACCAGUGUUGUCUUUCCAAUGCCGCCCAUGCCGUAUACCCCAACGAUGCUGACAUUGACAUCAGUCAAUGCAUCUUGUCUAGACUUCAGAGUAGAAAGUCUUGAUUUAAAGGCCUCGUAACCUUUGUUAGACUUUAGCCAUACCUCCUCCGCAAUGGUACGGUAGAAAAUUCUAUCAUCAAAUCUCCUAGCUUCUUCUUUGAGUUCAACAAGGGCCUUCACCUCUGUUUCUGCUUUCUUGCUAAGCUGAUAGCGGGUCUUGAAAUUAGGACACAAGCCCUUGAAACAUCGCUUACUUGUUGUCUCCCCAUCUUCAAUGAAUUUGGCUGCCUGCUCAAUGGUGUUGUUCGCACUAACCAGCCAGUUCUCAACCUUCUCUUCAAUCUUUUCUCCUUUUCUUUCAGCCUCAGAAACUCUGUGCUGAAUGCUCUUACUUUCAUCCUUGAGCUUGUCUAUUUCUGCCUUGAGAUUCUCAAAGUUGGCUUUAUAGUUACGCAAAUAACAAAGUUGGCGUUCUGUUGGAGGAGCGAAGCAUUUCACAACUUCUAACAGAACAGUAACAAUGCUUUCCACCAUCUUCGAUCCUCUUUUUUUCAAAGUUCCGAAAUGAAAAUAAACGACGAGCGAAACACAAAGAGAAAGAGAGGCAAAAAAAAAAAAAAAGAAAAACGAAAAAAAGAAAAUGAAACAACAAAGAUGACAAGUGUAUCUGGUUGUGGAAGCGGAGAAAUCAAAGAAAGCUUAAAAACUGUUGUGAAUCUGGUGAGAAGAUGGAAACAAGGAAAAGGUUUCUAGUUCAAAAGUGAUUGAAUUGAUAUAAGGAAUGAUUUAGAUAAUAGAGGAAAAGUGAAUCAGUCAAAAUAACUUAUGUAUUGACCAGAAGAAAGAUGCAAACAAUAUUAGAGACAACAACCGCGCUGUUGAUGCCCAAAUCUGAUCUAGUCUAUCAGCGACUUAAUGUCAGAUUUCUACACCAGUAUUAGAUUUAUUUGGUAGAGAAUCGAUUGGUCAAUCGUCAAGAUGUCCUGCAACCACUAGCGAUUAACCUAGGAAUACCUGAAAUCAUAGAAGAAGGUUAGAGGCGCCGGAAGUUUUUCCGGCGUGAACCCUCCGACACUCAAGUUAGUUUCUAGGCCUUUCGGAAAAACUUGUGCCACCACUCAUGUGGCUUAAUAAACAUUGCCUUAAAACCCAAGGCUUUUCGAGUAAUUUACAGAAAGUAAAGCAGAGUGUCAAAGAAAGAAUUUUCCAUGAGAGGAAGAGAGCCCAAAAAGCCCCCCUAGCUAACUCCCCACUCCCCUCUUUCCCCCCUUGUUCUCUCCCACUUUCGGAAGUUAAGGAUGAGAUAAAAGUAAUGCCCCCACUCUCCUUUUUUUCCUCCUUUUUCCGUUACCAAACACGCGCUAUUGACUGGUAAAAGAGAUGGAGAAAAAGAUAUAUCUUCACACGGUGGAAGUACAAAGGGUAGAUAUGGAACCAAACAGAGACAACAACAUGCCACAACUAGAUUGGGAAUGGAGAGAAACAAAUUAACAAAGACUGGAGAUUACAACAGAACAGAUGCCAAGAGAAAAGGGUUUCUUCAUCCAGUGAAAUUCAAGUGAGUUGACAGCAAAAGGGAGCAUAUGUGUUUCUUGAUUGAGAACGAGUGCAAAGGAUGACUUUUUAAUGAGGUUCUGAAGCUGACGGAUAACGAUUUGCUAAAAUUUUGAGAAAGUUAUAUAUUUCGUAACUUCAACAAGUGAAGAAUAAAAGAAUAAUAGUUCGUCAUCUUCACAAUGAAGAUCAUGGCCGAGAUUAAAAGCUAAAACUAGUCCAUUUGAAAAGCCAAAGUUCAAGUUCCUUGGCUAAGUUCAGAAGUGAAGCAAAGAAUAAAUAAAUAAAGAUCAAGGGAUGGGAAUAAAGUCACCCCCAGACAGUUGCAGAAAGAUUAUUAUUUGGUAAGCGUAGUUGAUUAUUAGUACAAAACAGAGUAGGUGAAACACAUCCUUUCUAUUUAGACUGAUCAGCAUCUAAAAUUUUAUGAAUUAUAAGUUGCAUUUUACUUUGUACAUUAUGUUAACACAUUUUAAUUUAGCCAAUUUUUCAAUAAAUGUUAUUGAUGUAUUAAAUUGCAACAACAAAACACAAUUAUUGGUUUUAAAGAAUGAAAAAAAAAAUACAAAAAUAGAAAAUGAAUUGAAUUCCACUCAUCGUCAUCUUGGCAAAUCAAGUCAAAAAAUAAAAAUCCAUAUGCUUUUGUUAAAGUUAAAAGCUACAUAAAUAAUAUCACAGAAGCUUCUGCUAAGGUUCAUGUGAAGUCACAGCUUUGAUACUUGUAAUACAAGGAGCACGGAGAAACCAUAAACUUCAGUUUAGGUAUAUACAUUGCUUGUCUUUCAAACUUGAAUUGAUAAGGGGGAAAAAAAUAAUACUAAAGCAAACAGAAGGAUCAUUUAGUUGACAAAAUUAUUAUUAUUUUUAAAUUCGGGUCAUUCAGUUACUUUCAUUUCAGUUUCACUACUGAUUCAAUUUAACCAGUUAACGUUGACAAAAAUAAAAUGCAAAUAUAAGGCUAAGGCUGCUAAUUUGAUGAACUAAUUAUCUCAGGAACCAAAGCAUCUAUAAGCAUGCAUGGGUGGCAACACCAUAAUUACUCAAGACUGGAGGAGUAAAAAGAUUGGAGAUGAUAAACAUUAAAUUUCAGGAAAAUCAUUCACAAAUAUGCUUUUAUAAAAGUUUUGCUGGUAAAGUUCGAGAAAUGCAUACAUGUCAAAUUUCCAUUUCUUGUGAGCAUUUCACCAAAUAGCUGAUAUGCAUUAAUAACUCCUAUCCUAUACUAUUGGCCAGUAGGUUGUUGCUGCUUCCCCAUUUUUAAUGAUGCGAACGUCUCAUACUUAGAAAUAAGGGCGGAGCCUGGAGAUUGAUUUAUAAGAUAAUCUUUUGAAUAAAAAUAAAAACAAUUACAGAUUUCAAAUGUGAGAAAAAUAAAAUUGCGUUAUAAAAUUAAUCCCACUAAGAAAGUCGUCUACGAAAUUGCCACAUUAAAAGAAAAUUUUUCCAUAAAUUAAAAUAAAAUUAAAUGAAAACUAUUUUUCAGUAAAGUCAAUUGCCCACGCUAGGCUAAGGCGUUUGUUUAUUUGUUUGUUUGUUUUUAUAAUCUGAAUAGGUAUAAAUUUUUCGUAAGCAUGAAUGAGCUGAGUACAAAUAUAUGAAUGAUAUAUUUAUUUUUCUUUUUCUUAAUACCCAAAUAUAAGUGACAUCUUAUUUAUCUUAAAUAUGGUUAUUUGAUAUUUAUAUUUUUACAAAUAAAAACAAAAAAAAGUAGUUAGAUUUUAUAGUUUAAGAAAUAAAUAUAUUUUAUAAAAAUAUUUUUAGAAUAUAUAUUUAAUUCUUAUUUAGACUUUUUCCUAUUCAAUAAAAGUCACAAAAGUUACUUUUUCUAUUCAAAUGUAAAUGCUUAAAAAUCAGAUAUAAGUCACAAAAAAAAUAAAUUUUAGAAAAAGUCAUAAAUUAAUAAAAUUUCAUAUAUUUAACUCCCAAUGCAGAUCCGCCCCUAUCAGUGUUAGGAAAUUGACUGGUGAAGUAGGUUCACAGCUAAAAUGAAAUUGGAAGAAAAUGAAGAACAAGCACAUAGAGGACACCAAAAAUUACAUGGUUCGACUUUUAGCCUACGUCUACGGGUAAAGACAAAAGGAUAAAACUUUACUGGUGAAAUGAGGAUUACUAGUAUUAUAAUAUUUUGUUUCACUUCCUAGAACCCCAAUCCACUCAAUCUCUUAAAACACUAAUCACUCAAGAGCAUUAAAACUCUUAGUCUCUCACUCUAGAAUUGAAGAAGAAAAGAAUGAAAUGCAGGGGUGAACCCCUCAUUUAUAGUUAAAAAUUUGGGCACUAUUUAUAUUUUUAUAUAUUUUUUUUAAAUUAAAAGUUUGAACUUGACAUUCAAACUUUGAAUAUCAAAAGGUAUUGGUCACUCUUCUAGAAAAGUGACAUUGACUUUGACAUUCUCCCACUUAGAAAUUUGAUUGAGAAUCAAUCAAUCUCCACACCAUCCUUUCUGCUUCGUCGCUAUCAUGUUGCUUAUGUCUCUACUAGGCCAUAAAAUGAUCUACUCCAAACAAAUUUAUCAGCAUUGAUAGGCUUGGGCAAAACAUUUGUUAAGUUCUCCUUGGUAUCCACUCUUGUAUCUUUCACUACUUCACGAAGAAGUGAUAUUGUACUCCUAUAUUCUUUGUCCUGAAAUAAAAGGUUGGAUUCCUUGCAUUCUAACUAUCACAAACCAUAAAAAUUUUUAUGCCCAAGCUCUUUCAGUAACCUUUGUAUCCAAAUAGCCCUUCCAAGCUUGUGUAGCUGCUAUGUAAUCUGCUUCUGUUGUUGAUAAAGCCACAAUGGUCUGCAAUUUUGAAAUCCAACUAACAAUUUCGCCUUCUGGUGUAAAUACUUAGCCAGUAGUGGGUUUCCUUUUAUUAAGAUUUUCUGCAAAAUCUGAAUGCACAAAGCCCUUGACAGUAAAUUCUAAUCCUUCGCAGCAUAAUGCAACAUCUGAUGUUCCUCUGAUAUUUCUCAGAAUCCUCUUAAUAGUCUUCCAAUGUUCUUUGCAAGGAUUCGCUAUGUAUCGACUAACUGCUCCCACUACUUGUACAAAUCAUAGCAAACCUUAAAUUUUCCACUGCUGAUGCAUACAGUACUCAAGACAUCUCUUCUUCUCUACUUCAUUACUAGAUGAAUACUUAAGAAUAACUUGAAAUUAAUAAGAAGCGGGGUAGAAAGCCAAAUCUUCUUGCUAUUACUAUCUCGGUGAAUUUGCAUCCCUAAAAUCUUGUUUGCUGGUUCUAAGUCUUUUAUUUCAAACUCCCUAGUUAACUGUGCCUUCAGUUCUUGGACUCGAUCUUUGUUGGGGCUUGCUACCAAUAUGUCAUCCACAUACCACAGUAGAAUGAUGAAAUCAUUAUUAUAAAACUUGUUGUAAUAUGUACAACAGUAUGAAAUGAUUCUAUUGUAUCCAAGGUUUAUGAUGAAAUGAUCAAUUCUCUUAUAUCAACAUCUCGGUGCAUGUUUGAGAUCGUAUAGAGAUUUGUUCAACUUGCAAACCAAGUGUCCCUUUUUAGUAAAACCUUCUAGUUAGAGCAUAUAAAUCUUUCCUUCAAGUUCUCCAUGAAGAAAUGAAAAUUUCACAUCUAACUGCUCCAAAUAUAGGUCAAAUGUAGCACACAUCGACAAGACCACUCUGACUGUCCUGGGUCAAAUCACUGGAGAAAAUAUCUCAUUGACGUUAAUACAUUCUUUCACCACCAAUCUUUCACGAUAUCGCUCCACUAGGUUAUUACCAUCACGUUUGAUCUUGUGAACCCAUUUGCAACCAAUGGUUUUUUUUUAUAUGGUAGUAGUACGAGUUCCUAUGUCAUAAUCUUGUGUAGAGCCUUAAUUUCUUCCUGCAUUGCUAUCAUUCACAAAGUAACAUCUGAGCUGUUUAAAAUUUCAUAGAAAGUUGAUGGCUUUCCAUUCUCUAUUAAAAGACAGUAUGCAAAAUUGAUAUCUGUGACAUAAUCCAAAUGCCACACAUACAUUUAUCUAUCACGAGUUGACCAACAAACUUUUGGGGCCUCAGACUUGAUUGGUUCUUGUUCUCAUACUUUGGUGCUGCUUCAAAAAAAUCUGAAUCUUCAUUUUCCAGAUUAUUUUCAACAUAUAUUAGCACAAUCUCUAAAUUUUAAUAGUGCUAUCAUCCAUAUCUCUCUUUUGCAUUUGAUCUUCUACAAAGACAAUAUCUCUGCUAAUAACGAUCUUGUGGGCAUUGAGGUCCCACAGAUAAUACCCUUUCACUCCAUCAAUAGAUUCUAAGAAGAUACAUCUCUUGGAUUUUGGAUCCAUCUUUAAUCUCACUUGGGUAUCGUAUAUCACGUAAAAGGACAUCAAAAUGCCUGAGAUGAGAGUAAUCAGUUGGCUUUCCUGUCCAUUUUUCCAUUGGAAUCUUCAACCCGAUUGCCUUGAAUGAUGACCCACUUACCACAUAAUAAGUAGUUUUUGCUACUUCCGCCUAGAAUGAGUUGGUAGACCAGCAGUUCUCAACAUAACUCUUAUUUUUUCUAUAAGAGUCAUGUUCUUUCACUCUACUACUCUAUUUUAUUGAGGAGUGUAUGCCACUGUAAAUUAUCUCUAGAUACUUUCUUACUUACAUAUGCAAGAAACAUGCUAUCUGUAUACUCUCCACCAUUGUCUGUCCUCAGGCACUUGAUCCCUUGCCCUGAUUUAAGUUCAAUCUACGCUUUGAAUUCUUUGAACAAUAGAAAUACAUUUGACCUUUUCUUGACUGGAUACACCAAAUAUCUCCUAGAAUAAUCAUCAAUAAAAGUCACCAAAUACUUUGCACCUCCCAUAGAUAUAUCAAUUGAUUCCCAAACAUUAGAAUGAAUCAAGUCUAAAAUACAUUUACUUUUGAAAGUGGAUCUGCUAAACUUUCAUCUAUGUUGCUUUCUUGUUUCGACAUGUGGCCAAGUUUAAGAUGCCACAUCAUCGCUGAAUUUUCUCUAUUUGAUGUGACACACACAAAAGUUUUCUGUAGUGUUUCCAUUUAAGCAUGAAUAGAUUAGCACCGAUCUUUUCCACCUUCAUUAAUGCAAGUGUGCCUUUGACUAUCUUUAUGAUCCCAUUUUCUACAUGAGUUUUGUGCACAAGGCUAUCUAUUUGUCCUAAAGACAAGAGAUAUUUUUCAAGUCUUUGACAUGUCUUACCUUCUCAAUUGUGCGAACCAUACCAUUAAACAUAUUUAUUUUGACAGUACCAAUAUCAAUGAUCUCAAAGGCAUGAUUAUCACCUAUGUAUACAGAUUCUCUUGAAAUAGGUUCAUAUUUGUGAAAUCAUUCUCUUGGAGAGAUCAUGUGCCAAACAACUAUUAAGUCUAUAAGCCAGACGUCAUAUAGUGGUUUUCUGCCUUUUGAAGCAGUUGUUGCCUUACUGUAGAGAAUUUUUCCAUUAUACGAGGUACUUACUACAUACCCUUGAGCAUUUGAUGACUCAGGAUCUUUACCCUCUCUUCUCUUCUAGUUGUUCCAAUACUCUUCCUUGACAUGCUCUUUCUUGCCACAGUUGUUGCAUUUAACAUUCUUCUUACUUCUUGAUUUCGAUCUACUGUGAUUGUGGCUCUCACUAGGGCCACGUUCCAUGGAUCUUCCUUUCAUCAUCAAUAGCGCUUCUACUUGCUGCGAACUUGUCUGUCUAUCUUUUUUAUUUUUUGCUACUCUCCUCAUUUAAUACGGAGGCUGCCAUAUUGUCAAAGACUAACUUGUUUGCUCGAUUGUUAUUAGUUAGAUUAAUGACGAAUUAAUCAUACGAAUCUGGUAAACCUUGAAGUAAAAGCUCUACAUGAUCAUUUUCCUCUAUUUUAUGACCCAACGUUGUAAGUUAUGAAAAUAAAGUCUUUAAAGUGUUGAUAUGGUCGAUCACUGAUGUAGAUUCCGUCAUUCGAAGAGUAUAAAGCCUCCUCUUUAAAAAGAUUUUAUUUUGUAGUGAUUUGACCUCGUAUAGUCUUGUGAGAGUAAACCAUAUUUCCUUUGCUCUCUUUUACUCUACCACAUUGAAUAAUACCUUAUUUGAAAGUGGUAUGUGUAGAUUUGCAAUGGCAUUAUUGUCUAUCUCAUUCCACUUGUCAUCAUCAGUUAUCUUUGUGAGCCUCUCUUCAAUUGUUGCCAAGCAAUUACUCUUCCUCAAUACAACUUUCAUCUUCAUUUUUCAUGACGAAAAAUUAUUUUUGUUGAACUUCUCAAUUUUGUAUUUUUCCGCCAUCAUUGUUCACCACGAGCUACCUUUGCUAAGAUCGAUUCCUACCAUUUCAUAUGAGCAGUAACUGUAUAUAUGAAUAAAGUGUUGUAUACAGAAACAAUAUCAUAUACAUGAACAGUACAAUAUAUGUAAACAGUAUCUUGACCCCAAAAAAUACAACCCGACUCUGAUACCACUAUUAGAAAAUUAAUUUGUGAAGUAGGGCCGCGACUAAAAUGAAAUUGGAAGAAAAUGAAGAGCAAGCACACUGAGGACACCAUAAAUUAUUUGGUUCGACUUUUAACUUAUGCCCAUAGGUAAGGACAAAAGGAUAAAACUUUACUAGUGAAAUGAGGAUUAUAAGUAUUUUAGUAUUUUGUUUCACUUCUCAAAACCUUAAUACACCCAAUCUCUCCAAACACUAGUCACUCAAGAGUAUAAAACUCUUAAUCUCUCAUUAUAGAACUAAAGAAGAAAAGAAUAGAAUGAAUGAAAUGAGGGGGUGAACCCCUCUAUUUAUAGCUAAAAAUUUGGGCACUUUUUAUAUUUAUUAUUAUUAUUAUUUCAAAAUUUAAAGUUUGAACUUGAUAUUCAAACUUUGAAUAUCAAAAGAUACGGGUUGUUCUUCUAGAAGAACGGCACCAACCUUGACUCUUAGGCAGACCUUUAGAGCUUUAAAUAAAGAAAAAGCUUUUAAAAAUGCCAUGUGUACUUGAUUAUACAAUAAUCUCCACCACAUAGAAUGAUUUGAUAAAAGAAAUUUUUUAUUUUUAAUUUUACUUUUAUCAGGCACGGUGCAUUUCCCCUUGGGCUCAUAUGUAAGGAUGUCAAUAAGAUGCGAAGGAGAGGGGAUUGAUUUCCCCAUACUCAUCUUUAAUACUCUGUCUAUCUCUUUGUACUCUAGACAUUUCCUUCAAAAUUACUUGAAACGAGGGGUUGGAUGUUUCUAAAUAAUACAAAGGGAUCUCUUAUGGCAUCCGAUCUCUGAUUAUUUAAUUUCUUUUUUUUCUUAAUUUAAUCAUCUUAAAGUAAAAAUAUAAAAUCAUAUUAACACAAAAAAUAUCAAAUUAACUAAAGUGAUUAAAAUCAUUUCCAUCAAAUUAAGUCAAUGUCAUCAAAUGAGAAGAUAAUCUUUGAACUAAUUAAGCAAAAGUAAAUCUUCAAAGUUGAACUCAUCCAUAAAUGUCAUAUAGUAUAAACCAUCAAUUAAAUUAUCUUUGUCAAUUUUAAAGUGUUUAUAUUUACUUUAUAUUGGCUGUUAUUUAUAUUAUUUUUAUAAAUGUAUUAUGAUAUUUUUUAUUUACAUCACACUAUUACAAUUGAAAUUUUAAAUGUAUUUACUAUAAAUUUGAAAAAAAAAAGAAUUAAAAAUAGAAACUAAAGAUGGAAAUAGAAAAAUGUGGAGCCAAAUAAAAUAUUAGGGCAAACACUAAAUUAUACACCCACACAUAUUAAUUUAUCAGAUUCUUGUCUCCACAUAGAAAAAUUAGAUCUAAAAUUAUCAAACUCCCGAAUGAGGAAGAUCCCUCGGGGCCAUCGUCCCUGUGGAAAUUUCUGCAUCCCUGCAGUCUACAACGCCUAAUAAUGAAUUGAACGGUUGAAAUCCCUCUAAAUUUUUGAUAAUUUCUAAUCGCCCCUCCAUAUUUGAUUGAACAUCAAAACUAUUGAGUCCAAAUUUAUAACUUUGAUUUAUCUUCCAUUCCAUAGUUUUCAAGUUCUCUCUCUCUCUCUCUUUUAAUCCUUUUUACUGCAACCACCAUCAAAGCCUAGUAGUUAAUAUGUAUGCUGCUUUGCUUUCAAAAUCGGACACUACUGGUAUUUAUGGUUUUUAUUCUUUAUUUGACACAAAAUUUGGCGAUAUCUCCGCGGAAAAACACUACUGGUGUAUUCAAUUUUAUCCGGUAAUGAUUAAAUUGAUUAUUACAUGAACCGUAACUUCGCCAAGCCCAAAAUACAUAUUAAGUUAUAAAGCGUGGCACUCAUUAUUUUUCGCAAAAAGUUUCGCCCAAAAUACAUAUAUUUUUUUAAUUUUUUCUGUGAAAAAAACUACUGUUAUAUUCAAUUUUAUCAUUAAAAACUACUGUUNNNNNNNNNNNNNNNNNNNNNNNNNNNNNNNNNNNNNNNNNNNNNNNNNNNNNNNNNNNNNNNNNNNNNNNNNNNNNNNNNNNNNNNNNNNNNNNNNNNNNNNNNNNNNNNNNNNNNNNNNNNNNNNNNNNNNNNNNNNNNNNNNNNNNNNNNNNNNNNNNNNNNNNNNNNNNNNNNNNNNNNNNNNNNNNNNNNNNNNNNNNNNNNNNNNNNNNNNNNNNNNNNNNNNNNNNNNNNNNNNNNNNNNNNNNNNNNNNNNNNNNNNNNNNNNNNNNNNNNNNNNNNNNNNNNNNNNNNNNNNNNNNNNNNNNNNNNNNNNNNNNNNNNNNNNNNNNNNNNNNNNNNNNNNNNNNNNNNNNNNNNNNNNNNNNNNNNNNNNNNNNNNNNNNNNNNNNNNNNNNNNNNNNNNNNNNNNNNNNNNNNNNNNNNNNNNNNNNNNNNNNNNNNNNNNNNNNNNNNNNNNNNNNNNNNNNNNNNNNNNNNNNNNNNNNNNNNNNNNNNNNNNNNNNNNNNNNNNNNNNNNNNNNNNNNNNNNNNNNNNNNNNNNNNNNNNNNNNNNNNNNNNNNNNNNNNNNNNNNNNNNNNNNNNNNNNNNNNNNNNNNNNNNNNNUCUAAGUUUUGAAAGAAAGGUUGAAAUAAACAGAGAAACAGGACAAACAGAAGAAGACUGAAUUAACAGAUCAACAAAGAUGGCAACUAACAAAUGGAAAAGUUCUCUUGUAAUCAAACUAUAGCAAACAGAUGACACCAUUACCAUAUAUCUUAAUGAGUAGAUUGAUUCUAAACAUAUAUGUUAGGAUACAUUUGGUUGUUUAAUAGUUUGAAAUAAGGAGGAUGAGAUGGUUUCCACAUAAAAGUGCUGGCCCUUUCAAUGACAUUUUCAAGGAAUUAUAAAAUUCAAAAUUAAAAAAAAAUAGCACAUUAUAAAGCCACACCGUCAAAUAAAUAAAUAAAUAAGUGAAGACCAAACUAAGUCACUAAGACCUUUAAUGAUAUAAAAUAAGCAUAUAAAUCUCAGAACAAAACAUUAAAACUCAUUCUAAAAGUAAAAAUAAACUAGUGGUGUAUUCCAAACAAUUUAGAUGAAGCGAUAAAACAAGCCAAGAAAUCAAAUAAAAUGAAAUGAAAUUGAAUUACCUGGGACUUUGUUUUUCAAAUUCACAACUCGAUUGUAAUUAAAGUAAAAUGCCAUUGCCAUUAGGACAUACACAUCAUUGAAUAAGAUGAGGACCCCUCCAACAGCUGAAAGUAAAAUUUUCAUUCAUUAGUUUCAAUUAAAAGUAAAGCACACAGAUUUGCAGGGAAGCAAGAGAUUUAAUAAAUUUAACAACAGCAAUUUAAUUUGACAGGACUUCCAUACAGUAAUGAAGCUAAAACUUAAUGAUUAACGAAUUUUUGUAAUUGAAUGAAUAAGAUUCUCUGAUUUUGGAUAAUUGAAUGAAUAUGAUUCUCUAACUCUUGUGAAAAUAUCAAUUUUAAAUAGGGUAGAGUUUCAAGAAUUAAGCACAUAUGUAUCCCAAGGCUGUUGAUCAUCUCUCUCUCCAUAGUAGAAGUUUACUCUCAGAGGCGCGUUUAAUUCUCCUUUAGUGAAAAUCUUCAUCUUGGGACAACCAAUUAUAGAUAAAUCUUCCAAAGAUGGGAAUUUGAAGGUGUAAUUGGCAGAGCAGAAACUUCUGAGACUAUCAGCAGAAACUUGUGAGACUAUCCAAAUCAUACAGAUACAAAAUCUUCAAUUUGGUGAAAACAAUCUCUUCUUCAAAAUUUGCUGCUCCAUCUUCUUCAUUUAUCACCACCUCUCUCAUUGCUCUGCAUCCAUAUACCAACAUUGAUAAGAGUCUCUGUAGAGUUUGGAGUGACAGAUUCGAUAAUGAUAAACUCCAAAUACUCGCCAAGAUCGCAAAUCAAACAACCAAGAUGCAAAAAGAAUCAAUCCAGAACAAAUCACAGAGACACUUAAGAACCUAAAAGAAUUAAAGAAUUAGCGGCAAAGACAAAAGAAUUAACGUGGUUCAGCUAGCUUUCACUAGCUUACAUCCACAGGAAAAACCAGGAUCAAGUUUAUUGAUUUUCAGAAGAUGAUUACAGAGAGUUUUAAGAGCUAAUAACAGAGUAUUUCUUGAAGCCUUCUCACGAAUCUUCUAAUCACUCAAUAGCUCUCACGCACAUGCCUCCUGUUGCACCAGAAGAAGCUGUUUAUAACAGCUUCUUCAACAAACCAAAAUGAACCCAGAAACUCACGUGAUUGGCAUGCGUUAUAACAGACUCAUAACGACCUUGAGCAGCUUCUUCGAGCACGUGUUUCUCUCGUGCUUUACUUAAAUUCCAGAGACAAAACAAAUUGCUCUUCAAAACGCAAUCAGCAAUUGUCGUAUUGUAGUUUACUUAAGCUGCAAAACGCAAGUCCAACUUGUCGUUUCAAAUAUCUUGAUUUGCUUCACAACACAACAGUCGCUCUAGACUUUUUGCUGUGGAGGAGGUUGCUAAGCUCAUCAAAUUCCUUGCAACGAAGAACUAGAAGUUCUUUUAGGUUCCCAAAAGAUACCGAUGAUGAUGGCCAUAGAUAUAACAGAUUUUGACAAUAAUGUACAUUUAGAAUUUCAAGGCAUUGAACAAAGGAGUCCAAUUUGGAGUCUUGUUUCCACAAUUGCUUCAGAUGAUUAAAUUUGUGCAGAUGUAAAUGUUUUAUCAUUGUAAACUUCCUCGCAUGUUUCUUCAAGUAUCCUCCAUUCGAAAAUACCUCUUCGCAUGAACAACGACGCCGUAUGAGAGUUUCCAGAUUAUGAAAUCUCUCAAGUAAAUCAAGUGGAAAACAAGUUGAGUCAUCAUCCAUUGUUUGUGGCAGUUUAAGACUGCCAAAAAGGUGUCGUGGGAAAUCGCUUUGCAAAGUCAUCCUCGGGUCUUUUCCACUUAAUGCCCGUUCCUCCAAGUUGGGUAAGCUCUGAUCAUUAUCAAUCACGCAAUAACUUAUUAAGUCAAUUCAUAUUCUCUCAAAUAACUUUUAAUGGCUAACACUAAGUUACGUUUAACGUAACAUACAUUCAGAUAACGAAAAUAUCUGUUAGCACCCCUAAACUUAAUGGAAACUACAUUAAUAGAGUUAAAAGAAAUACUUUUAAAUCUUAAAGAGGAAAUAAAAGAAAUUAAACAGGAAAUAGGAAAAAUAAAAAUAGAAAUGACUGUAAUACAAAUGAAUCAAAAGAAAAAUAAAAAAUUAGAAAGGUUUGAAAUAAUAAAAUCAAGAAUAAUUGGAACAAGUUUUAAGAAGCCCACACAAAAACCACAAGCAGGUAGUUAUGAUGCAUGGUUUAUGGACACCCAGUAUCCUAAAAUACUAAGAGCAUCACCAAAAAACUCUUCAAAUAAGAUUUUAUUACUUAUUUGAAGAGCUACAUCAACAUUUAAGGCUCCAAAAGACACUCCAAUUAAGAUUCUUGAAAUAAGAAAUGAUCAUCUCUCUUCAAAUUUGAAGAGUUACUUUCUCCCUCUUCAAUUUAUAUUUUAUUACUUUUUGUUGAAGAAAAAGAGAAAUGUGUUUUAAUUACUAUUGACUUUUCCUUUAAAAAAAUAGUUAUUUAUUUAAAAUAAUAUUAACUCAUUUCUAUUUGAAGAGUCUUUUGGAGAACAAUAUCUUUUUUCACUCAUCUAUUUGCCACAUAGGUAAGCAAAUGAAUAUUUGAAGAGUAAAAUUUAUAGAGCCUUUUGGAGAUGCUCUAAAAGAAACAGAAGAAUUAAGAGCAGAAUUAAAAAAUAAAGAAAAAGGAAAAGAAAAACUAGAAAUAAAAGAAACAACUCCUAGUGAUUCAGAUUAAUGGAAAACACAUUAGAAGAAUUAACUGAAAAAUUCAGUGAAAUAAACCUUAGUGAUUUAGAAGACUUUGAAAAAGAAUAUCAUAUAAAAAUGAAUACUUCUGGAGGACCAGAAUUGAAACCUGACAUAGGAGAACCAAGUCAUAGAUAUGCAACAAACAAAAAGAAAAAUAGACCAUUUUUUGAGUAUAUACCACCCGUUAAAAAUACUCCUUGGAAAAAAGAAUAUCAACCUAACAAUGAUAAUUUAACACCAAUAAGUAAUGCAGGAACAUUUUUAAAUCUAGACUGCAAAAUAAACCCCCAUAAGGUUUUAAUUGAAUGGGGAAUGCAAAUGUGAUUAUUUUUUCUAUAUAAUGGCUCUAAAGUCGAUUGGAAUGUAGAAACAGAAGAAGAAAAAAUAAAUUUAUUCGCUGACAUCCUCAUAGCCAGUUUUACAGGUAAUGUAUUUAACUGGUGGAAAGGAUUAAGUGAAGACACUCAAAGACUAAUAAAAGAUUCAACUAAAAUAGCUUUAGCCAGAAGUAGAGGAUUAGGAAUUGAAAGAAUAAUCGAAUAUAUUGCUAAUGAAUUCUUAGGAGAAAACUGGUUAGAAAAUACAGAAAGAGAAACAAAAAAUGAAAAAUUAGAGGCAAGGAUGAAAUUAAUAAACUUAACAAUUUGUAACAUGUGUUUCGUGAAAGAAUAUACCUGUGAAUUUAGUAAAUAUUAUUAUACACAAUUCUAUAGCCAAGAAGAUCAAAAUAUUUAUAAAAAUUUAUAUUAUUCCAAAUUACCAUAUCCCUGGAAUGGAUAUUUUAUAAAUGAGUAUGAGAAAAAUAGUACUGCUAAUAGAUCUCCAGACACAUUAGGAUCUAGAAUAAGGUUUUUGAAUACAAGAUUAAGUGAAAUAUGCAUUCAAAGAAAUUUAAUGAAAAAGAGUAAAAAUAUAGGAGAUACAUGUUGUGGAAAAACAGAAAUGCCAACCCAAUGGGGUUGUUAUACACCAUAUAAACGAAAAAGAAAGUUAUAUAAGAAAGAGAAAAAAUAUAAAAAAUACAAUAACUUUAAAAGAAAAUAUAGAAAACUGGAAAGAAAAUACUAUAAAAGAAAAUAUAAAAACCAAAAAAGAAAAUUAGAUAAAUCUAAAUGUAAAUGCUGGAAUUGUGGAGAAAUAGAACAUAUUAGCACAGAUUGUACAAAAAAGAAAGUAAGACUCUUAGAAGAAGAUUUUGAAAAUAUAAAAAAUGACUUAGAAGAAAUAAGUGAUAUAUCAGACUAUGAAGGAAAAGAAGUUUACAUGGUGAAAGAAUUAGAUGAUGAGUCAGAAUAAAGACGAAAUUAUAGAAAAUGAAAGAAUAGAAGAAAUAGAAGAAAUAGAAAAAGAAGAAAAUAAAAGUGGAUAUAGUCUUGUUGCCACUUUUAAUAAUGAAAAAUAUAAUAAACUUUUGAAAAUAAAUAUGGAAAAACCAGAAUAUGGAAUAAUACAUAAACUUAGAGAUAUGUUUAAAAGAAAAAGAAUAGUAUUACAUGAAUAUUAUGAACAAGAAAAAGUUGUUACAAUUACACAAGCUGAAGGAAAUAUCAGAUUCAGUUUAAUAAAUAAAAGAUCUAUAGAUUUAGCAUUAAGAAAGAUAAAAAAUGAAUCAACAAAAGAAAAAAUUCAAUAUGUAUAUCUAGCAGAAAUUCAAAUCUUAAUAAAAUCUCUUUUCAAAGAAGGCAUAGAUAGUCCCAUAGUAUUGUCACUACAUGAUCAAAGAUUUAAUGACCCUAGUACAGGACAUUUAGGAACAAUAGAAGGAAACUUAUGUUAUACUAAGUUAUUAUUCACAUGUCAUCCUAGAUAUUGUGUACAUAUAAAAGAUAAAAAUAUAGAUGAAACGCUAAGCUUACAUUUUAAACUACUAAAAAGAAACUUAAUGAAAGAAGGGAAUAGAAUAAUGACAAUACAUUAUUCUGCACUAUAUAGUUUUUGCAAUUCAAAUUACGGAGAAGUAUAUGGGAAUAAGCCUUACAUCGAAAUAAAUAAAGAAUGUGAAGAUAUAGCAACAUUCAUAGAACCAACAAUCCAGGAAUAUAAAAUUCCUAUAAACUAUGAGCUAAACAUAGAUGACAAAAAACAAUUUUUAGAUAUUGCUAACGAAAACUCCAUAAUCCCCAUAAGCUUUGCAGGAAGAACCUUAGUAAGAGGAGGUUCAUCUAGAAGGUUAAGUACUGAUAAACAAAUAACUAGAUCUAUAGUAACUAAUAACGUAAUAAAAAUAUUUGGACAAUAUUUUAAUGGAAUAGAUUAUACAACAAAAAUACCUAUAUUGGUAGAUACAGGUACAAGUCAUAAUUAUAUGAAUCACACAAAAAAUAAAGGACUCUUAAUAAAAGAAAAAGAAAUCCCGUAUCAAUAUACUGAUUUUAAUGGUAAUAAACAUAUUUGUAAACAAGAAGUUAAAGUCCCUAUAAUUAUAGAAGGAUUUAGAAUAAUAGUAUCUUGCUAUAUAGAUUCGUUCAUGACCACAGACCCAGAAAAACAUAUAGUACUAGGAAAUAGUUUUUUAAAUGAUUUAGAAUACUACAAAAUUGAAAAACAUAAAGUAACUCUACAAAUAGAAGGUAAAAAGAUAGUAUGUGAAACAUGUUAAAACAAGCUUAUAUAAAAUACCCUAUGUCCGUAUAUAUACAAAUAAACAUAACAGAAAAAGAUAUAGAUACAUGUGCCUUAAUAGACGGCAGUGAAAUAACGAUUAUGAAAUCCUUUCUAUCAAACCAAUGGAAACCAAACGAGAAAUUAAAAAUCAUUGGAAUAACAGGCGAUAAACAACAAGUAAACCAAUCUUUAAUAAACUUUGAAAUACUCUUAGGUAGUAAGAUAGUAUGUAUCAACCAAAUAUAUCAAUAUGAUGGUAUGGAUUGCGAUAUACUCCUAGGAAAUGACUUUAUACAAUAAUUCCAAUAUUAUCAACAAACUACCUAUAUGGUCACUUUAAAAACCCAUUGUAAUCAUAUUCUUCGCAUUCCUCGUGAAUUUAAACCUUAUCGAGUUCGGCCAGCCCAGCGUGGUGAUACAUUUAUUUAUGAAAAACAUUAUCUAAUACAAAAAUGACAGAGUUACAAUAUACAACUAGAAACAAUAAAAUCACAGCUUGAACAAGUCUAUAAAGAAAAUCCAUUAGCAUUAUGGAAACCAGAACAUCCUAGAGCAAAGAUAGAAUUAAUCGAAAAUAGAAUAAUAAGACUCAAACCUAUGAUGCACACAGAGGAAGAUAGAGAAGAAUUUAAAAUUCAAAUAAAAGAAUUAUUAAAUUUAAAGUUAAUUAGAACUAGCAACAGCCCACAUAAUAGCCCAGCCUUUAUGGUUAGGAAAAGAUCAGAACAGGUAAGAGGAAAAGCAAGAAUGGUAAUAAAUUAUAAAGAGUUAAAUAAAUACACAAAAUUUGACGGAUAUUUCCUCUCAAAUAAAGAAGUAUUAAUAAAUCUUGUAAAAAAUAAAACAUACUACUCAAAAUUUGAUUGUAAAUCAGGAUUUUGGCAAAUAAUAACAGGCGAUAAACAACAAGUAAACCAAUCUUUAAUAAACUUUGAAAUACUCUUAGGUAGUAAGAUAGUACGUAUCAACCAAAUAUAUCAAUAUGAUGGUAUGGAUUGCGAUAUACUCCUAGGAAAUGACUUUAUAUAAUAAUUCCAAUAUUAUCAACAAACUACCUAUAUGGUCACUUUAAAAACCCCUUGUAAUCAUAUUCUUCGCAUUCCUCGUGAAUUUAAACCUUAUCGAGUUCGGCCAGCCCAGCGUGGUGAUACAUUUAUUUAUGAAAAACAUUAUCUAAUACAAAAAGGACAGAGUUACAAUAUACAACUAGAAACAAUAAAAUCAUAGCUUGAACAAGUUUAUAAAGAAAAUCCAUUAGCAUUAUGGAAACCAGAACAUCCUAGAGCAAAGAUAGAAUUAAUCGAAAAUAGAAUAAUAAGACUCAAACCUAUGAUGCACACAGAGGAAGAUAGAGAAGAAUUUAAAAUUCAAAUAAAAGAAUUAUUAAAUUUAAAGUUAAUUAGAACUAGCAACAGCCCACAUAAUAGCCCAGCCUUUAUGGUUAGGAAAAGAUCAGAACAGGUAAGAGGAAAAGCAAGAAUGGUAAUAAAUUAUAAAGAGUUAAAUAAAUACACAAAAUUUGACGGGUAUUUCCUCCCAAAUAAAGAAGUAUUAAUAAAUCUUGUAAAAAAUAAAACAUACUACUCAAAAUUUGAUUGUAAAUCAGGAUUUUGGCAAAUAAAAAUGGAAGAAAACAGUAUCCCUUAUACAGCAUUUAGCACUCCACAAGGACAUUACGAAUGGAUAGUAAUGCCUUUUGGACUAAAAAAUGCCCCUCAAAUAUUUCAAAGUCGAAUGGAUAAAAUAUUUAGAGAUUAUAGCUAUAUCAUAGUCUAUGUUGAUGACAUAUUAAUAGCAUCAGAAACAUUAGAAGACCAUAGAACCCAUUUAAAAGAAUUCGUUAACGUAUGUAUUAGAGAAGGUAUAGUAUUAUCAGAAAGAAAAGCAGUCAUAGAACAUAAAAAAUAAAAUUUUUAGGAAUGAUUCUUGAUAAAAAAGGAAUAAGACUCCAAAGCCAUAUAGGAAAAAAGAUUACAGAAUUCCCAAAUAAAUUGGAAAAUAAACAACAAAUACAAAAAUUCUUAGGUUGUUUAAACUAUGCAGAAGGAUUCAUAAAAGACUUAGCAAAAAAGAGAAAUAUACUCCAGAAACUACUUAGAAAAAAUAAUACUAAAGGAUGGAACGAAGAACAUACGGAAACUGUAAUAAAUCUAAAAGAAGAAUGUAAAAACCUCCCAGCAUUAAGGUUACCAGAAGAAAAUGAUAAGUUAGUAAUACAAACUGAUGCAUCUGAUUUAUAUUGGGGAGCAAUACUUAAAACUGAUAUAAAUGAAAUUUGCUGAUAUACUAGUGGAACAUUUAAUCAAGCACAAGUUAAUUACCCAGUUCAUGAAAAAGAACUCCUUGCAAUAUAUAAAUGAAUAAAAAAGUUCUCGUUAUUUUUACUCCAGAAAUAAUUUAUUGUAGAAACAGAUAAUUCUCAGGUAAGUUCACUUAUUAGUAGAAUUUUGCCAAAUGAACCCCAAUACAGGCGACUGCAUAGAUGGCAAGCUUAUUUAUCUUAUUAUAAUUUCAAAAUCAUACAUAUAAAAGGAACUAACAAUUUUCUUGCAGAUUUCCUAAGCAGGAACAUAGAAUUCAGAGAAUGAAUGCAGAAGUAAAUAAAAUCAUUUCUGUAAUAAACACAGAAAUACAAAGGCUCAAAGCUGAAGCAUCAGACAUGCUUGAUGCCAUAAAUUACAUAAAAGAAGCCACAGAGGCUCAUGAGAAGGGAAUACAUUUGUUAGAGUCAUACAUAAACGACCUAACAAAAGGGCUUUCAAUAAACACUAGCCCAAUAGAGAUAGGAAGUAGUAGUGGACCACUCCCACAACAAGAACCAGUCUCUGACCCAUCAUCCAGCCGAACCAUAUCCAUAAGUGUUGAAUCACCUAAAGCAACUUCUUCAAAAAAGUUUAUCAAAAUAAACAACACUCCCUCAGAAGAAGAAGAAAAACCUUCUCCACUAAAUCCAAGAGAAGAAGAGUAUAAACAGUUCUCCACAUGGGUAUACUCUACAUGUACCCACAACAACACCAUUUUCAAAGCCCCUGGCAAAAAUAUAUAUCCCAGAAUGAUAGCCAUAAAAGGAGCAGAUCCUCUCCUUAUUGGAAAAAUAGCAAAAUACGGAUAUCUAGAUUUAAUAUAUCCAGAUACAGACCUAAGAGAAAUAGCCAGUUUAGAUGAGCUAUUAGUCAAAGAAGUCUCAAAAUUUGCCCAAAAAAGGCCCAUAUACUUAAAAUUUUACACUAUUAGCCCAGAAUACCACCAAAAUGUCGAAUACCAAGCAUUUUACAUGAUCUCUGUAGGCCACCUCACAAAAAAUUUUCAGAUAGAAGUAGGAACUGAAUAUACAAAUGUUCCUCAAAUAACCAAAGCAUGGAUCAGAACCCGUAGAGCCCGAGGAAUAAAAGCAAUAUGGAGUAUUGCAAAAGACCUUUAUAAAAGAAACUUUAGAACAAUCAUCCGAUUCCAAAAUUAUAUCCUCGUAACUUCUGAAGAUAGCCAUACACCAUCAAAUAUCUUCUUGGAACUCAUGAACGAAAUCAGCACCAUGAGAUUCCCCAGCAGUAGUGAGACCAUGCAGCAAGCUUAUCAGCUUAUGGAGAUGAAGAUGCCCGACAAAUAAAGUUGUUCGUGGCAGACAAAGAAGAUAUGUGGCAGACAAGAAGAUAAAAAGAAGAUAAAAAAGUUGUACGUGGCAGACAAGAAGAUGCUCGUGAUAAAAAACAGAGAAAAAGAAGAUGCUCGUAAAAAGCAAGAAGACAAGAAGACAAGAAUUCAAGAACCUCUUGUAAUGAUAGAGUGAUGAUGUAAGCAGUGUGAUCAGAAAGCAAUAAUGUAAAUCAAUAAUGGGAUCAUCUUUUCUAAUAUAAAUAGAAAGAGAAGGAGAAAGCAGAAAAAGCUUUCGAAGACAUUCGAUAACUCUCGAUCCAAAAAAUUCUCUGAAAAAGAAUGAAGCUCUAAACACUCUCUUGCUCGAAAUCCAAAAUCAGUACAUCAUAAACCAAAAACAAAAACCAUUAGAGAAAGAGACGAGAAACCUAACUUCACUCAAUACCUCUUUAACAAGAAGAUCGAAAUCUAUACAGUAAAGCCAUCUGAGUCCACAGAUCCCGCUGAGGCAGGAGGCCGUUAAGGGAACAGGACAACCAGGCUGCAGGUCACUGGAAGGAGAUCAGAAAUCAAAGAAGUAACAGUGAGCUAGGUAAUAAUACUCAACUCUUAUCUCUUGGUGGUGGUUGUUGAUGGUGGUUGAUGGAAUGAUUUUUGGAGAAAGAGCAGAUUCUUAAACUGAAGCAGAUCUGUAAUUAAUUUUAUGACAUGAAUCACAGAAUUUACUUAGGAGAAUCUAAAGAAUACAUGAUAAACCCAACUACUAAAAUAACUUAUAAUGAGUACAUGAUGAUAAUAGACUUCGAUUUAGGUUCAUUUAAACAAAGUUCUUAUCUAUUCAGUAAACAAGAACUUGUUAGAACAGAAGACCUAUUAGCCAUAGACCUUCUUAAGUUACCCCAAGAAAUAAAAAGAAAAAUUAUAAAUAACAUUGAAACAGAUAACCUAAAACAUAAUAUAAUUAUGUUGACAAUAGAAGAAGGAAUAGAUGUAGCAAAAGCCUAUUUAGAGCAAAAAACUUAUGAAUCUGGACCUUCAUAUAUCUAUGAUUCAGAUAACGAAGAAUUUGAAAUAUAACUGUGAAAGGUAUAUAGGCUGGGAACCUCUUCGGGUUGCGGACUACUAGUCCAAAGGGCGACCUGGAUCGCUGUACCUAGAGGUAAAACAACGCCACGUACUUUUCUAAUAAAAAUUUAGGACAGAUAAAGAUAGAUAAACAUCAAUUUGAUAAUUAUAAUCAAUAAUAAUCCUGAAUGGUUGAUUUUGUUUUACUGCUCUUGUAAUUUUAUUUUGAAUAUAUUUGUCUAGUCUUGUCAUAUUUUUAUAAUUCUGUUUGUACUUUUGUAUUUGUAAUUUUGUAAUUUUAUUUGUAUUUUUGUAAUUUGUAUUUUUGUUUGAAUUUGUAAUUUCGUAUUUUUGUUUUAAAUACACACCUGAAAAUGGUAUCAGAGCCAGCAGAAUCAUAAGACAUGGACCCUAUACAAGCAAUAGUAGAUAGCUUAUAUACAUUAAAGGUAUAUAAUAAAGAAGAAAUAAAAAAUUUAAUAAAGGCCAUCAAAACUGACAAAAAUAAUAUAAGAAAUAUAGAACUUGAGUUAACUCAGGAGCUUAGAGAAAGAUUUAUAGAAACAACAGGAGGAGAAAUUUUAAUAGAAAAGAAAAUGAAAUUUAUAGAUAAAUUUAUAAAGUUUUUAAUAUAUUGGUGUAAAACAGAAACAUUAUGAAUCAACAGGCUGUUAAUGUAAUACAGGGAUUGGCAAGCUGCAUAGAUCACCUACUCUUAGGAUGGGAAAAUACAGUAAAUGCAUAUAUAAAUCUAAUAAACCAAAAAAUAGAUUUAUUAGAACAAGAAAGGAUAGGACUGGUAAAUUUAGGACCAGAGGUCUAUUAUGAAUUUGUAGAUUUAUAUGAAUUUGAUAACCAUAUAUUGCUGUUUAAAGAAAUAAAAUAAAGUUCUCGAAAGAUUAAAAAAUAGAUGUGCAGGGAUGGAAGAAGACAAAUACAUCCAGGAUUAUAAAAAUUGGAAAUAGAAAGAAUUAUAAGAAUCCUUAUGAAAUUAACCAGGAGAAUAAGACAAAAUUAUAAGAUACAAUCAACGUAAGUUAGAGGCCCCCACUUUUAAUAAUCCAAUCAUAUACAGUGACUUUAAUAUAAAUGCAUAAUAUUUUACCAAAAAAAAGGGAAAAAAUCGAAUUAGAGGUAAAAGUUAUUCUACGAUUUUAUUUUUUGUAUAUAUCUUGCAUGCUAUUCCCAAAAGCAAUCAUAAACGGCCCUUAAAACAAUUUUACAAAAGCGGCUGUUACUUAUAUCACCAACUUUGUUAGGGAUGACAAUGGGGAGGGGAGAGGAGGAGACCAAUCUUGUAGUAUCUAUCCCUGAUAUUUUGCGUAUAUUCUCGUUCUCUCUCCAUCCCCGACAAAAUUACUUUAGGGAAUCACCUCCUCUCCCUGAAUAAUAAUAUGGGAUCUCCGUGGGUCAUUGAUCCCUGAAUAACUGAUAUGUUUUUAGUUUUUUAUUUUAAUUUAAUCAUAUUAAAAUAAAAAUUUAAAUAAAAAUAAAGUUUGAUGAUAUAUCUCACAUUAGCAUUAAUCCAUUACAAAAGUCACAUUACAAAGUAUAAAUCACCACAAUAAUUAUCUUCGUCAAUUUUCAAAAUCCUACAAUAAAAAAAAAAGAAAUUACUUUUAUAUCAACAAUGAAAUAAAUAAAAUAAAUAUAAAUAAAUACUUAAUCAAUAUUUCUAAUAAAAGUAUUUACCUCUUGCGUCUCUUGCUCCUCUUGUUCUUCCUCGAUGAAUGUGGCAAAUUGAAAGAUAGCCUCAGAUUUCAAAUUUAAAACAAUAAAAAUAAUAGAAGUAAUGUAACUUAUAAGCGAAAAUAUUAAUUAUUAUAUAAUAUAAUUACAAUGUAAAAUAAACUCAUACUGCCAUUUUAAGCUUGUAGCUUAUUUUGACAACACAUUAAAUCCUCCAAUGUGCUUGAAUGAAGCGUGUUACGAUACUCUACUAAUGGUGUUAAAAGUUGAUUCAGAAGCAACAGUUGUAAUUGGAAUUGUCAAAAUAUCUCUAGCAAUUCGUGCCAAUAUAUGAUACCUAUGGACAUUUGUUUUUAACCAACUCAAAAUAUUAAAAUCUUUCAUCUGUAGCAUAACUUUCUCAUCCAAAUAUUAAUGCAGUCAAUUAGGCCUAAAAGUUUAAUAAUAUAAUUAUUUUGAUAUUUUUUAUUUAUACUAAUAUUUAAUAUUUUAUAAUUUACAUUUUAUUAUUUAUUUACAAAUAAUUUAUAAAAUUAAAAUUAAAAUUAAAAUCAAUAAAUUAGGAGGGGAUGAGGAUUCUACUGUAUCCUCAUCCCUUUCUCGAAUAAGAAAUUGGGUAAAAAAUUAUUCUCGUCCCUUCCUUGAAUAAGAAAUUGGAUAAAAAAUUAUCUCUUUACCCUCUCCGAAUGGAGAAAAAUUCCGAGAAUCCCUAUCCCUGCGGGGAUUUCUGCCACCCCUAAACUUUGCAACAGCCAGUUGCUUUUGUGACCAUUUAUGUGACGGAUAGACUGCUCUCACUUAUGUUACUAAUAAGCUUGGCAAAAUCAGGGUCCGGUCCGGGCUUCUAAGCCCGCAUGUGAUAACUUUAAUUUUUUUCUUCAAUUUUUUCUUUCAUUUCUCUAACAAUGCAAAUUUUAAAAAAGAAAAUAGUCAAAUAAAUUCAUUCAAUCUCAAGCUUUAGAAAAGAAAAUAGUCAAAUAUAAAUAUAUAACAUACUAACAAUGCAAAUUUUACACAAAUAAUAAAUAAAAAUUGUUUCAAUCUACUUUAUAAUACCUAAAUUCAUCUAAUUUCUAACCUAAACUCAUUCAAUCUAUAUAAAAAUAAAAUAAAUUCAACAACACAAUAGUCACACAAUAAAUCUAAAUAACAUCCAACAUAUCAUAAAAUUCAUAAUUAUAUAUUUAUAUAUAAUAUAUUUAUAUAUUUUUUUUAAUUUAUUAAGAAAUCGGGUCUGAGUCUAGCUUCCUGGUUUUUGGUGUUGAGAAUUUCAAAUCCGGGUCUGGUUUUUUGUGUAUGCGGUCCGGGUUUUACCCGACUGGAUUGCCUGGGUUCGGUUCGGACGAGCUUUUUUGACGCCCUUACUAACGGGCUUUUUUGACGCCCUUACUAACCACGUGACGGUAGAGAGCCAAUUGGCAUGCUAUUAGUUUAGAGUUAUAAAUUGGAAAAUGAGACUCUUAGAGCAUCACCAAAAGGCUCUUCAAAUAAGAUUUUAUUACUUAUUUGAAGGGCCACAUUAAUAUUUAAAGCUCCAAAAGACACUUCAAUUAAAAUUCUUCAAAUAAGAAUUGAUUCUCUCUCUUCAAAUUUGGAGAGUUAAUUUCUCCCUCUUCAAUUUGUAUUUUAUUACUUUUUAUUGAAGAAAAAGAGAGAAAUACUUUAAUUGUUAUUGACUUUUCCUUUAAAAAAAUAAUUAUUUGAUUAAAAUAAUAUUAAUUUAUUUUCAUUUGAAGAGUUUUUUGGAGAAUAUUAUAUUUUUUUACCCUUCUAUUUACCACAUAAGUAAGUAAAUAGAUAUUUAAAGAGUAAAAUUUAGAGAGACUUUCGGAGAUGCUCUUACAACAUUAAGCACAACACAUAGCACCGAACGGUGCGUUUAAAGGCAACUAUAAAAGGUCACAGUAAUCGACAAUUGCAACACACACGUUCUCAACUACAGCACACGCUCUCUCCCUCACAUUCUUCCUCACGCUCUCUCUGUUCUCCCUCACAACACACGGCUCUCUCUCUCCCCCCUCCAAAUCCAACAGCCGUGGGUUACUCUCGCUCUUCGCCCUCCAAAUCCAAGACCUAUGGAUGCAUAAUAGAGUAAAUAGCAAUUCCCAUCCACUCUAGUAACAGAAAAUGACAGCUUCUGUGAUUGUGGUGAAAAGUUUCCCCUAGUAAUGCUAAGUACAGCGAGGAAACCAGCAAGGAAACCAUCAAUUCUGUACACAUAUAGAUGCCAAAAACAAGCAGUGAAUUGCAUCAGAUAUUAGUGAAGAAUAAUUACCAGCCGUAAACUCAGCUCCUUCGGUUGCUAGUGUACAAUAGAGCAAUAGGUUGUGUUUGGGGAUGUUAGAUGUCGAAAUAAUUGAGGCAAAAUUCUUUUAUGCAAUAGUUGGCUUGUGUCGACUUUUGAAAGGAAACUUAUUUUUGUGCUGUCAAUGUUACUUAUUUGUUAGUUUAUUUCUUAGGUUUUGUUGUUCGGGAUAUUAUGUAUUGGAUUUCAUUUCCUUUUGCCUCUGGUAUGGCCCCUAAUAGAACUUGACGUAAUUCUUUUUGGGAUAUGUUUUUCUGAACUAGAGAUGACAUCACUAGCAUCUGGUCUUUCUCUUUGAGACAGCCGAGAGAGUGAGGUGCCGUGAGAGAUGCAAUCGAUGGGGGGUGGAGAGAGGUAGCCGACAGUGAGAAUGGUAAGGAAGAACGGAGCGUAGUGAGAUUAGUGGAUUGGUGAGGAAGAGCGUGAGGGAGAGAAUGAGAGAGCAUGUGUUGUGGUUGAGAAUGUUGCAAUUGAGAAUUUACUGUGACCUUUUAUGCUUGCCUCAAAACUCACCGUUUUGUGCUAACUGUUGUACUCAAUGUUGUAAGAAUAUCGGAACUGUUAUAAAUUUGUUUCUAAAUAGAAAACUCUUUUGUGGAGUCAAUAUUUUGAAAACCAAAGUCUCGAGUUCUUUCUCGUGCGUGCCUGGCCAGCAUCCUAAACCUUACUGGUAGCCGGAGAAUGGCGUAAAACGGCGGCGAUCUUCUUCUUCAUCUUAUUCUCUCUGUCAUCGUUUCAGGUAACCUUGUGAUUAUGAGUUUCUUCUCUUUCUUAGCUUGCAAAAAUAGGUUUUGAUUUCUUUAAUUCGUAUUGUAGCCAUUAAUAUCAAAUUUUGUCCUGCCGGCAAUAUUUUUUUGUUCCUAGAGGUUGAAGCCCUUCUGUUCUUGUUCCAUUGGUGACUUUGCUCACUCAAAUUAAUUUUGUUCUGCAGAAUUUACAAAGUUCAAAUGGAUUCGUUUGGAUUACUAUUGAAUUUAGCUUUCAUUUCAACAUUCAUUCUAAUGUUUUACAAUUAUGUAUUUAGAUUUACUUUAAUUUUAUGUUUAAAGCUUCUGCAAUGAAUAGCUGAGCUUGGGUCUUAGUUUCAUUUUCUAAUUAACUUGUUUUAGUUUAUCUUAUAUGCUCACCAAGUGCUUGUUAUAUUGUCUGAUAGGUUAUAUAACAUAGCUGAUUAUAUAAUAAUAAUGUCAUGUUCCAUUUUCAGAAAUUAUAAUAUAAAAGUUUUUACAAUGGGGUGCAUCUACAAACUGAAUUGACUUGUAGAGUAAGAGCUUGGAGUAGUGUGCAUUCUUGAAUAAAUGAAAGUUCAUAUUGUGUAAGAGCAUGUAGAUGUAAAGCAUCAUUACCAUUUCUACCAAGUGCUUUCAUUCUGUUCAGAUGCUCCUCUUGAACUUUGGAAGGUGCCUCAUUCAAGUCCUAGCUAUAACUAAUUGCUCUGAUUAAUUAAGUUCAUAUGCUAGCUGAAACAGAUUUAAUUAAUUAAUUAAUUAAUUGUGUAUGUACUAAUUAUAUUGAAAGUAUAUGAAGAAAUUGUUUAACAUGAAUGACUUCUAAAUGACUUAAAAGCCUAGAGGAUAUGUGAAAUAAUGCUCAUUUCACUUGAACGAGCCUAUUAAUACUUGUAUGUCUAUGAUUGUCAAUAUUGCUUAAGUGUUUCAGUUAAGUGGUUUACCUAGCAGGGAAAAAAAUUUAAUGGAAAACCUUAGAGUUUUAAUAGAAAUAUAGUUGACUAUGCAGAUAUAGUUAUUUUACGGUAUAUAAAUCAUGUUGUCCUAUUCUCAAUGUCCUACAACCUAUUUUAUUUUAUAUAGUCAUUCAUUUUACGAUGGUUUUUUGUGUUUAUGAGUAUGGAAAUAGUGGGAUUUGGUGUACCUUAGCAUCUUUCGAAAAUUCUCUUUAAAUGCGGCAAACAGAAAUAUACAUAUAAUCAAGUUUCUUAAUCAUGUAUAUUAGGUUUGGGUGUGAAUGUUUUCCUAUUCUAGUUCUAGGCAAAGUUUCUUCAUUUUGGUCUUCAGAUUUCCAGUAGGUUAAGCUAAUCAACUAUCAUAACUGGCUAGCUAGUUAUUGCCUGCCUUGUCGCCAUUACCGACGCCAUUACAUUGCAUGGCAUAGGGAAUAGUAACUAUGUGAUUAUUGGUGAUUUGUUGAGCUUAUUAUUGACCAAACAAACAUAUUCGCCUUUACCCACAACUUGGUUUGAUUAGUUACUGGACAAUAAAGAGCCUUAAUCUAUGCAUUGGCUUUCUUAUUUUUAUUUGGUUUUUCUUUCAACAAUAUUGUUGAUUUCUUAUAUCAUUGGCUAUUUAAUGAAGCUAAUUAAAACUAAGGCUUCGGAUCACUUUCUUCUAACAACAAACAAAUGAGGAUAACCUAUCUCCUCUAAGCAAAUUUUUCUAAUAUCCUUGAUUUGUUAGGACCUGGAGGCCUGAAAUCCUCUAGAUUUUUUUAGCACUGCCAAUGUUCCUUUUAUUCUGAAAAGGAAAAAAAGGUUAUAUCGUUUAUACCCUAACAGUAAAAUGGCCUUUGACUUAACAUGCCUUCCUGAGGAUUUGCAAGAUUCACAAGCAGCCUAGCCACCCCCCAACGCAAAAAAAAUAAAAAAAAUAAAAAACUAAUAAAAAUAAAAAAUAAAACAACCCAAAUAGGAAGACUUUGCAACAUUCACAACGUGGUUACAUUUAAGUUAUUAAUUGUGUGUGUGUGUACUAGUUAUAUGUUGAUAGUAUAGGAAGAAGUAUUUUAACAUGGAUGACUUAAAACUUAUUGCUCAGUAAACAUAGUCUGCAUCAGUGCUAGAAAAUGUAUUUAUUGUUUGUAUUUUUUAUGGUUUUGAUUAAGAAAUGAAAUGUGAAAAAAUGCUACAUUGUAUUAGGAAUAAAUUGAAGAGAUUUAUGAUAUUUAUGUGUUAUUCAAGUUUCAGAUUCAAUUUUAAACUUUUGAUACAUGCAUUGAAAGCUUAAACUCCUUUAAGAAGUUAUUGAUAGACACAUGUUUUAUUAGUGUCAUCUUUGGAUGAUAGUGAGGAUCUUAUGUCUAUUAAUAAUUCUUGAAUUAUCCAGGCUCGGACAUUUUGGUAAUGCAUAGUUUUCUAUGGUAGCUAGUACCUGAAAUUUUUUUCCCACUAAAAAUGGGCUUUUCAGUAGCUGCUCCUCAUAUUCUGGGUGCAUACUAGACGAAUGGGUGUCGUUUUGUUUUGGGAUAACACAUAAACACUCAUAUAUCUAUGUCAUGUACUUGAAGAACUAUAGGGAGAUGCUUCCGAAAUUUCUAUAAACGUAGAGGAAAACUUUAGAUACUUAAGAUUGAAGAAACUUAUGCAUUCUUGAGUGGGAUAUAGAGGACCACUUACCUUUUGUAAUAUGAAGGGAAUGUUGGAUAUAUUGAUGGGAGUGGAGGAGCUGAGUGGGAUGAAUGUAAUCGGUUAUGAUUUUGCUGAGUUGACUUGGUUUUGAGUCUUGUAAUUUUGUUUAUAAAUGGAGUACUAUCUCCAAUGUUGGUUUAUAAAUAUUGUUUCAGCUGGCUGACCUAAUUUUUUAUUUCUAGGUAACAGGCUUUAUAUAUUCGUAAUUGAUAGCCAAGUGAAGUUCUCAGCAGUGGGUGAGGAUAUUUCUUUACAGAAGGUAUUGGAAACUGUUUUUCACAUUAAUUAGUAUUGUAUACAUACUUUAAUUUCACAUCUUUUUCUCUGAUUCUUGUGGCUUUGCUUGCUUUCAUAUAUAUAAACAUUCUAAUGAGAUUAACAUAAAAUUGUAUAAUGAUUUUUUUUAAUUAUAAAUUGCGCGCACACGAAAAUAUCUUGUUUAGUAGUAGAAAUGAAGAACUAAAAUGAUUUAUUUAACUAAUUUUUCUAGUGCAUUAAAAGGAGAUAGUCAUGGACAAGAGUUGGGUUGGUUUGCCAAAUAGAUAUCCAAGUCAUAUACUGAUGGGGUUGAAAAAUUUAUAGAUUUUGCAUUUGAGAAUGUUGUUGGUGAUAAAAGAAUUUAUUGUCCUUGUAAGAAGUGUCGUAAUAUCGAUAUUUCAUUAUAAGGGAAGUGGCAAGAGACCAUAUCAUUACAAAUGGCUUUUGGUUAAAGUAUUGAAACUGGAUAUUGCAGGGUGAGCCAUCUUCAUCUUUGAAAUCUAACUAAGAAACAGGUUAGUCAUGACUCGGGUGCUGAUGAUAGUAUGGUUGGAGUGAUACACGAUGCAUCACAUAAUCAAGUGUUCAAGUUACACACAGCAUUGUUAUGUUAUGGACUAUCAGUGACUUUCUAACAUAUGCCAACUUGUUUGGGUAGAGUAUUAAAGGUAAAUAAGCAUUUCUUGUUUGCCAACAAAACACUAGAUCUAAUUGGUUGAUACAUAAUAGAAAAUUUUGUUACUGGGUUACGGUCGAUUCUUACCAACGAAUCAUAGGUUUCGAAAAUAUAGUGUCUUUUGAUAAAACUAGGGGGUAGGGAUAAGCGCCUUCUCGGUUGUCUUGAACUGACGUGAAAAAGCAGGUGAAUAAUAUAUUUACUAAGUAUAAGAUUGAAGACUUGAAAAGAGGAGAAUGAAUAAAAUGAAAGAAAUGAUAAGAUUACUUGGAAGAAGAAAAGCAUUUUUUAUGAACUAACGUAUUGGGAGUUCAACUUGAUUCAUCAUAAUCUUGAUGUCAUGCAUAUGAUCUACUUUCUUUCAUUUUCUCACCUCCCAAACAUCCAUUAUACAAUAAAGUUUUUUUAGAUUUUAUUGUUUCAUAGAAUUAUAUUUUGCAUAUGAUGAAAUAACUUAACAUUUUAGUAUUCAUUUGCAUAUAAUAAUUAUAAGUAAGAAAAAAUAUUUGUUUACAAUCACUACUAGUUUUAUUGUCGUGAUUACAAAUAAAUUGCUCAAAUUUUCUGCUUCAGCUAUCAAACCUUUUAGCUGCUUCCAGACAUGAAGAAAUUAAACCCAUAAUUUCUAGGUACAAUUGCAUUCGUAUAUGCCAUGAUACAUAUGAUAUGAUUAGAACCAAAAGGAGAAAUAAAUUUUUGGGACUUAUUGUGAUGGUGAUUAAUCUUUUUCUACCUUAACUUUGAUAAGGUUAUAAUUAAAUUUUAUAUGAUUAAAGUGGUCAAUGGUUAAAUAAAUAAAUAAAUAAAACAGAUGAGGAUGGACUAAUGAAAUGACCCACCCCGAACUCCACAAGGUGAGUCUAUGUAAUAUCGUCUUACUUGACUGAUAAUAAUCUAAUUAGUAAGGAUUUUGCCGAAAAUUUGAUAGAGUCUCCACUUUGAAUAUAACAUUUCCAACCUGCAAAUGUGUAAAACAAGCACUCUCAAAUAAAUCAGUAUACAACCAACUUCAUUGAUCAACCUCCUCAACUAUAUUACUGAAUAUUACCCAAAAUAUCUACAAAGUAUCAAAAGAUUAUAUUAUACCUACUGUUGACAUAUAUUAAACUAUUUUUAAUCACAAAAAAUAUUAAAAAAUUAUAUAAUCCAAAAAAUAAGAAAUCAAAAUGCCCUGACAAUAUAAUCUAUAUCUCCUAGUACCAUCACAUGGCCAAAUUUCAAAAUACUAUAGUUGCUAAGUCAACUGGUGUCUUGCAACCUCCUGAGGGGUGGGAGCGAAUUAUAACAAAACGGGUGAGUAUAAAACUCAGUGAGCUCGGUGAGUGGAUAAUAGUUUUUGAAAAUAACUUACCAUAAAUAAUUAUACCACUUUUAUAUAUGAUUUUAUCAAACUAUAUGUAAGAAACAUGAAUAAAUUAUUUAACCUUUGAAUCAAGUAAUUGACAUUGAAAAGAAUACAUUAAGAGGUGCAUAAUAAUCAUGGAAAUUGUAUCACAAUAUAAAAUACAUGAUUAUGAAAUUAUCACAAAACAAGUACCUAAGGGAAUAAUCUUGUCGUACCUAGAGCUCAUACGGGCAAUGCAAUGACAUAUUCUCUAGGUACUGUCAUCCUCGGAGCUAGCACCGGUAGAUCAAUGAAGUGUCAUCUUAUAUAUCUUAUCAUAUCUUUGCAUGCAUAAACUAGUCCCCAAAAGACAAAGGUGUCCAAGCACAUAAUCCAAGGCCUCUAUGAGCCCCAAAGGCCCCUAUUUCAUUUGUAUCUUAGUAACUGAAUCUUUGUUAUCAUCAUAUUUCAUGCAUAAGCGCCCAAAAGGCAAAAGUGCCUAAAUAGACGGCCCAAAGCCUCCCUGUGUGUUCAGACGGGCCCCAAAGUCCUCUCAUCUCAUCUGUAUAAUUGUAAUUGGAGGGGAAGGGCAUUGUUCAACGAGUUUGAGAACAAACUUAUAUAUAUACACACAUAAACAUUUUAAUCAUACUUUAAACUCUUAUUUCCUUUUCAUUACAUACUUUAAAUUUGAUUUUCUUUUCUUUAUAUUACUCUCAUGUAUAUACUCAAAAUCGAUAAUAAAACCAAUAAUCAUACUUUUUAAUAAUAAAUAUCAAUACUUAAAUAAAACCUAUUUCUAGAAAAUCAUUAGAUCGGAGCAUUAAACACUUAUUUCCCAAACCUGCUUUACUAUACUUUAAAAUCAUAAUAAAAUAUGAAAAAUAGGUUUUGCUUAUUUCACUCACCGUGACGAUACUCAAACUCGGCUAUCAUUAAUGUCUGCAGGAUGGGUCUCACUCACUAUUCCUCCUAAAUCAAGGAUACGACAUAAUUACUUUCCAUAAAUGUGAAAUACAACUAACUGUAUGUAAUAUACUCGAAACGAACAUCUAUCCACAAUAUGCUACUCCUAUGUCUGUAACGUUACCAAAAAUACCCCCAAAAUCAUAAAUUGUCAAACAACCCUCAAAAUCAUAAAUUACCAAACUAUCCUCUAUAAAAUAUUAUUAAAAUAUCCACAAAGUCAGAAAUUAAAAAAUUACCAUCAAAAUAUAAAUUUAUCAAAAUGCCUUUGUUGGUCAAUGGUGAUCGGGAGUCAAGUGAUGGUGGUUGGAAUGGUCAAGAUAAAUGCUUUGGACCACGCUGAAUUUAAUGGUGGCAAAUUGACCAUUUCUGGUGACAUGGGUGAUUAAAAAUUGUAGAGGGUGUCGUGAGGGAGAAAACUAAGCAGUAGUGUGCCACAAGUUCGACGAAAUCCCAUCGAAUCGAGGUGGUAGUACCAAAGCUCUUCACAUUCUUGAUUGGUGGUCUUUUAGCAGUUAUUUAGUGACCAUGAUGGUUGGGGAAUGACUAGCAUUGGUUAAGGAUUCGAUCGAUACCUUCUGUUGUCGAUAGAGUGGCCGAAAAUAGUAGUUAGCGGCGGGUGGGGUUUCAAGUCUAUCAGUUAGGUUGAUAGCUCUUCCUCUCUUUGUUUUUCUCUUCCCCUCGAUUCCGUGUCAUAACAAGUUUAAACUAGUCCAAACUCGAACCAUUUAACAAGCGUGUCAAAUUUAACAACCCACACAUUUAUUCAUGUUGAGUAAUUGAGUCGUGUCAAAUCUGCCAAUAACAAUUAUAAUAAUGACUUUUAAAACUUCAAGUCAAAGAGGAGGAUAAAAUAAUGCAUUUGAUUAAACAUAAAAUGCAUAUGUUACAACUAAUCACUAUUCAAAAUAUUAAGAGUGGAGUAGCAAAUGUCAAUUUAUUUGGUUGCAGUCAAAUUUAUCCUAUGAUAAAUAGUGAUUAUUAAAUAAUAUAUAGAUCUAUUAUAUAGUCAAUUAAUAAUAUAUAUUAAUGAAAAUUUAAAAAUAAAUUAUUUAAAAAAGUCAAACUAGGUAAUGGACUUAAAUGUGAAAAUUUAAAAUAAUUUGGAGUUAUGUGUUAAAAUAUUGAAACUUUGUCAUUUUUUAAUGUGCAAGCAAAUAAUAGGGACUAUAGACUUAAUAAACUAUUAAAUCCAUCUAAGCCACUAAGCUACGUUUAUGUUAAAUCUAAUGGUUAGUAAUAGCUAAUAAGAAAAGGACAAAAAUUGGGGUAUGAUGUCACAGGGACACCAUAGUCGGACCCAUUAUUAAUGUUUAGUACAAGUAUUUUCUGAAAUAACAACUACAUAAUUAUUAUCUUAUGUAUCUAAUGAGAUUAUUAAUUUAGUAUAUUAGCCCAAGUUAGGAACGUAAGAUUUUGUUAUUUAAUCAAGUAUAUUAAUUUAUAAAACAUUCAUUUAUUGAGAUUUUAUUGUAUAUUACAUUUGCACACUUUCUUUUUAAUGUGAAGUAAAAACUAAUGUUACACAUGAACUUAUUGCUGACAACAUUAGUACAUAAUUGCUGUCAUAAGAAAAUUUAUCAAUCCAGGAAUUUUGGAUUUUAUAAAGUCUUUACAAGUGAAAAGAGUAGUUUAUAACAUUGUAAAUGUGACCUCGACCUGGAAGCGAACUCGGCUGUCAUAAAUUGAUCAAAGCCACACUUAACUUCUACUACUACUUGCAUUGUUACCACCGUCUUCAGCCUUCUGCUUUGCCCAUUCAAAAAAAAAAAAAAAUUAUAUAACUUUUGUCAGCCAACAAUUAUAAUAAACUAAAAACAUGUCCAAAGAUUCAAAAAAAAAUUUUUCCCUUUUUUUGGUUUUAGCUCCUCUGACAUAUCAAAUCCUAUUGCCGUGAAAAGUUUCCCUUGCAGCGCAUAAUUUUGCCACAGCAUCUCUCAUCUCCAUUCGCUCAGUUGGAGACUCCAUUGAGCAGGAAACCCCAAUUCCAAUUACAGCAGACAAGCAUUGCUCAGUCCUGACUCUUAUCUCUCCAUCAGUAUUUCUUGCAAUUUCCUCAGUUAGAAGUGAAGGCUCAACAAUAUUCACCACUUCUUCUGGCAAAGCCCUUUUGGCAAAUUCAUGGAGAGUUAAGCCAUCAUUGAACAUACUGUCCGUGGGCCGCUUUCCUGUGAACAUUUCUAGCAAAAGAAUUCCGAAGCUGUACACAUCACCUCGCAUGGAGACUUCGCCACCCGUACCGUACUCUGAAAAAAACAUGUUAGAUAUAUUACUCAGUUAGUUGCCACAUAUACGAGUUCUAACAAACAGCAGAUUAAUUCAAAAAAUGUAAAAUUACAAUAUCAAAAUAUCUAUCUAAAGAGGAAUAUAUAUAAUUACCUGGAGCUACAUAACCGACUGUUCCUUUUAUCCCAAUUGAGCUUGAUUGAGAUUGAGGAGCAGUCACCCACAUGGGCAACCAUGUCAUGAUCAAAAAGAAUAUUGCUGGGCUUUAGAUCACCAUGAAUUAUUGGUGGUUGACUGUGGUGGUGGAGAUACUCGAUUGCAGAAGCUACAUCAAUGGCUAUGUCCAGUCUUUGAAUGAGACUUACAUUGCACGCUUCUAGGUGAUCAUUCCUCUGAUGCAACCACUCCUCUAGACUUCCGUUUUCCAUGUAUUCGUAAACGAGAGCCUUGAAAUCAGCUCCUUUAGAAUCAAUGCUUGAGCAAAUAGUGAUGAUUUUAAUGAGAUUCCGGUGGCGAAUAUUUCUCAAAGCUUCACAUUCUGCUACAAAACUCCUGAAACCCCCUUUCUGAUUAAGAUUGAUCACCUUCACAGCAACUACCAUUCCAUUUUCACUAAAAAUUCCCUUGUAAACAAUGCCAAAGCUUCCUUGACCAAUCAUGUUUGAUGUUGAAAAUUCAUUAGUUGCCUUCCUUAGCGCCGCGUACGAGACAAAUGGGAACUUUUGUUCUAUUAGCAACGAAUUAGAAUCUUUGUGUGCUGAUCUCCUUCUUCGAGCAUAAACAACAAGAAAGCAUGCUGAUAAGAUUAAACAUGACAUAAUGACUGGAAAUAUCACUUUGACUAGGAAAGUAACUUUUGAUUUUCUUGAUCCUUUCAAAGGACAUGAUGGUAAAUGCAAUUCAUCCAACCCUCCACAAAGAUUCUCAUUCCCAACCAGUGAAAUGCUUGUCUUAUUGUGAAAAACUCCUUUUGCUGGUACCUGGCCCUCAAAAUGAUUGUAAGAAAGAUCCAAAUAUUGCAAGAAUGGUAGAUUCUCAAGAUAUUCUGGAAUCUUGCCGGACAAAUUGUUACGGGAUAGAUCUAACACUUUCAAGCUUUUCAAGGAAAUCAGAGAAAGAGGAAUCCUUCCUCCAAAGGAAUUGCCUUGCAUAUAAAGAUAUUCUAAGCUUGUACAAGCACUUAGAGUCGCAGGAAUCUCACCAAAAAAAUGGUUCAUGGAAAUAUCUAAUCGAGCGAGAUUCUUCAAGUUUCCCACCCGAAAAGGAAGAUAGCCACUGAGAAGGUUAUUAGACAAAUCUAGUUGAAAUGAAAGGGUCCUUAUUUCAAGAAUUUGUUGUGGCAAAGUUCCAUUAAGCUUAUUGUGAGAGACAAUCAAUUCCAUCAAAUUCUGACAACUUCCGAGGGAUGAGGGGAUAUUUCCUUGCAAGUUGUUGAAGUCCAGUGCAAGCUUUGUUAGUAGUGUUAGAUUACCUAGAGAGGAGGGUAUGUUCCCUUCUAAAGAGUUUCCAUACAGAUAUAGUAAUUGUAAGUUUUAAGACUACCGAUAACAUGAGGAAUAGUGCCAAUUAAUUGGUUUAAAUGUAAAGAAAAUAAAUUUAGAUUGACAAGAUUUCCUAUCCCAAGAGGUAUGGUUCCAGAUAAUUUAUUCUCCCCCAUGUCGAUUAUGGUCAUUGUUUUUGAGAGAUUGGCUAUAAAAUGCGGCAGGUUUCCUCCAAAUUGAUUCUUACGUAACUCAAGCCAUUCCAAUUUGCUACAGUUUGUCAGGGAGAAUACAAAAUCAAGGUCAUUGCUAGCCUCAGCUCCUAAAUUAUUAGCCUCAAAACUUAGCCAAGCUAGAUCCGAAAGACCGUUAAAAUCUAUGCUCACUUUUCCUGUGAAAUGAUUUUGUCCAAGGUUAAGCUCUAUGAGAUUUGAAGCAUUGGACAAUGAAUGUGGGAUAGGUCCUGUCAGAUUGUUUUGAGCUACAAUAAGAGAUUUCAGGUUUGGAAGAUUGAAACCUAUAUUAAGGGGAAGAAUACCUUCGAGUCUGUUUGACGGUAGAAAAAUCAUCUCAAGCGAUGAGAUGUUGUAAAUUGAAACAGGAACCAUACCGGAGAAAUUAUUUUCUUCUACGUUAAGAAACUUUAAGCUUCUUAAUUGACCAAGACUUUCAGGAAUUCUCCCGUGCAGUGUAUUCUCUCCAACAUCAAAUGCCUGCAGAGCAGAAAGAUUCCCAAUGGAAGCAGGGAGCUGUCCUCUCAAAUGAUUGACAGCAAUGGACAGUUUCUCAAGCUUCGACCAGCUGCUGUAACCGAUAUCAGCUGGAAUUUCUCCCACGAGGUUGUUUUUAUGGGAUAAAAAGUUGAUGAGGUUGGAGCAACGGGACAAAUUUGUUGGUAUUUUCCCUGAAAAAGAAUUAUUUGCCACGACUAGAGUUUCAAGUCUGGAAAGACGACCAACCUCAUCCGGAAUUUCGCCAUCGAAAUUGUUGUCUCCCAGGUGGAUUAACUUGAGGAAGCUAAGAUUGCCAACAUAAGGAGACAAGGUACCUCCUAGACUUUGGUUCCUCAGAUACAACUCGGUUACCCUUUGAUGCCGACGACCACAAGUCACUCCUGUCCACUGGCAUAAGUUUACAGAAGUGUCCCACGAACUUGUUACUUCUAGUGGAUCAUGGAACUGUGACUUUAUAGCAAGUAAUGCUAGACGAUCUGUCUCGUUUGUGUGGACAGAAAAGCUGUGUGAACUAAGCAACAAACUGAAGCACCAUAUAAGAGUUGCAAGGCUGGUAGUGGUAGUAAAAAUGGAGCUAAACAUGUUUAGCGGCUGCAGGGUAUAAGAUAAUAAGACUAAUGAAAAGCGUGGCGUGAUCGUUGAAGUUCAUGUGAAGGGUUUUUAAAGUCGAAAAAUGAGUGUACGGUAAAAUCUCUUUAUAGUUAUAAUAUGAAGAGUAAAUUAUUUUUAUGAGAAGGUUAUAAUUUAAUUAAGGUUUAGUUAAAAAAACUUAUUAUUUUGGUAUAGUUAACCUUAGUGCAAGUGACAUAGAGAUAAAGUAUGCUUUAUAUUAAUAGUCAACUGCUAGAACACGUCAAAUUGAAUAUAUAAACAUUGACAAAAGAGAUAGACAUAAUUUCAAAAAGCUAUCAUAAAUUUUUUACAAUAUAAAGGUAGUUAUUAUUAUUUUAUGGAGGCAAGUUCAUGAAGAGGAAUUUAAAAAAAUUUAGACUGUUACAAUAUAAAAUUUAGGGCUUGUUUGGGAUUGUUUUUGGGAGACUCAAAAGAUAUUUUGAAAAGUUAAAAAUUAAUUUUAAUAUUUGAUAUAUUUUUUAAGAAUUAGUUUUGAAAAAAUUACUCUAUCGUACAAUAGAUUUUAAAAAGUAAAGAAUAGUUUUUUAAAAGAUGAUUUUGAAAAUCAUUCUUAUAUUGAAUACAAGUUUAUAUAUAUUCUCAUUUAUAUUAUAAAAAUUCAAAAUUAUCCUUUUUAAUUAAGAAGUAGAAUCAUUAAAUUUUAAAAGAUAUUAUUACUACCACUUAUAUUGAGAUAACUAAAUUAAAAUUAAAAUUAAUAAUAUAAAACAUUUAUUUUAGCUAUCAAUUAUUAUAUGUUAUAAAAAAAUUUUAUACACAUAUUUAUAAAUGUUUAAAUAAAUUUUAACUAACAUUAUAUCUAAUUGAGUCAUUUACAUGAUUACAACAAUUUAACGUCAAGAUUUAUCAAACUAAUUGUUUUUAAAAAUCACAAUACUUUUAAAAAUUUAUUUUACUAAAUGUUUAACUGAUUUCGUCGUAGCUGAUUAUUUCUAUAUUACAAUCAAUAAUAAUUAUUUUAAAAAUUAUAGUAUUACCAAACUAACCCAUAUUCUUAUUUAUAACCGAUCAAAUUGUUACCGAGAUUUUUAAAAUUAUGUGAAAAUGACUUUUAUGGAAUAUCAUUGUAAAAGAAUUUUAUCAAUACAUAUAUUUUUUUCAACUGCGGCUGCGGGAUUAGGCAAGGCUAAUGAAAGCUUUUGUUAAAAAUGUGUGGGUGGUCGUUAAAAGUCACGGGCACUCCAGUUCCUUGAUUAGAUUGAUUCUCGUCGUUGUUCUGAGUGCAAGUUGCCUUAGCACUUUCGUGAGUGAAUGAGAUUUUUCCUUUGUUGCUUUGGCAAGAGGUCGCUUUGGUGUGAUGUCAACUUGUGAAAUAGUCAAGGGUCUUUGGCUCUUUGCUACCUUUACAUCGCAUGCAAAGAUUUGACAAGUGAGCAAUUAGAAUUUCUCUACCUUUACGAUAGAGAAAAGCGAAAACAGUUCCCGUCCGGUCACACAACUGGCUUCAAGAGUUCCUCGCUGGUUGCAAAAAUUAAUUUCUUUUUAAUCUUUGUAAUUUGUUACAUAAAUAAAAAACAAUUUUUGAAAUAAAAAUGAUAAAUAUAGUUGAACCUCAAUGAAUUGAUUACCAGGAUUAAAUAAUAGUUUUUAUUGGUCUCAAAUUGGGUCAACAUAUUAAAUUAAUAAUUUGAUAAAUUUAUUAAUAAUAAAAAUAAAUAUUUUAUAUUUACUAAAAUAUUAAGACUGAUCUACUAUAUAAAUUAAUAAUUUAUUAACUUGAAACUAAGGUACUGUUCAUUUUUUAACUUAAUGAAUUAAUUGAUUAAUUUUAAUUAAACCAUUGAAUCUUUUCAUUUUUUUCAACCUAAUGAAAUUUUAAUGUAAAUUGUGCAAAUUCUUGUAGUAUUAAGGGAAAAAGAUAUCUACACCCAAAGGUUUAGAGAAAAAGUCAAGUAAAUCCUUAAGUUUUCAAUAAGGAAUAUCAAAACUCCCUUUAAUUGUAAUAUCUUUUGUAAAUAGUAAUUAAAAAUUUUACUUCAAAAUUUUUUAAUAAACACAAAUAUAAUUUAAACAGUUUAAUUUGUCAAGUAGACUAAUAAUAUUAGGAUAUUUUUAAUAUAUAAUAUAAUUUUUAAAGUGUAAAUUAGUGUAUUUAUUUUAAUAAUAUAUGUUAUUUAUUAUAAAAUUUUAAUUAAAUGUUUCGGUUAAAUUGAUUUUAUAGUUAAUAAAAUAUAUCUCAUGUAUUCAUAAUAUCUAAAUUAUUUUAUAUAAUAUUCAAAAUAAUGUAAAUUUUUAAAAAAUUUGUUAUAAAAUUUAGUUUAAUAUAAUAUAAGAUUGUAAAGUAUUAAAAUAUUUUUUAAAUAUUAAAAUUACCUUAAAAUGUUUAUAUUAUUAUAUUUAUUUUAAUAUUAUAUUUCUAUUUAAUAUAAAACAUUAGAGUUAAUUUUUUUUGAAUUAAUAGAACCAAAAGUUAUUAUAGUCAAAAGAGAAUUUUAAUAUCUUUUAUUAAGAACUUGAAAUUUAUAUGAUUAUUUUUCUAAAUUUUGAAGGUAUAAAUAUCAUUUCUCAUAUUAUUAAUGUCGCUUUAAAAUAGAGUACCCAAUAUUUCUAGUUCACCAAUUAUUGAAAAACAUUUUGACUCAUUACAGCCUGUUAUUAGUUUUGGUCAUAUUAUUUUCCAUCACUCGGUUAUUGAUUUUCAAAUCUACCGAUUAGUAACUAUUCUUAGGCCAUAAAUAAUAUUGAGGUACUAUAACUUUUAAGUUAUAGUUAUUAUAAAAAAAGUAUAAUAAUGAAAUAAUAAUUUAUAAUUUAUAAUAAAUAUAAUUUUUAAAUAAUAAUUUUAAUAAAAAUACAAUAAAAUUAUUAAAUUUUUUCAUGUAAGUAUAAAAUUAAAUUAAUUUAAUUUUUAAACUAUAAUAAUUAGUAUAUUUUAUAGAUGUCCAAUCUCAAUUUUAAUCACAGCCUUAAUAAUAUAAGUUAGCCAUGGCCAAAAAAUCAAAUAUCAAUUGUCAAACCUGCUGUGUACGCUAUGUUGCCGUGUACGCUAUGUUUAAGUCUAGCUGUGUGGAAUUUGUUUGUCCAUGUAUUUUAUAGACUUCAUUGAUCCAAUUCCAAUCUUUUUUCCUGUGGAAAACCCUCUUUUUCCGCAAAUCAAUUAAAUCAAUCAUGGAAUUAAAUACUAUACGGGAUAUUGGUGUAAAUAUUUGAAGAUGAAGCCACGUUUGGAAGACAUGUUCGCAUGUUCAAUAAAUGCAAAAACAGCCAGUUCUGUGCAUGGCUUUAAUGCAUGCAUCGAGAGUAGUAACUUCCACGUGAUGGCAAGUUGACGAUUGGCAAUUGGUGCUCCUUUUGUCAAGAUUUGCUUGAGAUAGCGGCUGUUUCACUAGAUUUUUUACCGUAAAGUUUGAUUUCUCAAUCCAUCCUGAUACUAUAAAUAGAGCUUAAUAUAUUCUCGAGAGUAAAUCAUCCCGUUUGCGAGGGAUAAAAGUUUAUUUAGUCCCUAUAUUUUAAGAUUAGUGUCUAUUUAGUUUUUAUAUUUUUAAAAAUAUUUUGAAACAUCUCUACUGUUAAAGUAUUGAUACCCCUAUUGUUACUUUUUAUUUUUUAUUUACUUUUACAAUAUUAUCUUUUUAUAAUAAUGUUUUUGUUUAGACAUUAAUUAAAAAAUAAUUAAAUUAUCAAUUUAAUUCUAAAAAAUAAAAAUAAAAAAUUACAUUAAUUUUUAAUUGUCAAAAAUUAAAUUAUCAAAAAAGUCAAAAAUUAUAUACAAACUACCAAGCGUGCAAAUAGUACUUGCAAAAAAAUUAAUAAAUUUUUUAUUUUUAUUUUUUAGGAUUAAAUUGAUAAUUUAAUUAUUUUUUUUAUUAAUAUCCAAAUAAAAAAAUUAUUAUAAAAAGAUAAUAUUGUAAAAGUAAGCCAAAAGAAAUAAAAAAUAACGGCAGAGAUAUUAAUACUUUAACGGUAUGAAUGUUUCGAGGUAUUUUUAAAAAUACAAGAAUUAAAUAAAUACUAAUUAUAAAAUAUAGAGACUAAAUGAACUUUUACCCGUUUGCGAGAGUUGCGAGCAUUUAAAUAUUGAUGGGCAAACAGAUCAGCUGUCAACAACUCAUUCCUAUAAUCCCAUGUGAGUAAUUCACAUUGAGUACUGCACGUGACGCCUGUUUCUCUACUUUUCAUGUUAACAUUAUUUUCAGUAGCAGCCGGUUAUGUAGGCAACAUUUCAAAAUUAAUUAAAAAAUAAAAAUUAGUUCAGCUGACUAAAUUUGAGAGAAUGAAUUUACUGUUGGUUAAAAAUUAUUUUGCAGCAAAAUUUUUGAAUCGUAACUCUUUUACAAUAUAUAGAAUUAUCAUAAUUUAUAAAUUACAUCUUUGCUUUUUUUGUGAUAGUAAUUCAGAUUCUCAAGUUACGAUUUAAACUGAAAAAAUAAAACUAUGAGUAAGAAUUGUUUUAUGAGAAUUAAAAUAAUUGAUAAAUAACUGAGAGGGAUAAUUUUGAAAGAUUUAAAUUCUAAUAUGAUAACAAUUUUAAUUUUUCACCCUCUGGUAAGGAAUCGAAAAUCACAAUUUAUUAGAUUAGCACAUAAAAUAAUUGAGUAUUCAGAAUAAUUUUUGAAGUACAAAUAAUUGGACCCUAAUAUUUUUAAUAUAUGAAAAUCUUACUAAUAUGUUGAUGAGAAUUAAAUUAAUAAUUAAGGGAGACAUUAAGACAUUUAGAAUAGUUGAGAUGAGACCGGAUUUUACGUUAUCCGAAAUUGAUCCUAAUUUUGAUCACAAAUGUAUUAAAAAGACGAGUUUCGGUCCAUAAUUAUGUGCCAUUUGAGUAAUUAAAAUGGGAAUGUGAUUGUCGAAUUCCAAACUUUCCCGAACCAUUGCCAUCUUUACCCAAAACACUAAAAAUAUCUAAAGAAAAGUCUGCACCUAUUCCAUUUUUUUUUAUCAAAUAGGAAAGAGCCCUCACGUGGCGUGAACUGGUAUCCUAAAUAAUUUUAAGAGUAUCAGCCCAUGAUUGGGUUUGUGACAAAUAAAUUACAUAUUUGAGGUACAUAGUUAUUGGUGUCCUAGUUUAGGUGGCACCUACCAUUUAUUGCACAUAUAAGGUAUUAAUUGACUUAAUUAAUAUACAAAGUUUAAAAUCUAAUUAAUUAGCGACACAAAUGCCAAGUACAGUAUAUGUAAAUCAUAUUUGUCGAUUAUCACAAAACGAGCUCUUGAAAAUAAGUAAGAAAGCUUAAUUUGUUGAAAUGAACUCAAACUCGUCAAUCGAUUUGUCGUCUAAAGGUUGGAAAAAUGAGUGAUAUGUCAUUUCAAGCUGAUCAUGGAUCCAGAACCGACGACUUGGUGCUGUUGUUCAAGGUCGUUAAACUCUCACGUGAAUAACAUACGCCUGUCUUAAGUCUAAAACGGCACGCCUUGUCGUCGUUUUAGGAAGGGUUUAAGUUUCACGUGAAAGGCUCUUGAUCAAGCAGUUAAGUUUGUCGGUUUUGGAGGGAAUCAUCUGGAUCUGUAACACCAACAGCAGCUGAUAUAUAUGUUGGUUCUGGUUUCAUCUAGAUCGAUUGAAGAGAGAGUGAUAAGGAAGCAUUAGAGAGAGUGAAACUUUUCUGGGUGUUCUCUGUAUUGUGUUUGUCACCUUUGUAACCAUUGAAGCUUAAUAAAAUUACUCCCUGAGUUGUUUUCUCCAGUGCACGUAGGCACUGUUAAAGGUGCUGAACCACUUAAGUCUUUGUGUGUUCUUGAUUCUUUGUGUUGAUUUUUCUUUGAUCUGGUGAUUGUUACGACUUGCUUAGACUUGGUUCUUAAAUCUUAGAGUCUUAAUUAGAUCUUGGGGUGAGAUAAAUCUGGUGUAAAGAGGGUUUGUUUCACAACAAUUGGUAUCAGAGCUUUAAUUCUGAUUCCAAGGUUCAAGAAUGGCUUCAAAGGUGGAUCUUGAGAAGUUUACAGGGCAAAAUGACUUUAAUAUGUGGAAGAUCAAGAUGGAGGCUUUGUUGAUCACUCAGGGUCUGGGAGAUGCCAUAGAGCUAGUCUCUAAACUUGAAGGAAAUGAAGCUUCAUCAUCCAAGACUCCAGAACAAGCAGUAGAGAUAGACAAGAAUGCUAGAAGCACAAUUAUUAUGAGUAUGGGUGACUCUGUAAUCAGAAAAGUGGCAAAAGAAAAGAUUGUUGCUGGUUUAUGGGCCAAGUUGGAGAAUUUGUAUUUGACAAAGUCUUUAGCUAAUAGGCUUUACAUCAAGAAGAAGAUGUUCUCACUAAAGAUGAUUGAAGGAGCAUUACUUGAUGAGCAUAUAGAUGAGUUCAAUAAGGUUUGUGAUGAAUUGGAAACCAUUGAUGAAAACUGAGUGAUGAGAGCAAGGCUCUGCUGUUAAUUAGUUCUUUACCAGAGUCAUACGAGCACUUUGUGGAUGCCUUGUUAUAUGGGAGACAAACACUCUCUCUGGAAGAGGUUAAAUCUACUCUUGGCACCAAGAAGUUGAAAGACAAGCAAGAUAAUCCAGAAAGUGAAUCAAGUGAGGGGUUGAUGGUUAGAGGCAGAUCUGAAAAAAAGGGAAAACAAGGGAAAUAAACAAGGCAGAUCAAAGUCCAAAUAGAAGCAUUUGAAGUGUUUUCAUUGCCAUAAAGAAUGGCAUUUAAAAAGAGAUUGCCCUGAAAGAAAGAACAAAAAUAAAGAAACCAAGGAAAAGACAAGAAAUGCAGCCAUAACCACAAAAGUUCCAAGCUUUGAAACAACUGGAGUGCUCAUUGCCUCAAAUGAAAAAUUUCAAGGUCACUGGGUUCUUGACUCAGGUUGUACCUUCCAUGUGUCCAAAUAGAAGCUAUAUUACUACAUAUCAGUUGUGUGAUGGGGUAUGAUUUUAAUGGGUAAUAACUAAAUGUGUAAAGUGGUUGGUAUUGGGAUUGUUAGCCUUAAAAAGUUUGAUGGUGUGGUGAAGGAAUUAACACAUGUUAGGUUUGUUCCUGACUUGAAAAGAAACUUGAUCUCAAUUGGCAUGCUAGAUCCAAUAGGUUGUGUCAUUAGGGCUAAAAAAUAAGUGUUGAGGAUAAUUAAAGGCUCAAUGGUGAUUAUGAAAUGUAUAAAAGAAAAUAGCUUGUAUGUGUUGGAUGGACAUACUGCUGUUGGAGAGGCAAGUGUAACUGAUAGUGGUGGGAACAAAUUAGUGUUGUGGCAUUUUAGGCUGGGGCAUAUGAGUGAGAGAGGCUUAAAAGAACUACAAUGGAACAUUGAGGAUAGAUAAUGGCUUGAAGGUGAAAACAUUGAGGACAGAUAAUGGCUUGGAGUACUGUAAUAAGUUGUUUGAAGGAGUACUGUGAGAAGAAAGGGAUUUAGAGGCACAAAACUAUCACCUAUACUCCUCAACCAAAUGGCCUUGCUAAGAGGAUGAACAGAACCUUGGUGGAGAAAGUAAGGUGCAUGUUGAUCUACUCUAAACUUCCAAAAACUCUAUGGGUAGAAACUUUAAACAUUGUAUGCUAUCUAGUCAAUAGGAGCCCAUCAACUGCCAUAAGAUGUAAAAAACCAAUGGAACUGUGGUUAGGAAGAAUAGCUGACUAUUCAAAACUCAAAAUCUUUGGCUGCAUAGCAUAUGCUCAUGUAAAGUAAGGUAAGCUGGAACCAAGAGCAUUAAAGUGUAGGUUUCUAGGGUAUCCAGAAGGUGUCAAAGGCUAUAGAUUGUUGUGUGUUGAUUCCAAGCCACCUCAGUGUCUAAUAAAUAGAGAUGUAACUUUCCAUGAAGAUGAGAUCUUGAAUCAAUCAAGGAGUCUUGUCAACGGCUCUGAAUUAGGUGAUGAGUCUAAUAAAGUGAAGUUUCAAGUGGAGCCUCAUACCUUGAAAAAGCUUGAUCUAGAAAUUAAGAGUGCUAAAAAAGAACUUGAAGCUGGUGUUGAGCAUGAAUCAGUAGAAAGUGAAGAGGACACCUAUCAAUUGGUAAGAGACAGAAAAAGAAAGAUUAUUAGACCACCUAAGAGAUAUGCAAUGGCUGAUUUAAUUGCAUAUGAUUUGACUGUUACUCAAAAGUUGAAUGUUGAUGAACUAGGACUUAUCAAGAAGCUAUCACAAGCAAAAGCAAGAUGGAAUGGAGGAAGGCAAUGGAUGAGGAGAUGGCAUCUCUAAUGAAGAAUAAAACUUGGGAAAUGAUUAUAAAACCAUAAAAGAGGAAGAUAGUAAGCUAUAAAUAAAUCUUCAAGAUAAAAAAAAAAGGGAUAUCUGGUGCUGAGCCUAGAAUAUGUAAAGCUAAACUGGUGGCAAGGGGUUUCACACAAAAGGAAGGUAUUGACUUCACUGAAGUUUUAUCCCCAGUGGUGAGACAUGCUUCCAUCAAAAUUAUUCUUGCACUUGUUGUUGUUCAGGACAUGUAUCUUGAGCAAAUGGAUGUCAAAACAACUUUUUUGCAUGGUAAGUUACAAGAAUAGAUUAUAAUGCAGCAGCCAAAGCGUAUGUGGUUUUUGGUAAAGAAGAUCAUGUUUGUUAUUUAAGAAGUCUCUAUAUGGUUUGAAGCAAUCACCUAGACAAUGGUAUUUGAGGUUUGACAACUUCAUGAUAACACAUGCCUUUAAUAAAUGCAGUUAUAAUUGUUGUGUGUAUUUCAAGAAGAUAAGUGGAGGAAGGAUGAUAUAUCUCUUAGUGCAUGCAGAUGAUAUGCUGAUUGCAUGUCAUGACAAGAAAGAAAAUGAUCAUCUGAAGAAACUCUUAAGCAGGGAAUUUGAAAUGAAGGAACUUGGGGAACCUAAGAGGAUUUUAGGGAUGGAUAUUAUCAGGGAUAGGAGCAAGAAGGUUUUGUUUUUAACUCAACAGAGCUACAUUAAAAGGGUUCUAGUGAGGUUUGGAAUAAAUGAUGCGAAGCAAGUGCAGACACCAUUGGCAAACCAUUUCAAGUUGUCUGCUGCACAAUGCCCCCAAACUGAUGCAGAACAAUAGAAAAUGGCUUGUAUACCCUACUCAAGUGUUGUGGGUAGCCUCAUGUACGCCAUGGUACUCACCAGGCCUAAUAUCUCACAUGCUGUGAGUAUGGUAAGUAGGUUUAUGGCAAAUCUAGGCUAGGAACAUUGGAAAGUUGUUCAGUGGAUUAUGAGAUACCUCAAAGGGACUUUGGAGGUUACUUUGAUUUAUGGUGGAAAGGAUAGCAAUGGACACACAUUGAUUGGUUAUGUAGAUGUUGACUUUGCUGGUGACCUUGAUAAAAAGAAGUCACAAACAGGGUAUAUGUUUACUCUGGGGGGAUGCACAGUUAGCUGGAAAGCAACAUUACAGAACAUAGUGGCUUUGUCCACUACAGAGGCAGAGUAUACUGCAGCAGCUGAAGCCUUUAAAGAAGCCAUUUUGCUGAAAGGCAUGAUAACUGAGCUAGGAGCUGAGCAAGGGACUAUAACAGUAUACAGUGAUAGCAAGAGUGCCAUACAUCUUAGUAAAAAUCAAACUCAUCACGAGAAGACAAAACAUAUAGAUGUUAAGUUACACUUUGUGAGACUUGAAGUGUCAAGGGGGGCUGUUAAGUUGCUGAAAAUUCAUACUGAAGAAAAUCUAGCUGACAUGUUAACCAAGGUUGUUCCCACUACCAAGUUCAUCCUUUGCAUGUAUUUAGCAGGAAUCUGCAGGUUUUAAGAAGCUGCAGAUGAGGAGAAAACAAACAAAGAAGAGGGAGCUAUGAGUGUUGGGUUCAAGGUGGAGAUUGUUAAAAUAAACUCCAAUGAACUCAAACUCGUCAAUUGAUUUGUCGUUUAAAGGUUGGAAAAACGAGUGACAUGUCAUUUCAAGCUUAUCAUGGAUCCAGAACCGACAACUUGGUGCUAUCGUCCAAGGUCAUUAAACUCUCACGUGAGUAACAGAUGCAUGUCUUAAGUCUAAACGGCACGCCUUGUCGUCGUUUUCGGAAGGGCUUAAGUUUCACGUGAAAGGCUCUUGAUCAAGCAGUUAAGUUUGUUGGUUUUGGAGGGAAUCAUCUGGAUCUGUAAUGCCAGCAGCAGCUGAUAUAUAUGCUGGUUCUGGUUUCAUCUAGAUCGAUUGAAGAGAGAGUGAUAAGGAAGCAUUAGAGAGAGUGAAACUUUUCUGAGUGUUCCAUGUAUUGUGUUUGUCACCUCUGUAACCAUUGAAGCUUAAUAAAAUUACUCCAUGAGUUGUGUUCUCCAAUGGAUGUAGGCAUUGUUAAAAGUGCUGAACCACUUAAGUCUUUGUGUUCUUGAUUCUUUGUGUUGCUUUUUCUUUGAUCUGGCGAUUGUUACGACUUGCUUAGAGUUGGUUCUUAAAUCUUAGAGUCUUAAUUAGAUCUUGGGGUGAAAUAAAUCUAGUGUAAAGAGGGUUUGUUUCACAACAUAAUUAAUAACUUAAAAUUAAAGGAAUUAGAUUGAGAAUAGUCUUUUUUUUAGGAUGGAGGCUCCUAAAUCUUCAAGAAUCAUUAUGUGCUUAUUAAAAUUUCAAAAUCAUUUGGAUUAUGACAUAGCAAAAAUUUGAUAGUACACAUGUUGGAAUACACCAAUUCAUAGAUGCAUUUGAUUAUUGUUUUCAUAAAUUUUAACUAGGAAGGAUGACAUGAUAAAAUUUGAUUUUAUUGUAUGGUUGAUUUCAUAUUUCAUGUGCUCAUUUCUUAAUAUAAUCAAAUUUGAUCUAGCAUAUUUUGCAACUGUAUAAAUAUCAAUUAUGAUCAAUCAAAAUGAUUUCAACACCUUUCAACCAGACAUAUUUAUAAUACAAUAUUGUCAAACUUACACCAGAAAUUUAGUUUAUUACAUAUUAUUAUCCAAUGAGCACACAAAAAUGAAUUUGUACAAAUUUAGUUUUGGAAUGCUGUAGCUCUUAAAAUAAUUGUUGUUAGUUGUGCUAUAGAAAUAAUUUACUGUGAAAAGAAUCAGUUAAUUGUUGGGUAAAUUUUAUUUUCAGAAAUACUGUGAGUUUUGAAAACAGUUACGGAAAUUUGGUAAAUUUUACUGUUAAAUUGCUGAAAGAAAACAAAUGAUUAAAAUGUAUAUAAUGUAGAAUAAAAUUUACUUAUACAUAUAAAAAUAUGUACAUAUAAUAUUUUUAAUUAUAUAUUAUAAUAAUUUUUACUAAAAAUAAAAUUUAUAAUAUAUUGAUUUUUUUUUAUAUUUUUACCUUAAAAUAAUUGUUAAUUAAAUUUGUAAUAUAGUGAAACAAGUUUAAUAAUAAUUCGACCAACAAAUUGAUAUUAAUAAAUUUAUAUUGAUGAAUUACAAUAAAAAUUUAUUAAAAUAUUAUUUUUUUCAAUUUCAAUAAGGAUAAUUUUGGAUUUACAUAAUAAUUUUGAAGAUAUUUAUAAAAUUAUAUUAAAAGAUAAAAUUAAUUCUCAAAAUCAGAAUCUAAAAAAUACUCCAUCCCUACUUUUCAAAAUCAACUAUAGAAGAAGUUGAUUUUGACAAAAAUAAUUUAAAUUUUUUUACUAAAUACUAAAAUUAACUUUUAAUUUUUUAAAAUUAAUUUUAAACCACAAAUUCAGACGACCCUUAAACCAAUUUUGCAAAAGCAGCCGUUACAUGUAUCACCAACUUUUUAACAGUCAGCUGCUUUUGUGACCGUUAUGCGACGGCUAGACUGCUGUCACUUAUGUUACUAUCACGUGACGGUUAAGAGCCAAUUGGCAUACUAUUUUUUUAAAGUUUUAAAUUUGUUUCUAAAUAGAAAACUAUUCGCUGGUGUCAAUAUUUUGAAAACCAAAGUCCCAAAUUCUCUCUUGUGCGUGCCGGGCCAGCAUCCUAAACCUUACUGGUUGCCGGAGAAUGGCGUAAAACGGCGGUGAUCUUCUUCUUCAUCUUAUUCUCUCUCAUCGUUUCAGGUAAGCUUGUGAUAAUGAGUUUCUUGUCUUUCUUAGCUUGUAAUUAUAGAUUUUGAUUUUUUAAUUCGUAUUGUAGCCGUUAAUGUAAAUUUUUGUCCCGCUGGCAAAUUUUUUUGUUCCUACAAGUUGAAGCCCUUCUGUUCUUGUUCCAUUGGUGACUUUGCUCACUCAAAUUAAUUUCGUUCGGCGGAAUUUACAAAGUUCAAAUGGAUUCAUUUGGAUUACUAUUGAAUUUAGCUUUCAUUUCUACAUUCAUUCUAAUGUUUUACAAUUAUGUAUUUAGAUUUACUUUGAUUUUAUGUUUAAAGCUUCUACAUUGAAUAGCUGAGCUUGGGUCUUAGUUUCAUUUUCUAAUUAACUUGUUUUGGUUUAUCUUAUAUGCUCACCAAGGGCUUGUUAUAUUGUCAGAUAAGUUAUAUAACAUUGCUGAUUCUAUAUUAAUAACGUCAUGUUUUAUUUUCAGAAAUUAUAAUAUAAAAGUUUUUACAAUGGCAAGCAUCUACAAACUGAAUUGAUUUGUAGAAUAAGAGCUUCGAGUAGUGUUAUGAUCUUGAAUAAAUGAAAGUUCAUAUUGUGUAAGAGCAUGUAGAUGUAAAGCAUCAUUACCAUUUCUGCAAAGUGCUUUCAUUCUGUUCAGAUGCUUCUCUUGAACUUUGAAAUGUGCCUCGUUGAAGUCCUAGCUAUAACUACUAGCUUUGAUUAAUUAAGUUCCUAUACUAGCUGAAACAGAUUUAUUUAAUUAAUUAAUUGUGUAUGUACUAAUUAUAUUGAAAGUAUUUGAAAACUUUUUUAUCAUGAAUGACUUCUAAAUGACUUAAAAACCUAAAGGAUAUGUGAAAUAAUGCUCAUUUCACUUGAACGAGCCUAUUAAUACUUGUAUGUCUAUGAUUGUUAAUAUUGGCUUAAGCGUUUCAGUUAAAUGGUUUACAUAACAAGGAAAAUAAUUUAAUGGAAAACUUUCGAGUUCUAACAGAAAUAUAAUUGACUAUGCAGAUAUAGUUAUUUUAUGGUAAUACAAAUCAUGUUGCCUUAAUCUCAAUGUCCUAUGACCUAUUUUAUUUUAUAGAGUCAUUCAUUUUUGCCAUGGCUUUUUGUGUUUAUAAGUAUGGAAAUAGUGGGAUUUGGUGUAUCUUAGCAUCUUUGGAAAAUUCUCUUUAAAUGUGGCAAACAAAAAUAUACAUAUAAUCAAGUUUGUUAAUCAACUAUCAUAACUGGCUAGCUAGUUCUUGCCUGCCUUGCUGCCAUUACCCAGGCCAUUACAUUGCAUAGCAUAAGGAAUAGUGAUUAGGUGAUUAUUAGUGACUCGUUGAGCUUAUUAUUGACCAAACAAACAUAUUCCCCUUUACCCACAACUUAGUUUGAUUAGUUAUUAGACCAUAAAGAGCGUUAAUCUGUUCAUUGGCUUUGUUAUUUUUAUUAGGUUUUUCUGUCAACAAAACUGUUGAUUUCUUAUAAAAAUAUUCAUUGAUUUUUAAACACCUAAUCAUUGGCUAUAAUGAAGCUAAUUGAAACUGAGGCUUUGGAUCAAUUUCUUCUAGCAAGAUACAAAUGAGCAGAACCUAUAUCCUCUAAGUAAAUUUUUCUAAUAUCCUUGAUUUGGUAGUAUCUGGCGGCCUGAAAUCCUCUAGAUUUUUUUAACACUGUCAAUGUUCUUUUUACUCUUAAAAGGGAAAAAAAAGGUUAUAUCUUUCAUACCCUAAUAGUAAGUUGGCCUUGACUUAACAUGCCUUCCUGAGGAUUUCCAAGAUUCACAAGCAGCCCCCCCCCAAAAAAAAAAAACAAAUAUGAUUUUGCAAGAUUCACAACCAGGCUAUAUUUAAUUUAUUGAUUGUGUGCACGUACUAGUUAUAUGUUGAAAGAAUAGGAAAAAGUAUUUUAACAUGAAUGACUUAAAACUUAUUGCUCAGUAAACAAAAUCUGCAUCAGUGCUAGAAAAUGUAUUUAUUGUUUGUAUUUUUUAUGGAUUUGCUUAAGAAAUGAUACGCGAAAUAAUGCUACAUUGUAUUAGGAAUAAAUUGAAGAGAUUUAUGUGUUAUUUAAAUUUCAGAUUGAAUUUUAAACUUUCAAUACAUGCAUUGAAAGCUUAGAUUGUUUAAGAAAUUAUUAAUAGACACAUGUUUUAUUAGUGUCAUCUAUGGAUGAUAGUGAGGAUCAUAUGUCUAUUAAUAAUUCUUGAAUUGUCUAGGCUUGAACUGUUUGGGAAUGCAUAGUUUUCUAUGGUAGCUAGUAGCUGAAGUUUUUUUCCCACGUAAAAAUGGGUUUUUCGCUGGCUGCUUCUCAUCUUCUGUGGGUGCAUACUAGAUAACACAUAAACACUCAUAUAUCUAUGUCGUGUGCUUGGAGAACUAUAGGGAGAUGCUGCCGAAAUUUCUAUAAACGUAGAAAUCCCAUUGGACCACUUACCUUUUGUAAAUAUGAAGGGAGUGUUGGACAUAUUGAUGGGAGUGAAGGAGCUGAGUUGGAUGGAUGUAAUCGGUUAUGGUUUUGCUGAGUUAACUUGGCUUUGAGCUUGUAAUUUUGUUUAUAAAUGGAGUACUAUCUCCAAUGUUGGUUUAUAAAUAUGUUUCAGCUGGCUGACCUAAUUUUUUGUUUCUAGGUAACAGGCUUUAUAUCUGUAAUUGAUAGCCAACUGAAGUUCUCAACUGUGGGUGAGAAUAUUUCUUUACAGAAGGUAUUGGAAACUGUUUUUUACGUUAAUUAUUGUUGUAUAUAUACUUUAAUUUUCACAUCUUUUUCUCUGAUUCUUGUCGCUUUGCUUGCUUUCAUAUGUAUAACUAAAAUGAUUUAUCUAACUAAUUUUUGUAGUGCAUUAAACGGAGAUGGUAAUGGAGAAGAGUUGGGUUGGUUUGGCAAAUUGAUAUCCAAGUUAUAUACUGAUGGGGUUGAAAAAUUUAUAGAUUUUGCAUUUGAGAAUGUUGUUGGUGAGGCAAGAAUUUAUUAUCCUUGUAAGAACUGUCGAAUCUUUCGUUUUAAGGGAAGUUGCAAGAGACCAUAUCAUUAUAAAUGGUUUUUGGUUAAAGUAUUAAAACUGGAUAUUGCAUGGUGAGCCAUCUUCAUCUUUGGAAUCUAACCAAGAAACAGGUUAGUCAUGACUCGGGUGCUGAUGAUGAUAUGGUUGGAAUGAUACAUGAUACAUCACGUAAUCAAAUAUUCAAUUCACACACAGCAUUGUUAUGGACUAUCAGUGACUUUCUAGCACAUGCCAACUUGUCUGAGUGGAGUAUUAAAGGUAAAUAAGCAUUCUUGUUUGCCAACAAAACACUAGAUCUAAUUGGUUGAUACAUAGUAGAAAAUUUUGUCACGUCGGUAACGUCGAUUUUUACCGACGAAUUAUAGGUUUCGAAAAUAUAGUGCCUUUUGAUAAAUCUAGAGAGUGGGGACAAGCACCUUCUCGGAUGUCUGGAGCUGAAGUGAAAAAGCAGUUGAAUAAUAUCCUUACUGAGUUUAAGAUUGAAGACUUGAAAAGUGGAGAAUGAAAAAAAUGAGAGAAAUGACAAGAUUACUUGGAAGAAGAAAAUCAUAUUUUAUGAACUACCGUGUUGGGAGUUCAAUUUGAUUCAUCAUAAAAUGUGAGACAUGAGGGAGAGACAAAAGCUCAGGCUUGUCUGCAACCAUGUGGGCCCUCAUAAGCAAUUCGUGUACACAACUUGGUUCACCAAGCCCAACAACUUGAAGCAGGCAAAAUCCGGGAACGAUCCUUCUCCUUCGCAACCCUAGCUGCCUUAACCUUGUAUUUCUGAUAUUUAGUUAAAGAGUAAGAAGAUUGCUCCUCUGUCAAUUACCUUCGAGAGAGACUUUCUUUUUCAUUCACCGAUGCUUGCUUGUGAAAGCAAGGGUUUUAGUUACGCUUUCAACGCUGUCAAUGUAGUGAAGUUAAGCAUUCGUAGAAUAGUGAAGUUAAGCAUUCGUAGAAUAGUGAAGUAAAGCAUUCGUAGAAUAAUGAAGAUGGAAGCCCCACAGCAUGAAAACUUUUAAACAGUAACACAGCUCUUAUUCCAGAGGCUGCACGCGAGUGACCUGAAUCUUCUUCAGAACUUUCAAAUUUUAUCAAGCGAAGCUUUCAAAAUUUCUCAACAAAUUGAUUAUUUGGUGUGGUUGCCACAUUUUGAGUAACCGCUAUUUGUUCUCAAGUACAAAAUCCUUGCCUUCCUAAGUUAGGAAAUAUAAAUGUGAAGCAAACCAAAUGAAAUAAAUGGGUAAACAGAACAAGCAGGGCAAAAAUUAAAAAUGAUGGCAAUUAACAAAUUAAUAGCAAUGUUACAUUUGACUCUUUAGCCCUUUGUUCCUUCUCUUAGCAUUCUUCAAAGGUUUUGAAAAUAGGACGUGAAGCAAACAAAAUAAAAUAAAUUUAGACAACACAUGCCCUGUAUUCAGCAUCAUAUAUAUCUCGCAUAUCUAAUAUAAUAAAUUUCACAUCUAAAAUACUAGAAUUUCAAACAGAAUAUCUAAUAAUAGUAAAAAAAUGACGACAACAACAAAAAUAGAAAAUUACAAGACUGCUGAUAAAAUUUCAUUUGCAUGCAUGUCUGACAAAAUUUCCGUGGUUUAAUGUGCUUUCAUGAACGCAAGUCCUAACGUUUCUGUGAUCACAAAAUAAAACUGAAGAUAAAACAGAACAACUACCAAACCUUUCAAGCUUGACGAAGCCAUGAGAAUUGAUAGCUCAGGCACUGAUACCAAGUUAAAGUUUCUAAUCUGUUUGGUAAGUAAGAAAAUGUGAGAAAAUGAAAGAAAGAACAGAGAUCAUCUAAGAGCUGGAUUUGAUAAGUAAAUAUGAAUCAUCCAUUCAUUAGUUGAUUGCAAAUGUAUUUAUACGAGGUUCCUGAACAUUUCAGAUUCUAUAUGCUCGAGCUAAGCACCUGAGAGUUGAGCAGUGUGCACUAACAAACUGCUAACAAAAUAACUAACUUAUGCCAGCUCAGCUAACACGUCAGUAACUCUUAACUAUCUUGCUUAACAAACUGAAACAAUAACUAACCAUUUUAACUAUCUUAACAAUCCCAAUAAUUUUUCCAUUUGUGUAUUUUUUUGAAUCAUAAUCAAAUGCGUAAAUGUUGCAACUAUUUUUUUUAGAUAUUUUCACUUUGGGCUGUCAGCCCGAGGAAGUACGGGGGUCUGAGUUAUUCAACUGAAAAUGUCGGCCAAGUUCUUGUGUUAGUUUUAGUAUAUUGUGUAAAAAUGAUACACUAACUUGAAUUUAUAUGCUUUUAUGACUAUUUGAUAAUCAAAUGGGUAAAUGACACGAAGAACUUUGAGUUUAAAAAUCUGGCCCUGAUGCCUGGUAGCCCUCCAACCUAUGAAGCACUAGAUGUUUUAAUGAGAAAACGACAAGACCAUUUAUCAAAUUUCUUGUGGAUAUAACUACAUACACAAAGACGAGACCAACCUCCUCAAAUGAGAAUUAGAGUGAUUCAAAUCUCAAAAUACAAUAGAAAUUCAUGACAUAUAUAUAAUAAAAGACCUCUCAUUGAGUCAUAUAUAUUGAGAAUAAAUUUUUUUUAAUACAUACAAAGAGCUUAGCUACAAUGAAAUGUCUUUGGACUUGCAAUGAUCAAACAAAGGAAACAGACAGGUUGCAACUCACACUAUCACAAAUGUAGCGACACGAUGCAGUGAAUCACAAGAAGAUCACGAAGAUGGAAACGGGAACCCCUCAGAAUGUAAACUUUGAAUAGAGGAAAAAAGAAAAACGACCUUAUUUCAAAUUGCGCACAGAAGAAGAGUGACUUAAAUCGUCAUCAGUAUCCAGACAUUCUGCAAUCAUAGAGUAGAGAAAUUUUAACAGGAACAGUGGAGAAAAUAUUAUGUAUAUGCUAGACCAAAUUAGUCCCUUUUUUGGUUUGUGAAAACUUGAUUUUUUAUGAAAUAUUUUCAAACAAUAUUUCCACAAUACACUUGUUGAUAGCCAACAUUUGAUGGUUUAAGGAUUUUUUAUGGGAACAAUGCACUGAUUACGUUUUUUUUUUUUAAUUUUUUUAAUGCGAUGAAUGAUAUUCAGCUGUUCUUUAAUUAUGUGUUCAUAGGGAAGAACAUUUUAUAAGUACUUUCCUUGCCUUCUAACUUUCCAAGGAAAUAUAGGUGUGAAGAAAAGCAAACCCAAUGAACAAACAGAACACAAACUAAAAUAAAAGAACAGCAAUGAUGAGAAUAAAUAAUUGGCAAAGAAAGAAUGGAAAAAGUAUGCACGUUUUCAAGGAAUUAUAAAAUACGAAGGCUUUUAAUGAAAUUUUAUCAUAAAAACGUACGCAAGGAGUUAUAAAAAUUUUAGAAGACGAAGGGAGCUCCCAAAAAAAAAAAAAAAGAAGAAAAAGACUCAAAUUAAACUAGACUAAAAAGACAUUCAAUUAUGCAAAAUCUGUCCAUAAAAGUCUGAAAGGAUCAUUAAAAUUGCAUUGCAAAUUUAACAGUAAACAGAGGGACCCAUUCUAAAUAAUUCAGAUGAAAUUGCGAAACAAGCCAUGGGAUUAAAUAAAUGAAAUAAAAAUUAAUUACCAGUUGAGACUUUCUUCUAAAAAUUCGCAACUCCAAGUCAUAAGAAGCCUAUGAAAUUAGUCGUACUGCGUAGAGUAUAUCGACGACCCCGCCAACAGCUGAAAAUAAAAUUCUUAUUCAUCAAUUUAAACUUUUACUUUAUAACAAACAUUUUAUUUAAAAAGAAAAAGCAAAUUUUGUAAAAAUUUAUCAUGGGAGAUAGAGAGUAAUAUGUAUAUCCGUACCUUCUCAGCAUGUAAUUGUUGUAUGGUUGUGUUUAGAUCAUUAUUAGCCCAACGCCGUUGAUUCAAUGUCUCUCCAUACUGGACGUUUACUCUCGGAGGCGUGAUUGAUUCUCCUGUAGUGAAAAUCUUCAUCUUGGGACAACCAGUCACUCCCAGAUAUUCCAAAGAUGGGAAUCUGAAGGUGUAAUUGGCAUAGCAGAAACUUGUGAGGCUAUCUAAAUCACGCAGAGCCAACGUCUUCAAUUUGCGGAAAACAAUCUCUUCUUUUUCAACUCCAUCUUUGUCAUUUGUUACCACCUCUGUCAUUGCUCUGCAUCCAUAUACUUGCACUUUGACGAGUUGCACUAGAGUUUUUGCUGUGGAAAAUGUUACCAUGUGUAACAAUUUCUUGCAACCGAAAGCUACAAGUUUUGUUAGGUUCCGAAAAGAUACCGAUGAUGAUGGCAAUAGAAUUAACAGACGUUGACAAUGAUAUACUCCUAGAAUUUCAAGAUACUGAAAAAUGGGGUCAAGUUUGGAGUCUUGUUUCCACAGCUGCUUCAGAUGAUAGUGCCGGUGCAGCUCUAAUGUUUUUAUCAUUGCCAACUUCCCCACAUGUUUCUCUAAGCUUCCUUCCUCCGAAAAUACCUCUUUGUUGAAUGCAAAAAAAGACAGUAUGAGUUUUUCAAGAUUGUGAAAUCUCUCAAGUACGUUCCAGAUUGGAAAACAAGCUGAGUUAUCUGAACCAAUCUCUAGUUCUCUAAGACUGCCAAAAAGGUGUUGUGGGAAAUCGGCCCGCAAAAUCAUCUCCACAUCUUUUCCACUUAGUGAUAGUUCCUUCAAGUUGGGUACGAUCUGAUCAUCAUCAAUCAUAAUAACUAAUGAGGUCAAUUGAUGUUCUUUCAAAUGAUUUUGAGUAAUCCAAUCACAAGCAGUGACUUUAUAGUAUUUAUUUUAUAUUAAUUUUACCCCUAAAAAAAAUGAAUUAGUGAUAAAAUUCAUUAUAUGAUUUUUUUUAUAUGUUAGUUUUAGAGGUAAUAAAGAAAUUAGGGAAAAAAACGAAAUUAUUUUAUUGCAUGAUAGUAAAUUACUAAUUUAUUUUGUAAGUUUUUCUGUAUGGAAAGACUAAGGAUUCUUUUAUAAAUGCUAUACCUAAAAAAGAUUAUUGUAUAACAAAAGUUUUCAAUUUAUUGAGCAUUAAUUUAUCGAUACUUUGUCAUAUUUUUCAAAGUUAAAAAUAAGCUAUAGAUAAAAAAUCUAGAAAAUGGCUUCAUACCUUUUCCAAUGGCAAUAGGGGCUGUUGUGCAGGAAUACCAAGUUGAAAAUCUGCAGCGAAUAUCUUUAAUUUGUCACAACCAUGCACUAAAAGAAUUUCUAGUGCGGGCCAUUCCGAAGUAUGCAUUCCAGGGUACAAACAUCUAAGUUUUGGUAGAUCUUGGAGUUUCAGAGUGGUGAGCUGUGGAAAGACAAAAUAAGGGAUCACUUGAUCUGCUCUGUUUUCAGAAAUGAUCUCCUGUAAAUCCUCACAGAAGCGUAUAUCUAGGUGUUGGAGCUGCUUAAGGCUUUCGAUCAUAGACGCUGAAAAUAUGUAUUUUAAUUUAUGACAACGCUGCACAGUCAAUCGUGUUAAAUUUUGAAAGCGAGGAAACAUGACCGGAAGAUGAUUGUAGUGCCAAAUCUUGUCGACAUUAAUUUCAGAUAUCUCCAAAGCCUCCAAGUUAGGCAACGCAACCUAAAAAAAAGAAGAAUUUCUCGUUAGAUCCAAUAUCCAUAUGGGAAGCACUUGUUGAAAUUUUCUUCUUUGAUUACAAAUUAAUGCAAAGUCAGAAUCAAUUUCCAACUGACAGCUGAGUAUGCAUUCUAAUUCAUACUACUUGUUAAGAGCUCAAUUAGUGAGCGCGUGAGAUUCUUUUUAUCCUUUUUUCCAUUUUCUUUCAAUUCUUUAAAUGAUUUAAUUAUUUUCCACGUAUGACAUCAAAACAAAACGCAUGAUAGAAUAAAGUCUGUUAUAUAUACAUAUAUAAAGAAAAUGUUAGCCUACGCACCUUCUCGUUGAAAAGCAGAGUUGAAAUGUCCAAAGUGAUUUCGCUGGUGCAAUACAUAGUCGUCGAUUCCUCUUGUGACGCUUGCCUGUUCGGUGAUGCUGAAGGAGUCUUCACCUCACGGCAAAAACUUGUAACCUCUGGAAGAUUCCCCAGACUCAAAGAUCUUAAUUGAGCAAACUCUAUCUUCUCAAUUGCAUUAUCAACUUCUUCCCCAAUUGCAAAAAUCUCUUUCAUCUUGCUGCAAUUAACAACUGCAAUUCUCUCAAGUCUUGGAAGGCAUUUUGUAGUAGAGAGCCAAAAGAUGUUACUCAACUUAUCACAAUUAUAUGCUUCUAUGUUUUUGAGUUGGUUGAAAGACUCUACUUUGAGCCGAUCAAUACAUAUCCUCUCCAUGUUGAUCAAAUUGUGAAGGAUAACUGACUCCAAAAGAGGAAAGGCAUCACAAGCGACCAUCUCCCUUGAAUCGACGAUACAAAAGAAGUCAGGAUUAUUUUGAACCCAGAGAAUCUUCAAUUGUGAAAAGCCCUCCGUGUCCAAAUUGAAAAGAACAUUCUCGAUGCCUUGCAGCUUGUCCAACCAUAAGCAUUCAACGUUAUUGAUGCCCUGCAAUUUCAUGGAGCAAAUGUCCAUAAAAUCAAGCUUGAGCUUCACUGCUCUUGAAAUCUUACGAUCUCUGUCGAUCAAAAAGUGCUGCCGACUUUUAAACCAAUUUUGUCCAGCAAUCAUGGGAUGUGUGAAUAACCCAUUUCCAAUAUGUAUUUUGAACCUUUCGAGCUUUCUGGCCAAAAAGCCUUCUGGUAACAUACUCUCAUUUUUAACAUCAAUUUCUAGAGUGGUUAGCCGAGGUAAAUGCAUCAAUUCAUCAAGGCUAGCAUUACUUCUUUUGCUGUUGGCUCUUUCAACCUCCCAUUCAAUGGAGCAAUUACACAUAUACAAUUCUUCUAAUCGGAUUAGGCUUGAUAUGACAUUUGGAACAAUAACUUUUAGAUGGAAACAGUCUGUCAAAUCUAACAGCCUUAGCUUUGUCAGUUGACCUAGUGCUUUAGGCAACUCUACAAUAUCAGACCGCACGAAGCUGAGGAUUUCUAGAUUUUCCAACUUUCCAAUAAUGGCUAUGUCUAUGCCUCCGAAAAUGCUUUGAUCAAGACAAAGUGUCUGAAGAUUUACUAGAAGACCAAUUGAAGAUGGCAAUGACAAUAACCGCAUUCCAUUAAAAUCCAAAACCCGAAGCUUUUUCGUCCUUUUGAAGAAGUUCUCAGGAAUAUUAGGCACAGCAAAAGAGUUCUUGGGAGACAUGAGUAGAAGUUCAAGUUGUAGAGAUUCGGACCCAUCAGGAAUGUCAUUAAUAAUACUAUCUUUUAAAGAAAUUGCAAGAUAUUUUUUUAAUUCAUCUGCAUUUGGCCAUUUCCAAUCAUCCUCAUUUCUCACCACAAAUCCAAUUUUGUCACGACAUGCAAUUGAAAUGGCAACAUCGCGAACAACGUCGUGCAUAGAAAAGUAUUUACUGCCACCAUCCUCAAGCAACAAACAAGAGUCUCUUAGUUGAUGGACCCAUGCAUCUAAUUUGUUAUGUGCAUCUUCUAGCUUAUGGACACUUUUAAAUACACCCAAGCCCAUGCUAUAUUUGAACAAGUCCAUAAUUGGUGCUGGCGUAAUAAGACUACACAGUAAAAAAGUUUUCUUGAGUUGCUCACCUCUUAAGUACUUGUAACUCAGCUCAAUUGUUGAGUAUGCCUCUGCUGGUACUCCUUCGUCGAAGCUUGCCUCUGAAGGCGUUUGGAGUUCUUGCAAGGCAUUCUUCCACACAGGCAGCUCUUUUUUUCUCAGUGCCUUUGCUACUGUGGUUAGGGCAAUAGGCAAACCUCCGCAUGCCUUGGCUACACUUGUUGCUGUAGAUUCUAAUUCACGAUUUUCCACAUAAUCACCUGCCAUUAUCUUGAACAAUCUCCAGGCUUCUUGUUCAUUUAAAAUGCCAAUCGAGAAGUUUUUUUCAGAUUCCAUCCUUAACAGCACAUCGAGAUCUCUUGUUGUGAAUAAUAAUUUGCAUCCUCUGUGCUCAACUCCAAAAGGAAUUCCAAUAGUCCCCAAAUCAAGAGGUUUCCAGAUGUUAUCCAGAAUCACAAGGAUCUUCUUCUCAUUCUUCAAUCUUUCAUAUAGUCUACUAGCUCUUCUAGACUCAGCUUCCUCGGACAACUGUAGGCCUAACGUUUCCGCAAUUUCCUCUUGGAUCUUU
rnacentral:lncRNA from 1 species